rnacentral:lncRNA from 1 species
ACUAUUGCUAUCAGAAAGGAAGCAAUAUGUAAGAUAAGGCUAAGUUCAUUUAUAAUUUACCCAAGUGUAAAUGACAGUAACUUGGAUUCCCCGUGUAUGCAAAUGUUAUUUCAUCUUUAGGUAGCAGAGAUGGGCUUGUUCACACAAUACAGGUACGAUGGGUUUUACUCCAAACAACCCUCCUUACAUGGCUAUUGAGGGAAGAGAUCUAUGGCUCUGAAAAUGAUACUCAGCUGUUAGCCGGCUGCCUCUAAAAGGGCGAUGUCUGCAGCUAAGGUAGGAGCUUGCUGUGGUAAACUGUUCUAAAGAAAGGAGCUUCUUAAUUUGUUUACUAUGCACUCCACUCUGAUGGUAAGGAGAGUAGGACACACAGAAAUGGAGACUGGUCUUGCUUGGGAGCUAGUGGGGGUGGGGUGGGAAUAGCUGACAACAGGAAUCAGGUUUUCAGCCUGAAGUUGAUUGAACUGUUAUAAAGUAGCCUGUGUGGUAAUGGUCAGGGAAAAGUAGCCAAAUAUAAGAAGGCAGAAAAUAUAAUUAACAACCCGUGGCCAUUUGUGUUGGUUUUGGCAGCUUUAUGUUUGCAGGAACAGCCCUCCAGGGAACAUGAGCGUGAACCAUACUAGGGGGUUCCUGCCCUUGUAUUUUGAAGACUGAUAACAUCCAGACCCUAUUUGGAAAGUUGAUUCUUCCUGCUGCCUCCUAGCCCUGAGCUUUGGCUUUAUGCUGUCUGUAGUGUAAGUGGAAGCACAUUGAGAAAAUGCCAGCACAUACUCUGGCUCUUUUUGACUCUGUCUUUAAAUUUUAUUUGAUGGAGUUGUCAAGCAGCUCACAGCUUGUAAGGUUGGUGGAGGGGGAUGGUGAAAAGAAGGGAUUGCUUGAUCUUGAUCUGGUGGCUCUUUUCUCUGUGACUCCUGCUGGGUCUGGUGUUGGCUCCCUUAAAAAAGAAAGAAGCAAACAAACCUAGGAGAAAAAAGAGCCACAACCACCAAAAAAGCAAUUUCAUUGACAUGGAAACUUAGCUCCUAAGGGGGAGAGGGACUGGGGGGAGCGGGUAAGACAGGAAAAAAAGAGGGAGUGGGAGAUAGGGGAAGCCAGAGAGACUGUUACUAAUAGCCAUAAUUAAACACGGAAAUGCUCAGAGAUUAGCUAAAUUUUGCUAAUUACUGUAAAUGAUCAGCAGGGAGAGGAAGAUUAUGCAUUACAGGUUAUGGGUGGCAGGGUCUUGAUAUCUUUUGUUCGGGUUGUAAACAGUUACAGCAGAUACUAGUAAGUGAUGGAAUUUGCAGAGCAGUACUUCCCUAGGGUCCCUAAGUCAGAGUCAGUCUCUCUCUCUCUCUCUCUCUCAUAAAGGGGUUGAGCCUUGCACAGGUUAAACAUGACCCUUUAUUUAGUUUAUUUCUUCAACGAUUGGUUGCUCAGUCUCCUUUAAAUCUUUUUGACUGGUCCCCAGUCUAGUUUCUCAUUAACCUACAUCUGAUAAGGUUCAGUGUGAUGGAAAAUAAGAAGAAAGUAAGUAAAUGGCUAGAGACCCCAGAAAAGGCCCUCAGACUCACCAGAGCUGUAGAGUACAGUGAACUCCAUCCAGGGUCUGGCAUGGCUGAGAUAAGAAAACUCAUGAAUUCAGCUCUUCAGAAUCCUCUUUCAAUCCUGAAGUCCCAACUCAUUGAUUUGGGGCUUGGAGAGUGAAUGCAUCUGUAUUAAGUAGACUCCUUGCAUAUUUAAUUGGUGUUUUUGAGCAUAAAAUCAAGAGAAGCAGCAAUCAACAAAAUAUCCCUACCUCUGGCUUCCAUCCUGCACCCAAGCUGUGACCCUUUGCGUCUCUAACUAAAAGGACCAGAAGACCCCACAGAGCUUUGCUAAUGCACUUCUCAUUCUUACUUGGUGUACACUUGCUUUUUCCUAGUCCAAGACAAAGACCUAGCUAACAGCAAUUGUUUUAAAAAAUAUUUUUGGAUGGAGGUGGUAGGAGGCAUGGCACCAAGAGACUGAUGGUUGUUAUUGAUGAUUUACUGCCAAUCUUAUUCCAGAGUUAAAGGCAGCACUCUCUGUUGUCUGUGAAAAAGUAAAUGCCCUUGAUUUUGGUAUGAAAGAAAACUAGAGCCUUGAGUCCAAGAAUCUUCUUUGGACUUAAGAGAUUGUUGUUUUUUUAACUACACUUGCUCUUCCCUUGCCCAUUUCCUGAGAAGCCAAAGUCCUCAAAGCUGCUGUUCAUCAGUUGGUGCUCCCACCCCCUUUCUCUACUAUCCAGACCUAUAGAGAGAUUCAUGCUAAGACAGAUGGAAGAAACAGAAAUCCUCCAAAUAGCUGAUAUUUUACCUACACUUUUGCCUGUGCUUGGUUCCAAGCUUUAGAAAAUUGGUUAUAUUAUAGAUUUGCUUAAAGCCUUUAUCCCAGGACAGCCUAGAGGAUGCUGGGAUUCUUUGUAAAUUAGGGAGACUAAGGCCACACUUACCUGGGGUGCCCCCAAAAAAUCUCACAUUAGGAUUGUGUUUCAGGAUAGGAUUAACCUUCUUCUUAAUGGGAAUCUAGUAGGCUCUUCCCCAUUCUGUUAGAGUCCUCACCCCACUUUCAUGCUCUCUUCUGUUCACCAGUCAGUCAAUACUCUUUGAGCACAUACUCUGUGCCAGGCUGUGGGCUACUGCUGAAGAUACAGAACCGAAUAAGACAUUGUGGUGUUCAGCUAGGAAUAAUUGCAAAAGUAUAUAUAUAUAUGCUUCCAUAUUUUAAAAAGUGCAAGGAGUGGGUGGAGAUCCAAAUACCAAGCGAAAUUAAUACAAAAUCAAAAUAUCCUUUAUAAAAUGAAGGUUUACAUUAUCCUGUUAUUUAAAAUAUCCCUCCAGGUUCCUUUUCAUCCUUGGCUUUAUUUCCAUAUGUAAAUAUCAUUUUUUAUCAAAGUGCAAGGUAGUUUAGUGAUUACAGAUAUAUAAAUAGUAAAAUAUAUUUGUUUACCAAGCUUUAAUUACAUAAGCAACUUUUGUAUAUUUUUUCCUUCUUUUUUUCCCUCUCUCUCUUAAAGGUCAUUGGACCUUUAAGAAAUCCAAUGUGUCUGGGCAUGGUGGCUCACACCUGUAAUCCUAGCACUUUGGGAGGCCGAGGUGGGGGGAUCACCUGAGGUCAAGAGUUUGAGACCUGCCUGGCCAACAUGGGGAAACCCCGUCUCUACUAAAAAUACAUAUAUAUAUAUAUAUAUAUAUAUAUAUAUAUAUAUAUAUAUGUAUCUCCAAUGUACAUCUGCCUAAAAAAUGCUUCAGUAUUUAUAGUUUAAAUGCAGGUUUCUCUAAGGAUUCAAGGUUUUAUAUGUACCUUAAAUGCUAUUCUCUAUAAAACAGCAGACUUUCCUGCCUCUGUAGACGAUUUGUGGGGACUAGUUGAGGACAUGGAACUCUUGGAAAGCUCAGUUUUAAAAGGGAACACACCACGCUAUAUUUGCAGGAAGAACUCUUGCUCAGAAACCAGGGUGUGUGAAAAGGGGGAGUAUAAAAGUCCUAUUCAAACCAUCUUAGCAGAAGUGGUGGUGAUGGGCCCCCUUGUGACACAUGAUCCUGGAGUCUUUCUUGGACUCAUUCCUUGUCCCAGGGAUCCACCCCCAAAGUUUUUUCAGCCUUGGGGGCUUGUUUUGCUUUGAUCUAUUGAGUGCCUUCUUCUGCUCAGCCAGCUGCUUUCUAACCACUUUCUUUAUGCCUGCCUUCUUGAGAUUCAGGGAGUUGAAUAAUUCAUAGUGUUGGUUGACAGAUCAAAUGAUAAGAUUUAUAUAUCUUUGGCCUUGGUGAUGAAUUAAUUAGAUUGGUUUCUCCAUCUUUGGCUCCUCUAGAUGCGUUGUUUUUCUUCUUUAAAAUUCACUGGUGAGUGGUGGGUCUGGAGAUUAACUUGUUCUUGAGAGACCACCAUAGGAUGAUUAUAAUAUCCUAGUGUCAAUUUCUUCAGGACUUUCAACAUGGAUCACUGGGUGGUGUGGAGUAGGGGCAGCUAUAUCAUAGAGAGGAGAGAUAAGAUCAUCAGAACAAAAAACAAGACGCACACACACACACAAAAACUUGCCGAUACUGGCUGCGGGAUGAAAUUUUACAGUAAGAACUUGAUUGCUUUCACCUCAGAUUUUGAAUCUAAAAGAGAAAUGUAUUUCAUUUUACAUUUUAGUAAAUGAACUUAUCAGCCCAAAGAAGUUUGCUUUACUAGAACUCUGGGUGACCAGGGAGGGAAGCAAAUCUCUGAAGAUAAAUCUUGAACUUACUCAUACUUUCCUCCUUGUAUUAGUUUGCUAGGGCUGCCAUAAAGUAGUAAAGUACUAUAGACUGGGUGGUUUAAACAAGAGAAAUUUGUUUGCUCAAGGCUCUGUAGAGUAAAUGUCUGAGACCAAGGUGUCAGCAGGUUUAGUUCUUUCUGACAUCUCUCUCCUUGGCUUGCAGAUGGCUGUUUUCUCACUGUGUCCUCAUAGGGUCUCACCUUGAUCUACAUGCAUGCAUCCCUGGUGUCUUUGUGUGUCCAAAUUCUCCCUUCUUAUAAGAACAUCCAUCAGAUUGGAUUAGGGUCCUCCCUAAAAGCCUCAUUUUAACUUAAUCAUCUCUUUAAAGGCCCUGUCCUCACAUACACUCACAUUUUGAGGUACCAGGAAUAAAGCUUUGACAUAUGAAUUUUGAAGAGACACAGUUCAGCCCCUAAUGCUCUUUCUCCUCACCGUGCGCUGCCCCCCACCGCCCCCCACCAUCCCCCGCCCAGUUAUUGGGAAAGAAGUAAAACUGUACUGUUCAGUGAAUACCCAUUGGACUCAAACUUUCACAGCAGAAAAAUAAAACUUCAGUGACAAUGGUUGCAAUUUACAAAAUUCAUAAGAUAGUGCCCUAAGAGGUAAUGUUGUGUUUACAGAUAUGGGGAAAAAAACAGCUAUUGGUUCAGUGAAGACUUGUGUUUUCUUUCUUCUCAGUUUAUCUUCUGUGACUGAGUCCAGAUCUUUAUUUGCACAUAGACUAAUUCUGUCUGACUGCAGACACAUGCUCUAAUGUCCACACAUUAAAGCUUUCUUUACCUAGACCUGCUACCCUUCUGACCCAGACCCUCCACUCCUGCCACUGACUCCUUUAUGAACUACAGUUGUUUGCUCUUUGCCUUUCCUGAAACACAAAUUACCAACUACUUUCACAUCUCAGCCUUUGGUGAAAACAAGAGAAAAAAUAGGUUAACUAAGUAUAAAUUUCUCGUUUUUCAAUUUUCAUAUUUCUCAAUUGAAAAAUAUGUUAAAUAGGCAUCAGUUUAAUUAUUUUUCUCUUCAAUUUUAUUUUUUGAAAGUUCAUCUGAAAAUAUAAAUAUGAGGUAAAUUGUCUACUUCAUGACAUGGUUAUGAAGCUUGGUGAGAUGAUUGAGAGAAUAAUAUAUAUAUAUAUAUAUAUAUAUAGUGUAUAUAUAAGUUCUGGUUGUUCUAAAUCCUAAGCAAAGCAUUCCAUCUUUGGGGAAAGGGUAUACCUUUCUUUGUCUGUUUGUUUCUGUGCUCAAAAUGCGUGCUGAUGUUGAUAAUAGAUAAAUAAUAAUGGCAUUCUGGUGGACAGUGUGGUGUUAGGUGAGGUGGGAACAACUAUGGUUGGAGGAAAUAGCCUUCAACCUCAACCUUUGGUUCUAAGAAACUUUGUCUCUAAGAAACUAAGUUACUAAGAAACAUUGUGAACUUAAGUCACAAUGAAUAAGUCACUUGGUUUCACUGAGACUCAAUUUCUUCACCUUUAAAGUGAGCAAUAAUAAUAGUUAACCAUACUUAUAUCACAGAAAUUGUAUGAGAGAUUAAACAAGUUGUAUUUUGUACAUUCUAAACCAAUGUGUACAGGUUAAAUAUUUUAUGAGACAUAUUUUCAUGAUAAGGCUGCCCUCUUUGAAUUCCUUGCACAAAGAGGAGCUUCAAUGUUGAUCAUUUGCUGGUUGGUAGAUAGUGGUUAAAGAACAUGCAUCUGCUGGUUCUCCUCAUUUUCCUAUCUAUACAUACACUUUUUUGCCUCCUAGAGAUUAUUUCAUUUACAUAGUACUCUGAGUAAAUGUAGAUGAGAAACACUUUACUGUAUUUUCAUGUUUAUGGCACUAGAACACAGCAUGGGACAAAAGUCAGCUUGUGAUUUUUGGUAAUGGUCUGCUUAGGUAGAAAGUCAUGCCAGGCAAAUUUUAGCAUGGACCAACACAUUAUAGCAAAUCAUUUAGAAGCUCAGGGAUUCAGUAAAGUGAAAAGAGAGGACUCCAAGAAAUACUCUGAGAUCAUUUUGGAAAUUCAGAAUUGGAUCCCAUUUGCAGUAAACCUGUGCAGAAUUCAAACAUUCCUACAUGGUUCUCAGUGUCCAUUGUAAACUAAGAUUUUUAAUCUGGUUUGUGCUGGGAAGAAGCAGGUGUUUUUAGGGACAACUACCUUCAGAUGUGGAAGUGAAGUACUUCUUUUAAUGCAAUUUCUUAGGCUUACUAGGGCUCAAAGUUUGUAGAGCAGAUAGGAGCACAAUAUUAUGCCAGAACUCUUAGAAUUGACUUUGUGAAGCCUGAAUUUGAAACAGAAUUCUUACUGAGAGACAUGGUCCUGAUACAUAGAUUUUGCCCCAGUUUUCUCCCUGACCAGCUCUGUAACUUUGAAUUAUAACAUUAUAUUUUUAAAUUAUAUUCAUCUUUUAACUUUUAGACAUUCUGUGUGAUACCUUGAUUUCCUAACCUAUAUUCUUGGCUUUACCUGUAGUUUUCUGCAUGGCAUGUAGUAUGAAAGCUCCUUAAUACCAUAGCUGGGGAAAACUUUCCUUUUCAUAUCUUCAUCAUUUGUACAAUGAGAGAUUUGAGUGAGAUGAUCUCUCCAAAUGUUUUCCAGCACUGGAACUGCAUGAGUCUCUGAUUUGUAUGUCUUUAAAGACACCACUGUGCAUCUUAAACCUAUCUGAGUUCCACAAGUCUGCCAGUAUUUUAUAGGUCUAUUUUCUUGACUAUCAUAAUAACUUAUGCCAAAGCCAUAAGCCAGGUUUUCUCUUUUCCCCUCAGACAGAAGCAGCAUAAUGUACCAGAGUGGCACACUGUGAUGUUAUAAAGCCCACAAUCCAACUUCAGUGCAGUCACGCUGAGAUGGGAAGAAUGCAGCUUUCAUUUAAACACACCUUAAUAAUGCUAGAAAGGAGCUCUAUGUUAUGUUUAAAAUAUUCUGCUGUGUUUAGCCAUAUCAGAGCAGGGGGCAGACUAGCAACUGGGUUUAUAAAGAGGAAAUGGUUUAUUUCUAUUUACAGUUAGGAUUUUGAGAGAGACUUGCUUGAGUUAUACACCAACACAUAAUGUACACCCACUGUGUGACAGGUACUCUUCCAAAUGCUUUACAUAUGUGACUUCAUUUAAUCCUCACUAGCCUUUGAACCUAAUAAAGUGACUAUUUUACGAUUAAAAACAUUGAGACUCAGAGAGGUUAAGUGGCUUGAUUAACAUGGUGUUAAAGCCAGGAUUCAAACCUGGUUGUGACCAGAAAACUCUUGGUCUUUCUGCUGUACCACACAGUCUGUCAACUCAGGAAACAGACUACACAAACACAUCAAGCUCUUUUGUCAGGAAUCAAGUACACAGAUUGAUGAAGCACUUUGAUUAAUGCAGCUAACACACCUUUCCAAAGCAUCUACAAGACUUUCCAAUUCCUAAUAAGUAUUUGAAUGUUUUCCAAUCUGCCUGAACCCGUUUCAACCCAAGGAGAUAGUAAAUAAAAGGAGCAGACUGAUGAAACACUCACACUUGAUAUGUCUUUUUUUUUGAAUGAAUGAAUCAAUGAAUAAAUGAUUGAGUGAGGUUCCACAUGAUCAAAUCUCUUGCACUAGGAAAGGAGGGAUGCUAGUUUAUAAAAGAAGCAAAGGCACAGGAAGUUAUGCACCCUUCAAAAGCACACCAAUGGGCUCGUAGAACUUAGAGAUAUAAGAGAGCUCAAUGUUCCAGGUAGGCAGGGUGAGGACUCAACUAAGAGCAUCCAGUUAGUGUCAGGACUGGUCAGGAGCACAGACAUCAUGACUCUGAGUCCAUUGCCUUUUCUUUCCUCUACUUCUCAGUCCUUCAAGACACUUUCUUAAAUUACAAACUUGUUCCCCAUCUCUCUUUCUUCAGAGAAAUCUCCCCUUAUCCAGAUUAUGUCCUGCAGGCACAUAUUCUGCCAGUGUUGGACUUGCCAGGCCUUCCAUUAAAAUUAAUUAUUGGCUGGGCGCAGUGGCUCAUGCCUGUAAUCCCAACACUUGGGAGGCCAAGGUGGCUGGAUCCCCUGAGGUCAGGAGUUUGAGACCAGCCUGGCCAACGUGGUGAAACCCCAUCUCUACUAAAAAUAAAAAAAUUAGCUGGGCGUGGUGGCAUACGCCUGUAAUCUCAGCUACUCAGGAGGCUGAGGCAAGAGAAUCACUUGAACCUGGGAGGCAGAGGUUGCAGUGAGCCAAGAUCACGCCAUUGCACUCCAGCCUGGGUGAUGAGAGAGAAACUCUAUCUAAAAAAAAAAAAUUAAUCAUGAGAAUCCUUCUAAUAGGUUCCUGGCUUUGUGUGCCAAGGUAGGGUUUCUUGGUGUGUUCUGAAGGCUUCCUUUGUAUAGGAAACCUCAGUGUGAAAAAGUGCUCAGAUUCGGGGUUCUGUGAAAGAUGCUUCCUGUCCUGGUUGGAUGUCACUUGCCAGAAGGCAGGAAAGAAAUGGCCUGUCUGUUCACCUGUUGCUGCUCCUCAUCUGGAAGUUGUGACCAGGAUCUUGUUUGAAGACCUGUCCCCAGCCCCAGUCCUGACCUCUUGCUUACCAGCUAUUGAGUGGCUAUGAAAACAUAAAGCCCCUGGAAACCAGCAAGCCACAUUUUCUGAGAUACUGUCCUGCCCUCCCUUUUUUAUUGUUUUGAAAUAUUCCUCUCACCCCCCCACGUUAAAACAUAACCAUGUGUAUUCACUCCUGAGUGACUUUCCCCCAAACUAUGAAUUUCAACUAUUUCCGAGGCAGUCGUUCAGAAUUUGAAUAUAAUUACACUCUUUGGGUGAAAAUUGUGGUUUUUGCUACAUAAAAAACUAAUGGAAAUGAUCUGCCUGUUCCUGUAGUUUACAGAUUAUAUGCUUCAGAACUGACGAUAUAUAUUUAGGCUGCUUUUCUGUGUGGCACAUUUAAAUGAAAAUGAACUCGGGGUGAGCCACCAUGGUUGCUAGGCAAUAGAGCGGGUUGAUAGAGCACGGUAUUAAACUGAACCCACAUUGGUGUUUUACUUAACAUCUAUUUGCUUAGCACCUUUGUCAUCUGUGGUGUCAUAGAAGGGAAAGGAGGAGGAGACAGGCAGAGUCUGGUUAUCUGCAGAGACUCAAACAAGUAGGAGAAAUAAUCAUCCCAAACACCAAAGUGACAUGAGCAUUUUCAAAAAUUUGAGGUUGCAGCACAGUCAACUCAUUUAAUGAAGAACAUGCAAGACCUGAAGAAAUGCAUAAGCAUAGCAGACAUAUUCAUGGAUGUGGUAGCAAGAGGAACUAAAGAGAUUCCCCAGGCUGGGUUUUGCUCUGGUGGUUCCAGAAAAAAAAAAAAAAAAAAAAUAGCCACCACGCUGGUUGAAAAUUUUAAAAAUGCGUCUAUGGGUCAUUUAAUUUCCUGGCCUAAAAUCCCAGAUUUAUCAUGAGCAAGCGGUGAUAGGCAGCAAAAGCAUUGCGGCUUCUUUACAAUUGAUAACUAAUAGAGGAACUCCAAUUGCUUUGAAACCCUGGUUUUAAUAAAAGCUGAAAGUCUCUUAUAAGAAAACAACUGGAUCACAAUAAAGCAAAACCUCGUCAGACUCUUUGGGUCCAUUCUAGCCACUUUCUGAUACAUUUAAAAGUUUGAAAAGAUGAUUAAAGGGUUAAAACUCAGCUGUGGGGAGAAUUUGGUCUCAUGAAUAAUUUGGGCAGAGAGAGGAUCCUGUGAUUUGGAUAGCCAAAGUUUUAUUGUUUAUUUUUUCCAGGAGCCAAUUAUUAUAUAUCUUUUUUCAUUGAAUCAAUAUCUCUGCAUAAUGGAAUGGUCACCUUUGAAUGUUCUCUUUUCUUAAAACAAACUUCUUAGAUAAGUUAAACACAAGAUGAUAGGAAACCUCUAUUUUCAUAAGAAUGACAAUAACAUCUACUUUGGUUUUUAUUAUAGCAAUUGAUCACUUUUUAUUAUGCCUAACAUUUUUGCCUUUCAAUAUGCCUGACAUUUCUAUAAACGUUAUAGUUCAUUUAAUUCUCCCAUGAAGUAGGUGGAGUUGUUUUCCCAUUUUUUAAGUUUUAGUUAUUUAUUUUAGCAGAGAUGGGGUCUUGCGGUAUUGUCCAGACCAGUCUCAAACUCUUGGGCUCAAGUGAUCCUCCCAACUUGGUCUCUCAAAGUGCUGGGAUUACUGGCAUAGCCACCAUGCCCAGCCCAUUUUCCCACUUUAAAGAGGCAGACUCGGAGGCAUGGAAAGUUUGAGUCAGUUGCCUAAGGUCUUAUAGGUAAUAUAAGGCACAAUCAGGUUGGGUAUUUAAGCAGUUUGAACCUGUCCUGUUCAAACUGCUUAAAUACCCAACCUGAUUGUGCCUUAUAUUACCUAUAAGUAUAUACUGAAAUUAUACUGAAAACAGUAUACUGAAAACAGUACAAUAUUUCAUAAAUACUCUUAAAAUUUCAGUAUUUAUGAAAUAUUACCUGAAUGGUGGGAAAAAAUUUCAAAGUGGUAUUCUUAAAUGGAAUACUGGGCCAUUUUUAAAAGGACCUCUUAGGGUCUACCUAGAUACAGGAUAAAUUAUGAAGACAGAAUAUUUUCUAAACAGGUAAACACCUACCUCAUAUGAGGUAUUCUAACAAAUACUUUAGCUUACUGCAUUUAAUCUUUACUGACCAUCCUUCAAGGUAGGCACUAUUGUUAUCAUGAAUUUACGGGAACAGAAACUGAGCCCCAGAGGGUUAAGCAACUCACUCUAGUUCUUCCACUUACUAAGCAGUUAGCCUAUAGCAUCUGUUGAACUCUUAGGUCAGGUAAUCUGUGCAAAUGUAGAACAGUUCCCGGAUACUGAAAGCAACUAAUCAGAAUGCUUCCCUAGAUUCACAAAUUCUAUUACAUUAUAGGAGAGGCUUUUCAAAACAGCCUUUGGAAACUCACACCAGUUCCAGAAUCUGCUGGCAAUGAAUAGUUACAUCUUUACAUCUUCAAUCAAGGACCCAAGAGUGAGGGACCCCCUCUCCUUUGACAGGGAAGCCCAUUGGUGCCUCAUUCUCCUCAUGUUUAAUUCACUCUAAGAAUCCGUUUUUUUCAGGAAGUUUCUUUUCCAGUAAUUACGAUAGGCUUUCUCCCCAACUUAUGAUUUUAGGCAAGCAACCAAACUUUCCUGAUUUUAAUUCUCUCACCUGAAAGACAGGGAACUGUGAGGUGGCCUGCCAGCUUUGCUUUCAAAAGUGUGGCAUUCAUCUUUCAUUAAUGCCAAAAGGCAAAAUUCCAAUGAUUUCUAAAAUACUUCCUCACCCUUAUCAGAUCUUAUUAGAUCACCUUGAAUCUACUUUUAAUCUUGGCCCUUCAUACAUAUGGUAGUAGUUCUUUAAAUAUGAGGGUGAAACUAAUGAAUACGUUAAGAGGGGCAGUGGGUUUCCAACUUGAGUGAAUAUGUGUGUGUUUGCUUUCACAUGUAGGUAAAUGUGUGAACCAAAAUAAACGAUGUAACAGAAAACCUUCAUAGCAGCCCAAUUAGUUCCUAGCUUAGAAUGUAAAGAUCAGACAUGAGAACUAAGUCUGCCGUGCAUUACAGACGUAGGGAGGUUUCAGUACCUGCUUCUUACUGCUCUGGUAUCAUUUAUCAGUGCAGUGUUGUCACAGGCUCAUGUCAACAUGUCAAUAAUAAUCUCAGGAGAGGAUAGCUUUUAUGUGAAAUAGGAAGGUAAACCUAGAGUCUUGGCCUUAUACAGACAACCCCCUUCUUUGGGAUGACUAGUGUUUUCAUGUUUCUUGUUUUUUCCAUGCCAGGGAGCCAUUUUAUGUGUGUGUAUUGGUAACCUCAUCAACUGUUAGCUAUUAAAGACUGGUUAAACUAAUUAUUAUUAAGAACUCUCUUUCAGAAAAUCCUGAGAUAGUUCCUUUUACUUCCCUUCACAAAGUAACUUGAUAUUGGUCCCUGAGAAAUAGAUCCACAACCUCAUCACCAAGUUCUCCAGGCCCUGAGGAAUGAUCAUGCCCCUAAAAUAAUGUUCUGAUGAAGGACUUUCUUUGGACUCAAAAUCUGCUUUGCAUUUGUGGAAUCAUCAAAUGCGAAACCUGCAAGAGGUCUUUAGAAGCCCUUUUCAAUCAAGUUAUUUUUCAUGUGAAAAAGCUAAUAGACCAGAAGUUUGUGAAUAGUUUUCCCAAAUCACACUUUUCAAAUUAGAGGCAAGGCGAGGGCAACGUGCAAGCUUUCAGCUUCGCUGUUUAGUCUCUUUCUAGUCUCUUUCUACUGCAUCACAAUGUUAGCACUCAGGCUUUCCAGGUGUCAUCUGUUUUGCUGUGGACUGGGAAACUGGGAUUGUCUCCAGCACCACUUGGAUAACAAAUGAGCACAGAAGGAGCAGAGAGCAGCAUGACAACCAAGAUACUCCAAACACUCGCACUGUUUCCUGUAAUUACCAUCCAGAGAGCAGCUCCCACUCCGUGUCAGGCAUGUCACCCCCUCACGGGGUCUCCUGCUUUCUCUCUGCCCCAGCAGCCUAGAGGGGAAAUUCAGCAUGCUGCAUUUCAAUCAAACUGUUUGAUGAGAGCUUUUGAGCCUAAUUACAUGGAAGGUUUUAUCCAGUGAAAAGAAAGAGGAAAGAGAAAGAGAGAAAUUAAAUUGAAGUAUAAAUCAGUCAAGAGCUUAGAUCCCGCGCUUGCUUUCUUUUUAAUCAAGAGUGAAAUGAGAGGAGAGUUUUAAGGAUCAUCACAAGACACCAUUAACUACCCAAGGAGCUCUUGGCUGAAGAUGGUUUGUCAUAAAAAGAAAAGUGUACAAUCUGUCCAUAAAGAGGAAGUAUCUGAGGGUCGUGCUGCAGUUUAGGAGCAUGACACUAAAAGGAAGGACGCUUGGUUUUUCCGUGAUUAUUUUAUCUUUAUUUCCCCUAGAUACCUAGCAUAUUUUCUCGCACACAUUAGGUGUUCUUGUUCUGUAUUUUAAAUCAAUGACUUGGUAAAUAACGUAGUGUGUUAACUCAGGUAAUUAUUACAUAGGAAAGGGUAUGUUAUCAACUCAUUCAAUAUUAGAUACAACACAUGAAAUCAGUAUUCAAAGUUUUGGCCAGUUUCCCUUUGUGGUUGAUGUAGUUUGGGCAUAUCCCUCUAAUAUUACUGUUAUUUAUAGAAUGCUUUACAGUGUUACAGAGAAAAUUCACGGUAAUUAUUUGAUCCACAGCACAGCCUUGUGUGGUAGGAGGACAGGUAGUAUGAUUGUUAUUUAUUCCAUUUUUUUAAGCUGAUGUAAUCAAAACCAAAGAAGCAUAAAUGACUUGAUCAGAGUCAUCCAAGUAUUAAGUGACAGAGCAAUAACUGCUACCCAGCUUCUAUUACAUCACCCUGUAUGACCUAGAAUCUUGUACAGAAUUUCUGGGUUCUUCAGUAUAAGAAGGAUAGGUAAACAGCAGAGAGGAGUGUUUGCAAAAGAAAUGCAUUGGAAUUCAUACUUUAUUAUUGAGUACUUAUGAUGAGCAAUGCAAGGCACUGGUCCAUGCUCUGAACUGGAAUGUGAAACAUGAGCUUUGUCCCCAAAGGCUUACAGUGUGGUUACAAUUCAUUAAAAUGAUACUUAGAUCUAUCCUUUCCAUCUCUAUUGCAUUUUCAACCAUAUCACCUAAACAGUUGUGACAACCUCCCUUAACAGACCUUCCUUAGCUUCUGUUUUUCCCUCCUGUCCAUGUUUCCCUCACCAUUGGAGCCAUCCAUCUGAAACACCAGUCUGAUCAUGCCGCUCUUCCAUGGGCUCUUCGUGUCAUUUCCUCUGUACUCAGAACAAAGGCUGGCCCCUUAUCUUUAUGAUCUGGCCCCUGUGUAUCCCCAACUUCACCUCCUAACAUAUUUGACUACCUUGGCCUUCAUCUUUUUCUUUUUCCUUUUUUCCCCCCUUGAAUAUAUCAAUCUUGCUACUACCAUAGUGCCUUUAUUUGAUCAGUUCCUUUUCUCUGGGAUGUUUUCAUCCAGAUUGCCGUAUGGCCACUCCUUCUUCUUAUACGUCAGGCUUCAACUUCAAUGUUAUCCCCUCAAGAGCCCUUCCUUAAUGACCCAGUCUAAAAAGCACUCUUUUUUAGAAGGAUCAAGAUUAUAUGAAAAAAUUUAAAAAAAUAAAAAAUAAAAAGCACUCUUUCAAAUGUCUCUCCAGCAUACCACCUUGUUUUGUUUUCACUGUAGCUUGAAUAUCUCUGUUACAGUUCCUUAUGUGUGUAUUGCUUCCAUUAACCCACUAGAAUGAAAGUUCUGAGAGCAGAGACCUUGCUGAUCUUGUUCAUGGCUGGACUCCCAGUACCUAAGGCAGUGACUGGCAAAGACUGAGUUUUCAUAAAUCUUGCUGAGUAAAGGGAUGGAUGAAUAAAUGGCAUAGAUGCUUCACAAAUAUGGGCUCCCACCUAGCAUUUUAACCUCAAUACUCAGUAGGCCCUUUAAAAACAUCAGUUUUAGUUUGUACUUUUCCCUUGAUUGAGAAUCUCUCCUAUUUGGUAGACUGCUACUAAUUUUUCACGUUGCAGCUGACUCCAUAAUAUCUGGUCUGCAAAGUUUUCCCUAUCUCCCACUGCACAGUGAGUUUCCCAGCCUUCUGUGUUUACUUUUUUCGCUAUAGAAGUUUUCUCAUUGAAUAACAAAAAUUAUUAAACAUAUAUUCAGUCUUCUACUGUUUUCCAGGCACUGUCCAGGGUGUCAGACUCUUAAACAUACAUCAGAUUUGGGCCUUGCCUACAAGAGGUUCACGCCUUGGUGGAAGAGCUCACUCUCAUUUUAUUAAACAUGUAACAUUGCAUUGCUGUUAUUUAUUGAUGGUGAUUGUUUUCCUCAUUAGGCUCUGCCUUUCUUAAGGGUAAGGAAUGAGUCAUUCAUUUCUAUAUUUUGAUUGGCUGACAUAGUUCUUCUUUUACAAAAGGUGCUUAAUGGCACUCAUUAAUGAAAAAAUAGAGUGAGUGGGCUGAAAAGGUAAGAACAUACAGUAUUUUAAUGCACGUUGUAGUGUGACAAACAUCAUGAGAUAAGUAGAAACUACCGUGGGGAUUUAGAGGGGAAGAUGUCACAACCAAUUAGGUCAUUAAAAAGUGCUUCAUAGCAGAAAUAAACUUUAUAUCAUGUUUUGAAGAAUUAUUUCCACAGGCAUGCAGGAGAUGGGCUGAAAUAUACUUGGGAAAAAAAAAAAAACCAGAUGUUCCAGAAUCAGUGACUCCAUUUGCUGAGUUAUGGGCUUGUAGAGCUCAGUUGUGAGAAGGGCUGGUGAAGGAGUUUGGGGCUCUUUGAUGGAGGACGUUGAGUAAUAACUAUAAUUAUAAUGGACAUCUUUGGCAUUUACAGUUUGCAGAUCAGUAAUGUAAAUACUAUAUGACUUGUCCCUUUCAAUUGCCCUGUAAUUCUUUUAUCAUGAUCACUAUUUACAAGAGAAAAAAAGGGUCAAGGCUGAGAAGUUGAUGCUUAAAUCUUAUAGGAUGGUGCUGUAUCUUUUCAAAAUGUAAAACUGGUUUUGUAAAUCCCUGGCUUAAAAAGAUAAAACAAAAGCAAAUAAAUAAAUAAAUUAAGCCUCUUUCUUCACUGUUUCCAGUGCCCUCUAAAUCAAGAUAAAAAUGUUUAAUGUGGCCUAGCAGUUCCUGCGUGAUCUGGCAUCACUAGCAUAGCACGUUUAGCCUCAUCACUCAAAGGUCCUUCUGCCUUCUUGAUUCCAGCGCCCUGGCCUUCUCCCAACCAUUCAUAUUCACCACUACAGACUUGCCUUUGCUUAUCCUAUUUAAGCAGAAUCCUCACUUCUUCCUUUGAUGGUCACCUACUCAGAACUAAGAACUCUUCUUUAGUGUAGCACCUCCUCAAGGAAAUCCCCCUGCCAUUUCUUUGAGAAAUUCAAAUUCCCAGGCCAUAGGUUCUCAUAACCUUCUAGAACUCUCUCCUGUUGCUCAUUUCACAAUUCCUUUUUAUACAUUUGGUUGUGAGAUUAUUUGAUUAAUAUCCAUUUCCUAAGUAGAUUCCACUGGGGUUAGACAGGGUUGUUAGAAAAUAAAAAUGCAAGACAGCCAAUUAAAUUUGUAUUCAGAUAAAUAACUGACUUUUUAAAAGUACAGGUAUGUCCCAUGCAAUAUUUGGAAUAUACUUAUAAUUUAAAAAUUUUGUUGUUUAUUUGAAAUUCAAAGUUAACUGGGCAUCCUAUAUUUUAUCUGGCAACCUAUAUUUUAUCUCAUCAGAGACUAUAUCUGUUUUUUUCUUCUAGCAUAAUCACUGGGGUUGUAACAAACAGGUAAUCAUCUAAUGUUGGAUGGAUAAAUAAAAUGAGUUUAAAAAAUAUUCUGGCAGCGCAUGUAGGCUGAAUUGGAAUGACAAGAGACUGAAUUUGGAAGGACUCAUUAGCAAACUUUGAAAAUCAUCAAAGGGAAAGUUAAGGACAGGGUGGUGGCAUUGAGGCUAGAUAGAUGGAGAUGUAUAGAAGGAACAUUUCCAAGUGGGGCUCAGAAUUUGCACAGGUGUUAUUGGGUAGCAACCCAGCACUGCGAGGAAGAGGCCAAAGGGCCAUUUCAAAUUAUUAGUGAUCAGGAUUAAAACCAGUAACGGAGAGAAAAAUAAAUAUAAUGCCUCUCAUUUAUAUAGUGCUUCACAACUUUUAAAGUGCUGUUUUAUGUUCCCCAUUAUGCCCCUUGGUAGGAGAGUAUUGUUUCUAAAAAGACAGCCAUUUAAUUAUCACUUUUCUUUAUAAAUUCAAUUACAUUUCCCAGUCCAUGUAGUUCAUCAGUUCAGAGAUGUUUGUCUUCAUUUCUGUCUAUUUUUUAACAGGUUUCUUUUAUUUAAGUUCCUCAUUUCUCAGUCCUGAAUCCUUUAUUUCUGAAGCACCAGGUAAUUUUGUAUUACGCAUAACAAAUCUGAAAUUUAUUUGUAUGAGCAGAUUGAUUUUAUAUCCAUCAGAUUUUCUAAAAAUGGGCUAUAACUGGCUUAUAAUGACAUGACCAGCCAGAGGCUAAUUUCUGUGGUAUUUCUUCCUGAUGCCAGAAUAGGUAGACAAGUCAGAAGCACCCACUUCAGAUAAUAAAGAUAUAAUUCCAGUUAUUCAAAUUUGUGUUGAAAGCAAAUCCUUUCACUGCUUAUUUUUCAAUUAGUGCCAAGUGUGGCUCCAUGGCUUCUAGCUACAGAAGGCCAGGUGAUCGAGCAUUCUUAACCAGAUACAUGAAUAGGGAGACCACGGUUCUGCAGUUGACAUUUCUUCAGCUGCUCUUUCAGAGGUCUUAACAUUUUUUCUCACCAGAUACUUGCCUGUGAGCUGCUAUUUGAAAGAUAAGGUGUGCUGAGUAAAUGAUUAAGCAAGUGAGACAAUAAGAAGCAACGUAAUCUCAUCAGAGACUACAUCUGUUUUUUUCUUCUAGCGUAAUCACUGGGGUUGUAACAAGCAGGUAAUCAUCUAAUGUUGGAUGAAUAAAUAAAAUGAGUUUAAAAAAUAUUCUAGAACAGGGGAGAAUUCUAGAAGGUUAUGAGAACCUAUGUUCUGGGAAUUUGAAUUUCUCAAAGAAAUGGCAGGGGGAUUUCCUUGAGGAGGUGCUACACUAAAGAAGAGUUCUUAGUUCUGAGUAGGUGACCAUCAGAGGAAGAAGUGAGGAUGCUGCUUAAAUAGGAUGAGCAAAGGCAAGUCUGUAGUAGUGAAUAUGAGUGGCUGGGAGAAGGCCAGGGGGCUGGAAUCAAGAAGGCAGAAGGACCUUUGAGUGAUGAGGCUAAACGUGCUAUGCUAGUGAUGCCAGAUCACACAGGAACUGCUAGGCCACAUUAAACAUUUUUAUCUUGAUUUAGAGGGCACUGGAAACAGUGAAGAAAGAGGCUUAUUUAUUUAUUUAUUUAUUUGCUUUUGUUUUAUCUUUUUAAGCCAGGGAUUUACAAAACCAGUUUUACAUUUUGAAAAGAUACAGCACCAUCCUAUAAGAUUUAAGCAUCAACUUCUCAGCCUUGACCCUUUUUUUCUCUUGUAAAUAGUGAUCAUGAUAAAAGAAUCACAGCCAUGUAGAGGACGAAAUGUGAGCUUUUAACUCCACAUACCUGAGUGUCACUGAUCACUCUCUCAGUAGGUCACCCAGAGGUUAGCAAACUUUUCCUGUAAAGGAAGAGAGUAAACAUUUCCAGCUUUGCAAGCAAUAUAGUCUCUGCCUCAACAACUACUCAACACUACCACUGUAAUGUCAAUGCAACUACAGACAAUAUGCAAACAAAUGAGUGUGAGUAUAUCACAGUGAAACUUUAUUUACAAAAACAAGACCACCUAGUCUGCAGACCCCUGCCCCCAGAUUUCAGCUUCCUGUUAUGAAAAUGGCCAUUAUAAAACCUAUAUGGCACAGUUGUUGUGAUUAAACAUUUUUACAUACCCAAAAAACUUAGUAAAGAAUCAGGCAUAUUAAUGAGAGUUCAGUAAAUGCUAACCUGUAUCAUGAUUAUAAGUUUUAGGGCUGCAAGGAAUCUUGGGUGUGACAGACAAUUUUCUCCUUUCAAAAGAUACCUAGAUGGAGGAUUCAAGAAGUAUAGGGACUUAACCAGGGUUACAGGAUCUAUUUUCCCGCAAUCCUAUUUGUAUACCACUUCCAGAAACCCCAAGAAAUAUGAUGGCAUGAAGCCAAGCUAUAUAUUGCGGGAUAUUUGAGCAUCCAUUCAGCAUGUAUGCAUUGAAUGUCAGCCAUGUAUAAGACAUUGUGCAGUAUAUUGCAAGUGACACAAAGAUCAAUAAAGUUCCUGCGUUGGAAAAUCUAACAGUUUAAGUCACCCUAGUAACUAUAAUGAGGUGGAAAGCGACAAGUAUCAAAGGAAUGAGUGACCCCUACGUGCCAAGCACUAUGUUGAAGUGCUUACAUGUGUUGUCUCAUAUGAUCCCCCAGCAGGUGGAUUUUUAGCAUUUCAUCCUCAAUGACAUUCAAAUGUUAAGUAAUCUGCUCUAGGUCAAAAGUUACUAAGUGAUAGAACAAAGAUUUAAACUCGUUUCUCUAAUUGCACAGUGUGCUUUCUACCAGACGCUGGGGAAAUCCUCAUACAUGAAGUAUGGUUUAGUUAGCUAUUGCUACAAAACAAACAACACUAAAAAGUUGUGUUUAAAAUGGGCAUGUUAUUUGCUUGUGAUUCUGUGGGUCAGCAGUUUAGACUUGACUCAGCUGGGUAGCUUGGAUGAUCUCACAUGAGGUCCCUCAUAUAGCUCCAGUUAUCUGGCAGAUAGACGGGGGAUGAUGAUGGUCUAAUAUGGUCUCACACACAUAUCUGCCAGUUGGUUCUGGUUAUUAGGCUGAGGAGCCUCACGUGAUAUCUCUGUGCUUUGUGACCUCUCAUUUGGCUAAUGUUGACUGCUUCACUUGGUGGUCUCAGGGCUGCCUCCCAGAGAGGUAUAUAACAGGAGCAGCAACUCUUGAGAGCUUGGAAAUCAUACAAGAACACUUUCGCUGUAUUCUGUUGGUCAAAGCAAGUCUCAGAAUCAGGCUAGAUUCAAUGGGCAGGGAAAUAGGUGACGUGUCUUAGUGGGAGGAACAGCAACAUCAUACUACAAAAGGGUGAGCGUGCAAGGAUGGGAGGGUUUCUUGCUGUGUUUGCCAACAAUUUACCAUAAAGUGAUAACUGAGUUGGACCUUCACAGAAAAUAAAGAUUUGGGAAAUAAAGACUUUGCCAGAGCAGGGAUUAUAAAGAAGAGCAUUACUUCAGAUUAGCUGAGAAUGAGGCCACACGCCUAUAUUGCAUUAUUGAGGAAAUUUCCUCUUGCCUUUGCUCCACAAGCACAUUGCUUCUACUAGUUGCAGGGACAUAAUUACCAAUUUCAUAUAUAUAAUACUUCUAACUUUUCAGAGGAUUUUUAUUUCUCCUAUAUAACGUUUAAUAUGCUAUAUAGUUUUGUUGCAUUGUUUUACUCUGCUCAUUCCUUUCCUCUCUGUAAGUUGGUGUCGUCAUUGCAACAAAGCCCAGGUUCCCAGCUCACUUCCCAAAAGACAAUCAUGUGGACUAUCUGCUGUGAUUGACUGUGGCUGAGUGUUUGCCCUGGCAGCUUUUUUGUUGCUGAAGAUGAAAGUUUGAUGGACUUUAAGAUGGAAAGGAAGGAAGAGGAGAAAUUUGAUUUCAUCGGCAGCUGUCUUACUCAUCUUCAUUAAGAUGGGUUGUGGACACUUCAAGGCCAUUCUGAACCAGUGGUCAUAAAACUAAUAGGUGCCACUCAACCUGCGCUGCUCGUAUUAUUGCCUGAGACCUGUCAUCUCGGUAGUUAUUGCAAAAGGAGAAGGAAUCUACUGUAGGGAACACAAUGGUCCUUGUGUGACAGAAGUGAAACUGAAAGAAAUAGAUUUUUCUAUUAGCUGCAAAUCAAACCCUUGCACAUCAUCCCUUGGAGGUGACAGUGCCUGAUUCUCUAAGGCAGGGUUCAAACAAAUCAUUUGGGCUUGCAGAAAAUAAUAUGAGAUUAAUAUCCAAGUGUGUGUGUGUAUGUAUUUGUGGGGUGUGUGUGUGUGUGUGCGCGCGCGUGCAUAUAUGACAACUACGUGGCUCCUCACUUGAAGUUUUGGAAUUAGCUACUAAUAUAUGUGUAUGUUUAAGGGAUGCAUUUGUGGACUUGAAGUUGAAAUAGGGAAACUGAGAUGUAUUCUGAAGAGGGAAGGAGAAGAGGGAAUCCAGUCCUGAUUAGGGGAAUAUUGAAAUAAGUAGGUGAAUAAUAUUCAGUCUCCCAGGUUUGUGGCUAUGAGCUCUUUUCUUCCAGAAGUAUUUGCUGAAGGGAGGGAAGAAAACACUCCUUUUCUUCUGACAAUCAAACUUUUCAAAUGUCAGCAUGCAUGGGUGUUUCUCUCUAUUCUUGAGGCUCCUUUUUGUUUCAGUCUAACACCUCACAUCCUGUGGGUUGUAAUAAUAAUGGUAGCAGUUACCAUUUAUUAAGCCCUUGUCAUAUGCCAGGUGCUUUACAUAUAUUACAGUGUUUGUAAUCCAUACAAGAAUUAUUACAAGAUAGAUAUCACUAUGCCCAGGUGUGUUAGUCCAUUUGUGUUGCUAUAAAGGAAUACCGGAGGCUGGGUAAUUUAUUAGAAAAAGAGGUUUAUUGGGCUCAUGGUUUUGCAGACUGUACAAGCAUGGCAUCAGCAUCUGCUUGGCUUCUGGUGAGGCCCCAGGAAGCUUUUACUCAUGGUGGAAGGUAAAGAAAGGGCAGGUACGUCACAUGGCAAGAGAGGAAGCAAGAGAGAUAGGGGAGGAGUUGUCAGGCUCUUUUUAACAAUCAGAUCUCAUGGUAACUACAGAGUGAGAGCUCAAUAUUUCAAGGAGGGCAUGAUAUGGUUCGACUCUGUGUCCCCACCCAAAUCUCAUCUUGAAUUGCAAUCCCCAUGUGCAGAGGGAGGGACCUAGUGGGAGGUGAUUGGAUCAUGAGGGCAGUUUCCCCCAUCCUGUUCUCAUGAUGGUGAGUUCUCAGGAGGUUUGAUUGUUUAAAAGUGUGACCCUUCCCCUCUGUCUCACUCUCCUGCUGCCAUGUAAGAUAUGCCUUGGUUUUCCCUCACCUUCUGCCAUGAUUGUAAGUUUCCUGAGGCUUCCCAAGACAUAUGGAACUGUGAGUCAAUUAUACCUCAUUUCUUUAUAAAUUACCCAGUCUCAGGUAGUUCUUUAUAGCAGUGUGGAAACAGACCACACAGACCACCAAGCCAUUCAUGAGGGAUCUGCCCUCAGGAUCCAAACACUUCCCUCCAAGCCCCACCUCCAAUGUUGGGGAUCACAUUUCACCAUGAAAUUUGGAGGGGACAAACAUCCAAACCGUAUCAACAGGGAACUAUAGCUCAGGGAGGUUAAGUAACUUACCCAACAACACACAGCUUAUAUGUUGCAAUGUAGGAAUCCAAACCCCCAAAGCUUGUGCCCUCCUACUGCGCUACCCUGCCUCUUCCAGGCUUGGGGCUUUAGGGAAUGCCCUUUACAAGCAGUAUAAAGACGCAUUUAGGAAUUUUUCAAUCAGCUCUUGUCUAGAUCUUCUUUGGAAAGUCUUCUUAGUUACUGGCAGGUCAAAAUACCAGCUACUUGAUCUAAUAGUGUUAUCAGCAAGAAACUAAAAAUCAUGAAGCAAUGCAGACUUUUUGAAUCAGAUAGGACUUACUAGGCCAUCUUGUGAUUCUAAUCUAACAUCUUAUCUGGCCACUUUUUCUGCCUUGUGCAGGAAGUGAGGUCUGGAUAGGUCAAAGGGCAUGACUAGAGCAUUGGAGUUAAUGGGAAUGGGGAAUGCCUUCUUUGCUUCUUGACAUUUCUCCUCCACAACACUGCACAUCCCUUGUGAAAUAAUUUACUAUUUUUUAGACAUCAUGUCAAAGACUGAAGUGAAAGCCACCCUCUUGUGAUCAACUGAGGUCAGAAGUUGGCAAAUUUUUUUGUUGGGGGUGGGGGGCUAAAGGGCCAGAUAAUAAAUAUUUUUGGCUUUUCACACCAGAAAGAUCUCCAUUGCCACUAGUCAAUUCUGCAUUUAUAACUGAGAAGCAACCACAGACAAUAAGUAAAGAAGUGGGCAGCACUGUAUCCAGUAUAAUAUUAUUUACAAAAGGCAAAGAGGGCUGGAUUUGGCUUCCCAAUCUCUGCCUUAGGCCUUUAAAGAUAUAGCUUCCCUGGGGAAAUCUCUACACUUUGAGAUUUAUACUCCAGUACUAAUAACAUAGUAAGAGAAUAGUAAUGGUGGUGGUAAUAAUAGCAGUAGUGGCAUCAGCAGCAACAACAAUGGCACCUUUUAACAUUUGCUUAAUACGUUAAGGUUUACAAAGUCUUUUUACAAUUAUCAUCUCACAUAAACCUUUUAAAUUCCUACUCAAGAACUACACAAGCAAGGGAAACGUGCUAGCUGAGCAGUGUGGUACAAUGAAAAGAGAAUGGGAUAUACUGCAUUUAGUCAUAGAGAUUGGUGGUGUGGGAUGAAAAUGCCUAGAGAGUAGGUGUGUGUCUCCUGGCCCCAUUAGGGGACAGUUCAUUCAGCAGCAGGGUGAGUGUCGGAGUUCCCAAAUACAUGGCUGCUAAUCAGUUCCCUCACUCUGUAGGCAUUUUGCAUUUAAAGCUGUCCAGAAAAGAGAGGCUUGGUCUAAGAGGUUGUGGUGUAAGAAAAUCUCUACAUUUCCACCCAUUGCCUUUUGGGAUCCCUGUAUGUUAGUGAGCAACAGUAAAAAGUGACCUGUGUUAAAAAGGUAAUGGAAGCAUGGUACAAUUUUAGAGUUCAUUUGAGCAAACAGAGAUUCAUGAAUUGGGCAGCUCCAAACCAGAAGUGGUAUGGGGAUUCCAAUGAAGAAGUAUGAGAACUAAGCUAUUAUAAAGAGAAUGCAGACCUAAUACAAAUAAAAUAUUUGAUUGAUUACAGUUAUAAAGCUGUCUUUGCUGGGAAAUUCCUAGUUAUGUAAUUAUAAGUGUGAUUGGUUGAGCUUAAGUUCUGUUUGUCAUUAUUAUAGGCAUUUACAAGAAAUAGCUCAAGUUAAGUUCUGCUGAUGUUUGCAAUUCAAGCAAGUCUAAGGCCACUUAUGAGGCCUAACUGGCUCUGUCUGCUCAGGAAUUCUUGCACCAUUGAAGCAUUCUUCAAGGUCUCCAUUUUAAUUUAGUUUAACACCUCUUAACACCACGCCUUCAAUAACAUUUAUUUAACACAGGUCUUUGCUUCGUGCUAAAGGCAAACAUGUAUAUGAGACUCUGUCCCUAAAGCAUCUGUAACUCUCCAAAGACAUACCCCUAGGAACAUCCUGAAGAUUCUGAAUCUUGCAGCCUGCCAGAAGCACAGCAGUGCUGUUGGCAUCUCUAGACCACUGUCUGUGAUUGACUUCUGGCUCUGCUACUUGUCAGCUAUGUAACCUUGGGCAAGUUUCUUUUUCUAGUCUCUUUGUCAUGUUCUUCAUCUGUAAAAUGGGUAUUUUUUAAACUACCCAUUUAUGUAGUCUGUGAUGAUUUAAGAGCUAAUAUGGUAUGUGUAGUGGUUAUUUAUGAGCUAAUAUGUGUAUAUUAGCUUAAUGCCUAGCAUUCGUAAAUACUCAGAUAAAUGCCAGUCAUUAUUAUUAUCAUAAUUGCUGGUGAAAUUAACAUACAAAGUCCUGUGCAAACCUUAAUUUUCUCACUAUGGACUUCAUACAUUUUCAGAAUCCUAGCUACUUGGUUCUCAGAACAUUCUUCUAACACCUAGAGAUUCCACAGCCAAUGUAUCUUUGGGAACUUAUUGACUAACACAGAGCUAAAUGAAGUAAGCAGCAUUUGUACCCUGACAUUUUACAGAUGGAAGGAAUCAUAGAGGUCAUCUCAGCCAGAAACACAUUUUCAAGAUAGGGAACUGAGGUUCAUAGAAAGUAAAUGACUUUGCCAAAGUAAUACACUCAGGACAGAAUGAGGGCUAGAACCCCGGGGAUUAGUUUUUUUCCUCUGGCCUCAAAACUCUUCCUUCUGCCAUUUUUAACUUACCAAUUUCACCUAAUACCUUCCACAUAUUUUUGUGACUGUUUCAAAGAUUCCACUAGCUACCAUAGAAGAAGUAAUGAACUAACCUUAUAAUUCCAUCCCAGUGGCUUCACCUCACCUGCCCUCAGUUUCCUCACCUGUCCAGUGAGGCAAACUUACAUUGGAAGAUCCCUAAGGUGGUUCCCAGUUCAGAUAAGAUACAAUCCUAACAAAUAAAGUGGGGUCGGAGUGGAAUGUUCUUGAAAUCCUGGUAUCAAUGGGACUGGGAUAUUACUCUAAAUCUAUGGAAACUUCAAGAACAAUAUAUUUGUUUUAACCUGAAAAGACAGUUGCGUUCCAGUGUGAAAUAGCCACCAGGCUGGAUGAAAAUGUGUGAUGUGAUUCCAUCAUUGAAAUGAGCAUGUGUUGACCGUAAGUUCUUCUCUUUCUCUCUGGGGACAUUUGCAGUGCUGCAGAGCUUCUCUGUGAGCUGGGAUGCUCUGUCAGCUUAAAUCCUUUCCAGAGUGAUAAAUAUACAUUGAUUUUAUUUGAUUUGGCCCAUAGGUGGGGGAUAAAAAACAAGACAUCACAGCCACACUAUACUGUAUAUUCAUUCCCCCUGAAGACAACGCACACAUCCUUGUUGAAGUCUCCUCAUUUAGACAACUCUUCCUUUUUAUGCUUCAUUAUAAUGCCACUUUCAUGUCCCUUCCCCUCAACAUCGUGCACCUUGUUCCACAUCCAGCACUCUGUGUUUUUAAAUUAAGGGAAAUGCCAUUUAAAUAUGGUUUUUCUCUUUGUAAUAUACUCACCUAUAAAAAGUCUUUAAAGGUAAUGCUAACUGCUUUGGCAGAAAUUCAGGCAUAUAUAUAGUUAUUUUAAUACAAGGCUAUUUGUUUGCUUGACUGUUUUUAAUGACUACUCAUUAACACCAUGAUCUUAUCCUCAUUUCCUCUGCACAGAGCUUGAGAGGUGCUGUUCACAGCCCCUGCUGCCUGCUUUCUGAGGUCUCCAAGAUGCUAGCUUUCUACUUUUCCACUCAGCCCUGACACCUAGUUCAUCAUUUGAGAUAAGCCCCAGUUGUCGGCAAAUUGCAAUCUCAUCAGGUCUGCAAGAUAGCAUCUUGUUUGACUCUUUUCAACACCUUCCAUUAACACUUUGGGACUAGGUCUUUGGGAAGAGCCAGGCCUCACCACAUGGGCGAUUGUGGUUGAUGAACAGAUUCUAGUUUUCCCCAUUAUUGACUUCAUUAAACUUGACAGCCUUUUUAGUCUCCAGAUAGGGUGAACCUUUUUUCACUGACCCUUAUUAAGAGCUGUCUCCUUAAGAAGGGUCAUUCGAGAAGGGAUAGUGGGGGCCACUCCUUCUACUUCCAGGAAAUAGCUGAUUUUGGUAAACAACUUUGAUUUAGUUUUUAGAGUUCUUUCACCUCCCUAAUUAGGACAGCCACAAUUUAUCAAAUGUUAGCAAUGCACCAAAGCCUAAGAAUGAUCUUAUUUCUUCCUCCUUAUUCAUGGGUUUUAUUACUACUAUCCUAAUUUCCUCAUAUGGAAAUGAGCCUCAAAAACAUUAAAUAAGUUACUCUAGGUCCCAUAUCAAUAAAUUGACAGAGCUGGAAUUGGAAUCAACUUAAGUCUGACUUCAGAGCUUAAGGUUUUAACCAUCAUAUUCUACCACCUUCAUAAUACCUUUAGUUACUUUAUUAUAUUUUAGGUUUACCCCUUGUUAUUGGUCUUCAAAAUCCAUGAGUUCAUUCUGAUUUUAUGAGGUGUAUUGGUAAUCUAUUGUUUCAUGAAAACUUACCCCAAAACUUAGCAGAUUAAAGCAAUAAACACCUAUUAUCUCAUUCAGGCUUUGUGGGUCAAAAAUUCAGGAGCAGCCUAGCUGGGCUCAGGGUCUCUUAUGAAAUUGUAGUCAAGAUAUUGGCCCAGGCUGCAGUCAGUCACCUGAAGCCUUGACUGGGCUGGAAGAUGUACUUCCAAGUUUCACUCACAUGCCUGGCAAGUUACUACUCAUUAUUGGUAGAAGGCUUUCGUUCUCCAGCAAUGUCUGAUCCUAAUUUUAUUUUACCAUAGAUUAGUGCAGUCUUCACAUGAGGUUUCAUUUCACCUCUCUUUCUCUCUCUCUCUCUUUCUCUCUUUCUUUAUUUUUUUUCUCUCUCUCUCUCUUUUCCCCUGGCAGUCUUCUUUUGGUCAAGCCAUUUGUAUUAGUUUGCUAGGUUUGCCAUAUGAAAGUACCAGUGGCUUAAACAACAGAAAUUUAUUACAGUUGUGGAAACUAAAAGUCCGAGAUCAAGGUGUCAUGGAGCAUUGUUUUCUCUGAGGCCUCUGUCUUUGGUUUAUAAAUGGUGAUCUUGUCUCUCUGUCUUCACAUGGACUUUCUUCUGUCUCUGUGUCCUAAUCACCUCUUCAUAUAAGGAUACUAGUCAUGAUUGAGGCUCAUGCAUCUGAGCUCAUUUUCACUUACUCACCUCUUUAAAGGCCCUGUCUUCUAAUACAGUCACAUUCUGAGGGGUGUUAGGACUUAGGGGGUUAGGACUUCAACAUAUGAAUGUUGAAAUGAAGUAAUUUGGCUCAUAAUACCAUCUUUGUCCUUUGUAUGUCUUGAGAAUUUCCUUUUACACUGUCUUACCUAUUACUUAUGUCAUUUCUCCAUUCUUAACCUCUCUUUGCCUCAAGUUCCCAAAGCUAUUGUGCAGCCAACUUUAAGAGUUAACUGCCUGCCUUUCUGAUUGCUCGUUACACUUGAAGGACUUAGGAUGCUAUACCUGAAGGUCUUAGAGAGUUAGACUGGUCCUCCAAGCUUAUGAAUUUUCUAGAAACUUUUUAACUUGCAUAUGGUAUUCUCCUGAAGAAGCUGUGGCUAAAGUCAGAUAUAUUUUUAUAAACUAUUCUUUGAUCAUGUAUGAGUGCCAAAAAAAGGAGUCUUUAAUUACUUUGAGGGAGGGGUCUGUGCAUCUUUCUUAACCCUUUUCCUGGCUGCCCUGUAGAUAUUCCAGAAAGAUUUGAUGUCUUGUGGAAUGGUCUGAGAACCAGAUGGAAGCUAGAUGAAGAACAAAAUCAAAAGUGUCUCUCUUGUCUUGCAUGAUAGAAACUAAUAUCACUAAGAACGCAAUUGAGAGCAAAUUAUUAAGAAUAUGCACUGAAUGUGUACAACAGCCAGUGUUUGUUCCUCAUCAGCACAGGGAAGCAUUCUUUUUUUUUUUUUUUUUUGUGAGUAAUUUUAUUUUAUUUUAUUUUAUUUUUUUUUAUUUUAUUUAUUUAUUUAUUUAUUUAUUUUUUAAUUUUUUUUUUAUUAUACUCUAAGUUUUAGGGUACAUGUGCACAUUGUGCAGGUUAGUUACAUAUGUAUACAUGUGCCAUGCUGGUGCGCUGCACCCACUAACGUGUCAUCUAGCAUUAGGUAUAUCUCCCAAUGCUAUCCCUCCCCCCUCCCCCGACCCCACCACAGUCCCCAGAGUGUGAUAUUCCCCUUCCUGUGUCCAUGUGAUCUCAUUGUUCAAUUCCCACCUAUGAGUGAGAAUAUGCGGUGUUUGGUUUUUUGUUCUUGCGAUAGUUUACUGAGAAUGAUGGUUUCCAAUUUCAUCCAUGUCCCUACAAAGGACAUGAACUCAUCAUUUUUUAUGGCUGCAUAGUAUUCCAUGGUGUAUAUGUGCCACAUUUUCUUAAUCCAGUCUAUCAUUGUUGGACAUUUGGGUUGGUUCCAAGUCUUUGCUAUUGUGAAUAGUGCCGCAAUAAACAUACGUGUGCAUGUGGCUUUAUAGCAGCAUGAUUUAUAGUCCUUUGGGUAUAUACCCAGUAAUGGGAUGGCUGGGUCAAAUGGUAUUUCUAGUUCUAGAUCCCUGAGGAAUCGCCACACUGACUUCCACAAUGGUUGAACUAGUUUACAGUCCCACCAACAGUGUAAAAGUGUUCCUAUUUCUCCACAUCCUCUCCAGCACCUGUUGUUUCCUGACUUUUUAAUGAUUGCCAUUCUAACUGGUGUGAGAUGAUAUCUCAUAGUGGUUUUGAUUUGCAUUUCUCUGAUGGCCAUUGAUGAUGAGCAUUUCUUCAUGUGUUUUUUGGCUGCAUAAAUGUCUUCUUUUGAGAAGUGUCUGUUCAUGUCCUUCACCCACUUUUUGAUGGGGUUGUUUGAUUUUUUCUUGUAAAUUUGUUUGAGUUCAUUGUAGAUUCUGGAUAUUAGCCCUUUGUCAGAUGAGUAGGUUGUGAAAAUUUUCUCCCAUGUUGUAGGUUGCCUGUUCACUCUGAUGGUAGUUUCUUUUGCUGUGCAGAAGCUCUUUAGUUUAAUUAGAUCCCAUUUGUCAAUUUUGGCUUUUGUUGCCAUUGCUUUUGGUGUUUUGGACAUGAAGUCCUUGCCCACGCCUAUGUCCUGAAUGGUAAUGCCUAGGUUUUCUUCUAAGGUUUUUAUGGUUUUAGGUCUAACGUUUAAAUCUUUAAUCCAUCUUGAAUUGAUUUUUGUAUAAGGUGUAAGGAAGGGAUCCAGUUUCAGCUUUCUACAUAUGGCUAGCCAGUUUUCCCAGCACCAUUUGUUAAAUAGGGAAUCCUUUCCCCAUUGCUUGUUUUUCUCAGGUUUGUCAAAGAUCAGAUAGUUGUAGAUAUGUGGCAUUAUUUCUGAGGGCUCUGUUCUGUUCCAUUGAUCUAUAUCUCUGUUUUGGUAUCAGUACCAUGCUGUUUUGGUUACUGUAGCCUUGUAGUAUAGUUUGAAGUCAGGUAGUGUGAUGCCUCCAGCUUUGUUCUUUUGGCUUAGGAUUGACUUGGCGAUGCGGGCUCUUUUUUGGUUCCAUAUGAACUUUAAAGUAGUUUUUUCCAAUUCUGUGAAGAAAGUCAUUGGUAGCUUGAUGGGGAUGGCAUUGAAUCUGUAAAUUACCUUGGGCAGUAUGGCCAUUUUCACGAUAUUGAUUCUUCCUACCCAUGAGCAUGGAAUGUUCUUCCAUUUGUUUGUGUCCUCUUUUAUUUCCUUGAGCAGUGGUUUGUAGUUCUCCUUGAAGAGGUCCUUCACAUCCCUUGUAAGUUGGAUUCCUAGGUAUUUUAUUCUCUUUGAAGCAAUUGUGAAUGGGAGUUCACUCAUGAUUUGGCUCUCUGUUUGUCUGUUAUUGGUGUAUAAGAAUGCUUGUGAUUUUUGUACAUUGAUUUUGUAUCCUGAGACUUUGCUGAAGUUGCUUAUCAGCUGAAGGAGAUUUUGGGCUGAGACGAUGGGGUUUUCUAGAUAAACAAUCAUGUCGUCUGCAAACAGGGACAAUUUGACUUCCUCUUUUCCUAAUUGAAUACCCUUUAUUUCCUUCUCCUGCCUGAUUGCCCUGGCCAGAACUUCCAACACUAUGUUGAAUAGGAGCGGUGACAGAGGGCAUCCCUGUCUUGUACCAGUUUUCAAAGGGAAUGCUUCCAGUUUUUGCCCAUUCAGUAUGAUAUUGGCUGUGGGUUUGUCAUAGAUAGCUCUUAUUAUUUUGAAAUACGUCCCAUCAAUACCUAAUUUAUUGAGAGUUUUUAGCAUGAAGGGUUGUUGAAUUUUGUCAAAGGCUUUUUCUGCAUCUAUUGAGAUAAUCAUGUGGUUUUUGUCUUUGGCUCUGUUUAUAUGCUGGAUUACAUUUAUUGAUUUGCGUAUAUUGAACCAGCCUUGCAUCCCAGGGAUGAAGCCCACUUGAUCAUGGUGGAUAAGCUUUUUGAUGUGCUGCUGGAUUCGGUUUGCCAGUAUUUUAUUGAGGAUUUUUGCAUCAAUGUUCAUCAAGGAUAUUGGUCUAAAAUUCUCUUUUUUGGUUGUGUCUCUGCCCGGCUUUGGUAUCAGAAUGAUGCUGGCCUCAUAAAAUGAGUUAGGGAGGAUUCCCUCUUUUUCUAUUGAUUGGAAUAGUUUCAGAAGGAAUGGUACCAGUUCCUCCUUGUACCUCUGGUAGAAUUCGGCUGUGAAUCCAUCUGGUCCUGGACUCUUUUUGGUUGGUAAACUAUUGAUUAUUGCCACAAUUUCAGAGCCUGAUAUUGGUCUCUUCAGAAAUUCAACUUCUUCCUGGUUUAGUCUUGGGAGAGUGUAUGUGUCGAGGAAUGUAUCCAUUUCUUCUAGAUUUUCUAGUUUAUUUGCGUAGAGGUGUUUGUAGUAUUCUCUGAUGGUAGUUUGUAUUUCUGUGGGAUCGGUGGUGAUAUCCCCUUUAUCAUUUUUUAUUGUGUCUAUUUGAUUCUUCUCUCUUUUUUUCUUUAUUAGUCUUGCUAGCGGUCUAUCAAUUUUGUUGAUCCUUUCAAAAAACCAGCUCCUGGAUUCAUUGAUUUUUUGAAGGGUUUUUUGUGUCUCUAUUUCCUUCAGUUCUGCUCUGAUUUUAGUUAUUUCUUGCCUUCUGCUAGCUUUUGAAUGUGUUUGCUCUUGCUUUUCUAGUUCUUUUAAUUGUGAUGUUAGGGUGUCAAUUUUGGAUCUUUCCUGCUUUCUCUUGUAGGCAUUUAGUGCUAUAAAUUUCCCUCUACACACUGCUUUGAAUGUGUCCCAGAGAUUCUGGUAUGUGGUGUCUUUGUUCUCGUUGGUUUCAAAGAACAUCUUUAUUUCUGCCUUCAUUUCGUUAUGUACCCAGUAGUCAUUCAGGAGCAGGUUGUUCAGUUUCCAUGUAGUUGAGCGGCUUUGAGUGAGAUUCUUAAUCCUGAGUUCUAGUUUGAUUGCACUGUGGUCUGAGAGAUAGUUUGUUAUAAUCUCUGUUCUUUUACAUUUGCUGAGGAGAGCUUUACUUCCAACUAUGUGGUCAAUUUUGGAAUAGGUGUGGUGUGGUGCUGAAAAAAAUGUAUAUUCUGUUGAUUUGGGGUGGUGAGUUCUGUAGAUGUCUAUUAGGUCUGCUUGGUGCAGAGCUGAGUUCAAUUCCUGGGUAUCCUUGUUGACUUUCUGUCUCGUUGAUCUGUCUAAUGUUGACAGUGGGGUGUUAAAGUCUCCCAUUAUUAAUGUGUGGGAGUCUAAGUCUCUUUGUUGGUCACUCAGGACUUGCUUUAUGAAUCUGGGUGCUCCUGUAUUGGGUGCAUAAAUAUUUAGGAUAGUUAGCUCCUCUUGUUGAAUUGAUCCCUUUACCAUUAUGUAAUGGCCUUCUUUGUCUCUUUUGAUCUUUGUUGGUUUAAAGUCUGUUUUAUCAGAGACUAGGAUUGCAACCCCUGCCUUUUUUUGUUUUCCAUUGGCUUGGUAGAUCUUCCUCCAUCCUUUUAUUUUGAGCCUAUGUGUGUCUCUGCACGUGAGAUGGGUUUCCUGAAUACAGCACACUGAUGGGUCUUGACUCUUUAUCCAACUUGCCAGUCUGUGUCUUUUAAUUGCAGAAUUUAGUCCAUUUAUAUUUAAAGUUAAUAUUGUUAUGUGUGAAUUUGAUCCUGUCAUUAUGAUGUUAGCUGGUGAUUUUGCUCAUUAGUUGAUGCAGUUUCUUCCUAGUCUCGAUGGUCUUUACAUUUUGGCAUGAUUUUGCAGCGGCUGGUACCGGUUGUUCCUUUCCAUGUUUAGUGCUUCCUUCAGGAGCUCUUUUAGGGCAGGCCUGGUGGUGACAAAAUCUCUCAGCAUUUGCUUGUCUAUAAAGUAUUUUAUUUCUCCUUCACUUAUGAAGCUUAGUUUGGCUGGAUAUGAAAUUCUGGGUUGAAAAUUCUUUUCUUUAAGAAUGUUGAAUAUUGGCCCCCACUCUCUUCUGGCUUGUAGGGUUUCUGCCGAGAGAUCCGCUGUUAGUCUGAUGGGCUUUCCUUUGAGGGUAACCCGACCUUUCUCUCUGGCUGCCCUUAACAUUUUUUCCUUCAUUUCAACUUUGGUGAAUCUGACAAUUAUGUGUCUUGGAGUUGCUCUUCUCGAGGAGUAUCUUUGUGGCGUUCUCUGUAUUUCCUGAAUCUGAACGUUGGCCUGCCUUGCUAGAUUGGGGAAGUUUUCCUGGAUAAUAUCCUGCAGAGUGUUUUCCAACUUGGUUCCAUUCUCCACAUCACUUUCAGGUACACCAAUCAGAUGUAGAUUUGGUCUUUUCACAUAGUCCCAUAUUUCUUGGAGGCUUUGCUCAUUUCUUUUUAUUCUUUUUUCUCUAAACUUCCCUUCUCGCUUCAUUUCAUUCAUUUCAUCUUCCAUUGCUGAUACCCUUUCUUCCAGUUGAUCGCAUCGGCUCCUGAGGCUUCUGCAUUCUUCACGUAGUUCUGGAGCCUUGGUUUUCAGCUCCAUCAGCUCCUUUAAGCACUUCUCUGUAUUGGUUAUUCUAGUUAUACAUUCUUCUAAAUUUUUUUCAAAGUUUUCAACUUCUUUGCCUUUGGUUUGAAUGUCCUCCCGUAGCUCAGAGUAAUUUGAUCGUCUGAAGCCUUCUUCUCUCAGCUCGUCAAAAUCAUUCUCCAUCCAGCUUUGUUCUGUUGCUGGUGAGGAACUGCGUUCCUUUGGAGGAGGAGAGGCGCUCUGCGUUUUAGAGUUUCCAGUUUUUCUGUUCUGUUUUUUCCCCAUCUUUGCCAAGAUGGCCGAAUAGGAACAGCUCCGGUCUACAGCUCCCAGCGUGAGCGACGCAGAAGACGGGUGAUUUCUGCAUUUCCAUCUGAGGUACCGGGUUCAUCUCACUAGGGAGUGCCAGACAGUGGGCGCAGGCCAGUGUGUGCGCGCACCGUGCGCGAGCCGAAGCAGGGCGAGGCAUUGCCUCACCUGGGAAGCGCAAGGGGUCAGGGAGUUCCCUUUCCGAGUCAAAGAAAGGGGUGACGGACGCACCUGGAAAAUCGGGUCACUCCCACCCGAAUAUUGCGCUUUUCAGACCGGCUUAAGAAACGGCGCACCACGAGACUAUAUCCCACACCUGGCUCAGAGGGUCCUACGCCCACGGAAUCUCGCUGAUUGCUAGCACAGCAGUCUGAGAUCAAACUGCAAGGCGGCAACGAGGCUGGGGGAGGGGCGCCCGCCAUUGCCCAGGCUUGCUUAGGUAAACAAAGCAGCCGGGAAGCUCGAACUGGGUGGAGCCCACCACAGCUCAAGGAGGCCUGCCUGCCUCUGUAGGCUCCACCUCUGGGGGCAGGGCACAGACAAACAAAAAGACAGCAGUAACCUCUGCAGACUUAAGUGUCCCUGUCUGACAGCUUUGAAGAGAGCAGUGGUUCUCCCAGCACGCAGCUGGAGAUCUGAGGACGGGCAGACUGCCUCCUCAAGUGGGUCCCUGACCCCUGACCCCCAAGCAGCCUAACUGGGAGGCACCCCCCAGCAGGGGUACACUGACACCUCACACGGCAGGGUAUUCCAACAGACCUGCAGCUGAGGGUCCUGUCUGUUAGAAGGAAAACUAACAACCAGAAAGGACAUCUACACUGAAAACCCAUCUGUACAUCACCAUCAUCAAAGACCAAAAGUAGCACAGGGAAGCAUUCUAAGCUUUUGCCAGGACGCCUGCUUAUUAUAUGCUAUGGUCUGUCCAAAUCUUCUGUGGCUGCCACUACAGCCUGAUUUCCCUUGGAAACUUGGCAGCCCGUGAGUUACGAUGGAAUUCCCAGGUGAUAAUGUAUCUAAUUUCCCUCAUUGUACUUCUUUUAUCCUGUAAUGUGCUGUUGAUUCCCACGGCUGAGCUGUGAUGGAGAAUAGCCAUUAUUAUUGUAAUGGCAUUAUUCAGUCCAUUAAGACUUAAAACAUACCUGGUAAAAAUAGUGAAAGCUUACAAGUCUUCAUAGCAAUCUCAAAGACUAAUAACUUAGUUGUUAGUCUUUUCCUCAAGUAAACUUUGACAGGUGUUUGGGAAUAAUUCUUUCCUGGGCUGAUAGUAUUUGAUUUGUACUAUAUAUUGUUCUAAGUAAAUGCAGGACCAAUGCUCCAUCCUAUUCGAAAAAAGAAAAGGGGUCUCUGUAGAGAAACUAUUAAAAAAGUUUAAACAGCCUUUACAGAAACGUGGUUUGGUGGCAAAGAAAGGGAAACCACCACCCCUUCCAAAGCUCACCAGGAGAAAAGUGAGAAAUAAAAUAUCAAAAUGAAAUUGACUCCACACAAAGAUAUCUGAUCACCAGACAAAACAAGUACCAAAGUGCAGAAAAAUAUUACAAUAAAUAACAUCAGAUUCUUUAUUCAAGCCAGGCAAAACUUAUGUAGUUUUUCCUAACCAGGUUAAUUAUUUUCCUCAUCUUCUUUUCCUUUAAUAUAAAAAAGGGAUAUAAGAAAGCAAGCCUGAGUAUAUUCUUGGUUGCUCUGUUUCUUGUGUUAGCCUAGCCAGAACGAGCUACAAUAGAAAGAAGUUAUACUUUAGAAAACAAUCUAUUUAAUAUAAUUCAAUGCUACACAAAGCUUUAUUUCUUAAUAUGGACAAUUAUUUGCUACUGGAAAGAAAGCAGAGCGAGAUAUGGCCCUUUGGGGAGAUGGUUAAAUAAGAAAUACAUUUCCAGAUGAUGUCACAUGUAAAUAGCACUCCGAAAUCACUAGGCAUCAAAAUUAAUCAGGCUGAAUCCAUUGCUUUGUAAGGUGUAAAUCGCUAGCCUUACUUAACCUUACUUCAGUGCUGGGACUCCCGAAUCGCGAGGAAGGUAUGAUUCUUAUUUCUUCACACACACACAGACUGAGUGUUCUCAAGACAGGAACAUGAUUGAGAAUGCUGGAAAAAACAUUACAUUAAUCUACAUUGUAAGAGUACCAUGCAAACAUUUGCUUGUUUCCAACACCUUGUAAAUGUAUCUCGUUGUUGACUCAAAAUGAACAUUUGGUGCAGAUACUGAGAAAAAAGAAUGUACUUAGAACAGGGAUUUCAUUACUUCUCUUAUAGGUCUCAGCUGUGGAGAUUGUUUAGCCAACAAGAAACCCAAUCUCUGUUAGGUAUCUUGUCUGAGAUGAUAUUAAAAAUAUUCAACAACCAGUAGGAAAUGGAACCAAUGAAAAUGACUCAGGUCCCCUGCUGAGACUGGCAUUGACCUGUUAGUUGUUGAAUUGUGGAAAGAGGGGAAAGGGACCGGAUGAUCGGUGGUAAGGGUAUGUUUGAAGCAGUGACAUUCAUCAUCUAUUUAUGCAAGUAUUUUAACAUUUUAAUAAUUGAUACAGUUAUCUGGGUGCAUGCCAGUUGACAACUUGCCCUGCAUAUUGAUAAUUUUACCAUGCAGACUCCACUCCUCAGGUAACUCUUGUUCUAUUACACUGGACUUUAUCAUCAUGUAAUCUGUCCUGUCCCUCUCUCUCUCUCUCUCUCUCUCUCUCUCUCUCUAUUGAAUUCUGGGGGUGUAGUAGUCCAUUGUUUAGAGGGAAUUUAGAAGUUUUCCUAUAUUAGGAAGUGUAUUCAUUUCCUAGGAAUGCCAUAACAAAGAAUUACAAACUGAGAGGCUUACAACAAUACAAAGUUAUCAUAUCAUGGCUCUGGAGGUGAAAAGUCUGAAAUAAAAGUGUUGGUGGGGCUGGACACGGUGGCUCACACCUGUAAUCCCAGCACUUUGGGAGGCUGAGGCAGGCAGAUCACUUGAGGUCAGGAGUUCGAGACCAGCCUGGCUGACGUGGUGAAACCCUGUCUUUACUAAAAGUACAAAAAAUUAGCUGGGCGUGGUGGUGGGUGCCUGUAAUCCCAGCUACUGAGGAGGCUGAGGCAGGAUAAUUGCUUGAACCCGGGAGGUGGAGGUUGCAGUGAGCUGAGAUCGUGCCACUGCACUCCAGCCUGGGUGACAAGAGCGAGGCUACUUCUCAAAAAAGAAAAAAAAAGUGUUGGCGGGGCCAAGAUCUCUCUGGAGGCUCUCAGGGAGGAUCCUUCCUUGCCUCUUUCUAACCUCUUUUGAUUUGCUGACAAUCUUUGGCAUUCUUUGGUUUGCAGCUGCAGCACUUUGAUCACGGCCUUGUUGUCACAUGGCAUUCUCACCUUUAGUGCCUGUGUGUCUUCCCCUCUUCACAUAAGGAUGCAAGUCAUAUUGGAUGACUUAUCCUACUAUCCUACUAUGUCUAUCCUACUCCAAUAUGACCUUAUCUUAGCUGAUUACAUCUGUAGUGACCCUAUUUCCAAAUAAGGUCACACUCCGAGGUACUGGGGGGUUAGGAUUUCAUCAUAUCUUUUGGGAGAGACACAAUUCAACUCAGGACAGGAAGGAAAAGCCCCGGCAACCGAAUUGUAUUGUUCUGCUAGAUGAUGACAAGUCAUAAUGUAGAGAAGUUGCUCCAAAGUGGGAUACAUACAUUGGAGGGCAGCAUAGAAUGAAAGUUUUAGAACAUCUAUUUAUAUUUAUUUUAAUCGUAUUCCUUUAUAUUUUUGUUAUAGUCUGUUUCAUAGCACAUUUAGUGUAUAAAUAUAAUAAUACAUGUCUACGUGUUAAAAAUGAAUGAAAAUACCUACAUUGGGAGUGGGCUGAAUCCACAGAAAGUUUUACUGAUGGUGGUUCAGGGAAUGUAAGCAAAAGGAUUUCAAACCAAUGUAAGAGCAUGAAAUAUUAAUGACAUGUUUCAGAUAAAAAUCUCUGUGUAGGUUUUUCAUAGCCCCAAUUCAAGUUAGACUGGGCAAGAAAUGAGAUUAUUUAGGCAAAAAAAGGGAGGAGCACUAAAUUCAUCCACAAUUUUAAAAGUAUCUUCUUUCAGGAGGCUUUUGGACAGUAACAUUUCCAAAAAAAUAUAGUGUUUUAUGCCACAGAGAAUCAAGUUGCAUUGUGUAUACUAAAUGGUCAAGCAUUUUCAAGAACAUGACAAAAUAAAAACAUACAAAUUUAUAUCUCAAAAGGAAAGUAUCUUCUUUCAUGUCAGAUCAUCAGCACAGAAGCCCUCGAUGCAUGCAAAGGCAAGCACAGGCUCUGCAGAUGAGAUGUGAAGAAGCAAUUAGGGAAGGAAGGAAGGGACAGUUUGGAUGCUGGGUCCUGACCCAGAAACAACACGGAGUAGAUCUCGGAUUUGCUUUUUCUUAGGUCCAAUGCUAGGACGAUUACUUUAUCUGUGGUGAGGAAUGUUAUAAAAAACCAUUGUUGGAAUGCCACCAAAAUACUUCUUUCCCUUUUAGCAUCAUCACCAAGAUUCUAGAACGAAGUAAUAACAGUUGCCAACCUUGAGCCAUUCUCCAGCUGUUGUCAUGUUUCAGUCAGACAGGAAGUGUUGGCGAGUAAUAUGGGAUUUAUUGGGAGUGUUCCUUUACGUGAGUCCAGGAAAUAAGAACUAGAGAUGAGCUUGGGUGCCUCUGCUUCUUUUAUUUCUAUGGAACAUUCUUUGGGGUCAGUUUUGAAUAAUCACUGGGCAUUAUCGGAUUUCUAUCACUAUUUUUUGCAUGUUCUUGUGAUUAUUCACCAGGGAACAUUUUAUAAUACUCAUAUUAAAUUUUUAUUUCUUAAUUUCUUGCCUCAUUACUCCCAUUUGCAUUGGCUGCAGACUCUCUAAGUAUUACUUUCCCUUCCUUGUGGUUCAUACCCUAAUCAUUGAAUAUUGAUGUUCUAUUUAUUUCUAUGCACUCACUUUGUUUUUGACCAAGUUAUAUAGUUAUUUGGUUUUCAGGUAAUGCUUUCUUACAGUUACUCAAGAAUGUAUGCUAGAAAAUGUUGCCCAUAACUGCUUAAACAUAAAAGAGGAUAUGUUUUCUUGUUUUCCAUCUAUGUUACAGUCUGUUUCUGAAAUAUCCUUUAUUAUGAGUAGAAUAAAAUCUACUGGACUUGGAAUCCACAUUCCCUUUUAAAUUAAAAGUAUUCCCAGACUUUCAAAUUUUACAUUCCUUAGCAUGAUCUCUUCUCUAUAAAGACAGAAGAGGGGACAGAAAAUUCUGACUGAUCAUUUCUUGAGCUAGAAGCAGCUAUAAUAUUCCUGUUCUCCAUCCUUUAUAAUUACUUUCUCAUAAAUACUAAACUACACCCCCCUGAGCAUCUAGAAGAUUUAAACACUGAUCAAAGGCAGGUUUAGCUGUAUCCUCAGGACAAGCUGAUUCAAUGAAGAAAAGCUCAGGCUCUUGGAGAGCUUUUAGAAAGAGAAAUAAAUUAACAAUUAGCAUUUAACAGCAGUAAAAACUGCUUAGCGGAAGCAGACUUGAUGUUUUAGGGGAUUUGAGAUAUUCGGAGUGAUGAGAUGAAUAGGAAAAACUGUGUUCCAAUUAGGAAGACAGAGUGAAAAGGUGUGAGAUGUGGUCUUCUAGUUCAUUCCACUGGUGAUAUAGAGCCUUUCCUGGACAGAUUUUUAUCUUUUUUGAGUAAUUAUUAUCCACGUUAUAAUUUCAUGCCUGUUGCUUUUAGGUAAGCUCAGAAUUAUAGUCAUGGCUUGAGUAAAGAUCUCAUUGCAGUUGAGUACUAGCAGUACCACUACUCUUGCAUGAGUUGCAUUCUCUCUUGACCAGCUCUGUUAAUGGGUGUCCUUAUGUAUGAAACUGAUUUUCUUACUAAUGGCAGGAUUCUGUCUGGUUAGGAUAUUCCCUGAAAUGCCCAAGGGUGUAUUUUGCUUAAAAGCAAGGCUGGCCAGAGAGGUUUGGUUUAUGUAUUUAUUUUUAAAUUUCUUUUGUACCUAGGAUAAUAAAUAUAUUCCUCUAGUCUUGGAUAAUAAUAUAAAAUUACAGCCAUACUGACAAAAUUAAAGAAGACAUUAACAAAAAAUUCAGAUUAAAAUAUAAAGUUCAUGUCUUUGGCAAGUACACACAGGAUUGUGGUUUUGCCCAAGGUGUCUAAUUAAUUACUAUAAUUUUUCAAUUCCCUGUGUUCAAUAAAAACACGUCUAUGAAAUGCUAUUCAUAAAAGCAGAACUCACUGGUCAUUAAACAUGCAAAUAUCCACGAAUAAAUACACAAUUCUCUCUUGCAGGAAAUGCUAUCAGUAGACUAAAUAAGUGGUGGACAUUUUUCUACAGUAAGUAUUUACUUUUCCUACAGUUUGAUCUUAAAAUACCACAGUUGGCCAGGGCCUCAUGUGUUGCUGGUGCAAUCUCCGCAUUGUUAAUGGGUAUAUGAAGCUCAUGAUGAUGUCCACAAGAUGAUACCGCUAUUGGAAAACUUCCUCAUUCUUCCUGUCUAACCAGUAGCAUAAUGGAUAUGUGAAUAGUGCCUGUUUUGUACAUUUUCCCUCAGGUAAACUGUGAUAGGCCUUUGGGAAUAAUUCUUUUCAAGGCCUGAAGCAUUUAAAGUGCACUGUAUAUUGUUCUAAAUGCAAGACCAAUGCCCCAUUCUAUCAGAGAAAAGAAAAAGGGUAUCUGUGGGAAACUAUUUAAAAGAUUAAAGGAGCUUUGACUGAAAUGUGGUUUGGUGGCAAAGAAAGGGAAACCACCAUCCCUUGGUACAGUAUUAAGGCUAUAUCUGGGAAAACCAACAAAACGUGUCAUAUGUGGAUAGAUCAUGACACUGACACCAUUAGCAAGGACUUUUUUUUUUUUUUUAACAGCAUUUCUUGUGCUAGUUUCCCAGUGCCAAGAAUGGCUUCUUUAUUUAUUCUUGAACUCCAAUACCUAUCACAGUACUUGGUCCUUACUUGGUACUCAAUAAAUGUUUGUUGAAUGAAUCUAUUUUUUAUACUUUUGUAUCAAACUAUCACAUCUGAGCGAUUUUGUAAUUUUAUUCAGCUGAUGAUAUUCUUUAUACCAGUGCAAUUUUCCAUAUGCUCAUGUGUGUUUUAUUUCUCAUGAUAUCAGUUUUUCUUUCUUUGAACUUUGUAGUUCCCUGAAUUGCUUAGUAUUGUUUAUAUAUGACUAAAGGCCCAGGUGGAUAAGAUGGUAUCUUUCUUUGUUUAUUGUUUAUAUAUGACUAAAGGUCCAGUGAAAGGUAAAAAAUGAGUUUGUUAGAUUUCAAAAUCAGUCAAAAGGUAAAAUCAGUGUGAAGAUAAGAUACCAUCUUAUCUAACUGGACCUUUAGUCCAGUGAAAGGUGAAAAAUGAGUUUGUUAGAUUUCAAAAUCAGUCCUAACUAAAAACCAUUUCCCCUACUGGAUGUUGUAACUCACAUCAUUACAAUUUAUGGCUUAAUGAAACAUUUAUUUUUCUGAACAACUUGGAUUUCAGUGAGCAGAUUUCUUAAAAUAAGGACAUUCUAUUUUUCAUUAUAGUACUAAGAAUGCUGGAACAAAUAUUUUUUCUACUUACAUACUUGAGUUCAGUUGAAUUAUUUUAUCAGGUAUUUGCAAGAUGACCUGGAAUAUCUUGGAAGUUAUUAUAUGUAAAUUAUACAUACACAUAUAUGUGUAUAGUUCCUGGCAUUGGGCAACUAGUAUAAGGAAUGCUGCAAAAAAAAUCCUUGCUAAUGGUUUCAGCAUCAUGAUAUAUAUAUACAUAUAUAUGCAUAUGUGUAAUUACACAUAUCUAUAUGUAUAAAUAACUAUAUUAAUAUACUUAUAUAAGCUACUACAUAUUAAUAAAUGAUCAACAUACCUAUAUUAUUUAUAUAUAAACUAUAUAUAAAUAUAACUAUAUAUAUACACACACACACAUAUAUAUAUGUAGUUGUAGAAAGGGUCUUUUUUAGUGAAUUAAGACUUCAUGAAAGGCCAGUUAUAGUGGCUCAUCAUGCCUGUAAUCCCAGCAUUCUGGGAGGCUAGAGGAUCACUUGAGCCUAGUAGUUCAAGAUCAGCCUGGGCAACACAGCAAGAUCCCAUCUUAAAAUAAAAAAGAUCUCAUGGUAACUAAUAUUUGAUAUGUAUGAUAUAUGACUUUAAGCAAUAUUACGUGACAUCACCUUUCUCACAUUCUAGGUUGCUGUUUACAUUUUUUGUUCAGUAAUGAAACAAACUCACGAGGAAGUAAACCAAUCAACAUUUUAUGCAUGGAGUUUUCUAAAUCCUUCAUGUGGCUUUGGUAGCAUUUUGAUUAGAAGCCCUUGAAUUCUGUCCUGAGUGCUUACCCAUUAUCUAGUGAUUUACAGAGUUUACAGGAGGACACCGAAAUCACAGGCUUGACCGCAUUUACGGAUGGCACAGAUACCAGAUCCAAAAAGUUUUUAAUGAUCUGGAACCAUGAAGUGAAAUAAACAAGGAGCCCAGAUUUCUUGAAGACCUCCUCUAUGCCAGGCAUUUUAUGUCUCUCAAUUCUUUGAGAGAACCUAUGGCAUGAAGUUAUUAAUUUUUUUCUAGAUGGCAAAACUGAAAAUAAAGUAUAUUCAAUUAAUUUCUCAAGGUCAUGGGAUUGAAAAUACUGUGACUGAAAAAAAUAUUUUAAGUCUUCCUGAUCCUAGAGUCUAUCUUCUUACAUUAAAAUAAACAUAUUAAAUAAAUAAGCACAAUCAGUUUAGGAAAGAUUUGUUUUGAUAGAAAUCCAUGCAAAGCAGGUCAGGGAAUUUCAGUUGACCACAGAUUCAAUGGGGAACAUCAGCUAAUGAGAGAAAUGUACAGUGCAAAUUAUUUCAUUGUACUUAGUGCUAGUCAGGCUUAAUAAAGGGUAUGAUACUUUGGCACCUCAUUGCUUUCACAAACAAGAAGGCAUUCUGAGUAAGAAAACAUGAAGACAAAGAUCCUAAACCUUUAUCUUGUGGAUGACAGCUAAGAAUGCUCAGGUAAGAAAUGACUGUAGUGACGGCAGGGGAUGGAUGAGGGCUAUAACAUCUGUUGCAAUACAUACACUGAAUGGUGACUUUUUCUUUUUUAAAUUGACACGGGGUCUAGCUCUGUUGCCCUGCCAGAGGGCAGUGGCGCAAUCAUAGCUCACUGCAGCCUUGAACUCCUGGGCUCAGGUGACCCUCCUGCCUCAGCCUCCCAAGUAGCUUGGACUGCAGGUGCAUGCAACCAUGCCCCACUAAUUUUUUUAUAUAUUUAUUUUUAGUAGCAACAAGCUCUCACUAUGUUGCCCAGGAUGGUCUUGAACUUCUGGGCUCAAGUAAUCCUCUUGUCUUAGUCUUCCAAAGUGCUGGCAUUACAGGCAUGAGCCACCAUGCCUGCCCUAAUGGUGUUUUUAAAGGAGGAAUUAGCUGUGGUCAGUACAGAUUUAUUUGGAAGAAAUGGAAUCUGUGCUUAGAAGCCAAAAGGCCCAUUAUUAUUCAAUAAAAGGAAGCUCUUUAGAACACUUUGAACCUGAAAGAGUUAAUGAAGCAUGAGACAUUAGGGUUCCCAUAUUUAGUUUAGAUCUAUGUGGCACUAUUUUUAGAAGGUUACAUUGUUUUUAAUAUUUUAUAUAGUAGGCCGGGCGUGGUGGCUCACGCCUGUAAUCCCAGCACUUUGGGAGGCCGAGGCAGGCAGAUCACAAGGCCAAGAGAUCGAGACCAUCCUGGCCAAUGUGGUGAAACCCCAUCUCUACUAAAAAAUACAAAACGUAGCCGGGCGUGGCGGUGUGCGCCUGUAAUCCCAGCUACUUGGGAGGCUGAGGCAGGAGAAUCACUUGAACCAGGAGGCAGAGGUUGCAGUGAGCCUAGAUUGCGCCACUGCACUACAGCCUGGGCAACAGAGUGAGACUUCAUCUCAAAAAAAAAAAAUUAUAUAGUAUAAUUCUAAUAAUGGGAUGCUCCACUUCACUUGCAAGUACUUGCAUAUGGAGGUGUUUUUUUCCCCAGUAUGAGGAGAGAUCAACAGUAAAUACCUAUAUUAUUUCUAUUGCUGGUCAAUGCAGAAAAUAUUUGUUAAGCACGAAGAGUGUGGAUGUGUUUGAUGACUACAGAACUAAGGAUUUCUCAAAGAAACAAAGAGAGAAGUCUAAGUUCAGGUGUGGAAGCCCUUGCCUAAUUUGCUUCUUCACUUUUGCCCAGAAAUAAUUUGGCCAGGGAUUGUGUUACUAUUGUUGAAUUAAACCAGACAGAAUCAGGCCUAUAAGAAGAGCCGUUUAGUAAAGGAAAUGAUUCUGUGAAAAUUUUAGAUUUGAUAACUGACAUGGGAGGUGUUUACCUUCUUUUGAAAAGCAGAUUUAAAAAAUUGAAUUAAAUAUACACACAGACUUUUACACUCAUUUUCAGGGAAGCAAGAACUCUAUCAUAAUAAUCACCAAAUAUCAAUUAAUCAGAAGGAAAAAUAGGCUUGCAGGAAGAGAAAAUCAGUUCCUUUAGACAAAUGGUAUUGACAUAGAGAUUCCAGGUAUGUUUAGUUAUAUACCAUGCAUUCUGGAUCAAAUAGAGAGGCUUGUGACUUGUAUCAGUAUUACCUGGCUUCACAGCAGCAGGAGCAGAGAAAAUAUGCACUAUGUUUAGAGAUGAAUUAGGAGAGUAUGUCUGAAAGAACCAGGGAUGCGUGGGCAGGUAGAUUUGGUCAGGCAUAUUUAUAAUAAUGAGCCAUUGGAUUUGGGAUUGGGUGGAGGGAAUAAAGUCAGAAAACCAUUGGGUCAUCUUCCCUAAUAAAAGAGAACGUCUGUGGAGUUAUAAAUAGAAUUGCCUAAUAUUUCAUCUAAUAGCUUUAUUCAAUCAUUAGAACCUAAGCUUUCUUGUAUCAAUGUAAAGUAUGUGUGUGUAUAUAUGUAUAUAUAUUCAUAUGUGUGUGUAUUAUAUGCAUAUGUGCAUAUACAUGUGUGUAAUGAAAAAAGAAAACAGCCCUGAAGAAUCCUCAAGAAACUGUCAGACGUCCUUGUCCUUUAAAAGCUCCAGUUGCCCUUCUUGUCUAAACACAUCAGUGCAGUGUGAAUCCUGCAUUAUUCAUGAACACAUAAGGUCUGUAUUUGUAUACAUUUAUCUCUUGGCUAUUUAUUUCUAUAAUCUCUGCCCCAAACCCUCGCCAUGCUUUGUCUUUCUCUUUUCCUACUUUUCUUUUUUUUCUGGUAGUUUGAAAAAUAAACAUUAGAAAUAGCUAUUUUAUUGCUUACUUCUUUCCUUUAACAUAUGGCAUUUGCUUAACCUCUUGGAGAGUUGUGGUUUUCUGACCCUGGAGUUCUGAUGGGAAAGAUAAUGAGAAGUGUUUACUUAGCAUCUAGGCCAGCAAGCUAAGAAAAACAUUGUGCCAUGCUAGUAUUGACAAGGUGACAGAGAGCCCACACUUGCCUCACAUGUUGGCCACUCCCGAUGCUACAUCCCACUUUACUCUUGCUGGAGGACUGACAUUAAUGCUUACUGUUUUGAGGUCUGGACAUAAUCCUGGUAGAUUCUAAAACUCCUAGCAAACAGUGGUAGACAAGUCAAGGGUCUAUAAUUGCGUAUAAACAGAAAAGUAAAGACUUACAUAUUUAAGCAACCUGCUAAUCCCCAUGGUCAUUUAGUUCCCUAGUGGCUAUUUUUAAUUUGUCUUGUUUUUAGAGGCACUCUGAAAGCAUGAGGCAGGUGAAAGCGUGUCUGUGUGUUGCUUGCAUGCACAUGCUUUUUCAAGAAGGUCUUCUUCUUUUCUUGUCAAGACUGCAGCUGUCAACUGUUCCCCAAAGGUGUUGCCUAGAAUCAGCAUGCAGCGCUGUAGGCAACCUGUCACUUAGAUGAGACACCUUGUAUAUAUGCUGUAGUUCACUCUCUGACUUGCCUGUGUGCACAAUGCCAUCUUGUCUGUUAGAAGACAGGGCCAUCGUGAGAUGCAGUUUCUCUUUGAGAUAUAUAGUAGCUCUUCUUUCUUCAAAAGGAAAAAAUAAAAAAUAAAAAAAAGCUACUCUUGCUGGAAAGGUAGAGAGAAGGGUCUGCGGGUGCCCUCUACCAUUGUGGUUUCAAUGUCUAAAUCUUCUGGAGAGGAUUGCUGCAGUGAUGAGAUAAAAGCAGCUGCCUUUCCAAGUACUGUCUAUUUGCAUUGAUAUUUACAUUCUUUGCCAAAGUGACAUCAUUAACAUUUGCUUAGUAUUUGUGCCACAGGGAUAUGUUUUACAUAAUUUAAGACUUGGAAGUGAUGAUAAUGUAUUUCAGAUGGGCAGUAGAGGCCACAGAGUGCUGAAUUUCAUCCCCUUUCUUCUUAAGGACCUUAGUGCAUAAAUAAGUCCCUAGUCCGUAUCCCUAAAUCAUAUUAACAAUACUGCUUACUGGGUGCCAACAAUAUGUCUGGUACUGGACUAGAUAUAUGUGUAUAUAUUGUUUAGCCCCCAUGACAACAGUAUGAGGGUAGGUACCAUUAUCUCCAUUAUAUAGUAAAGAAGCAAGGCUAGAAAAAUUGGUGACUUGCACAGGUCUGAAUUCAGAGACAUCUCACCGCAAGGACUUUUCUCCUUAUGCUGUGUCAUUCUAUCUCCCAUCUUGUAGCCUACUUGUUUCUUCAGAUUUAAGAAACAGAAACCCUAUAUUUUCUCAGGACAUGACACUUGAAAUAACAAGAAAGAAUAUUGUGGGACUCUGACCUUGGUCCGUUUCUGUCUCUUUCAUUCUCAUCUUUACUCUAGGUGCCCAGAAACUCUUCUUUGAAAUAAAUAUAAAAGAUCUGUGUUUGCUUUGAGAGAAAGCCACAUAACAUUGUCACAAGCCAGAUUAUUGAACUCUGCCAGAUGGCCCUUAUUUACCAAAUAUAUGUUUUAGUUUUAUAUACGAACAGAGGUUUUAAAAAGAUAAAGACGAACAAAAUUGUGUUUAAUGUCCUGUAUGAUACCUUUUGCCUUAUUUACAAACUGGUCCUCUCUCUGACUGUACCUGCUCCUGAUGCCCCAUCCUCAAUGUCCUCCAUCAGCAUAAAAAAUGUGAAACCUCUUUUUCAAAAACAAAUUUAAAAAAAAGUGCUCAGUCUCUCAUCUUGAGAUGGAGAAUUAGAAGCAAAUUUGCCCUUGCUUUUCUUCUUAAUCUUCCUUCUUCCCACCUUCUUUCCCUCGCUCCCUUCUUUCUUCUUUCUUUCACACCAUGUGCCCCAGAAUGACAGCUCAGGGAAAGUAGGCAUUAUAAGCUGAGUAGCCUUUUCCUUGAUGUCCCUUGAAGGGCUCCUUAUGUUCAGAGAAUAUAUCACUGCAUUUGCAGCUCCCCCAGAAAUGCCGUAGCUUGGAGGAGCCUAUUACUCACUUGAAUCUCUUUGGUGUAGACCUAUAAAUAGAUUCUCGUCUUUUCCUUGUAACCCCCUAUAGAUUCUUGAUUCAAGGGUCAAAAAUGGAGAGAUGAGAGUUCAAUCUUCUUGGAACUUACUGACACCCUAGCUCCCUUUUAAGAACUUGUCCUCCUUACUAACACCAUCUACAUGGCCAUCUGGGUCUUCUCAGCUCAGAAACACCCUGCAACAAUGGCUGGCGGAAAUAAGGGGAGGGCCCAUUUGAAUUAGCACAUUCCCCCACAAGCACACACAUCCAUACUGCCAGGCCUCUGUUUGUCCAGUUUCCUCCUCUUGUGCUGUUCUUCCCACCCUUCUCCUCAGUGCAGUUCAGAUAUCAUCUGUGUCCCAUGAAGUCUACUCUCUCCCAGGGGAAACCCUUUGAAUUUCCAUUGCAUAUUAUUCUGUGCUUCUUUUUAUGAUUAAUCCCAUUUACCUUGUAUUAUAUAAAUAUAUUUUGGUCCUUAUUAGAUUAUAUAUACUUGGAGGAGGACAGUAUCUUUCUUUGGUCCAUUGGUGUGGCUACCACAGGCUCACAGCAUGGCAUUUGGUUGCCUAAAAUGAUAUGUCUUAUCCGUUCUUUGAUGUACAGAUAAGAAAAGCCUUUAUUUAGUUUGGCUUUCAUUUUGUUCAAGAACAGUGGCACAGUUUGGUUUUUCUUGAUAUCUUUCCCUUAUUCAUGGUUGCUUUUCUCAAACAGCACAUGUGGGGCUUAAUACCUAGAUGAUGGGUUGAUAGGUGCAGCAAACCAGGUGGUACAGGGUCCUGUGUGACUCUACCAUGGUGCACAUUUACCUGUGUAACAAACCUGCACAUCCUGCACAUGUAUCCUGAAACUUAAAAUUUAACAGAAAAGGAAAAAGAAAAAGAAAUUAUUAUAAAUGUAAAGUAAUUAAAAGUAUAUUAUUUAGGAGGGACAGUAGAUAUCACAAAGGUAAGCAUGUUUCAUUCUCAAAUGAAAUACACAAAUUUAUAAAAGUGAAUUCAGCACCAGUGGUGAAUAUAAAAGGCUGUUAAGGAGGAGGAGCUAAAGUUUUGAUUGGAACUUGAAGAAAAGGUAUGUUGUUAUAGGCAGAAAACUUGCCAUGCAGGUGAUCAUGUUAGAAUCAGUGUCAGACAUUAACAAAACAUUUUCAGUCAAGGGCAGAGAGUAAAUAUUUUAGGCUUUUUGGAGGCUGAUUACAUAAUUUGCACAAUGAAAUAGUGGGUCCCUUUUUCAAAAAGCAAUAACGAAGUGCCAUGAGAAGUACUUAAAACAUAAAGCUCUUUUUCCUUUUUCCAUGGUUUCUCUCUCUAAACUUGUCAUGUUGUUUUAUAUUUGCUCUUCAGUGUCAUUCUAAGGAAAGAAAAUGUUAAAUUAUUAGCAUGAAUUUUGCCAUUCAUCUUUAUAUUAUGCCAUGCCAGUCUUAAAUAAGUUCUGAAUAAGAACUUCUAAUUCAUUUGCAGAAUUACUGACAUAGGAAACAUUUCUUAUUUCAUAGCUCAUGCAGUGCAUAUAUGUUUUGUUCUUACCAGAAAACUGGACACACUGCACAGAUUAACUCACCUGUUUUUAUUUAUUUCACUUCUUGAUAUACACAUAUUCAACAAACACUCUCUUCCUUUGGCUUCCUAAUGAGUAAGAAAAGACUGAAAAGAAAAGAAACUGAGUUGCUUUUUCUUUUCUUUUCCUUCUUUGACAUAAUUUUCAGCUGAGGUGGUUGGUCAAUUCAUGGAAGUAACAUGAGUAAGAAAGGCUAUAAUUAGGUUCCUUAGUCAUUUAUGUUUCUUAGAAUGCCAUCGUUUUCUUUCUGUGUUCAAAGCAAGUUUUGGUUCCAAUGGAAAACAUGUUCUUUAAGGACUGUCAGCAUCCCAGCUUACUCAGAGUAGAUGUGAGAGACUUUGCAAUCGCUUUGAGUCUCAUUGAGUGUGCAUCCUAAGUCUACCAGAAUCUUCUACUCCCGGGGUAUUGUGAGAGCUAUAGGGGGUGAAGUGGCAAGAAACAAUGGGCAUGUGUAUAGUAUAUCCAUAUGUUUAUGCAUCUCUCUUUUGCUACUGCACAUGCCUAAUUGUUUCAUUAGACUUCAUUCAAAAACACAAAUUCAAAGAUAAAAUUAUUAAGUGUUUCAAGACGGAGAGACAGGAGAAUAUUAAACCAAGAGCAGGUGGUACAGGGUCCUGUGUGACUCUACUGGCUGCAUACCCAUGAAGCUUCACCUGGGUUUUGCAAGCCAUAUGGUCUCUGUCUCAAGUAUUUAGCUGUUGUACCAUGAAGUGCGGCUAUAAAUGAUAUGUAAACAAAUGGACGUGACUGUGUUCCAGUAAAACUUUAUUUACAAAAAACAGGUAGCAGCCAGAAUCUGGUCUGUGGGCCAUUGUUUGUUGAUCCCUAGUUAGGCAAAAACAUGGAGAUGAGAAUAUGUGAGCCUUGUUUGAGAAUUGCUUAGCUAGUGUGAGGUAAGUCAGGGAAUUUCAGAAGAAAGCCAAUUAUGAAAGCAUGGAUUGGACUGUUUGAAUAUUUUCCUCUAGUUGAUAAAGUGACUGAUGGCUUUAGCUACUGAAUUAACGUGAUCAAAAGAGUUUUUUUUUUUUUUUGGAGAUGGAGUCUUGCUCUGUCACCAAGCUGGAGUGCAGUGGCAUGAUCUUGGCUCACUGCAACCUCUGCAUCCUGGGUUCAAGCAAUUCUCCUGCCUCAGCUUUCCGAGUAGUGGGAACACACCACUACUUCCAGCUAAUUUUUGUAUUUUUAGUAGAGAUGGGGUUUCAUCAUGUUGGCCAGGAUGAUCUUGAUCUCUUGACCUCAUGAUCUGCCCGCCUCGGCCUCCCAAAGUGCUGGGAUUACAGGUGUGAGCCACCGUGCCUCGCCCAUCAAAAGAGAUUUUUAGUGAAUUAAUAUGGAAGUGUCCUAUCACAGAGAUAGGAAGGGGUGGAUCUGUUAAUAGACAGAUGAACAAGGGAGCUAUUGUGAGAGUCCAGGUAUGAGAUGAUAACAACUUGGAGUAUUAAGAAGGGAUUUGCAAUGAUGGAAAUAUUUGAUUCCAGAGGAAUUUUAAGUGAAGUGUCACCAGGAUGUGGAGAGUGAUUUGAUGUUGGGGCUGAGAGAAGAAAAGAUGGGAAAUUUCAAGGUCUUGUGCCCGGAAGGCUGCAAAAUGGAUAGCCAUUCAUUCCCUGAACCUGUAUUGUGUGUAUCUUCUGUUUGCUAAAAUAACCAUGAACAGAAAUGGCUGGUGGGCUGCUGAUUUUAGGUGGCUGCAGAAUUUUGGUCUAUUUGAGUUGAUGUUGGGUUGCCUAAUACACAUGAUGCUUACAAGGCAUUCAAGAUGUGUCACUGGCAUAGAGGAGUGGAGUGAGGGAUAGAAGUAAAGGUAGGUAGCCCAUCUUCACAGAAAGGUGAAUUAGACCAGCGACAGCAGAUACCAUCUCCCAAUGGAGAAAGCAUAGAGAAGAGAAAGAAAAAGAAAGAGGCUCUAAUACCCUAAUCACUUACAUACCCUAGUGUAGUCCUCUAUGCUUUUCAAAUUAAGUAGAUAUUUCACUUUCCUGUUUAACCUUGCCUGGAAAGAUUGAGAGGUCCAUGUCUAGUCACAAUGUUAGAAUGAAAUAAAUGUGUGAAAUAAAUCAUGUUUAUAGUGUAGAUCCCCUUCAUCUUCAUCUUUGAGUCAAAUGCCAAAGCCAUUUGUUGGCUCAGUAACGUUUCACUUAGAAAAUGAAACUUUUAUUUUGGCUAAACGAGUAUGGUGUCCUGGUCCUUUCCCAAAAACAUACCUUCAAUUUUACCCUAGCUGGCUGAUUGACUGUUUCCUUUACAGAUGCAGUCUAGGGAUGCUAAGGGCAACAUCCUUUGUGAUAAUGAAAGCCUUAUAAUGUAUUUUUUCCAGUAACUUAGGAUGCUGUAUAUUAAGCUGUAUAUUGGUAAAUAUUUUGUCUAUGUGGAGAAAUGUAAAUGAGAUUUUUUUUUCUUUUCAUCAUUCUUCUCUACAAAUGUGCAUUGAAAAGACACUGAACUUUGGUCCCAUGCUUAUGCACAAGGUAUAAAAGUUGCUUAUAUUCCUAACCUCUCCACAGAGUUGUCUAGAUUCACAGGACUAUUUGGUCAAAUGUUCUGCAAUUCAGUUCCACUGCUUGACUGUAAUUCACCUAUAAACCCAGAAAAAUACUGCUGGAGUUCAGAGGCCCUGACUGUUAUUAGACAGAGAAAACCUAUAGCACACUGGAACAAUCACAUUUAAAAGAUUUGCCUCAAGCUUUCUAUGGUCACUAUUACUCUUUAAUUUAUGCUUUUAGGUUUCAACUUUGAAAUGAUAUUGAAAUUUUCAUUAUGGGCAACCCUGAAUCUGGAAAAAUCCAAGGCAGCUUUUAGGACAGUCACCUUUAAUUACCCACCACCGUUAAGAUUAGGAAGUAAAUGCUGAAAUUCCCAUGUAAGUGUAUUUUGCAAGAAAUUUUCACACUAUGAAAUAAUUGGUCUUUAUCUCUCAUCCUGUCUGAUUCUCUAUCAAGACAUAUCAAACAUGCACCCCUCUGCUCAAAGUGUAAAAAAAAAGUUUGCUUUUUAAAGUUUUAAUUAAGGCUUUUGCUGUGUGUGUGUGUGUGUGUGUGUGUGUGUGUGAAAGUACUACACACUUUAGUUGUUUAGGUGUCAUUGUUGAGACAUUUAGACUGUAUUUCAUUCAGGCAGAUACUUUUACUUUAUUACAUUCCCAAAUGAGGAAAUGUGCUGAUUAGAUGGAAAAGCAUGUGUGUAUCUUAUAGUGUUAGCAAUUUGGCACGGUUUUUGUUUUGUUAGCUCUCAGCAUGGUUGCCUUCAACUAUAUUUACACCACAUGGGUGGGCAUGUGUUAAAGAUACAAAAAUCCUCAGACCUCUGAAUUGCAUUCCUGAAGGAGACCUUAAUUCUAUUAGGUUGGUGCAAAUUAAAAUGCCGUUACUUGUAAUGGCAAAAACCGCAAUGAUUUUCGCACCAACCUUAUACUGCUUAUUGCUUUUGCCUCUUCUGUAAUGAAAGGCUUCUAACUGGUUUGCCUGCCUUUGAUUUUAGCUUUUUGUGUAGCCUUGGUCAUAUCAAGUUUCUGCUGAAAAAUUUGGCAUGGCCUUUGAUUUCCCAGUCUCAUCUCCUACAACUCACCAGUAUGCACCGGUAGUUCCAGUCCGCAAUACGUCCUGCGCUGUCGAGCUUACGCACCUUUCUGUGUGCUGUUUCCUCUGCUAAGAAUGUCUAGUGAACUUCUACUCACCGUUUAAGACCAGAUUUAAAUGGCAUCUUCCUUACAAAUAAGUUGAUUGAUCUAUCAUUUUAUUGAUUCUGUCAUUCAGAAACAUUCCUUCAAUGCAUGCUAUGUUCUGGGAAACUUUCUCUAAACGGACUCAAACAUUUCUUCUUCUGGGUUUUCCCAGCGCUGGAUACUCUGAGUCAUUACUAAUCCACACUGGGUUCUUGUUUUCUAGGCUGCAUCCCUCAAUAGACUGUGAGGUCUUUGUGAGAAUACAAUUGCUUUUGUGUUUAGUUCCAUAUUCACAGCGUUCAUUCUAGUGUCUGGAACAUAGGGUUCCACUACAUGCACUACACAUUUGUUGACUAGAAAAAUGAUUCGUUUUAUCAAGGGACUGUCUUAGGAAAUACUAAGUGGGGUGCCUUUCUGAUACAUUGUAAUGACCACCCUUUUCUCUGUUCUCUAACGUUGUAUCCCAAAGUAGAUAAACUAGAGUUUUAUCCUUACCAACCAUCUUUCUCUCAUCUCCAUCCUACUUUCCCAGCACUCCCCUGCACCCCCCUGCUGUGUGCAAAGCUCCAAUCCCGGGAAAAUACCAUGCAGCGCUUUCAUUCUAAAGGGGAGCAAUUGAAAGCAUUUCUUUGGUAAUUUAAGCACACAGCAGCUACCUUUGCAAAAGCCUGGUUGCUAAAUUAUCCCCUCAACUACUCAUUUUGCAAAAGGGAAAAGAAAAAAAAAACACACUGGGGGGAUAGAGACUCUAAUAAGAAAAGAGUCUGUGUUUUCUUUAGGUUCAGCCUGAUUCCUCUCCACCUCCUCUCCCUUCAGUGACUGCAAGGCUCCUGGUGUGGCUCGUUCUGCUACUUUUCCUUUUAAUGUUUUAAAUGCCACAAAUGCUUGUCAUAAACCACCUUCUUAAUUAUGCAGAAGUGGAGCUGAAUGGUUAGUUAGCAGUUCUAUUGCAAUUACUGCACUUUUUCAGGUCUGCUGCUGUUUUAUGUGGCACUGUUUUCUAAGUUGCUGAUUAAGAUGAUGUAGUGGGUGGAGUUCUUCUUCCCACCAUUGGAGAAGGGCCGCUGAAGCCUGGGAUAAUGAGUCCUUAGGCAAUAGUUUAUGGCCUAAUAAGAGUUAAGGAUGGGAGCAAGGAGGAGAUGGAGAGUUAUGCUCAUUCAUUUCCUUCUUAAAAAGAAAAAGCCCUCUGGUUUUGUUCAACUUUUGCUUCUCCUUUGUCCAGUGUAGAUGCUGAAAUUGCUAGAGAAAUAUCCAUGAUGGCUCUUAGCAGUCCUAAUCUUAUUUGGACCUGAUAUUCUGAGGCUUUUAGGCAUCUUCAGAUAUCCUUGUGCAGUGAAAGAGCCUUGCAUUGGAGUUGAAAUGAUGACGAGAAAAUUUAAGAACUGUUGAGAAUUUGAAUCAAUCUCUUCAUGUUGCCAUCUCUCUCUCUCUCUUUUUAAAGCCAAAUAUGAAUACUGCUGUGUGCCGAUCUUGAGCCCUGAGAAGCUGCACUUCCAGUGUAGUUCUAGGUCCCCACUGAAAAUAAAAUAAUGUGAAAUUGAAAGCAGCAUGCUAUUGUAAAGUAGUGCAAUCAUUCGUUCAUUCACAGGUACUUACUGAAUGCCUACUAUGUCCUAGGCACUGUGUGAGGCCCAGGGGAUGGGGCUAAAAACAAUAUAAACUUCUUGCCUUUAUGGAAUGGCAUUCUAGUCAGGUAUACUGAUAUUAAACCAAUCUGGAAAUAAAUAUAUACUCUUCAAUGGUGCUAUGAAAAAAAUAAAGUAGAAUGAGGUGCUAUAAAAAAAUAAAGUAGAAUGAGGGAAUGGAGAGUGUGCUAGGGCAUGCUAUUUUGGGUGGAGAAGGUUUCUUUGUGGCAGUGACAUUGAAAUAAGUGCCUGAAUGAGGCAAAGCAACAAGAUGUAAGGAUAUCCAAGAAGAGCAUUCCAUGCUGAGGAAAUAGCAGGUAUAAUCACCCUGAAACAGGAAUGCACUUGGCUUAUUGGAGAAACAGUGGGAGGCUGAUGGCUAGAAGACAGUGAGCCCGCAGGGCAGGACAGGGGGUAAAGUGAGGUCAAAGAGAUAACCAGGAGCAUAUUGUGUAUGGCCUUGUAGGUGAACAAAUGGGCUUUGAAUUUAAUAUAAUUUAAUUUAUAUUUUAAAAUCAUCUUGGCGGCUGGGUGCCAAUUAUACCAUAAAGAGGCAAAGUAGAAGACUGGAGCCACCGAGGAGGCUGCUGCAGGAAUCUAGGCAAAAGAUAUAUUAGUGUGGUAGUGGCAAGCGUGCUACAUUAUUAUGAUGUCCUCGGCCUUCUUAAGUGUUUGCUUCAUAAAUCAGUAGAGUUGUGAGCUGUGACUUGGACCUGAUAAUGAAUCAUUACUUAUUUUAAAAUUGAUACAUACAAUAACAUUCUUAAUUUUUUAUAAGCUCAUAUAAAAUAUUGAAGGAGGAUUGGUCUUAUUUUGCAUCUGUUUAUUAAACAUUAGACUGGAGAUAAGGUUGUGAGGCCCUAGAGCCAAAUAAAUAUUCCCAGCCUUGCCUGGCAGACAAUUAUUGGGUGUGGAGGUUACCCAGCCUCCAUGUUGCCUCAGUGACUCCCUUUCCUGUCCUUCACUAGGUAGGAGGCAAAAAGCUCAGCAGUGACACACAGGCUCUGCUCUCCUAAUUGCUGUAAAGAACUGUGCUGUUUCUUCUUCAAAAUGUUGAUUGCAGGCAGCUACAGGGAUGUGCUCUUAUGUUACAGUAUAAAGAUUUUUUAUUGUAAAGAAAGGAGAUUUGUUGGCAUGGUGGGAUGUGUGUAUUUGUGUGUGUGUGUGCAAGUAGCUGUGCUUGCACUGGGAGACUAUUUUACUUUGCUUUUUUCCUCUCCCAUUAUAGGAAGUAAUUUUUGGAGGAAAAUAGUAUGACAGUCCUGAUACUAUUUUAUUUAUUUUCUUCUUCAGAGUAGGUACAACAGAAAAUCCUGAAUUUAUGCUUGUUGUAUUUUUUCUCCCUAUUAUAUUUCUGCGUGUUCACACCCCUCUAUUAACAGAGAAAGUUUAUGCUAUAUUCUGUACUCCUUUUACUCUUUUUAUUAAGAGAAAGUGAGAAAGCUGUCCUAGAAUUAUACAAAAUAUACAUAUAUUUUUCCACAUCUGAAGGGUAAAGGAAUUGUAAUUCAUGGGAAUAGAGUGUUAAGGGCUUAUACAAUGAUAUAUACUAUAUAUAUAUCAUUGUUUGUAUGUAUGUACAUAUAUUGCACAUAUAUACAUAUCACUUUUUGGCUCUACUUUUAUUAUUUUCAAGUUUCUUUUAUAUAACCCCAGCUGCUCUUCUGCAUUUAGUUAAGUGCAGUCCUACCAUGUCUAGAACCCCCUUCUAUUCUGCCUACAUUCACGACUUUCAUCCCUCAACUCUGGUCCCAUUUAUCUGUCACUUAGCAUUAACUACGUUAUAAUGCCAUUUAUCCCUUUUGUGCAUGCAUUAUUUCUACUCAAGUGGGCCAUUUGCUUUUUUAGGGCAAAUAUCAUAAUAUGCACCUACUUAUAUGCUCCACAUCUGCAUCAAUUCAGACAGUUUGGUUGCAAGCAACAGAUACUAUAGGCUUAGACUACCUCAAGUUGGUCAGGAAUGUAUUAAAAGUCUUUGGGGUAGCUUACAGAAUCAAAGCAAAGACUAAAGGAAGAGGUUUCCAAAAACAAUCAGAGAAUCUUGGGAGGUCUAAGUAACAGGGACUAAUUAAUAGCUAUUUUAGGCUGCAGCUGCUAGAAUGCAUAAACUCCAAUUAUUUCCCCCCAUUCUUACAACAGCCUGCUGAAGCCUCCAAGGUAUUGGGUCAUGUGCUUACCCCUAAGAGAAGCAGAAAAAAAAAUCACCUUUUGACAAUCCUACACCUCUGUGAACAAUGGGAAGGAGAUGUAAUUUCCCAAAAGAAAACCGGGCACUGAGUGGCCCAAAACAAUUGUCCUCUAUAAUAUCAAGCAUACUUUGGUGUCCACAGUUGGAGCUCUUUACAGAUCUGGUGUCAGUGAUGGUGACGACAAGGAGAAGGAAGAGUUGUAAAUGACUUUGCUCUUUUGAGUAAGUGAUCAUCAAAUGUCCUUGCAGUCAGAAUGGCAAACAAAUGGCAUGGCCUGUCAGUAUCUGAAGUUAAUUUGGGCUGGCUGUCCUUUCUUUUUGGAUAUUUAGGUUUCAGUAAUGAUUUCCCGAAGGCCACAAUAAUAAACAUGUGUUAUGUUAUAAAAAGCGGGUGCUGCAUACAUUGGAAGCAAGGCCCCCUAAUUGAAUCACCUGUGCUAUGACUCUUUCAACUCCUAAGGCAUAAUUGAAGCACUAUCUCAGUUGGCAUCUUUGUGGUUUCCAUCCACACAUUCUUACUUUCUGGUAGCUGGAUUAUGAACAACCCCAAGGUCAGGCUUGUGUAGAACCCAACAUCUUACAUAUUUUACUAUUGAUAAAAUACACCCUGAGUAUAAAUGUUCACAUAACACUUUCUCUCAUCUCUAUAGUUAUGUUUCUUUCUUAUGACCUUGGCCACAUACUUUAAACUCCUUGGGAAAAUAUGCUGCCGUUAAAAACGCUUCACCUAUUUCUUGAAAAAUGACCGACAAGAUGUUUUUCGUCCAAUUCUGUCGUAUAUUUCUAUUCCCUAGAUUUAAAUUUCCUGGACUUAACUGUUCCCUAUAGUUAGCAGAAACAUUAUUUUAAGAACAAUUUAAGUUGAACUUCAUGUGAAACUGGCUACUGAAUCUGAGUCGGGACCUUCUUCUGGAGGGAGGUAAUUAAAUAUUCCUUAUUGAUGCUAUUUUAAAUGUGUUGAAUGAAAGGAGUUAAUUAUACAGCAGGGAACAUGGCAGAGUUCUGACUAAUAAUGAGCUCAAUGUUUAAUGUCUUCAUCUUUGUUAGAAUCAUUAAAGUUGUUUGAACCAAUCAGAUGUUUCAAGUGAAUGUAGACUCACAGCUAACCAGCUCCAAAUGGCAAUCCCUCACAGAUGCAGGAGCUGGUAUAUCUAAUGAUGACUUCAGGAAAAGGAUGGCGAUAUAUUGCUUUCUUCCAUGCAGUAUAAUCUGUUUCAGUUGGUCUUCCAUCGUGAUGGUAAAGAGAAAAGAAUAAGUCUUAUUUCCAAAAUUUCAUGUGUUAUAAUGGAAUGAUGUUUGUGCCUGGACAUAUAAAAGAGGAAAUGAUUUUGUUUUUUCCUUAAAGUUUUACGUAGCCAAUCUCUUUGGAAUCUGGUGCAAUAUUGACAUUUCUGGCUGCCAAUUCCUCACAUGAUAAAUGCAUUAACACUAAAUCUUAGGAUGCCCAGGAAUCACUAGAGGACCAAGCACUGUCCUAAAGAAUGGAUCUCCUGUAAUACUGUUGUAGAGAAAUGUAGGCUCUUGAGGUCAGGUUUUUCAUACCGUAUUACUGGUUUGUUAUGUGUCUUUAAAUAAAUUUUGCAAACUCCCCGACACUCAAACUACUUCCUCUUAAAUUUCUCCUCCCUUCUGAUUGCUUCACCAAACAGCCUGUGGCUUUGUUUUUAUUUACAGGACUCCUAAGACUCUGUCCUGUCCUGUCUAUGCUGGGGAAUGUAAAGUACAGAAGAUUACUUCCUUGGUUCUCCAUGGAAGUCCUUUUACCCAGCUGUGAGGAUUGUAACAAUGAUUGGCGGUGACAUCACUCUAUUACUGAACUUCACAUAUGGGAGUUGGGAGACUUUGAGGAAUCAGUAGGGUGAAUUUACCAAGUUCUCCCAUGAGCCCAGGCAGCCGGGGUGUGUGUGUGUGUGUAUGUGAGUGUGUGUGUGUGUGUGUGUGUGUGUGUGUGUGAAGGAAGAGUAAGUGUUAGGACAGAACAGCAGCCAUCAUGGGAAAGGGAAAUCCUAGUUCCACCUAGGAUGGUUACUUCGUGGAGAGGGUUACUUUGGGUAGUUACGGCAGCCUUCAGGGUUUUCAAGAAUAAUAUAACAUAUAUGAUUUAUAUUUUUGAACUUCGAUUUUACCACUGCGUUCCCUCCAGUGUACUUAGUAGAGAUAGGAUCAUGUGUAUCGAGAGCUCAGGCUUUAGAAUCCCACAGGUCUGGAAUGAAAUCUCAGCUCUGACUUUUACUACCCAUGUGACUUUGGACAAUUUAUGUAUCCACUGUCAGCCCAUUAGAUAACCUUUAAAAUGGGAAUAAAGUAGUGCUUGCUUUGCAGAAUUGCUGUAUGGAUUAAAUGAGAUAAUUCAGGUAAAGCACAUAGUUGAGUGCAAAAUUAAUUUAUCACAUAUUAUUAGAAAUGUGGUUGAAGAUUGUUUUGUUAUUUAGAUGAAUCAUAUUUAAAUCUUUCAUUUUCAAGUAUCUAAGACUUCCAAGGACUAAAACUUCCCUCUGAAUUUUACCACUCAUCCCAGCUGGAGAUCUAAGAUAACUAUUUUUGUGUUUGUUUGUUAAUUAUUUGACAUGUUUCUUCUCAAAUUAAGGGAAAAUUCUUAUUUCGGAGUCACUGUUCAGAAUGAAAAUGUGAGACUAAGUAUUUGUUUUGCAAAGCGCAACAGAAUAGAGAAGAAAAGUUGGGCAUUCUGUAGGGCGACCCAUUUGGAAAAAUAAAUCCUACCCCUUUUGAAGGGGAGAAAUUAAUGAGAUGAGUGUCAGUCCCUCCCUCCCCACCCACUGACCUCUCUCUGGGAUCACACACCAACAGCCUAUGAUGAAGUGUUGCUGCAGUGCAAUGGAGCAAGGUUACCUUCACAGUAACAGCUUUUCUCUGGCCAGAUUACUUUAUAGCCAAAGAUGUGGUUAUUUUCACCUAAACGUUUCAUUUAAAUACAUUGUAAAGUGUGACCUAGGAAAACGAGACAAAAUCAUUCUAAGCUGUAUAGAGUUGGAUUGUUUGUAGAAAUGCUGGACAUUAACCAAUGACUCUCAACUUGAAUGUACAUCAGAAUCCCCAGGAGGGCUUGUUAAGAAACAGAUUCCUAAAACCUUACUCCAAAGUAGGUGUCAGGUGGAGCCUGAGAAUUUUCAUUUCUAACAACCUUCCAGGUGUUGCUGAUGCUGCUAGCCAAGGAACCACACUUAGAGAAACACCUUCAAAGUGCAUAUUUUCGUGUCUUACUAUUCAAAGUAUGCUCCCUGGACCACCUGCAUUAGCAUCACCUGAGACCUUGUUGGAAAUGCAAAUUAUCAGGUCCCACUUCAGAUGUAAUGAAUUAGAAUUGUAUUUUCAUCAACUCCCUGAAGUGACUUGUUUGCAUAUUAAAGUUUGAGGAACACUGAUCUAGUGAUUAUAGCCAAGGUCUUUGGAGAGUUGAGAAUCUGAGACAGUCAGCCCUGGAUUCAAGUCUCACCUACUGCCAUUUUCUAGCCCUGUGAUUUUGGGGGUGUUGUCAUUUUUCUUCUUUUUAAUUCCCAAUUUCAUCUGAGAAAUUGGGAUGAUCAUACUUGAAAAGUUGUGAAGAUUAAAUGUGAUAAUGUAGGUAAAAUGCAUACAAUUAGUAGUGUUGUUAAAUUAUGUCUUCAUUUCUUUUUAUGUGAAACCUGUCCUGUGAAACCAUUAGAAACAGCUGUUUGAAGAAGGUAUUUGAAAUUCUCUCUGAAGUGUUUUCCUAUGUCCUGUUUUGAGAGAAGCUAUUUUCACAGUAUGGCAUUAGAUUGUCCUCACUAUAUUAUUUUGUGUAUGAGUGACAGCUGUAGAGAUAUAUAAUGGUUUGAGUUUGCCAAGUCACAGCCCCCUCGUUUGACCUCUGAAUUUAAGGGUGUGUGUGUGUGUGUGUGUGUGUGUGUGUAUGUGUGUGAGAGAGAGAGAGAAAGAGAUACAGAUAGACAUUUCGUUGGAGGAGGAGUGUGAGGGAAAACCUAGGGUUUUCUUUCUUCUCUAAUAAUAAAAUAUGACAUAGGCUUUCAAAGAUAAAAUUCGAUUUGUAAUAUUUGACAACACUGGUUAGUCAGCCCUAACCUCACUGAUAUAUUAUGAAGAUGAAGGUUAUGCCAGUUAAUAAAGUGUUUUGAGAACAUUGAAAGGUGCUAAUAAAAUUGGAUAUUUGACUUUUUAUUUACGUAUGUAUGUAUGUAUGUUUUGAGACAGAGUUUUCCUCUUAUUGCCCAGGCUGGAGUGCAAUGGUGCGAUAUCAGCUCACCACAACCUCCACCUUCCAGGUUCAAGGGAUUCUCCUGCCUCAGCCUCCUGAGUAGCUGGGAUUACAGGCAUGCACCACCACGCCCGGCUAAUUUUGUAUUUUUAGCAGAGACAGGUUUCUCCAUGUUUGUCAGGCUGGUCUCGAAUUCUCGACCUCAGGUGAUCCGCCCACCUCGGCCUCCCAAAGUGCUGGGAUUACAGGCGUAAGCCACCGCGCCUGGCCUGACAUUGUUUAAUUUUUUAAAGUACAGCCCUUAGUGAUAAUUUUUCCUUUUCUGUAGCCAGAGAGGAUUCUAGUAUUUUGGCAGUUGGACGAUAUCUUAUCUCUCUCAAUGCCCUCAUCAGUUGAGAAAUAAGCCUCUUUCUUUUAGUAUUUUAUAUUCUCAAAGCUCAGAACAUUUCAGAGUCAUGUUAUGUAAAAAUGAGGUAUAAUGGCUGCAGAGAAAAUAAAUUAAAAUGAGAAUUGCGCUAAUGCAAAUUAAAAGGGUUAAUGGGAGCAUUUUCUUCUGGGUCUCAAUGUAGGUCUCUGUACAGAUGAUUGAGGGGUUUUUGGAUCCUGAGUGUUAUUCAGCUUGGAGGGGCUCUUUUCUGAAAUUGCUGGCUCCCAUACAAAUAGGCCUCUUAGGACCAGUCAUUAUGAUGCACACCUUGCACUAUAACUACAUUUUUAACAUUUACAGGUAGGGCGGUGGAGCUCUUCACUGCUUAGUUACUACCCAGGGUAAUCUCCUUCAACUGUAACAGCAAGUCACCAAGUUCUUAAUGAGUAUCUCCUGUUGGUCCAUGGUAAUGAGGGUAGGUGUGUGGGAGAGGCAAACUGUAAGACCUUUCGCUGCAAAUCCUAUAAGCACUUGCCACUCAAAGUGCGAUCCACAAAACCAGCAGCAGUAGCAGCACCUACCAGCUUGUUAGAAAUGCAGAGUCUCAGGCCCCACUUCAGACCCACUGAAAGAGAAUCAGCAGUUUAACAAGAUCUCCGGAGGCUGUGGGGGAGACUCACAGGCAGCUUAAAGUUUCAGGAGCUCUGCUUUAAGAAACAUUCCUUUCAGAGAGGGAACUUAAACUGAGCCAAGAUCUAAAACCAUGUGAACUCCAAAUUCAGAGAAUCAGGUCAGUGGUCACCAGAACAGAGGGUAUAAUAAUUGGUUAUAAACCAUUCUAAUAGUUGUAGGUUUAAAGGAACAUGUAAGUGUGAGGUCAGUUAUUCACUGUAUUAUGAAAGAUAUGCUUUAUAGUUUGCCUCAAAAAAAAGGAAGUCUGAUUAAAUGUCCUCAAUCUAUGUGGCAGAUCCAAGUAAGACCCCAAAGGUUAAAAACAAAACAAAGCAAAAAGGGCAAUGCCGUGAUCAAUUGCAAGUCAGAGUUAAGAUCAAAAUUAAAAUAUGAGGUUUGUAAAUACAAUGGUAAUAGAAAUUUGACGUUAGCAUACGAGGCUCCCCAUUGUUUGGAACCCUGGUUUAAAAGCUAGAAUCAAAAGAAUUUUGUCUAGACCUAAUGCAUACUCUCACUUAAGCUAAGUGGAAAUCUUUGCCUCUGUUCCAGUAACCAAAUCUGUGGCAGAGCUGGGAGUGGAGGUAUUGGUGAGGGUUGUGGGUGGGGAGCAGUGUCAUCCCCCAACACACUUUGUGACAGUUUUUAAGGAAUUAGUUGAUGAGACUCUUGUUUAUUCUAUGGUGCAGAGAGAUUAGAGGAAGCAGUUUGAGAGCAAAGGUCAGACUGUUGAUGCUGGGUUGAAAUAGUCUCUAAGAUGCAGACAGGUAUAGAUGUCCUGCCAACAACCAGCAACACAGGGUUGUCCCCAGACUUGCUCUCCUGAUAUUAGAGUCUGGCUAUUCUUCUGAACCAAAUACAUUAUUUUACUUUAUGACAAGUGCUAUUACAUUUAAGGACUUUAGAGACACUGUGAUUCUCUCUGACAUCAUAGCAAAAUUUUUAUGUGUGUGCCCAAGUACUACUACUUUUUUUUUUUUUCCUUUGGCUUCCCAAGAAGAGGACCUACUUAUUGUUUGUAUCAGAUUUUUCAAGGCACCUUGGGAUAUAAAAUUUUAAGUCUGCUGAAUUGGAGAAUUUCUAUUUAUUUUCCCAGGGGAACCCUUUGGAGUUCUGUCCUACUCAGCUGCGUUAUCCCCUAGAUUUCUGUAACUGUAUUAGUUAGGAUGCUUUGGAGUGCUAGAAACAGCAAAUCUGGCUCAAAUUGCUCCAACCAAUAAAACCAAGUCACUGACAUGUAACUGUAACCGCCCAAUGGGUUCACCUUGUCUGCUGCCUAGAUAGAACCGAUUUAUCAAGACAGGGGAAUUGCAAUGGGGAAAGGGAAAUUCAUGCAGAGCCGGCUAUGCAGGAGACCGGAGUUUUACUAUUACUCAAAUCAGUUUCCCUGAGCAUUUGGGGAUCAGAGUUUUUCAAGAUAAUUUGGCGGGUAGGGGCUUGGGAAGUGGGGAUUGGUCAGGUUGGCAAUGGAAUCAUAGGGGGUCGAGGUGAGGUUUUCUUAAUGUCUGCUGUUCCUGGGUGUGGUGGCAGAACUGGUUGGACCAGAUUACCAGUUUGGGUGGUGUCAGCCGAUCCAUCCUGUGCAAGGUCUGCAAAAUAUCUCAAGUACUGAUCUUAGGAGCAGUUUAGGGAGCAUCACAGUCUUGUAGCCUCCAGCUGCAUGACUCCUAAACCAUAAUUGCUCAUCUUGUGGCUAAUGUUUGUCCUACAGAGGCGAUCUAGUCUCCAGGCAAGAAGGAGGUCUGCUUUGGGAAAGGGCUUUUAUCGUCUUUGUUUUAAACUGUAAGCUAUAAAGUAUAAACUAAGUUUCUCCCAAAGUUAGUUCAGUCUACCCCCAGGAAUGAACAAGGACAGCUUGGAGGUUAGAAGCAAGAUGGAGUCAGUUAAGUUAAUCUCUUUCACUGUCUCAGUCAUAAUUUUGGAAAGGCGGUUUUAUAACUGAAAAGAACAGCCUGGCUCGCUCUUCAUGAGACUUGAUACAGGGUACAAAGGUGUCACCUAGAGCAUUUUUUUCUUUCUCUUUAUUUCCUGUGCCUUUCCUGCAUCUGCCAGAAGAUGACCUACCAAGGCUAGAUCCUUGUGUACCUCUCAAAUGUUGGCCAACAACUCUGGGGCCAACUGCUUUCCCUUUCAAUUUGAGUUGGAGAGAAAUAAUUUUUGUCCCAUCAAUCUCAGGAAAAUACUUUCAAUCUCAGGAAAAUAUUUCAAAUAUUUCCUUCAAAUUCACUGAAGUUGGGUUGAUAUAGUUUACCUGCACAGUCUGGAGGAAAGAAUCCUUUUUCCCUUUUUUGAGGAGAUGUUGUCUUGCUCUCUUACCCAGGCUGAUCUCGAACUCCUAGGCUCAAGCAAUCCUCCUGCCUCGGCCUCCCAAAGUGCUGGGAUUACAGGUGUGAGCCACCAUGCCCUGCCUGAAAAAAUCACUUUUGCCAGAGGGAUAGCUGAUUUAGUUAGUGCAUGUGCUCUAUCCCUGGAGCCAGGGCAGUUUCUAAAUGGAAGUCAGUGGAAUAAAAUUCUGGGAAGAGAGGUAAAAAAAUGUUUACCAGUUUUCUCAGAAUGCCAGCUCUGUUUGACACUUCUCUCUCAGGACUUUGAAGACUCCAAGAGGAAUGUAUUAUUAUCUAUAUUCUACUGAGGCAAGCCCUGAAGUCAAAAGUUUUAAGUGAAAUAGGUGGGGUUGUGCUACUGGUCUGCCAACUCCAGAUCCUUCCAGGGCUCAUCUGACCAUGUAGGAGUCUAGUUUAUGGUAUCCACCCAGCUGGUGCUAGGAGGUGAGUGAGAGGAAGAAGAGGCAGACUCUUUCUCUCUCCAAUUAGCCUCUGCCUCUCUGUUUGGUUAAUAAGAUCCAUAUAUUUAAUAUGCUCAAUGUGCUUUAAUGUGUUACCAAACCAUUUGAGUCUGUUGUCACAUAGGAAAUGUAGAACUUUUCAAACACUAUUAAAUUCCCUUAAUCGAUUAAAGAUACUGCCAAAAUGGUUUACAUGAAAGAACUAACAUAAUAGAUUAAAAUAUCUUUUUCUUUUACAUUUAUUCAUUACAUUAAAUUUUAUGCCAUGGUUAUAGAUCUGAAACUAAUUAAAACAAUUAUACAUUGACUUUUUUAUUCCUAAAUGUAUCAUGUUUUUAGAUGUGUAAAAAUAAGAAACAGAUUCAGAUUUAAAAAAUAAGCUAUGACUCAAAAAAAAUUAAUGUGAAAUGCAUCUGGAAAAUUUCUCUUUUGAAACUGAAAUAUUCCUCUUACUAAAAAGUUGACAAUAUAACUCUUUGUAACACAAAGUAUAUCAGGAGAAUCUUUGGCAAAAUGGUGAAAGAAACUCUUACAGAAUAUGUAAGUCACCUAAGUUCCAGAAUUCAAUCUGUGCUAAGAUUUUUAUGGCUCAGAGGGAAAUAUCAUGGACUCUUUAUGUUAUAAAAGGAGUGAACUAUGUGAUUAUAUCUUAUUCUGAAUAUCAACUGUAAGAAGCAGAUUCUCACGGGCUUCAUCCAAUAUGCUCUUGUAAUUCUUUCUAACAUAUGUCCUCUAUUCACGAAGAACAAGAAAACAUCUCCAGUUUAACUGCAUUUUUUGUUUGUUUUAUUAAAUUCUUUUUUUGGGUAUUUGCACGUUCCAACUACCCAGAAAAUUACUCAAAAUAUUUGCCUUGUGGUCUCUGUGGCACUGAGCAUUUAAAGCAAACUAGUGUAGUUUUGGCUUGGUAGAGAUUGAACACCCUUUCGUGUUUCAAAUAUUUUUAGAGAAGAAAUUCAGAUACAAAAGCCAUAUAAGAUUUAUCAUCACUUUGACAUUAAGGGAGCAGCCAUGGGUUAAAUUACUUGCUUUAGGUGGGUAAGGGAAAUUGAUAUUACACCGAUUCUGUCCUCAGCACCAGACUGUGUAAUGUGGGGUCACCAGAAACCUCUGACACAGCUCCUGUCCUCGGGGUGUUUAUGAUGAGGUUUUGAGAAAAGCCAGACUAAUAAGAAUUAGAUUCACAAUGCCAUGUCUUAGCAGGAUGAUAUAGUUUGGGUACUUGUCCUCUCCAAAUCUCAUGUUGAAAUAGAAUCCCCAGUGUUGGCGAUGCAGCCUGGCAGGAGGUGAUUGGGUCAUGGGAGCAAGUCUCUCAUGAAUGGUUUAGCACCCUCCCUUUGGUAAUAAGUGAAUUCUCCCUCUGAGUCCACAUGAGACUUGGUUGUUUAAAAGUGUGUGGCACCUCCCUCCUUUGCUUUCUUUGUUCCUGCUGUCACCUUAUGAUACCCCCCUUUACCUUCUGCCAUGAUUGAAAGUUUUCUAAGGCCUCACCAGAAGCUGAGCAAAUGUUGGCACAUGCUUCCUGUACGUCCUGCAGAUCCAUGAAUCAGUUAAACCUAUUUUCUUUAUAAAUUAUCCAACCUCAAGUAUUUCUUUAUGGCACCACAAAAAUGGCCGAACACACAAGAUAUGUCUGCUUGGCCUCCAAAAUAAAUCUCAGGUCUCUGAUUCUGCCUCUAUCAACCUACAUUAGGCCACCAUCGUUUCUCACCUAAACCACAACUAUAUUCCCCUAAAUGAUCUUCUUGCUUCAGUUUUUUUCCUUGUACUGGUUUAUCCUACCUAUGGCAACCAGAGUUAUUAUUUAGAAUGUAAAACACAGCGGCUGGGCACAGUGGCUCACGCCUAUAAUCCCAGCACUUUGAGAGGCAGAGGAGGGUGGAUUACCUGAGGUCAGGAGUCCCAGGUCAGCCUGACCAACAUAGUGAAACCCCAUCUCUGCUAAAAAUACAAAAAAAUUAGCUGGAUGUGGUGGUGGCACCUGUAAUCCCAGCUACUCAGGAGGCUGAGGCAGGAGAAUCACCUGAACGCGGGAGGUGGAGGUUGCAGUGAGCAGAGAUCAUGCUGUUGCACUCCAGCCUGGGUAACAAGAGUGAAACUCUGUCUCAAAAAAUAAGAUAAGGCAAGGUAAGAUAAGAUAAGGUGAGAUAAGACAAGAUAUGAGCACAUCAUAAAAUGAUCUUGCCAAAAAAAAGACCAUUCAUUGAUGUCCCAGUGCACUUAAAAAUCCUAACUCUUUCUUACUGCCUGGAAAUCUUUACAUGAUCACUGCUAAAAUCUCAGAUCUUGUGUGCUACCCCUCUGCCCCUAAGGUCACUACCCUCUGAUCACAUUAACUUUCCUGUUCUUUGAAGAUGUCUUGGAACUUGCCAUUGUUUCUGUGUGAAAUGUGUUUUUCCUGUAUGCUUAGGUGUAUCACUCCUCGUUAUCCAGGGUUCACUUACAUCUCGCCUCAGUGAAGAGAUUUAGCUUGAUUGCCCCAUCCAAAAAGAUCUUAUUUGUUAACUUAUUUACAUGGAUACUAUGUCUUCCCCAACUUCAAGUUCAUGAGGUCUGUGUUUCUGUCUUGUUUAUCACCCCAGGCUCAAUGUCUUAAAAUAGCACCUCGUAGGCUCUCAAUAACAGAAGAUGGCACCAAAUUAAUACACUGAAAAUGCCACAAGAUUUUAGAUAAAUGUAAAAACAUUCAGGCUUUGAUUAUUUGGUGAACAUUUUGAGGCAUUACGUGAGUUGGAGCAAAACUCUUGAGGUUAAAUAAUAUUUGAAUGGGCUCUGAGAGGCAAGGGGAGCGUGGCCAUGCUUGUCCCCCCACCCUUAUCUGUAUUCUGAUAAGAAAAUACAGAAUAAAUUUCUUUGAAAUUAAAAAAUAACUCAAACUCUCUGUAAUUAUUUUUCUUUAAUUUUCUGAGAGAAGGUUUUUUUUUAAUUUGGAGAAAUUUUUAAAAAUUAAAUAAAAACUAGAAAUAAUACUUAAUGUCUUGACAAAGUAUUAACUUGAUCUAGUUUCAGAAAGAUCUCAUUAAACUGCCUGAUAAAGUGAUUAUUCAGUGCCACUUUCAUAGAGUUUUCAGUAAUUAUCUGAAAUGAUUUUUAGAAUGAGGCAACGUUUUCCUUUUUUUUUUUUUGAAACAGAGUCUCGCUCUGUCACCCAGGCUGGAGUGCAGUGGCGUGAUCUCGGCUCACUACUACCUCCGCCUCCUGGGUUCAAGCGAUUCUCCUGCUUCAGCCUCCUGAGUAGCUGGGACUAUAGGCACGUGCCACCACCCCUGGCUAAUUUUUUGUAUUUUUAGUAGAGAUGGGGUUUCAUCAUGUUAUCCAGGAUGGUCUGGAUCUCCUGACCUUGUGAUCCACAUGCCUUGGCCUCCCAAAGUGCUGGGAUUACAGGCGUGAGCCACCGCACCUGGCCAACAUUUCCCUUUUCAGUAGCAGGUGAAACCGUCUUGGUAUUGACACAGAAAUGCUGAUAGGAAAAGGUGAUGAACUCAUACACACUAAAAAUAUGACAUCUACCUCUAAAAGUUUUAGAAAUAUGUGGAAAGCAUUCUUGGCCCUUUUCUCCUAAGUUAAGACUGUUCGCAAAUCACUUUUGAGAGCGAAGUGACGAUGACAUUUUUCUCACUCAAGUCCUAACUCAUUUCUAGGCAUAUAAUUUGAAUUAAACCCUUAUAUAUAAUUUUCUAAUUAGAUUUUUCUUCUUUCAUGGCUUUUUAAGCUUUACAUAACCUUUGUGCUUCCUUUUUCCAUUAAUCCUUCAAAUGCCAGCAUCCUGCCAAGAGGGUAUUUACCGCAGUAUUUCCAUCAUUGUUAACAGAGCCACAAGUUUUUUUCCAGUAUAUUGAAAUUACCCAUCCAUGAGAAAAUGCAGUCUUGGAUUUUUAAUUAUUUAGUUGACGCUUAUUCAACUAUAUGAUGUAAGUAGGCCUUUUCUCCCUAAUGUUUUAUUACCAGUUAAAGCACAGACAGGUAUUUUACUUUAAUUUAGAUAUAGAGUAGGUAACAGAGAGCUGAAAUUUUAAAAAUUAGAUAAAUUUUUUGGUAGUUAGUUUUAUAGUUAAUCUUCUCUCUUUUUUUUUUUUUUUGAGACAGAGUCUCGCUCUGUCGCCCAGGCUGGAGUGCAGUGGCGCGAUCUCUGCCCACUGCAAGCUCCGCCUCCCGGGUUCACGCCAUUUUCCUGCCUCAGCCUCCUGAGUAGCUGGGACUACAGGCGCCCGCCACCACUCCUGGCUAAUUUUUUUGUAUUUUUUAGUAGAGACAGGGUUUCACUGUGUUAGCCAGGAUGGUCUGGAUCUCCUGACCUCGUGAUCCGCCCACCUCGGCCUCCCAAAGUGCUGGGAUUACAGGCGUAAGCCACCGCGCCCGGCCUAAUCUUCUUAAUUUGUCACUUAGAGUAGGGCAGUCGCCACAAUAUGGAAAUGAGCUGGGAUUAGUGUUAUCACUGGGAAGUGAUUGUAACUUUUGGGUUUGUACCAAGAAGUAUAUAGAAUUGCUUAAACUUCUGCAUGAUCAAUUACUGCAGAUUUUUGCACCUAGCUCCACUACGUAGUCCAUCACAUUUCAUAGGGCGAUUUCUCCACUCCUUUAUCAUAGAACCUUAGGAGAGAAUGUUCUUUUAUAACUCCCUUGAUGGAGUUGCUUAAUGCUGCCUUUAAUUUAAUUGAAAAUGGUUGAUCAAUAAAGUCACUUUUUAUGGAUUUAUUUCUACUGUUUGAUGUGGCAAAUCAUUAAUUAUCAUUACCUAAAUUAGCAUGGAUUGCCAUGAAAGUGAAAGGAGUAAAUUGCUUUAUGGAUUUCCUAGUGCAUAGUACACAUAGAACUUUUCUAAAUAUACAUCCUCUUCAGCAGUUAGUUUGUGCCAGAUUUCAAUUCCUACGCUACAAGUUCUCCAGCAAACUAGAGGUGUCCAUGUCCAAGUGGACAUGCUAAAAAAUUCAAAUUUUACAGAAAUUUUACAGAGACCUUACUUUUGUAAGGUCUCCGGAAUCUUUAAAAAAAAUCUAUUUAAUUAUUGAUAGAAUUUUAGUGACCACCAUAGAGGGGAGUACCUGUGUAAGCAGAAAGCAGGAGGAAAUGAACCCAUUUCCAGAAAACGAACUAGACAUUAAGGAGAAAAAAAGAAGAGAAAGAAAAGUAAAAAGAAAGGAGAGCAAAUACCUCUAGGUUUUUUAUUCUGAAAGCCCAUGUUAUGGGUUGAAUUGUGUAUCUCACCUCCGUCCUCCCCGGGAAAAAAAAAUACACACACACACACACACACACACACACACACACACACACACAGACAAUAUUAUACAUAAUAUGUUGAUGUCCUAACCUCUAGUACCUAAAAACCUUAAAACCUCUAGUACCUCAAAAAUUGUAUAUAGUAUGUUGAAGUCCUAACCUCUGUUACCUGUUUGGAAACAGUCUUAACAGAGGUAAUCAAGUUAACAUCAAGUCAUCAGUGUGGGCCCUAAUCUGAUAGGACUAGUGUCCUUAUAAGAGGAAAUUUUGAUACAGACAUACAUAGAAAGAAGAUUAUGCAAAGAGACACAGGGAGAAGAUGCCAUAGGCAAACCAAGGAGAGAGGCCUAGAGCAGCUCUUAGAAGGAACCAAUUUUGCCAACACCUUGAUUUUGGACUUCUGGCCUCUAGAACUGGGUGGCAAUAAGUUUCUGUUGUUUAAACCAUAGCAUUUGUGGUAGUUUGUUACAGCAUCACUAGCAAACUAAUACAGCCCAUAAUUUAUGACUAGCAUUUCAUAUUAAAAUUAAACAUAUUAUAUGAAAGCUUCCCCAAACACUGGAAUACUAUAAUCUAUAAGAGUUGCAUUAACUAUUUUCAUGGAACGUCAGAAUGUGGAAUCCAAAGAAAUUCAGAGCCUAAGCUGGGUACUAUCAAAGCAUUUUAUAAUCAAACAUUCAAGUAUGCUCUGAUUGAGAGAAUUGAUUUCCAUAUGUAUCUUUAAUAAAGGAACCCAACUUUCAUACUUUCAUUGUAUUAACAAGAACAAGGCACAGACUUUGUUAAGCCUGAUUCUGAAUGUUAAGUAAGCCAAGGGUGAGGAACUAAAAUUUGUAGAGAAUUGAGUCAUGUAGUGUCUACUCUACUGUGGGACUCUGGUGUUGGAAUUAUCAAAUGACAAUGUGAAUGCAUCAUAGAGAUUUAUCCUGGACUAGCUUACACUUGGACCAAAGGUGAUUUAUCAGGCUUAUCAUUUUAUAUUGAAGUCCAUAAACUCUCUCUUCUGCAUCCCUCUGUUCGGGAGUGUGUGUGGCAUAGAACAAAUCAGCCUUUGGCACACAUUGGAGGAAAGGGUGUGUGUUUUGUUUUCAUAGGUUUUUUUUAGUGAUGACAAUCAAAAGCCCAUUUUCUUGAUUCCUAUGGAUAUGAAGCCGAUUAAGUAUUGAUAAGGAGUAAGGUAUUAGAGUUUAAAAUCGGGGCCAUCUCUGAGCUACAUGGUUAGGUCAGUGGCACCUUUCUCUGAAUCCAUAAUCCUCCAAGCCAUUUCAGGCCUUUUAUGCAGUCCUACUGCAACCCAGAACUCCUUCUAGGCCUUCCUCUCCAGGAGCAGUUAUGAGAUUGAGUGUUAACUGCUUAUAAGACACCAUAUGCUACACAAAACUUUUUAUAAAUGUUGUGCUUAUAUCAACUUUGACAUUAAUGCUAUUAUAAUCCUCAAUUUACAGAAGAAGAAACUGAGGCUUGAAGCGGUUAAAUGACUUCCCCAGAGACACAUAGCAGUAUAUGCUAGAGGCAGGACUCCAACCCAGAACUGGCAGAAAAGCUGAUACUUUCAAACUUUCAACUAAUGGUCUCUGCAGCCUCCAAAGUAUCAGAUUUCUCCGUCAAAUCCUUCUUGCCUGGUCUGUCUGACCAACUAAUCUCUGAUAAUGUAACGAAGGUUAUAAUAAAUCCCUUCCAGAGAGGAUAUUUGCAUUUAACUGGAUGUUUAUGAAAUAAUGUGCUGGCAGAAAGAAAUGAUACUCAUGGUGGGAAUUUCUCAUUCUUUUUCUGGUGGAAUGUAUAAUCUUGGACAAAUCAUGACCGCAGGAGUCUUCAUUUUAUCAUCUAUAAAUGCCAGGAUUGGGUUAACUACUGUCUAAAGAUCUCUUCCAGAUUCAAAAUUCUAUGAUUCUUUCACAUUAAAUGCAACUCCUUUUCAACAUAUGUGUAUACUUGGCCCUUUAUUGAACCUUUUUAUAAGCUGCCAAUUGGAAAUACACAGUCACGGUAGAUAUGACAAUGAGCAAGUCACUUAAUAACUAUCAGCCUCAGUUUCCUAAUCUACAAAAGGAGGCUAUUAAGAGCACCUACCUCACAGUGUUAAUAUUAUAUACACAAGUAGCAAAAUGUCUGGAACAGAGCAAGGGCUCACUAGCUAUAGCUUUAAUAACGUGAUAACUGAUGGUGUGAUCAGUUCUAUUAUCAUCUCCCUGCAGAAAUCACAGUUUAUCUAAGGUUAUAGUAAAAGCACCCAUCAUGACUUCUUUUAAUCAUAAAGCAUUUCAUGCAGAGUGCAUAUUUUAACUUUGUAUUCUAAAGGCAUUGGUGUCUCACUAAAAGCUGGGCAGUAUUUAUAUCAAACAGUAUAUCAUCUAUGUGUUCAUUUAUGCAUGCAGACUUUCACCCCCCUCCAAGCUAUGAGAACAAUAGGCGCUUUAAAAGUCUGAAGCAAGAAGGAUAUUAGCUCCAUGAAUCUUUAUUUUAAAUUACAUUUCUGAGUUAGAAGUGUCAAAAUGGUAGAACAAGUUAAGCAAGAUUGCAUUCCCCAGUAGGGCUAUUGAUGUUGGUUGCAAAUAAAUUGCUGGAGCAGGUGAUGAUAGCAAAGUCCAUGCCAUCUUUUAUUUAGCAAAGUAUUUCUCUUGUUAACAGCUCCUUCUGCAUGCUUUCCUUUCUUCUGUUUCACAUCAAUCAUAUUUGACACAUUGCCCAAUGUCAGGGUAAAAAAAAAAUGCAGCGUCUGGCUAAUCAUCCAGAUGUUUGGCCUCACACUGACUGAAACAUCUGGUUGUGUAGCUAAAUGUUAUGUUCUUUCAUCCAGUUAUUUUGUGUUCUGUUAGACAGAACUGAAGAAUAAACCCUAGGAUCUUCUUCUAUUAGGAUAAAGCUUAUAGAAUCUCGAACUUGAGAUUCCAGAACCAAGGCCUUACUGGUUCUCAUAGUUGCACAGCUGUCAGCAGAAUCCGGAUCAAUUGAGAUAAUGUGUGUGGAAGCAUUAUAUAGUAUGUGGAGGCAUUAUAUGGAUUUGAGAAGCUCAUGUUAAAAGAAUUCUACUCCCUUUACUUGGUUAUACAAUGGCCAAAGAAUGUUUGUCUUCUGGAAAGAAGUUUUAAAACAGAAUAAAAAUUAAUUGGUGUUAGAAGCCAAGAUUUCAGAGCUAGACCAAUAAUAAUAACAGCUAAGAUAUGUCUGAUGCUAACUCUGAUCCAUGAACUCUUCUAAGUGCUCUGCAUAGAUGUAAAAACAAUCCUUUGAAGUGGACCCUACUCUUUUUUUCCAUUUUACAAAUGAAGUAACUAAGGAUGAGAGUGCAGUUAACAAUUUACCCCAGUUCAGAAGCUCAAAAUUUGGAUUCAGACAAUUUGAUUUCAGAGUCUACGUAUUUAACUUGUAAACUUCCUCUGAAAUCAAAAUGUUUAUUCAGCUUCCAACACCAUCACUUAUUAAACUUGGUUUUGUCACCUUAAAGUGGGGAUAGCAUGACAUACCUUAAAAGGAUUGUUGUAAAGGUUAAUUGAAAGGAUGCAUGUAAAACAUUUAACAAUGUUGUUUUUUGGUAAGUAGUAAGUAAAAGUAGCUAUUUUUUCUCUAUGUUAUGCAAUAUUUGGAAUCAAAUAUUUCAAUACUAAUUUAAAUAAUAUAUUCUAAUAAUCUCACUUUCUGAAAAUUCAUUCAAUAUAAUUUUUUUUUCUUGGAAGAACAUUCCUAGCAGGUUAAGCACUUUUGAUCAACUCUUGAUAUAGGCUGUUCUUAAAAUAAUUGGAAGUCCACAAAUUAUAUGUUUCUGGAAACUAUUCUGAAUAUGGAAAAUUAUAUUCCUUUUUCUUUUUAAUGAACAUAUAAUGAGUAUGUAUUAAGGGGAAGAUAUAUGCUGAGCUUCCUCUUGCCUUCCUUUUCUCCCCCUUCAUUUCUGUCACCCUGCCUUUCCUAUCUUCACAAUGGUCCUGUACAGUAAACUUUGUUUGCUUUUGCAUUUGAACUUUAGGAAUCAAGGUUUUUAAAGAAGCUGCAUCAUGUAUCAUAAAUAAAAACGAAAAAAAUGAAGUGUAAUAUUUUAAACUGUUUUAGAACAUGAGGCUCAGUGUUCUAUCCAACAGGCUAUGAAAUAUUGCUGUUACUAAUAAGUAUGAUGAUGAAAGCCACUGAUUCUUGGACAACUACUAUAUGCCUGACAUAUUGCUGGGUGCUUUGCAUACAUUUUCUCAUUUAACGCUUAGAAGUUCUUGUGAUUGACACUUGGGUAUCAUGAGCAACUUUGCUCACCAUUUUUUCCUAUGGUCCGGCGUCUUUAGUCACUUGUAUUACUGUUGUUCAGAGUGACCUUUAUUUGAUUCAUUUACCUUUCAGAAUCUUCUAUUACUCAUGUAUGAGGACCACACAUUUAUAAUUAGGGAGUAAAUUUGGUCAUCAACUCGGAUAAGGCAAUGGGCAAAUCUGACAUGUUUUCAAAGACUUUUCAGUAUGCUAACUUUCAGUAGGGCUGGUUUCUAUAACAGCUACGACAUCUUUUGUCAACACUCAGGCUGAUUAAAUUGCAAGAUUAUAAUGUUUUCCGACCCUAAGUGAAAGUGACACAUUCUUGUUCUUUUAGUGGCUUCAUAAAAGUCAAAUGUUUAAUCUCAGGAGGAAAUUUAAAAGAUGGAAGUAAAACCUUAAUGAGAUGCAACAUAAAUAAUAGAAGUCCCUUUGCGUGAAAUGACUUGUGAUGAGGUUUCUUCAAAGGAACAAACUAUAAAAUGGAGUGUUUCAGAAACCUAAAAUACACUAGUAAACACUGCGUUUUAAAAAUAUGGUAUCAAUGAUACUCAGCAUUCAGUAAAUAAAAAGAGUUAGACAACUGGUGUCUGUAAAAAUGUUAAUUUUCCAAAACACUAUAAAUGUAUCACCAAAAAAUAAACAUUUUUUAAAAAAAUUAGGUGACUAUUUUCAUGAAUUUUUAGUCCAUGAAACCUGAGGAGUUACUUGACCACAGCAAAGAUUCUUUCUAAUCCUUUAUCCAGCCUUUUGUGCAAUAGUACCUCCUGUUCCACUCACAUUUCACAUGCCUGUAUGCAUGUACAUUCAGAUGUGCCUGUCUUUGUCUCCCAGUGCUUGUUACACAGAAGGUAUUCAAGAAAUGGUAGCCAUUCUCACAAUAUCAUUCCUAUUACCAUUUAAAAAUGUAUGUGGAAAAGGGUAAAGUGCAAACCUGGGUUGUUAAAAUACCGGAAGGAUAUCUAUAAUUUAACACCAGUUCAUUUUUGUUUUCAAAUCACUCCAAAAUGCCCUCACUUAUUGGUUUAGAAAUAAUGUAACAAAACAAAUUGUGUUGUGUCUCCAAAGAACAUUUUGCUAAGUGCCAGAGCUGUAUAUAACACUAAAGUAGAUGCUGACAUAUGAGGAUUGUGAGAGAUGAAUGGUGAUAUUUGGCUUUUGCUUCCCAAGUAUAGGUCGUGUCCGAGGUAUAGAUAAUUGUUGUUGGUUUAUGAUAAUUCGACUUGCGGAGUUAGGUCAGUCAGCAUAGAUGCAUAUUUUUUGGAUGGUUUUUUAACAAUGUUGCUUAAAAUUUUAAAUCAGAUUAUUUGCCAAAGGGGGGUGACAAGAUUUGGUUAUUAGCAAAAAGGAAAAUAUUAAUCUAGAUUUGUUUGGUCUUAGUACUGAUUAUGAAUAAGUCAUCAAUAGUUAAUGAUAAGGAAUCAGUCUGCUGUGCCAUAUUGGUAGAUGAAAUGCUGCUACUCCUCCUAUUCCUGGGCUUUUCUGUCCCCCACCCCCUUCCUUCCCUCCUUCCUCUGUCCCUCCAACUCUUCUUCACAUCUCCCAACUCCCCCAAUUCACUUCUUUUCCACUGCAUGCCAUGUUACCCUAUGCCUAGUUAUGAUCCUAAUUGUAACCCUAGUUAGAGUAGACACAAAGUAAACUCAGGAGCAGGGAUUAUAAAGCUCAAAAUUGUUCCUCGGCUCCGCAUUUUGUGUUUAUUAACCUAUUUUACCCUUGCAGCAACUCCAAGCAAGUCUGUAAAUUUUAGCAUUGAGAGUUCUCCAUUUUGUGAGACCCCUCUGUCUGGUCAAAGUGGGAUGACAGUUGGUCACUAUAGCAUUCAAUAAUUAUCCACUAUGGUUAUUUUUAUUCUUACAGCUUUUAUUGAAAGUUUCUUUUUAACCAUAGUGCCAAAGACAAAAUAAACAAUAAAUAUUAAUGAUUUUCUUGGCUUCUAUUUAUGAUAUUGUUAUUUUACUUUUAAAUUCUUUGGUAUCUUCUGCCCUUUCAUCUUUUCUGUUCUGUUCAGUCAAGACUUAGCUGAUCCUAUCUCAACCUCAAACAUAUCUUUUCUAUUUCAUCUCUUGACUAGUUAGAAACUUUCACGGCAGCUAAAAUCUCCCACACAAAUCUGAGUAAAGAAACCCUAGAGGUCAAAGAUUGUAGUGUAAAUAAAAGUAUUUUCCUUUAUAUAUGAUAUAAUUUAUAUGUGUUAUAUAAUAUGAAGUCUCAAUUAGAAUAGGGAAAAUGAAAUUCAAUAAUUAUUAGAGUAUUAUUUGCGAAGUGUUCUGCUAAUAUUUUUCCUCCUAUUAAUCAAAAUUAGUUUUGUAUUUUUUUUCCAUAGCAAAGUAGUCUAACAAUAGAGAAGAAUGUCUUUUAAAAGACUAAAUUAGGUGAAAUCUAUUCUUUUUGUUAAAUUAUCCUAAUGUAAAACCAGGUGGCCUGAUUAAAACUAGCCUUCUUUGCUGCCUCCUACUGUUUCAAGAAAAAGGUCGCCUUAACACUUAGUUUCUCUUGCUGUCUUUUGUUUGGAGUAUGUGUGGGGGUGUGUUAUUUAUGCAGGCAUAGCUCCUCAUUAUGGGAACUCCAAGAGCCUGAUUGUGACUGUUUUUUAAUGCCGCCUGCUGUGUUGUCCUUAAACUCUUGCUUUUCCUGGAAUGCACAACUUUCUCCCAGCUCCUGGUUUAGCCAUUGGUGUCAUGUCUUCAUGCUGCAUCCUUGUGCCUCUGAAAUCGUGUUCAAAAGAGUGUUUAUGUUUCAAAUUCAUCCACAGUCUCACCACAUUUAAAGAUAAUUGCAGAAGGUAAAACACUAUUAAUAGGAACAAAUUUACUAGCAUCUCUUUUACUAUGUGUCUUAUGCAUAAAGCAGUUUCUGGUUGUUGGGUUAUACAGUGCCUAUUGUGAUAGUCUAUUCUACCUUCACCUCCCGCCCCACUGCCUCCCCAUUUAACUAAAGCUCCUGCUGAUAUGUUCAAUUUACUUUUUUUUCUUUUUUUUGAAAUGGAGUCUGGCUCUGUUGCCCAGGCUGAAGUGCAGUGAUGCGAUCUUGGAUCACUGCAACCUAAGCCUCCUGGGGUUCAAGUGAUUCUGCUGCCUCAGCUUCUGGAGUAGCUGAGACUACAGGUGGGUGCCACCAGGCCUAGCUAAUUUUUGUAUUUUUAGUAGAGGCAGAGUUUCACUUUGUGGCGAGGCUGGUCUCGAACUCCUCACCUCAAGUGAUCUGCCCACCUCGUCCUCCCAAAGUGCUGGGAUUAGAGACGUGAGCCACUGAGCCCAGCCUGAUAUGUUCAAUUUGAUAAAUGAAUGUGUUGAAAGAUAUAAAAUGUGUUAAUCCCUAAUUGCAUGUGGCUGUGAUAUUUAAUAUGGCUGAUUCUAAUGGAGUUUGUAACUUAUGGGGAACACUAUGAAUGGGAUAUUAUAAAUAUUUGUAUGAAGUAAUACAAGAGACAUUUCAACAGAAAACCAUGUGAUCUAUGCCCUCCAUCAUUAUUUUCUUUCUGUGUAACAAAUGACCAAGUAAAAGUAGUGAAUUAAAAUAUGAGUAAGUCUAUUUUCACAGUAUUCAUAAUUUAUUAUAAACUUCUUUUUUAAAAAAAUAAAAAAAAUUAACUUCUAUUCCUUUAACAAAGCAAAGCAAACCAACAUUAUUAUCAGCUAAUGCCAUUUGAUUUCGGUUUGGUUUGGUCAGUCUCAGGGUGGCCAAUCAUUUAAGUUUUCUGGGACUGUUCCAAUUUAAGCACUGAAAGUUUCACUUCCUGGGAAAACACACACUCCUUUGAGUAUUUACCGUUGACUUCCAGGUGACCCACUUAAGGGCUUCUUCCAGAAGGGCAGGCAAUAAGACUAUCAAGACUCUUCAAAGCACUCUUCCCCAAAGCCAUUAGAUGAGGUCCAAUUUUCUCAGCUUGAUAUUUCUGAGAACUGCUCUUCCUUUAUUUCCAGGAUUUAAGAAAAAUAAAAUAAACUGAUAUAUAUAUACAUACCUUUAGAAGGAUUCAGAAAAGAAGAAAUGGCCGUUUCACCCCAAUAUGUCACUAUAGAUAUGAAUGCCACUCAUAGAAUUGACACGUCAUGUUUUUAACUUCUGUGCUUUAGGAUUUUCCUGUUUGAAUUGUUUAUGUGCAUGUGAUUUUGGUGGAAUUUCUUCCCCUUUCCUCUGUUCCUUGCUCCUUCUUUUGCUCAGUCAGCAUAGGAACAUAGCUCCCACACUAGGAAGGGCUGGAGGUUAGUAACAUCAAGCAGUGGGCUUUCAAGUUAGUUUGCACCUUGGUUUGGAAGUGUUUGCUCAGGUCUCAGAUACACAGGAGACUGUGUAAUCACUCUUGUGGCAUCUACUACACACAGCACGUGAGUUAUUCCUAAACUGAGCACAGGCUCCUGGGUGGUGAAUCCUAGUCUUUUUAUCUCCUGCAGGCUAAGCCUUGGUAUUUCCUUCAGAUUACACCAAAACCAAAAUAAUGGGCAAUGUUGUCCCUGAAUGUUCAAAUUAGGUUGAGUACACAGAGCCAAAGACUAUCAAAAGAAAGUGUCCUGGCCGGGCAUGGUGGCUCACGCCUGUAAUCCCAGCACUUCGGGACUUUGGGAGGCAGAGGCGAGCCGAUCACGCGGUCAGGAGAUCAAGACUAUCCUGGCUAACAUGGUGAAACCCCGUCUCUACUAAAAAUACAGAAACAAAAUCAGCCAGGCAUGGUGGCGGGCGCCUGUAGUCCCAGCUGCUCCGGAGGCUGAGGCGGGAGAAUGGUGUGAACCUGGGAGGCGGAGCUUACAGUGAGCAGAGAUCGCACUACUGCACUCCAGCCUGACUCUGUCUCAAAAAAAAAAAAAAAGAAAGAAAGAGAGAAAGAAAGAAAGAAAGAAAGAGAAAGAAAGAAAGAAAGAAAGAAAGAAAGAAAGAAAGAAAGAAAGAAAGAAAGAAAGAAAGUGUCCUAAAAGAAGUGGUGGUACCUGUGGGGCGUGUUUGGUGUCAGAGUGUUUCUGCUAAGGUUAUUUUAAUUAGCCUCCUCCCAAAGCCCUCCCCCUAUUCUCCUUGAGGAACUGUUUGACCGUCACAUCCUUAGAAAGGCCAAACCACUACUAACUCUCCUGACCCUCUGCCUUAUCCUCAUACCCUUAAAGAUGUGACUUAAAAGAGAAAAAAUUAUGUUGUUAAUUUCAUCAACUAGGGCAAAGGGGAAAAAUGUUCAUUUCGAUGCAGGAAGUUAAUGGGAGAUGGGAGGAAGCUACGGUUACAAUUCCCAUAAUACAUUAAUGUAUAUUUAAUAUACCACCUUGAUUUGUGGCCUCAAGUUAAAUAACUACAUAUGUUUGCAGCAUAAUUCUUUUCAUAAUUGUGUAGCCUCAAUGGGAUAACAUUUGUAUUAGUUUCCAUAAUCGAAAAUGUCAAAUGCCUGUUUCCACCUUCCAAGUAUUUUGGUUUUAGGUAGCAAAGACAAUUCUUUCAAUGCGUAUCUGUUCUCAUUAAGUUCUGAUUGCUUUAUAAAGAAAUAAAGUCUUUUCCCAUUGUUCUGCUCUGUGGAAGUCACCUUCAGAGUAAGGGUGGGGGUGACUGUCCUUGCCAAUUUUUAAGUAACUGCCUUGCAAGGGUGAUUCCCUACAGAGUUAUUUUCUGCAUAGUUUCCCUCUGGGUACAGAAUGUGGGAAAGUAGAUGCAACGCAUUUUAGAGUAGUCAUUUGCUCUAAUAAUUAGCAUUAUAGUACAGUGUAUGGGCUGGCUUCCUGUUGAGGUCUAGAUUUCUACAUAUAAUGUAGGUUUUUCUAUUCUGUCCUAUAUUAAUUUCAUUGGAGUUACUCUUUAUCAGAGCAAACAUCCGUAACAUUUAGUCUUUUUUUUUUUUUUUUUGGAGACAGAGUCUUGCUCUGUCGCCCAGGCUGGAGUACAGUGGCGUGAUCUUGGCUCACUGCAACCUCUUCCUCCAAGGUUCAAGUGAUUCUCCUGCCUCAGCCUCCCAAGUAGCUGGGAUUACCGGUGUGUGCCACCACACCUGGCUAAUUUUUGUAUUUUUAGUAGACAUGGGGUUUCACCAUGUUGAGCAGAGCAAUAACUCUGUAGGGAAUCACCCUUGCAAGCCAGUUACUUAAAAAUUGGCAAGGACAGUCACCCCCACUAUUACUCUGAAGGUGACUUCCACAGAGCAGAACAAUGGGAAAAGACUUUAUUUCUUUAUAAAGCAAUCAGAACUUAAUGAGAACAGAUACGCAUUGAAAGAAUUGUCUUUGCUACCUAAAACGAAAAUACUUGGAAGGUGGAAACAGGCAUUUGACAUUUUCGAUUAUGGAAACUAAUACAAAUGUUAUCCCAUUGAGGCUACACAAUUAUGAAAAGAAUUAUGCUGCAAACAUAUGUAGUUAUUUAACUUGAGGCCACAAAUCAAGGUGGUAUAUUAAAUAUACAUUAAUGUAUUACGGGAAUUGUAACCGUAGCUUCCUCCCAACUCCCAUUAACUUCCUGCAUCAAAAUGAACAUUUUUCCCCUUUGCCCUAGUUGAUGAAAUUAACAACAUAAUUUUUUCUCUUUUAAGUCACAUCUUUAAGGAUAUGAGGAUAAGGCAGAGGGUCAGGAGAGUUAGUAGUGGUCUUGAACUCCUGACCUCAGGUGGUCCGCCUACCUUGGCCUCCCAAAGUGCUAGGAUUACAGGCGUGAGCCACUGUGCCCAGCCAUUUGUAAUAUUUACAGAGCAUUGCUCUUUUUCUUAUCAUGGAAAGUUAUUCCAAUAUCUAUUCAUUCUAUACACAUUUAUUAAGCAUCUACUAUGUGCCAAUGUUAAAGAGGUGAAAGUGUAACCUUGGCCCUCAGACUGACUUUUUGCAGGUUAUGCUGAAAGAUGAAUGCUCAGUAAUAGCUCGUGCCUUAAGACGUGGCCGAGCAAGCUUUGGAGGUAAAAUAGCUCAUGGAGUUUUUAUUUAUUUAUUUAUUCUUUAAAAAUGGUCACAAAGAUUUCAGAUAAACAAUCUGAGUAUGGCUAAAUUAUUUUUCUUAGGUAAACAUAGGAGGCAAGAAAUUAAAAGGGUGGGAGAAACAUUAAUUAGGCUAUGCUCUUAUCAAGUAGUGUGACCUUAGCGAAUUUACCUAAUCUUUUUGAACCUCAGUGUCCUCAUUUAUAAAAUGGAGGCAUAACUUUUUAUGAAGAUUAAGAUAAUGUGUGAACAAUCUGUGCAGUAGUAGUUGCUCAAUAAAUGGUAGUGAUUUUCACAUGUAUUUGGACUAUUGUAGAAUAUAGAAAAGAAUAUCAUGCAAACUCUAGUCCUUUAAAUAUGAGUGAGGAAGAGGAAUCACCUGUGUGUAUGUGAUUAAAGCUGUUAGCUAUGAUGAAGGCAGGGUGAUUUUUCUCUGAAGGGUAAUUCGAGUACAGAGAUAUUACUUUGAAGAAGUAAUAUGUUAAAUGAAAUCAUUGGGGCUGAAAGUGGUAACAACAUUCUGGGAAAGGAGCCGUUUACUCUCUUCACCUCUAAGAUAAACCAUAAUGCAUGCAUGUAUUUAAUAAACUGUGAUAGCUAGAGCUGUUUCACUGGGGCAUCAGUAAGCUAUCCUCAACCCCCUUUUCUUUUCUUCCAGCUUUUCACUUCCAACCCCCUAAGUUUUAUCAGAAUUAGUUAAUACUGAGUCCAGCUGAAUACAUUGCUUGUUAUAAAUAGAAUGCUUUCUCCCUUCCUCUGCCCCUGACCAAACAAUUGAUUACAAAGUUUAUCUGCUGAGUGCGGUGGCUCAUGCCUGUAAUUCCAGCACUUUGGGAGGCCGAGGUGGGUGGAUCACUUGAGGUCAGGAGUUUGAGACUAGCCUGGCCAACAUGGUGACACCCCGUCUCUAUAAAAAAUAUAAAAAUUAGCCCAGUGUGUUGGUGCAUGCCUGUAAUCACAGCUACUUGAGAGGUUGAGGCAGGAGAAUCACUUGAACCCAGGAGGCAGAGGUUGCAGUGAGCUGAAAUCACGCCACGGCACUCCAGUCUGGGUGACGGGCUAAAUAGAAUGAAAAAGGAAUGACCCAUACCUGAAAUGUUUAACAUAAUAAAAUGACUGAUAUCGAUUGAUGACGUUGAGAGCAAUGACCAGAUAUAAGGGAACAAUGUGUUUUUACUUGGAUUGUAGAUAUCAAGAAUACAGGAGAAUGGAAUGGGAGGGCUAACAACUCUAGACAACAUGGCUGCAAUCUAUGACUUUGCAUUCUUGCUAUAAUUUACUUUCAGUGCUUUUACAAAUGUAAGACUCUCGAGGCCAGCAGUGUAUCUUUUACGCUAUUCAUUCUACUUUUAUAAUUAUUAUUAUUAUUAUUAUUAUUAUUAUUAUUAUUAUUUGCAACCUCUGCCUCCAGGUUUCCAACAAUUCUUCUGCCUCAGCCUCCCGAGUAGCUGGGAUUACAGGCGCGGGCCACCAUGCCCAGCUAAUUUUUUAUUUUAUUUUAUUUUAUUUAUUUAUUUUUUAUUAUACUUUAAGUUCUAGGGUACAUGUGCACAACGUGCAGGAUUGUUACAUAUGUAUACCUGUGCCAUGUUGGUGUGCUGCACCCAUUAACUCGUCAUUUACAUUAGGUAUAUCUCCUAAUGCUAUCCCUCCCCUCUCCCCCCACCCCACCACAGGCCCCAGUGUAAGAAAUACAAUAAACAAAGUAUCUUUUAUUUUGGCUACGUAGUUAUGUUGAGGGUCAUUCAUCGUCCUCCAGUUUAGCCUAUUUGGAACGGUACUGGUUAAUCUCAAUAAACAAAUAACAUUGUCAGUUUAAUUGUUCAAUUAUUGGAGGGAAAUAAAUAUAUAUUAACCUAAAUGUUAAAUUCUGCAGGAAAAAAACUGAUUAGACAUAGACAAUAUCAACAUGGGUUUGUUAAAUAACUUGCCUUCCAACAGGACCCAACCAGAAAUUGGAACCUAUGUUUCAUAGAAACAUGAUUCUUAGAAAUGAUCUUUACACAAUUGUAAAACAAAGGGAAGAUUAUGUGACGCAGAUGCCAAGAAAUCAGACCUAGGCACCAUGUACAAGUAUACAAGCAAUGCCGAGUUCAUCAGUCCCAUGGCUGCUGCUAAAUUGGGCUUUAUCCCCAGCAAAUUAACACAGUUCCAGCAGGCACGAUAAGUUUACUCUGACCAGAUUACUGGGUUGAAUGGCAUAUGCCGUUAUUUUAGAAAGAUGCAGAAUAACAUUUCCAUUUAGAGUCCUGGCAGAACAAAGCUUGGAUUUGGGCAAUAGAUAAAAACACAUAGAGAGUAUUUGCAGAUGCAUGUGAUAGAUAGAAAUGGUGAGUGACCAUUUAGAAAUUUAGAAUUGGAAUUUUUUUUUUUUUUUUUGAGUCUCGUUCUGUCACCCAGGCUGGAGUAGUGCAAUGGUGUGAUCUUGGCUCACUGCAACCUCCACCUCCUGGGUUCAAGCAAUUCUCCUCCCCCAGCCUCCUGAGUAGCUGGAAUUAUAGGCGCCCACAACCGCACCUGGCUAAUUUUGUAUUUUUAGUAGAGACAGGGUUUCGCCAUGUUGGCCAGGCUGGUCUCAAACUCCUGACCUCAGGUGAUCCACCUGCCUCGGCCUCCCAAAGUGCUGGGAUUAUAGGCGUGAGCCACUGCACCCGACAAAAAUUGUCUCUUUUUUGAUAUUUCCUAGAGCAGUGUGGCUCAUUUAGAUUGAAAUAUCUGUCAGAAGCUAUAUACCAGUUCCAUUGAUUUCAACAUUAAAAUGUCUCCACAUAUUCUUCCGCAUCCUUCUUCCAGCUCAUAGCUGUAAUUAGUGUUAUGCUCCAUGGAGUGGCAGAAGACCAGCUGAACAAACAGCCAUGUACGUAGGAACAGUUCCAGGCAGCUAAAAGAGCUUCUUCCUCACUUGCCACUAUCUUAAAUGGUAUCUGGUGUCUACAGUUGCUCCUUCUACUUUCUUAAGAAAAAAAAAAAAAAAAUCCAAAUGGAAAAGAGGACUCUGAAGACAAAUUAGUCCUUUACAAUUAUAAUUUUAUUUGAUUUCAAAGCAGUACUUGGUAUAGCACCAGUCCAAACAGAUUGGAAGAAUGAUAUUUUCAUUCCAGCUCCUGCAUAGAAUAUCUUUGUGCUUUUCAAUUGCUUUAGGGAGCUUGCAACAAUAGAAUCCUGUUAAAUCUAACACCAUUUUGAACUCUUCCUUGCCGAUAUUGUGAUAAGAAAUUUAUACCUGGCCCAGGUUUAUCUCUGUUGAUAAUGGGCUUCAUGGCUAUAGGGACAUGUUGAUAUGGUGAGCUAGCACCUAUCAUUUUGACACCUACUCUUUAGUAGACAUAGAGAAUAAUGGGUGCUUGGGGUAAAGUGCUGGAGAAGAGUGUCAGCAGUCAGUGUGUAUGAACCUAGUGAUGGAUGUCUCUGUGUUUGUGCUGUGGCCAUAUCUGUAUGGCUAUCAUUCUUUCUUCCUCUUCUCAUUUCUUUUAAUUUUCCUUCAACAGUCUUUCAUUUGUUGCUUCAAUUCACUCCAUUUCUCCCCAGUUCUUCUUUUUUCUGUCUUCUAUAAUUCUAGAUAAAAUUAUGACAUGACUUAAAAUAUCCUCCUUUUUUGUCCGUGAUUGCUUUCAAUGGUUCUAAUGACCCCAUUGGAAGUCUGGUGAUUAGGCCCUGAGGGGCCACAGUAAUGGAAACCUUGUGUUCAGCCUUCAUAAGGGUGAUCCAAAAAUGUUAUUACAUUACUUACACCUCUUUCUGUAAGUAUUUUUUCUUCAUUCACUUCGAAGUAUGGGAUGCUUCCCAUGUGCAGGAGAAUUAGCUCAUUCAUAACUCAAAGGCAAGUAAUUUCAUGUUUUGCUAUUUAUAAGAGAGGAGUCUAUCAUGCAAGGAUGCAAAGGAGUAUGAAAUCAGUCACAAAUGUAGGAAAUAAAAGGCAAUAAGCUUCCAUUAAACCAAACAAAAGAAAAAUUAAUAAUUAGGCAGUCUCUUUGCAAGUACAUAAUAAUAAUACUCUAUUUUUCAAUGAAUCAAUUAGGUAAAAAUGAAACAAAAUAAAUGCAAAGAGAGCCCUCAAAAAUAUAUCACUUUUACAUAUGUAAUAUAAGUUGAACAUCUCAUUAGAAUAAUGUGACUUUUUUAAAAUUUAUUUUUGCUUCCUAGAGUUCAUAAAUCUUCAGGUGGUAAGUAGGGGUUCUUUAGCUAUUCAUAAUGCAACUUGCUUAGGUUAAUUAGUAGAGACCCUUUCCCUUCACAGCUGAAUAUGAGUGCCCCUACUUACUAUUCAAAAAUCCCCAAAACCAGCACUCUUCUAUAUAUUGGUGCUUGGAAGAGAUUGUAUUUUUCAUUGACCUGCAAUAUUAGGUAUUUUAUUAUAAAUAAAGUCUCAAACAGGCUUUAUUUUAUUUGUCAGAUUCUCUUUUGGUUUCGUCUCAUAAAAUAUUAGCUGAAUAGUUAUUAUAUAAAAAGGAAAUGAUCAGAAUAUCACAUUUCGGGUGGUGGUGUUUAGUUUGUGGGUUCCUUCAUGUGACAGGUUGAACUGGGUGGUAGAGAAUUCUGAGUUCUGUACAACAGAGUGAUUGAUUUCUCGGUUUGCAUUUCUUGGCAUCUGGCAGUGACACCACUGCAGACCGAGAGCAGAAAAUGGACAGUAGGGAAAAAUGCAACAUUUCUACUUGGUCCAGCUGCCUUUGAAGGAUGCUGAUGUUUCAUUUUUUAUUUCUUACCCCAAACAUAUUUAUUUGCUGAGUCAUUAAAUAGGGCAAGUGUUAUUUCUUUCUUUGUAUUUGCCAUCUCACCACAGAAGAGUUUUAUUGGCCGGGCGCGGUGGCUCACGCCUGUAAUCCCAGCACUUUGGGAGGCCGAGGCGGGUGGAUCAUGAGGUCAGGAGAUCGAGACCAUCCUGGCUAACAAGGUGAAACCCCGUCUCUACUAAAAAUAUAAAAAAUUAGCCGGGCGCGGUGGCGGGCGCCUGUAGUCCCAGCUACUCGGGAGGCUGAGGCAGGAGAAUGGCAUGAACCCGGGAAGCGGAGCUUGCAGUGAGCCGAGAUUGCGCCACUGCAGUCCGCAGUCCGGCCUGGGCGACAGAGCGAGACUCUGUCUCAAAAAAAAAAAAAAAAAAAGAAAAAAAAGAAGAGUUUUAUUAAACCAUCUCGAAUCGAUAUUGUUUUGGCACAAAUUGCACUAAUAACUUGAAUAUAUAGUUUUGUUUUUUUAAAGGUGCCUUCAAAAUCUGAUACGUAUAAUGUAUGUUAAAAUUGAUAUUUCUGUGAAAGAGGUUAAGAUCAGACCGCUUUCUGAUUGCAGAGAUAAAAUUGAUAGUUAACAAGUAUUUAUUAAACAUCUAUUAUGUGACUAGUACUAUGCUAGGGCAUGAUGAAAAUGAUUCAAGAUGAACCAUGCAAGCACCCCUCUCUUCAGCACCUCUGUGUGUAAAACAUAAACAGAAUGCUAUGAUUAACACUGAAAGGGUUCAGUCCGGGAUACUUGGGAUAAAAAUCGGAGCACUGAUAAGUUACUUGUCAUGUACUUACUUUUUUAAAAAUUUAAAAUUUUUUAAUUAUGGGUACAUAAUAAGUAUAUAUGUAUGGUAUACAUGUGAUAUUGUGAUACAGGCAUAUAAUGUGAAAUAUCACAUCAAGAUAAUUGGAGUAUUCAUUACCUCAAGCAUUUACUGUUUCUUUGUGUUAGGAACAUUCCAAUUCCACUUUUUUAAUUUUUAAAAAUAUGCAAUACAUAAUUGUUGACUAUAGUCACCCUGUUGUGCUAUCAAAUGCUAGAUUUUAUUCAUUCUAUCAAUGUUUUUGCACCCGCUAACUGUCUCUACCUUUCCCUUCUCUCCCCAAUACCCUUCCCAGCUUCUGGUAACUGUCAUUCUACUCUCUAUCUUCAUGAGUUCAAUUGUUUUAAUUCUUAGCUCCCAUAUAAAAGUGAGAACAUUCCAUGCACUUCUAAUUUAGACUCUUCUCCUCUUUCUCUGUCUUCUUUUUUUCCAUAGCUCACUAAUUUUGGGCAUCUCUUCUCAUUUACAGUAGCUUGCUGCUCUUCAUUCAUUAAUUAUUACAAUAUAUAAUUCUACCAAGAAGCCCAAAGAACUAUAGUGUUUUUAUGUCAUUAUUCUCAGUUCAGAAAGAAAGCAUGUGUGUGGCACAGGGAAGGCAUUUGAAUGAAUGUAUGCAUUUUCUGGAUAGCAUUCUCGAACAGAGAUUUGAUGAGAGUCACAUGGAUAAUUUUAACUUUUCUAGUAGCAAUAUUAAAAACACAGAAAUAGCUUCUCAAUAACUGAAUCAGUAAUCCAUUUUUAAAAUCUUUUUCAAUUCAUUAAAAUUAAAUAGAAUUAAAAACUCAGUCCCUUAGUCUUUUUUUUUUUUUUUUUUUUGGAGAUGGAGUCUUGCUCUGUCACCCAGGCUGGAGUGCAGUGGCGCAUUCUUGGCUCACUGCAAGCUCUGCCUCCUGGGUUCAUGCCUUUCUCCUGCCUCAGCCUCCCAAGUAGCUGGGACUACAGGCGUCCACCACCACGCCUAGCUUAUUUUUUGUAUUUUUAGUAGAGACAGGGUUUUACUGUGUUAGCCAGGAUGGUCUCGAUCUCCUGACCUCGUGAUCCACCAGCCUCAGCCUCCAAAAGUGCUGGGAUUACAGGCGUGAGCCACCACGCCCUGCCCCCUUAGUCUGACUGACCAAAUUUCAUGUGUUUACGGAUUGACAACCAUGUGGGUAGUGCAGGUUUUGGAUGCAUGGCAGGCUGAAGCUUAUGUAGCACAUAUUUGACCUUCACAUUUUAUUAAGUCUAAUUUUUUAAAGUUUUGUCUGUUCAUUUACAUGUGGAAGGAUGAUAGAAAUAUAGGAAGAGACAUGACAGAAAGCUUGCCUAGGACUCAGAUCAAGGAUUCAGAUUUCCCAAUUCCGGCUUCAGGGCCCUGUUCUGUAACAUCACAUCAGGGAAAGGAAAAUGAGAGAAAAGAAGAAAGAAUAAGAACUAAUGUUAAUUCAUGUCAGACACAGUGCCAAAGAUCUUUAUUUGCAUUAUUGUUAUUAUUUUUUAAAAAAUAAAUAGACUAGCACGUAGCCUAGCUUACACACUUCUCAUUGUAUAGAUGAGGAAACUGGGAAUCAGUUAAACUUUAUAACCACACCAAGAUCAUUGAGCUAGUAAGUGGCAGGCUUGGGAUUUAAGAAAGCUUGUAAUGAUGUUACAUUUGAUGGUUUAAACUGUGCUGUGGGAAGGGAAUCCAAGAAGAUAAUCCCAUGUUUCUGCUUCUUGUGAUGUUUGCAAAUCUGUGUUCUGGAGUAAGUCUUUGAGUUGACUCUUGGAGCUUCUGAAACGUCUAUUGGAUAUACUAUAACCAAAGAUAAAUAAAUAAAUAAAAAGAUCAGGGUUCCUGAACGUUUUCAUCUUUACAUUGAUUGCAAUGAUUACAAGUGAUCAUUUCAUCACUUGGAGCAUUAUUACCUCUAUGGGGCUUUACAUGAUACUGACUUUGUCAAUAAAAGGACAUAUUAGGAGCAGGAUUUCUGUUUGGGCCAGAACAAGGGGACAUACCCUAUUUUUAAAAUUCCCCAGUUUAGGAAUUGAAGUGACUGCAUACUAAAGUUGGCCAAAUUUCAUGUGGCUAUGGAAUGAGAAUAUAUGAAAAGUUGGUUGUAAAAACAAUUAAGAGGAUUGGGGCAGACUAUUUUAUGGAUCCCUUCCUCCUUAGCUUCUGAAAUGAACUAACAUUGAUUCUACAACCACUUAUUAAAUACCUACUUUUUGCCAUGGCUGAUGCUAAGUGUUGAGGCUAGAAAUGCAUAUGAAUUAUAUUUUAAUAAGCACAGAAUAAAGAAAACUUGUCUUCCUAAUUUUUACUUUAAAAGACUUUUAUCUCAUUGUUUAAGUGCCAUAAUUGUACAAAGCAUGCUGUUCUGAGUUCAGUGUUUCUUGGCUCAUUCUCAGUCAAUACUCUGCAUAGCAUCUUUGAAUUCCUUACUCAUCAAAGGGUAAUGAGUUAAUUUGUGUACUCUACCUCUGCCACCUUUUGAGCUGUGUUGUUGACCAUUCCCUAUACAUUUGCAUCUCUGUCUGCCAGAAGAUGUACCAGGAAAAUAAAAGCAGCAGAAAAUCUUAUAACUUCCCACCUAGACAUCAGUCACCAUCAGAGUUUGGUCUGGAAACAGAAAAGUUUAUUUAAAACAAAAUUGGUACUCUGUGAAUAUUUCAACCAUUUGUUCCAUUUAAUCCCCAUUAGUGAAUUUGCUUAGAUUAAUUUUUUUGUGGAUUCCAUUUCCAAGAAUGAAAGCAAAAUAAUUACAUCAAAAGGCCACUGAAAUCAGCCAAAUUCUCUGGCAGGAAACUUAUUCUAUUCAGUCACAUUCAAACUAUCAGGUAUGAAAAAUACCUUUCACCACUGGAUAAUACAACAAUGGAGUUGGAAAAUCAAUCGUGUGGUAAAUAAGCAAAAACUACGUGCAAACAGAGGAAAGAAGAGUUGUUCUGAAAAUGGUAUUUCAAUAAAAGUUAUAGUGAUGACGAGCAGUGUGAUGAUGUAGGAAGUUCCAAAACUAGGUAGAGGGUAUAAUCAAAGGUGGGUACAAUGGAACAAGCCUGGAGGCAAGGACGGGCCAGUCAGGAACAGGUGGGCUUAUAGUGAAAGAAAGUGGAGGCUUUAGAAGUAGAGUAUUUGAUGAAUUCUUCCGUCCAUUCUAUUUUGGCUUCUAUGUCAAGGAGGAUGACAGAUAUUCAUUGUGUAGUUUUAUAGGAAAGGCGAUUGGUAGUGACUUCAAUGUUAUAAAGAACUUGGCCAAGUCCAUAAAAUGUCCAUGGUGUAUAACAAAUCUUUUAUGGUGAGUGAUCCAUGGAAUUAGGUACUUAGAAAAGUCGAUUGAAACAUAUUCACAGAAAGGCAAAGGUUUGAUGACCUGGUGCAUGGAAUGAGACAGAGACACUGAGAAAUUUUGAUUGUACAAGUUUUUCCUAAUAUCCCACUUACAUCCUGUAGCGGUGUGGGCCCAUUUAUUCUUUUUUAUGUUUGGUUUCCCUGUCUCAUGGUAAAAUCAUGGACAGAUGUUACCCCUCAAUUUUCUCUUUUUCAAUUAUUUCUGAUCCUUCUCACUUUAAUCAGUUUACUUGAUAGUCUCUGCGCUAGUGUAAUUUCUCCAGCCUUUUGAAAAAUGUAGACGCUUGAGCCAGACAAAAGCACUUCAGCAGGAACAUGACUAAUCUUGAAGACAUAGAGCAGGGCUGAUAAUGUACGCCAGGAACUGUCAGUUAAGAAAUAGUGAUACUGCAUUGCUGACUCACAGUCAGCUCAUGGGUCACUAUGCUGCCCCCAUUCUGUUGAGAUUUCAGUACACUUUCCGUAUAUGGAGUUUCUGUGUUGGUACACAUCCAGAAGGUUUCUUGGGCGCAUUGACCUUCACAUAUUGUUUGGUUAAUUUACCUAACUUGGUAUUAAUCAGACAGAAAAGACAAACAUGAAGUAAGGAAAGUCGGCCUUUGCUGUUCUCCCUUGAACUUGGCUUCACUUCUAUCCCCACCAUUUAGUAAGGAAGAACAGCCCCAAUUUAUUGAGUUGCUAUGAGCCAGACACUGUGUAAGCACUUUCUACACAUUAUUGCAUUUAAUUCUCCAAAGAAUGAGAUAACUAUUAUAAUCUCUGUUUUAUAGAACAACCAGCUAAAGUUUAUCGGGUUUUUUUUGUUUCUGUUUUUUUGGGUUUUUUUUUGUUUUUUUUUUUUGAGAUGGAGUUUUGCUCUUAUUGCCCAGGCUGGAGUGAAAUGGCGCCAUCUUGGCUCACUGCAACCUCUGCCUCCGGGGUUCAAACGAUUCUCCUGCCUCAGCCUCCCGAGUAGCUGGGAUUACAGGCAUGCGCUACCAUGCCUGGCUAAUUUUGUUUUUUUAGUAGAGACAGGGUUUCUCCAUGUCGGUCAGGCUGGUCUCGAACUCCUGACCUCAGGUGAUCUGCCUGCCUCAGCCUCCCAAAGUGCUGGGAUUACAGGCAUGAGCCACCGUGCCUGGCCAAGUUUAUGUUAAAUAACUCGUCCAGAAGGUGUAGUGGGAUGUUUGACUCCAAAAUACAUGCUUUUACCGCCUCAACUGACUGAGCUUGGGACUACCUCUAACUUUCAUUAGAAACACAAAUCUUUUUCUAAUAAACUUUCUUCUUCUUUUCAAUAAAAACAUUUCCCACAAGGUGACUUAAAUUCAUUCACAAUUAGGUAUAAAUACUGAUAAGAGCAGUUAACUUGUUUUAAGAGUCUAAUAUGUGCUAAGCCUUAUGCCAGAUGCUUUACAAGCAUUAUCUUAAACCUUGUAACAAUUUUGCAAAAAUGUUACUCUAUUUUAUAGAACCAAAACCCAAGACUAUGAAAACCUAAAUAUCAUCCUCAGAGUCAUACAGCGAAGCAGAAAUUGUAUCAGCUAAUGAGACUUAGUGCCAUUUCUCUCAUAUUGUGUGAGAAAAAUGGCAAUGCUCAAUAAAUGUUGUUCUAACUGUUCCAGGUAUCAAGCAGUAGAAAAAGAAUAUGGCAGAUCAGGUGGAUUUUGCUGUCAGCCCUGGAAACACUCAGCUGGUGGCUACAUAAUCCAUCAUCUCCUGAAGCUUUCAUUGUCCACAUUUUUUUUCUACCCUUUAGUCAUGUGUUUGUAAGGAAUAAAUUACUAAAAUACACCAUACCUUUUAAAAUAUAGAAUAAAAGCUCACAGAGAGUUAGGGUGACAGAACAUAUGAUUCAACCUUCUGCCUUCUGGCAGACAGUAGGCUAUUUCUUUUAGGUGGGUAUCUAGGAAUAGAUACUUGCAUAUAAUAUUUUUUUUUUGAAUCCCAGACUGGUCCUACUAACAUUCUUGAUUACCACUUAUUUAAGUGACCAUCAAACCAGUUUUAUAUCUGAUAUGUUUAAUCCAAAUAAAUGUCUUUUUUUAAAAAACUGUUUAAAAAAUGGUAUUUAAAUCCUUCCCAGAUUUUAGCUGUGUAUAGUCUGGAAGGAAACCCAUUCACAUGGUUUUAUCAGGUUUGAUAUUUAAUAGAUCAAAUUAGUAAAACAGGGCCCUCACUUCACAGGCACGGUGAAUUCUUUGUUGAUAAGAUCUAUCAAUGAUCAGUAUGGAUCAUUGGAUGGCAGUGAACGUAUACGUUUGUGGGGAAAAUUCUUAUGCACCUUCAUAGUAAUGGUACUGCCCAUUUUAUUUGAGGAUAAUUAAAACACAAAAUACCCAACGAUGCUGUUUUUAUUGUAGGUAUAUGUUAAUUCCUCUAGAGAUAGACAAGACUCUAAAUUCAUGGAACUUUAAGUGGGAUGUUCCACAAAGGAAACUCUUUAAAAUAAUAUAGAAAAAUAAAUAAGUAAAUGUCAACCAAAAUGGCAGAACAUUUAAAAUCAGUCUGCCAAAUAUCUUUUCUCACUUUACUUCAUUUGUUGAACAAUUUAUAUGCUGAUAUAGAUGGCCAUUUUAACAGUGUAUACAAAGCAUUUAUAUCCACACAUGUACAUUUAAUCAAACCUACAUGUCUACAUACACAUACUUAAGACACACAUAGAGAGUGUGUGAGAGAGAAUCAACUCAUCAUAAUUGUAAAGGUGAAGAAAAUUGAUUCCUUAAGACUAAAACACACCAUAUUAAACUUGGAGUUUAUAUUUUGAAAAUAAGAUUCAGGAAGUCUUCUAAAGCAUUCGAAGAUUGAUUAGAAAGAUAAAUUUCGGCACACAGGGUCUCUGUUCUUGUAACUUUCCCUGUGGUAGCUUAUCCCUCUGUAUAAUACAUUUUGUCAUCAUUCUUUCUUUCCUCCCUGAUACAAUAAAAAUAAUUUCCAAGGUUAGAUUCUAUCUUGCAAGAGCUUUUCCCCAAGGAGGUGCAUGCAUCUUCUUAAUUUAUUAUAUUAUAUAAUAAUUCCUCAUAGGAAAACUAAAGGCAAAUUAAAACCACAUGGAGAUAAUGCCUGACUGUGCUUUAGACUGUUGUCUACCACUGGCUCUUUAGAAAAAGAUCAGAGAUACCCCUCUCUUGAUUGUCCAUUUUCUUGAUCAUGCAAUGUGGUAUUUUAAGUUCUAUGCUGGCUUUGAUGCUUUUGUUAGUCAAGGUGCAUGUGUGAAUGUGUGAAUUGGAUAUGUGAAUGAUUUUAAUAUUAGCUUAAAUAAAACAUUACUGGGAAGACAAAUUUUCUGAAAUUCCCAUUUUCCUCUUCCACUUCCCCUACCCCCAAAGAAACUUGACAUAUUCGUUUCAAAGCAUACACUGCUUUUUUACUAUUUUUAUUUUUAUCGUGCAUAUCACAACCCCUUCAUUAGUAGACAUCAUUGAGCAUUAACUGUGACUUAAUUCUAGAAAAAAAUAUUUUUGAGAUACCCAUUAAGAUAUCACCCCUGACAAAUAUAAAAAGAGACCUUGAGUUUACUUCAUUUUAAAUAAAUAGACUGUCUUCAUUUCCUAACUCUGUGAAUCUGACGCUUCUUAUCAACACCCCAAAUUACUGUCAACAAAUUCAAAACCAUCUACUGAUGAAUGAGAUGUUUAGGUCCAAUUCUGAUAUGCCAUGCUCAUUCUCAUACAGAGAAAUACCUACACUCUUUUAAAUAUAGUUGUUAUUGCUGUGACUUGCACCUACUAAACAAAUGUAAAAAUUCUUACAGUUCAAGAAAUACCAGUGAAGUGUAUAUUAUUGCCCUCAUUACACAAAAUGCUCAUGGAAAACACUCUAUCAAUUCCAAUUAUGUUCUGGGGGGAAAAAAAAGGAAACUGAAUAAAAAGCAAUCCCAGAAUAUUUGACUGGGCUGGUUGGUUAUAGCUGCUGAACAAUAUGUAAUUGUAAGAAGUGUGGCAAAAUGAUAAAAAUAAACUCAGUAUUUGUUAAAGAAAUGAAAACGUGGCAAUAAAAGAUUCCGGAAAGCGAUUUAGUUUUUUGCAUUACUUCUUCAUUACUUGAUUAUUUUACUGUUUCAUUUCUAUUUACCUACCAAGUUGAUUCUUUUGCAUCUGGAUUUUGCACAAUUCUUUCAAUAAUAUACGGUUCAGUGGCUAUAAUUACAGGAUUGUUAAAGUUCACAUUUUACUAUUCAUCUUGUUAUCUCUGGUAAUGGAAGGUUGGAAUAAAUGCACAUAAUUACAUGGUUGGUCUUAAAUUAUUUUUAUAUUGCUCUUGCCAGGAUAUACUCGAAAAGCAGUAUUUAUUCUCUAAUAUUUAUUUUUGGUGGUAGUGGUUUUAGCAAAAUAAAAGUAAUAAAUACAUAAAUGGACUGGUCCCACGAGCUUACUAUCUAUGGUUUUUUUCAAAUUAAUUCUAACCCAUUCAUCUCUCUGAGCCUGCUAGGGGCAGGAGGUGCUUAGAGUCUAUGGAAGAAAAACGUCAUGUUUCAGAGCUCUGGUAACAGGAAAAUGUCCCUCAUGAGGUACUCAUCAUUUGAUCUAUUAUUUUAUCUAUUUGUAGCAGAGUAACUCAGUAACCUACAGAUCUGUGGACCAACUUACUAAAUAAGGUGUCAAAUAAGUUUGAUUUCAUUCUAAAGCAAUGCCAUGUCAUGAAAGUAAAGUGAAUUUUUUUGUUUGUAUUAUACUGGAAAUAGUCUCAUUGUACUAUAUGGCACUCAAAACAUUUUAUAAAAAUCUUAGCACUAUCAACUAAAAAUUAACUCAUAAGCUCCCGUAAUUAACUGAACAGAUGACUCCCUGUUGGCCAAAGGGACCCCAGAAAAGACUGAAGAACUGAGUUCGUGGCCAUUGAUGGAAGCGAGGUCAGAAACGCCUCAUUACAUGCCCUUUAUGUUAGAGUUUAGGCACAACUGACCAGCAUUAACAUUAAAAUAGAGAUCAUAAGAUUAACUAAAGGGACUCAUUGUGACACUAAAAUACCACAUUCUAAAUAAGACCUAAGGCCAUGCAAAGCAAGGGUUAAGGCAUGCUCUGCAAACCGUAAAAUCUUUUUUUAAAAAAUUAAUCCUGCAUAAUGUGGCUUACUUUCCAAUCUGACUCUGGUAUACCCUCACAUGGCAGAUAGCAGACCCCUUAUCUUGACUUAAGCAUCCCUUUGUAUUGACCUCAAGUCUUUAGACAAAGCUUAACUCUUUCAAUCAAUUGCCAACUAAAGUAUCUCUAAAACUCACCCAUGACUUGUAAGCCCAUGCUUCAAGAUGUCCCACCUUUUCAGGCCAAACCAAUGUAUACUUUUCAUGUACUGAUUUAUAAUUUUACCUACAAUUCCUAUCUCCCCAAAAUGUAUAAAACCAAGCUGUAACCUGAUUACUUUGGUACCAAUUAUGCAAGACUUCUUGGGUUUGCGUUUUCUUGGGCUGCACCAUUCAUAUUGGCUCAGAAUAAACCUCUUUAAAACAUUUUACAGAGGCUGAUUUUUCCAUGAACAGCAGCAUCCAAAAAAUCCACAGGAUACAUGUAUCAAGUAUUUAUUAAGUACCUACGAUAUGCCAGGCAUUGGGCUAUAUAUGAAAAACAGUGUUAUCAGACAUCCACCUAGUGCUCCUGAUUAAAAAAUGGAUGUGAGCUCAUUUUACCUUUACGGAGGUCCAGAGAUUUAAAUUACUUGACUAGUCCCUCAGCGAGUCAGGAGAAGAGGGGUUAAAACCUGAUUCCUCCAGUUAUAUAGUCAUUUAAUGUUCUUGGACUUACCAGUACUUUUGAGUUUUUGUGUUUUUUUUUUUUUUUUCCUUAAACACAAAACUACACCCCCGCCUCCAGCUCCCACCCCCUCCCACACAUAUACCCUUUUUUCAUAGAACAAAAUUUGGAAUAAAUGGACUUUAAAUGAAUGCAUUGUUUUGACUCUGCAGGGAAAUGACAUAGAGAAAAUAAGGAAUGGAUCGUACAUGCUCAUGCACUGUCUGGGGCACUCCUGCUGAAGUCUCAGGAGUGUCUUUGGUUUGUUGUCUGAGACCUGAGAGUUAAAAAGCAGAGUGCCUUUUGGAGGAACACGUGUCUCUUUCCGCAGCGGGACGUGCACUUGAUACACAUCAGUGGGCAUGCCAUCAGUGCCUCGCAGCUCAUCUUUCUCUUUAGGGUGGCUGUGUUGUUCUUCCGAUGACUGGCUUGCCCUGGAGAAAAAUACUGCUUAAAUAUUAAGAUUAGAUUAGUUUUCACACAGCCCCAUUUUAACCACUAAAUUUAAAUCCCUCAGCAAUCUACUUCCCAACCUUCCCUAGGCAUAAUAUUCAGUUUAAUAAAUGGUUUGUAUGCCAUUAUUUCUCAUCAAUAUAUAAAAACUAAAAGGAAUUUUAAAAAUCCAUACAUCUUGGUUGAGAUGAAAUUUGACUUGAUGAGAAGAGAUUAUUCUUAGAAAUGUUUCUAAUUCCCAAUCAAGGCAUUCUAUUUCAAAAUGUAGGAGCAUGGUUGAAAGAAUAAAUCUUUAGAAAAUAAUGUAUGAGCAUGGUUGAAAGAAGAAAUCUUUAGAAAGUAAUGUAUAUAAUAAUAUACAUAUAUGUAUAUAUACUUAUAUAUAAGUGUAUAUGUAAGUAAUAUAUAUCUCUCACAAAUAUUGUUUUAGUCAUCAUCAUCAUCAUAUACACGUGAAUAUAUGUACAUAUAUGUAUUAUAUAUGGUAUAUGGUAUAUAUGUGUAUAUAUGCAAGAUAUAUAUGAGUAUAUAUACAUGUGGGUGUGUGUGUGUGUGUAUGUAUAUAUAUAUAUAUAUAUAUAUAUAUAUAUAUAUAUAUAUAUAUAUAUAUACACAUACAUAUGACUCCAAAAACAAUUCCUCUACAAAUUGUGUGUCACUUCCUUGACCCAUUACCUCCCCAAUGUAUAUAUCAUGUGAAUAUCAAACAAUUGAAUGUUUUGUUGGUACAAUUGGAUUCAUUCACACGGAAACGUGGAGUCUAUUUCUUCCUUCAAAUCCUCAUCCUCCAAUUAAUUAGCUGAAAAACUGACUGCAUCUCUGAUUCUCUAAGAAGCAUGGAAGAGAAAGAAAUGGGAAACCAGCUAGCAGCUCAUUACAUGAAUUCAAACAGUUCCCUUUGAAGGGAAACUUUUUCCUGGCAUAGAUGAUGUCAUUGAUGAGAUUGCAAGGGUAGGCAUUGUAUAAAGAUGAGAUCCUUUUUAAUUCUGUUUUCAAAACUAUAAAGCUAAAAUUUUUAGAAUUGAAAUUUCAGUUAACAUGACCCAUGUAUUAGAUAAAAUGUCUCUUUAAAGCCUGGGAGCUCUCCAAGGUGUGGUGUGUUUCCUAUUUGCUAGGUACAUGAUUACGAUGCAUAUGGAUAGAUGUUUCUGAAGUGUUUCCUUCUAAGUGCACUAUUGCCAGUCAGAUUUACACCCAAGUAGCAAAGAUGUUAAUGCCAUGCAAUCCUAUUAAUCUAACAUGUUGCUUUUGUGGAUUAGAACUACUCAGACUCUACCUUUUAGUUGUAGUUAUUUUAAAUCUUUAAUACUGAGCUAUCAAAUUUUCUUUUAUGAUACAAAGCUACUAAGUAGAAGAUACUUGAAUAUUCCAUUGGCUGACUGAUGUGUUUAUUAGGCACUUACUCUGUGCCCAACACAAUGAUAAACAUUCUCAGCAAUAUCGUGAAAGUUUAACACAGGAUUCCUGGCUUCCAGAAAUAUGAUGUUUACUUAAGAAGAGAUAGGAACAUAUGUGAAAAAGUUAAGCUUCAUGUAGUAUCUUAAGAUGCUAAGUUUAGUAUUCUGGUGGUGGAGUUUCUUAUCAACAAUGUUUCACAGAAGAUAUUGAGCUCAGCUUUUCAUUAUCAAAGCAAUUGCAUGAAGAAGAAAUUUGAGAAAGUACAACCCCUGGUAAUGAUUGGAGCCUCUGAAACUUUUGUAAUGUCAAUAUCCAUAGCAUGACUAUUUUUUAUUUCCGGUACUGAUGUGGCAGAAGUUGUGGAGUAGUGUUUUUGAGUUAUCCGCUGUUUAGGAUCCUGUAUUAAAAGAAGUAUGUCGGCUGUGCAUAGUGGCUCAUGCCUGUAAUCCUAGCACUUUGGGAGGCCGAGGCAGGCAGAUCACCUGAGGUCAGGAGUUCAAGACCAGCCUGGCCAACAUAGCGAAACUCUGUCUCUACUAAAAAUACAAAAAAAUUAGUCAAGCAUGGUGUCGUGCACCUGUAAUCCCAGCUACUCAGGAGGCUGAGGCAGGAGAAUCACUUGAACCCAGGAGGCAGAGGUUGCAGUGAGCCAAGAUAGUGCCACCGCACUCCAGCCUGGGCAACAGAGCUAGACUCUGUCUCAAAAAAAGAAAUAUGUCUCAGUAGUGCAGUUAUCCUUCUGUAGGUUUGUAUUGGUGUUCAGCAAGUAUCUGGUAAAUUAAUGAAUUAACAAGAGAAUAGUUUCUAUGAAGCAGAAAUGCAUAGCAAAGAAGUGGGGUGUUGAAAGGAACAGCUGGGAUAUCAGUUAUACAGGUUGAAAUGUGGCAUUGGUACAAUGACAUAUUAGUUAUACUCUUACAAGUUGUCCUUGAGUGGGUGCUUGAUAGAAGUUGGCUUGCAAACCAAAAAAGGUUAAACACUUGUCAUGGCCUCAGGCUAAUGACCCCUUCUAAUAUGCAAUUCUGUUUUUCUCAUUCUGAGAGCAAACCAGAUGCCCCAUGAUGUGCCCACUGUUCUUUUGCUAAUGUGUUCAUCCUCAGUGCCUUCAUUACCAGUUUCUUUCAUUUGACAUGCAAAGAUCUUUUUUCUUGGCUCAUCCCAGAGAAGUGGCCGGGCAAGUGUUCUCCUGAGAAAAUGUUGAUGACUCUGGCACACAGACCACAUACAAUUUGCUGCUUCCUCACAUUCACACUGAAGUUGGCUAAGGUGCCCAGAGAGAAACCCUGAGCCCUGACUGCAUCCAAAACCAGUCAUUAGGGAUGACCACCGUGGGAUCCCUCCUACUGGGUGCCUGGUUAAAACUGAGUGUCAGAGAAGAGACUGGUGGCUUUGUCAUUGACUUUCUUGUUCAGAUGUAAGAGCAUCAUCACUGGGAGAAGGAAAUGUGAAUUGUGAAAAUAAAUAAUGCAGAUAGAAGAGUCGGAAGUACAGAGGAGUGUUCCUAGAGUGCUUUAUAUGGAGCUCUAUUAUGGUGCAUACCAUGGUGUGUUGUUAAGUUAGUUUACGUGUCAGUUUCCCCUUUACACUGUGAAAUUUAGCAAAGCAGAGACUAUGUCUGAUUCAUCUUUAUUCCAAGUACCUCACAAAGGUAAUGCUAGCGUUGACCUUAAUAAGCAUUUAAUCAUGUUUAUUCAUUUAUUUUUUGAAUGAAUGGAUAAUGAUUAAAAUUGAGGUUUUUAUCUCUUGAUUAUGGAGCUUAACUCAUUGUGAGCCCAUUGACAUCCUGAAAUACUUGCUGAAUGAGAGAAUAAAUGAACAGAUUUAAAAAAAAAAAAAAACCCUGAAGAGCUAAGCUUAAGCCACUAUUUAGGCUUUGAAGUUGAUCCAUGUGGUCUUUUGUUUUGGAUUGAUUGUAGGGACUAAAGAAGUACUUCAUACGUUGUGUUAUCUUUCUGCUCAGGUCACUGUGGACGAUAGAUAGCCUUUACUUCUCCGCUUUCUCAAUUUUCAGCCACUGGUAUUCAACUGCAGGCCUUCUUUAAAAAUGUACCUCUUUCUUUCAAAAUUUUCUGAAAAGCUAGAAUUUUUUUGUUUUUUGUUUUUUCCAGGAAAAAAUUUUAACUUACUGGAGACCAAUUUCUUUUCUUAAACCUGUCUCUGAGCUGAGUAUACUGUAUAGUCCCUAUAAUGAUUUUGGUAAAUCCUUAAGCAUAAGGUGGUCAUUGUGUGUGACGGUGUUUUCUGUUUAGUGAAGACAAAUGGUGGGAUGAGUCUCCUGCUAGGAUGUGCAGAAAUGUGAGCAUUAGUCUCAAGGUACAUUCCGUAAAGUGUUGGUGCCAGGUGAGUAUUGAGGUUGAUAGCUUCUGUGAGGCCUGGUUUCCUGGGGUUGUGCCCAUGUUCAUAUGACAGCUGCUUCCACAAUAACAUAGCAGGUGCGUAGCUCAGGAUUUGCCCACUUUCUGCAAGUGGACACUCUCGCUUGUAUCUAAAAGGCCUCUCCCAUGGUGCCAGAAUGCCUCUGACAGCAUUUUCAGAGCUGUGACGGCAGGACUGUAGCUUUAUGGUGGGAGCUUCUAUCUUUGUAAAUGCCACUGAUGUCAGCUCUCACCAUUAACCAUUUUCUUUUGUCAAAUGGGAGAGAUUCAGGACUCAUGGAAGUGAGAGACUGGCAUGAUGAGGCAAACAGGGGGCAGUUUAACUGGCUGUUUGGCCACUUUCCCCCACUCUAAUUCUCCUUCUCCUUUCCAUAAAACAUGCUUUCCAAUUUCUGCCAAUAAAAGCCUUUUUAAAAAAGUACUAGUCUUUCAUUUUUUUUUUUGCAUACCUUGUUGUUAUUCCUUCUGAACCAGUAGUAACACAAUAUACGAAGUACAUUCUCUUGGGUAUAAGGCCAGUGUAUAGGUGGGAAUCCCAUAGACCUAAAAAGAAAAACAAUCUAGGAUUUCUGGAUGUGCUCUGAAGUGGCACCUUCUAAGCUGCAGUAUUUGUUCAACAGUGUUUUUCCAACAAAAAAUAGGAUGAGUUCACCUGUGAAGCAUCCUGAAGGGAAACACCGGUGCACUGGGCAGGGAACAGGAGACCUAGAUAUACUUCUUCUUUUUUUUUUUUUUUUUUGGUAGAUAUAUUUAUUUAUUUAUUUAUUUUUAUUUUAUUAUUAUUAUACUUUAAGUUUUAGGGUACAUGUGCACAGUGUGCAGGUUAGUUACAUAUGUAUACAUGUGCCAUGCUGGUGUGCUGCACCCAUUAACUCGUCAUUUAGCAUUAGUUAUAUCUCCUAAUGCUAUCCCUCCCCCUUCCCCCCACCCCACAACAGUUCCCAGAGUGUGAUGUUCCCCUUCCUGUGUCCAUGUGUUCUCAUUGUUCAGUUCCCACCUAUGAGUGAGAACAUGCGGUGUUCGGUUUUCUGUCCUUGCGAUAGUUUACUGAGGAUGAUGAUUUCCAAUUUCAUCCAUGUCCCUACAAAGGACAUGAACUCAUCCUUUUUUAUGGCCGCAUAGUAUUCCAUGGUGUAUAUGUGCCACAUUUUCUUAAUCCAGUCUAUCAUUGUUGGACAUUUGGGUUGGUUCCAAGUCUUUGGUAUUGUGAAUAGUGCCGCAAUAAACAUACGUGUGCAUGUGUCUUUAUAGCAGUAUGAUUUAUAAUCCUUUGGGUAUAUACCCAGUAAUGGGAUGGCUGGGUCAAAUGGUAACAACAGGUGCUGGAGAGGAUGUGGAGAAAUAGGAACACUUUUACACUGUUGGUGGGACUGUAAACUAGUUCAACCAUUGUGGAAGUCAGUGUGGCGAUUCCUCAGGGAUCUAGAACUAGACCUAGAUAUACUUCUAACAUAAUCUGUGACUGUGUGCAGGUCAUGCUAAGUAUGUCAGACUGCCAUUUUCUCCUUGAGGCUGGAAGUGUGGGGAGAAGGGGAUAAUGUAGUUGAGAAUCCAUUACUGGCCCCACCUUGGACAGAGAGACAGGCAGGUAAAGGGUACACAUGUGCCUGGAUGGUGCUGCUACUGGACUCUUGUUUACAUUAAUGUGUCAACAGUGUGCUCCAAGGUUCUAUUAGGUGUUAACAGGUGUCUCAAGAAAAAAAUGUUUCUUAAUGAGAUCAGUUUGUAAGAAUUCUGGGUGAACACGUUAAUUAGUUUAUUCUUUUAAUGCGUUGAAUGUUUUUUUUUUUUUUGAAAAAUAAUAGAAUCCCUUCAGAAUUCUUAAUAUGAUAUGGUGUUCUGUAUAUUUUCAAGAGGAGAGGUAUAUAGUGUUUCUCAAAUUUAUUUGCACAUGAAAUGCCUGUGGGACAUAAUAUCUCUGAAGGCCGAUGUUCCUUGAAAGACUGUGUGAAAUAUUGAACUAUAUGAUCUCUGAAAGUUCUUGAAUUCUCCAUUAUCAUCAGAAUACCUGGCCCUUCCAAGCCCUUGACCUUCGUCUGUGGAGUAUUGACUCUAGCUGCCUUCCAGACAUUGUCAUCUAUGCUUCUUUUCCUCUGAGGACGAUGAACCCCGGCUGUUCUCUCAGUACCCCUGAAAAAUGGGAAAUUGUAUUUUUUUCUUCUUUGUACCCAGGAGUCUAUGUAUAAUGCAUAAUUCUCAGUCAAAAGGAACUUGCUUACUUAAGUGCUCAAAGGUUUUUGUCCUGUGGUUUUUGUAAGGUAAUCCCACAACAUCCAGAUAAACAAAUAAUCACAAGACAUAACCUUCCAGAGUGUUCCAUAACAUUGAUCACAAUCAAAUAAUGAGGCACGAUUCCAUGAAACAUUAGGAAAAUUAUAAAGGCAUCAGGCAGAAAACCAGCAACUAGCAAAUGGUUUCUCCAUGAUGAUUUUGGGUUCACAUUUCACUUCCAUAUAUAAUACAACUUAUGUGCCCAUAUUUCAUCCUCUGGAAGCCUGCCACAUUAUCCUCUGAAUGAAUAUUAACACUCCUUGUACUCUGAAGUAGCCUCUGGUAUUCUGGUAUUUAUUCAACAGGUUUUGAACAAGAUUAGUGGAUUAUAAUUUUGGCUUCACCACAUUUUAAACUGUGUGCCUUCUCUGUGCCUCAGUUUUCUCCUCUGCAAAAUGGAACAAUAGAAUCCUUUUCAUUGAGUUAUUCUGAGGAUUAAAUGAGUGAAUAUAGGUAAAGCACGUAGGACAUCCCUGGCAUAUAGCAGUCAAUCCCUUGUAAAAUGUUAGCUGCAGUGGGUGCAACUGACUGCGGCCAGUUGUCACCACCUGUGACAUUUACCAAGACAAUUUUGGGUAAAAAAGGCAGAUUUAUUGGAGAAAGUACAAAGAUACCUUGCAAGAAAGCAAUGCGCAGGACAAUGGGCUGUCUACCAAGAGGCAGGAGCUAGAGGGAAGUUUUAUAGGGUCAUACUGGAGGGGCUAUGUCCAGAUAAGUUGUGCAGAUAAGGUCCUGCUGCUAGGGCUAUGUCCAGAAACUAGGUAUUUGGGAACAUGAUGUUCUGUCAGUCGGUUGUCUGUGAUAAGCCAUCUCCUCUCUCAGAACAAUUGUUCUCCCCAAUCUGGGGCCCCUUCUUCAUUCUUGCUUAUCUUAUUAGGACUCCACAUUAACUAUUGUUGUUAUUAUCAUACACAGACUAUCUCUGAAAGGAUAUAUAAGAUAUAGAUACCAGCCAUAACCUCUGCAAAAAGAUACAAAGAGACUAGGGAGCCGGAAAGCAAAGAUAGAGGAGUAGGCUUACUUUUCCCUACAUAUGAAUUUACUCUAUUGAAUAUUUUAAAAUCACCUGUGUUUUACCAUCAAAAAAAUAAAAUAAAACAAGCAUCAAUAUUUACAAAUGAAGAACUGAGGUUCCAACUUUACGAUUGACUUUCCUAAUUCAAUUGGCUAUUUGACUUCCCUAAUAGUUAAGUUAGAUUUGAGCCAGGGAUUUGAACUACAAAAACCGUGUUUUUUCUAGUCUACCACCUUAUAUAGAGAGAUAUGACAGAGGGGAGAGAUGAGAGGUGUGUGGGUGGGUGGGUGAGGGUGGAGGAGGUGGUACUGGAUAUUACUGAAAAACUUUUGAUGAUAUUGAAUUCUUUCCCUGAGUUCUGUAGAUUUUGGCACUGGUCUCUUGUUUCUUCUAUUUCUACUGUGAGUAAACAACCAUUCCCAAUCCUCCAGUUCUAACUUGAAUUUCAGUGGACUAGGCUGAGUGGAUGUACAAGGGCAAACCUGCAUGGGGUGUAGGGAAAUAUAAAUAGAUUGGCACUGUGGAAGUCAGCAUAUGUUUGCUUGGCACCCAACCCUCCUAUGCCUUUCAUUUGCUGAAUAUUAAGCAUCUCAUUUUUAUCUGUCCUCUUUUUGAUGGAAUGGACAUGCAAAUUUUUCAAACCUACACACCCUCUUCUUUCUCUUGGACAAAGGGAGUAAUUUUACUAUGAAUCCAUCAUGUGUCCCAAGGAGGCAAACUCAAAAUUUGUCUGCAAAAAGCCUUUCAUUCAUUUCUUUUCAUGUAAGAAACAAAAUUGGCAACUAUUUUUUCAUAGCUUGUAAAUUCCAAGAAACUUAGUAUCUUUUCUUUUCACUUGCUCUGCAGCCAAAAGCAUAUUGUUCAGCAUUGCGAAUUCACAAUACUCACUGCUCCUCAGUCCUGGCUACAACAUAAUUUUGAAAAGUUUAUGCAGGGACCAUCCGAGUAAUAAAUCACAGAGGAGGACUGCUUUAACUGUUCACCCCUUAGCUACUGCCUGAAUGAGCUCCAUGCUUUAUCAUCUCAGAAGGAAGCUGUCUCAAAUGCAUGCUUCAUUUUAUUAUCCAAUUGUAACCCAUCUAGAUAAAUUUAACUUCCUAUAGAUUUGCUGCCUCUUAGUAUUCAUAUCUUCUCCAGACUUUUCAUUAAUAUUAUGAUACUUGGAUAGGAGUAUUCCCCUCCCUUUCCUUUAUAAUGUAACAGCUUUAAAUUGACAUUUGGUGAAUGUAUCAUCAUUGCUAUUCAAAUUAGGUCAGUGUUUUUAUUUCAUUAUGCUGGAAGUCCUCUUAGCUGCGAAAUCAAGUUUGAAUGUCUGUUACCUGAAGCAAUGCUUCUGGCAAAUGUUUCUUAGAGGUUUUUGCAAGCCAGAAAUUGUCAGGCACCUCCCCCACUCCCACUUCUUAUUUCUAUGUGGUUUGGUUCAUAUAACCAUUUAACAUAUUUUUAUAAAGCGGUAGUUGAAUAGAGUAUAAAAUAGGAAAAAAUUAAUCAUCUGCCCUUUAAGAGGUUUCUGUCCACUGUGUGGGUGUUGGAGAGGGAGGUGGGGGAAGAGAGGGGAAGGGAGGCAGAUAUGCAAACAAAAAUCAUACUAUGCCAUGGUUUUGGUACAGUCAGUUAAUGUCUAGGAUAUAAUGGAAACGUGGGAAAAGGAGCCUCUUGACGUUUACUAAGACUUGAGAAUGAGUUUUUUUCUUAAUAAUCUAUAAAUUGAAAUCCACUCUUUCUAAAUGUGCCUUUGGCACUGUUCUUUUGAAUUAGGAAAUACAGAAAAACAGUUAAAUUUGGUUGAACGAUACAGGAAGUACUCAGAAAAGGCAACCAUCUUACCCCAGGAGAGAUCAAAAGACAUUCACAGAUUAUGUUAACCCAAAGUUUUGGCCUCAUUUCUCAAGGAAGGGGCUACAUCUUUUAGACCACAGGCAUUUUUCCCCAGUUUUGAAACUGUGAAGGUGUUUAGGACCUGAGAGAUUAUUAAUAACAGGUUUCAAUGCCUGACACUCUUGGACUUAAAUGUUCACCUACACUCAAUCUGAUCAUGGACAAACUACUUAAUCUCACUGAGCCCAUGUCCUCAUCCAUAAAAUGAGGGUAAUAAUAGUUCCACGUUUUAGUAUUGUUAGGAUGAUUAAAUAAAAUAAUGCAUGUAAGUAAAAUAACCCAGCUAUUGGAACAAUCGCUGCUGUAUAAUAAACCAUCAAUAAUUCUUAGCUUUUGCUAUCAUUCUUGCUACUGUUAAUUAGUUAGUGGUUCUCACUUUUUUCUAGAAAUUGCUCUACCUCUGUUUCUCAACUGAGAUAUUAUAGUUUAAGACUUUGAUUAUGAUAACUAGAUGAUAAUUUAGAUGGUGUCUUUUUUUUUAUUAUACUUUAAGUUUUAGGGUACAUGUGCACAUUGUGCAGGUUAGUUACAUAUGUAUACAUGUGCCAUGCUGGUGUGCUGCACCCACUAACUCGUCAUCUAGCAUUAGGUAUAUCUCCCAAUGCUAUCCUUCCCCCCGCCCCCACCCCACCACAGUCCCCAGAGUGUGAUAUUCCCCUUCCUGUGUCCAUGUGAUCUCAUUGUUCAAUUCCCACCUAUGAGUGAGAAUAUGUGGUGUUUGGUUUUUUGUUCUUGCGAUAGUUUACUGAGAAUGAUGAUUUCCAAUUUCAUCCAUGUCCCUACAAAGGACAUGAACUCAUCAUUUUUUAUGGCUGCAUAGUAUUCCAUGGUGUAUAUGUGCCACAUUUUCUUAAUCCAGUCUAUCAUUGUAGAUGGUGUCUUGAUCAGCAAUCUAUGCUUUGAGUGUUUUUUGUUAAGUGGCUAAUGCAGUUUGCAUAUUUGUCCCACUAAAUCUCAAGUUAAAUGUAAUCCUCAGUGUUGGAGGUGGGGCCUGGUGGGAGGUGUUAGAGUCAUGGGCUGAGCACUCAGACUUGGGCACCAUCCUUGUGACAGUGAGUGAGUUCUCACAAGGUUUGGCUGUUUAAAAGUGUGUGGCCAUUUACCUAUAUAACAAACCUGCACAUAGUGUACAUGUACCCCUGAACUUAAAAUAAAAGUUGGAUAUUUUUCAAGUGGGCUUCAUCCCUGGGAUGCAAGGCUGGUUAAACAUACGCGAAUCAAUAAAUGUAACCCAGCAUAUAAACAGAACCAAAGACAAAAACCACAUGAUUAUCUCAAUAGAUGCAGAAAAGGCGUUUGACAAAAUUCAACAGCCCUUCAUGCUAAAAACUCAAUAAAUUAGGUAUUGAUGGGACGUACCUCAAAAUCAUAAGAGCUAUCUAUGGCAAACCCACAGCCAAUAUCAUACUGAAUGGGCAAAAACUGGAAGCAUUCCCUUUGAAAACUGGCACAAGACAAGGAUGUCCUCUCUCACCACUCCUAUUCAACAUGGUGUUGGAAAUUCUGGCCAGGGCAAUCAGGCAGGAGAAGGAAAUAAAGGGUAUUCAAUUAGGAAAAGAGGAAGUCAAAUUGUCCCUGUUUGCAGAUGACAUGACUGUAUAUCUAGAAAGCCCCAUCAUCUCAGCCCAAAAUCUCCUUACGCUGAGAGGCAACUUCAGCAAAGUCUCAGGAUACAAAAUCAAUGUGCAAAAAUCACAAGCAUUCUUAUAUACCAAUAACAGACAAACAGAGAGCCAAAUCAUGACUGAACCACUCACAAUUGCUUCAAAGAGAAUAAAAUACCUAGGAAUCCAACUUACAAGGGAUGUGAAGGACCUCUUCAAGGAGAACUACAAACCACUGCUCAAUGAAAUAAAAGAGGAUACAAACAAAUGGAAGAACAUUCCAUGCUCAUGGGUAGGAAGAAUCAAUAUCGUGAAAAUGGCCAUACUGCCCAAGGUAAUUUAUAGAUUCAAUCUCAUCCCCAUCAAGCUACCAAUGACUUUCUUCACAGAGUUGGAAAAAACUACUUUAAAGUUCAUAUGGAACCAAAAAGGAGCCCACAUUGCCAAGUCCAUCCUAAGCCAAAAGAACAAAGCUGGAGGCAUCACACUACCUGACUUCAAACUAUACUACAAGGCUACAGUAACCAAAACAGCAUGGUACUGGUACCAAAACAGAGAUAUAGAUCAAUGGAACAGAACAGAGCCCUCAGAAAUAAUGCCGCUUAUCUACAACCAUCUGAUCUUUGACAAACCUGAGAAAAACAAGCAAUGGGGAAAGGAUUCCCUAUUUAAUAAAUGGUGCUGGGAAAACUGGCUAGCCAUAUGUAGAAAGCUGACACUGGACCACUUCCUUACACCUUAUACAAAAAUUAAUUCAAGAUGGAUUAAAGACUUAAAUGUUAGACCUAAAACCAUAAAAACUCUAGAAGAAAACCUAGGCAAUACCAUUCAGGACAUAGGCAUGGGCAAGGACUUCAUGUCUAAAACACCAAAAGCAAUGGCAACAAAAGACAAAAUUGACAAAUGGGAUCUAAUUAAACUAAAGAGCUUCUGCACAGCAAAAGAAACUACCAUCAGAGUGAACAGGCAACCUAUAGAAUGGGAGAAAAUUUUUGCAAUCUACUCAUCUGACAAAGGGCUAAUAUCCAGAAUCUACAAUGAACUCAAACAAAUUUACAAGAAAAAAACAAACAACCCCAUCAAAAAGUGGGCAAAGGAUAUGAACAGACACUUCUCAAAAGAAGACAUUUAUGCAGCCAAAAGAAACAUGAAAAAAUGCUCAUCAUCACUGGCCAUCAGAGAAAUGCAAAUCAAAACCACAAUGAGAUACCAUCUCACACCAGUUAGAAUGGCGAUCAUUAAAAAGUUAGGAAACAACAGAUGCUAGAGAGGAUGUGGAGAAAUAGGAACACUUUUACACUGUUGGUGGGACUGUAAACUAGUUCAACCAUUGUAGAAGUCAGUGUGGCGAUUCCUCAGGGAUCUAGAACUAGAAAUACCAUUUGACCCAACCAUCCCAUUACUGGGUAUAUACCUAAAGGAUUAUAAAUCAUGUUGCUAUAAAGACACAUGCACAUGUAUAUUUUAUUGCAGCACUAUUCACAAGAGCAAAGACUUGGAACCAAGCCAAAUGUCCAACAAUGAUAGACUGGAUUAAGAAAAUGUGGCACAUAUACACCAUGGAAUACUAUGCAGCCAUAAAAAAGGAUGAGUUCAUGUCCUUUGUAGCGACAUGGAUGAAGCUGGAAACCAUCAUUCUCAGCAAACUCUCACAAAGACAAAAACCAAACACCGCAUGUUCUCACUCAUAGGUGGGAAUUGAACAAUGAGAACACUUGGACACAGGAAGGGGAACAUCACACACUGGGGCCUGUUGUGGGGUGGGGGGAGGGGGGAGGGAUAGCAUUAGGAGAUAUAGCUAAUGUAAAUGACGAGUUAAUGGGUGCAGCACACCAACAUGGCACAUGUAUACAUAUGUAACAAACCUGCACGUUGUGCACAUGUACCCUAAAACUUAAAGUAUAAUAAAAAAAAAAGUAGGAUAUUUUUUAAAAAGUGUGUGGCGUCUUCCCCCUUAUUCUCUCUUGCUCCUCCUCUUGUCAUGAAAUGCACCAGCUCCCCCUUCACCUUCUGCCAUGAGUAAAAGAUCCCUGAGGCCUCUCCAAAACCUGAGCAGAUGCCAGCAUCAUGUUUAUUCAGCCUGCAGAACCAACUACACAUCUUUAAAAAAAAUAAAUUACCCAGUCUCAGGUAUUCCUUUAUAGCAAUGCAAGAAUGGCCUAACACAGUGGCUUUUUUUUUCUUUUAAGUAUAUUUUAUAUUUAGAUGCUACUAUUAGCAGAUGAUUUGUGCGUAUGUCUUGCCCUGUUCAGCUUUGAGGAGUCCAGGCCCUUAUGGGACUCCUUCUGAGAGUGGGGUUCCUAUUUUCCUUAGGAACCCAAGACAGUUCUUUCAGAGGAUUUCAUUGAUCUGUUGCCCCAUGGUGCUUUGUGGCACAUAAUGACAAAGCAUGACAGGCAGGCUCACAGCCCUCGACUCAUGCUAGAUCUCGGUUCAUUCUGUAUCCAGGGACUCCAGUUCAUCAUAUCCCUUACCCAGGCCUCUCUCCUAGCUAUGUCUGUGUGGCUCACAGAUACUCUAGAGGGAGAGGCAAUUAAUUUCUUUUUGGCGGUGAGAUGGUUUGCCUGGGUCCCCACUCCAAUCUUAUCUUGAAUUGUAGCUCCCAUAAUGCCCGAAUGUUGUAGGAGGGACCCAGUGGGAGGUAAUUGAAUCAUGGAGAUGGGAAUUCAUGUUCUGUUGUCAUGAUAGUAAGUCUCACGAGAUCUGGCGGUUUUAUAAAUGAGAGUUCCCUUGCACAUGCUCUCUUGCCUGCAACCACGUAGGUUAUGCCUUUCUUCUCCUUAGCCUUCUGCCAUGAUUGUGAGGCCUCUCCAGCUAUGUGGAACUGUGAGUCAAUUAAACCUCUUUUUCUUUAUAAAUUACCUAGUCUCAGGUAUGUCUUUAUUAGCAGCAUGAGAACUGACUAAUGCAGGGGGUUAUUUCAUGUCAGACAUUGUCGUAAGUUGUGUCUUCCUUGGUGUCUUAGUUUUUUCUGUGCUGCUAUAACAGAAUACCUGAGACUGGGUAAUUUGUAAAGAACAGAGAUUUAUUUCUUAUAGUUCUAGAGGCUGAGAAGUCCAGAUCAGUUGGGUGGCAUCUGGCAAAGGCUUUCUUGCUGUUUUGUUCUAUGAUGAAAGGUGGAAAACAAGAGAGAGAACAAAAGGUGUCUAAAUUUGGUUUUAUAGCAGAUCCAUUCCUUGAUAACCAACAAACUCCCAGGAUGAUAAUAUUAAUCCAUUCAUGACGGCAGAGCCCUUGUGACCUAGUCACCACUUAAUGCUCCCACCUCUCACCACUGUUGCAUUGGGGAUUAGGUUUCCAAUACAUACCUUUAUGGAACACAUUCAAACCAUAGCAUUUGGCAAAUAACCCAAACCCUUCUUUCCUCAUCUGAUAAUUGGGAAAAUAAUAGCAACUACCUUGUGGAUACUUUGUGAGAAUCCCAUGCUUCAUGCAAUAAGGACUUAAUAAUUGUAAGUUGUUAAAUUGUCAUACAUGCUCCUUUUAGUUAUGAAAACCUGUGGCUUUUGUCUAAGAGUUGAAUAUGAGAAGGUUCAAGGACUAGGGCUUUUAUCCUUGGAUCUCUGUAGCAUGCUGAAUUAAUGAAAGGUCUGUCUCUCUCUCUCUGAUUAAUCAAAAACUCUGACUAGUACUAGUGAAAGUCAGGUUUGAACAAUUCUGUGAAGAAUGGAUUUGGAAGGAAAAUAUGAGGCAAGAAUUUUAAAAAGUUGUUUCUGAGUUGAAUUUGAUUUACAUUUGCUAACUGGAAAAAGAUCAGGGUAUAAUCAGUCCAUAAUAUUGAAAGCAGUUUGGAAAUACCAUUGCAGAUACAGGUAAUUUAAAAAAUCUACAUGAAUUAGGUCCAGGAGCGGUGGCUCACGCCUGUAAUCCCAGCGCUUUGGGAGGCCGAGGCUGGUGGAUCACGAGGUCAGGAGAUCCAGACCAUCCUGGCUAACACAGUGAAACCCCGUCUCUACUAAGAAUACAAAAAAUUAGGCGGGCGCGGUGGCGGGCACCUGUAGUCCCAGCUACUCGGGAGGCUGAGGCAGGAGAAUGGCAUGAACCCAGGAGGUGGAACUUGCAGUGAGUAGAGAUCGCGCCACUGCACUCCAGCCUGGGCAGCAGAGCGAGACUCUGUCUCAAAAAAAAAAAAAAAAACCUACAUGAAUUAUUCUUCCUGUGACAUAUUUGUCAUUCUUCAUCUCUCCUUUAACAUUCCUAUCUUCAUCCUUCAGGCCAUCCUCUGCCUACCUCUUUCUGCUGCUACAGUGUAAGUUGAAUCAUACUUUCCAAAAUAUGUAAAUGAAAGUCAGAAGUAAGGCAACUCAUAGUGUUUCAGUGACUUUGAUUUCAAUCUCACUCAAGACUGGGAGAUUCUCCUAAAUUCUAGCAAACUUGUGCCUCUUUCCCAGCCUUAUAAGAAACUGUCCUUCUAUCUAAAUACUGGAAUGCCACUAUGUGAAGCUUCAAAUCAGGGUGGUUAUUCUGAGACAAUGGCAGCUUCUUGGGAUGUGGUGUAACAUGUACUAAAUCAUUAUGUGCACAUACAUUUAUUUUUAAUCAACCUGCGUUUACCUGAGUGCUGUGGUUUGAAUGUGUCCCCUAAAGUUCAUAUAUUGGAGACUUAAUCCUCAAGGCAACAGUGUUGGUGUAUGGGGCCUGAUAAGAGGUGAUUAGGUCAUGAGGGCUCUGCCUUCAUGAUUGAAUUAAUGUCAUUAUCACAGGAGUGGGUUAGUUAGCACGAGAGUGGCUUGUUCUAAAAGGAAGUUCAGCCCCCUCUUCCUCUCUUGCCCUUUGCCUUUGGUCAUGGGAUGAGGCAGCAAGGAGUCCCUUGCCAGUUGUAGGCCCUUCGACCUUGGACUUCCCAGGCUCCAGAAUUUCGAAGAAGUAAGGCUCUGUUCUUUGUAAAUUAUCCAGGCUCAGAUAUUCUGUUAUAGCAGCACUAAUGGACUUAGUCACCAACUAAAUGUAAUGGACAAGAAUGGCCUACAUUAAAAAAAAAAUGUGAUUAGAGGAUCUUAAUAUCUUAUUCUGUAGUGAACUUUAGAAUAUUUUAGACACUGGAGAUUUUCUAUCAGAUGUAUCCUGUGGAUUCAAUAGGAUUCAUUUUGAGAGGCAGCUUUCUGAAGUGGAAAUAAUUCUGUACUCCAGGCACAGUAAUUGGGUUCAAGCCCCAGCUCUGCCAUUUACUGGGAUGGGGAGAAACUCUUGGACAGCCUGUUAGGCCUUUUUGGCUUCCACUUUUCUUGUCUUUAAAAUAAAGUUAAUAAUUUUCAUUCUGCUUCACUCAUGGCAUAGAUGUGAGGCUCAAAUAAAAAAAUAUUUUGGAAACUACCCUGAAAACUGUAGAACAUUCUACAAAUAUUAUCUAACAAAAUAUAUGAAUGCAUAAUUAGUGUCUUCAAGGGAUGUCAUAAAUAUCGUAAAACUAAAGGGUGAGCUGUAUCAAAACUUGGAAGGGAUUGGGAUGAAAAUCAAACUGUCUAAAAUAGAAUGGCCAAAUACAUUGGGACUUGGCUCCAGAAAGAAUUAAUGAGAAUUACACAGAUUCAUAUCUUCUCCAUUAUUCCAUUGGUCACGUCUAAUAACUUGCCAUGAAAUUGCAUUGAUUUCUACAAAGUGAUUGCAUAUGCUGUUGCCUCUUUUCAACUGCACAUGUCAUAAUUCAUCCAUCCAGAUCAGUAUUUUACUUUUAGGAAAAGAGAGAUGCUAACUUUUUCUCAGAGGAGAGUGUUUAGAAGUCUAUGUUCUAUAGUCCCUCCUAGAGAGGGGGGAUUUCUUCAGUACUCAGCAGCUAAUCUUUUUUUUCUUCUCUCUCUUUUUCCUUUUUUAUUAUACUUUAAGUUCUGAGAUACAUGUGCAGAAUGUGCAGGUUUGUUAUGUAGGUAUACAUGUGCCAUGGUGGUUUGCUGCACCCAUCAACCCAUCAUCUACAUGAGGAAUUUCUCCUAAUGCUCUCCCUCCCCUAACCCCCACACUCCCCAACAGGUCCUGGUGUGUGAUGUUCCCCUCCCUGUGUCCAUGUUUUCUCAUUGUUCAACUCCCACUUAUGAGUGAGAACAUGUGGUAUUUGGUUUUCUGUUCUUGUGUUAGUUUGCUGAGAAUGAUGAUUUCCAGCUUCAUCCAUGUCCCUGCGAAGUACACGAACUCAUCCUUUUUUAUGGCUGCAAAAUAUUCCAUGGUGUAUAUACCACAUUUUCUUUAUCCAGUCUGUCAUCAGUAGGCAUUUGGGUUUGUUCCAAGUCUUUGCUAUUGUGAACAGUGCUGCAAUAAACAUACAUGUGCUUGUGUCUUUAUAGUAGGAUGAUUUAUAAUCCUUUGGGUAUAUACCCAGUAAUGGGACUGCUGGGUCAAAUGUUAUUUCUGGUUCUAGAUCCUUGAAGAAUCGCCACACUGCCAACAAACAUAUGAAAAAAGCUCAUCAUCAUUGGUCGUUAGAGAAAUGCAAAUCAAAACCACAAUGAGAUACCAUCUCAUGCCAGUUAGGAUGGGGAUCAUUAAAAAGUCAGGAAAUGGCCAGGUGUGGUGGCUCAUGCCUGUAAUCCCAGCAUUUUGGGAGGCCGAGGCAGGCAGAUCAUGAGGUCAGGAGAUCGAGACCAGCCUGGCUAACAUGAUGAAACCCUGUCUUUACUAAAAAUACAAAAAUUAGCUGGGUGUGGUGGCAUGCACCUGUAGUCCCAGCUACUUGGGAGUCUGAGGCAGGAGAAUUGCUUGAACCCAAGAGGCAGAGGUUGCAGUGAGCCAAGAUCCUGCCACUGCACUCUAGGCUGGGUGACAGAGUGAGGCUCCAUCUCAAAAAAAAAAAAAAAAAAAAAAAUUCAGGAAACAACAGGUGCUGGAGAGGAUGUGGAGAAAUAGGAACGCUUUUAUACUGUUGGUGGGAGUGUAAAUUAGUGAAACCAUUGUGGAAGUCAGCAGGUAAUCUUUUUACGGUCUGAGUAAUGAGGAACCUGGCUAAUAGUUGCCAUUCUAGAUAGCAUUAAGGGUGAAGUCUUUGCUCACAGAAGUUGGUGUAUCCAGACAGACAUUGUAAUUACAGCAGAGCAAAUUACCAUACUCUGAAAGAGAAGAACACAGAAAGCAACAAACACAUUUAAAGAAGACUGUCCCAGAAAUAAGGAGAAGGGCAAGAAAUCUAAGCAGAAUAUUCCACUUGCCAUUUACAGCAUAGACAAGGACAGCAAAAUGGAAAGUCACUUAUAUAACUGCAGGAUAAAGAGAUGGGUGAGAUGAAAUAUACUUUCUCCGAAUGAAGUUCACUGUAUGUGUAGUGGAUUAAAUGAGAUUGACUAUUUUUAAAAAGCCUGUUACAAAGAAGAACAAAUUUAAUAGACUAUUAAGAGGUAAAGAGGAACUUUUAAAAGCACAUAUUGAUUAAAACAAAAGUUAUACACUUUGGGAGGCCGAGGCGGGCGGAUCAUGAGGUCAGAAGAUCGAGACCAUCCUGGCUAACACGGUGAAACCCUGGCUCUACUAAAAAUACAAAAAAAUUAACCGGGCGUGGUGGCGGGCGCCUAUAGUCCCAGCUACUCGGGAGGCUGAGGCAGGAGAAUGGCGUGAACCCAGGAGGCAGAGCUUGCAGUGAGCCCAGAUUGCUGCCACUGCACUCCAGCCUGGGUGACAGGGCGAGACUGUCUCAAAAAAACAAAAACAAAAACAAAAGUUAUAGUUCAGAAUAUUUAUUGCAUACAACUCAGCAAACAAAGUUGACCUAGAUACAAGAGUAUUAUUGGAAUUUGUUAGUGAAUACAUUGACAAAAUUCUGUUAUUUUUGUUUAAUUAUCACUAGGUCCAGUAGGGUGGAAGUCAGAAAUUUUGACUUAAAAUAUCAGCUAAUUGAAUUAGUUAUUUCAAAUCAAUGUCUAGUUUGGAUAAGAAUAUUUUAUAAAAAAACAAAUCAUAGUAUUAGGCAUAGUUUAUGCUUGGUGGCAUGUAGAGAAAUAUAAAAAUAAAAGAUAGUGAAAUCUUUUUAAAAAUUGUGUUGAAAGGUAUAAUCAUUUGUGUUAAUGUAUUAUUCAACCAGGAUGUAGGAAGAACACACAUGUCACUGAGCUUUGUUCUGGGGCUGGAAGGAAGUGCAAAUAACAAUGAUGAUAAUAAUAACAGCAGUAGCUAAUAUUUAUCAGAUAUAGAGCUUGUUACCACCACAGUAAGCAAUUUGCAUGGAGUAUCUCAGUUCUCGUGAUUAGUCAGGUACACUUCUUACAUUGGUUUUUCGGAUUGAGAUAUUAAAGUCCUUAGAAUUGAAAGAACUUGCUCCAAAUCAUACAGCUAGGAAUGGUAGACUAGCGUUUUUACUCAGGCAGUCUCAAGAUAACAUUUGUUGAGGGUCUAUUAACAACCAGGCAUUGAGAUGGUGUUUACACAUAUUAGUUAUCUCAGUGGUUCUUAACCUGGGAUGCAUGUUAAACUUACCAAGGAAGCAUUUUAAAACCCUGAUGCUUAGGACCUACACCAGGUGAAUUAAAUCAGAACCUUUUGAGACAGGGGCAGGACUUGGCAUCAGUAUUUCUUAAAUAUAAACAUUGUAUAUGUAAAUAUUAUAUCAAUACCAGUAUUUUUAAAAGUAUCCCAGGGGAGUCAGCCUUUUGAAUUACUGUCCAUUUAAUAUUCAAAGCAAAGUCUAUACAUUUGUAUUAUUCCUAUUUUAUUUAUGAGGACUCUGAGAUUCAGUGACGAUAACUGACUUGCUCGAUCAAGGUCACUUACCUGGUAAAUUGCUGAGCUGGGAUGUAAAUGCAGUUCUGUCUAGCUAAAGAGCCCGCAUUCUUCUUGAUGCCUCAGUGUCUAGCCAUUUUACCCAGAGCAAUAAAUUCACUUGUUCCUGUUAUUUAGUGUUUAUCAUAGAAUUUAGCUUUAGCCUCAAUUUCAUUUUAUUGUCUUCACUAUUGAGUACUCACAAAGGGAGCCAGUUAACAACAUCUUUGGAACAACCAUCCUGUGUGGAGCAUUGUGCUAAUUGCUGUGGGAAAGAACAGGGGAAGAUAUGAAAUAUUCCCUUUACAAAGAUAUCUACUGUUCUGCCAGGGUUCAUAACUUUGGGCCUGUGACUUGACAUCUGGGUGGCAAAAGAAGUCUCAUGAAUUGUUUGGGAAGUAUUCAUAGUUUUCAUCAGAUUGUAACAGAGCCAUGAGCCAAAAUAUUUAUGAACUUCUGCCUUGCUUGGUAUGUAAGGCAUUUGAUUCCAGAAGCAGUGGCAUAUUAUCUUGAAUUUUCUUCAUAAAGGCAAAACAGUGCCUUUUCAAGAGAUUUUGAGUUUGAUAUACUGUCAAAAACUGUUUACAGCUAAGCCUAGUAAAAGAUGUUGCAUAUGUGGAGUGUGUGUGUGUAUAAAAAAAAUGCAGGCUGUGAGGCCGGGCGUGGUGGCUCACGCCUGUAAUCCCAGCACUUUGGGAGGCCGAGAUGGGCAGAUCAUGAGGUCAGGAGAUCAAGGCCAUCCUGGCUAACAUGGUGAAACCCCAUCUCUACUAAAAAUACAAAAAAAUUAGCCAGGCGUGGUGGUGGGCGCCUGUAGUCCCAGCUACUCCGGAGGCUGAGUCAGGAGAAUGGCGUGAACCCGGGAGGCAGAGCUUGCAGUGAGUGGAGAUCAUGCCACUGCACUCCCCGCUGGGUGACAGAGCUAGACUCCAUCUCAAAAAAAAAAAAAAAUGCAGGCUGUGAAUAUAAAACAAUGAAAUAAAUUUCAUUAGUGGCUCAGAAACUAGAUCUGAGAACAAGGAUUUGGUUGUUUCUGGCAAUAAAACAUUAUUAAGAAAUGUGAUAUCAUGAGGUAAAUAUCUUAAAGAAUUGUAUUCAUUUACACACAUAUAUGUACAAAUAAAUUUGCACACAUAUAUACAUGCUAUGCACAUAUAUACUAUAUAUACACAUGUAUGUAUUAUAUGCAUGCACCAAUACAUGCUGGCAUGUUUUAUGCAAAUUGAUUUUUAUUCCAUAGCUAUUUUUCCUAUAUAAUCCAUUAUUUUUAAAUGUAUUAAUAAUUUUAAUAUCACCAUAAACUGAAAUGAGUAAAGAGGCCUGUAAUGUGAAUAUUCAUAUAUGGAACAUAAUACGGGGGUUGCGUAAUUAUAGGUCCAUAUAUGUAUUGUAUUUCCUGAUAUAUUUAUAUAUGAAAUUGCUAGUAUGUGUGAAAGAUAUCUACAUAUAUUUUACUAAUAAGAGAUAUAUUCAUAUAUAUAUAUACAAAUAUAUGCUUUAUAGAGCCUAAGUUUGGGGUGGAACAAAUGUUCUCACCCUUGUUUGAUUAUGAGAACCACUUGCAGAGCUUUUUAAAAACCUGAGUCCCUUUUACCCUUGAUUCAAAUUCAGUACAUCCAGAGCGGGUCCUGGUGCUGUUUUUAAAACAUUCCUUGAAUGGUUGUGUUGCUUUGCUUGAGAAGCAGCCCUGUAGUUUGUGUACAGGUAGGAAUGAGGAAGGAAGGGUACCAGACAACAGACAGGUAAGACAGUCAAGGGGAAGAGGCCAGGAAAAUUUCUACCAGGAGGGUGGCAGUUUAUUGAUUUGCUUAUGUUAAAAUAGUUGAGUCCGCGCUGUAUCUUUUUACUUGAUUAAUUUAAUUUACACAAACCAAAGGUCAAUAUCAAUGAUUAAUGUCAGAGGGAAGGGUAUUAUUAUUAUUUUUAACCCUACUUCUUUUUCAACUACUACAUAUCUGACCUUGCAGAGGAAAUCUUGGAGAGAAAAUAGCCACUUUCAUACGACUAUCCCUUGGUCAAUGCGCUACUUAUUAAACUUUAUUUUCCCACUGAAGAAAGAAAAUCCUACCUUCAGGGAAUAAAAUAGAGAUUCAUUUUCUGACCUCCUAGUAUAAUGCUAAAGGAAAAGCAUACAAUCUCUUUGGGGAGGGAGCUGUUAGGAAGGCCAGAGGCAGCUGUCUUGGAAACAUACAGAAAGGUGCUAUUGGGACAGAGCAUAAUUUAAAGUAGGUGAGAUUGGAAAAUAGGGAUUUUUCCUUCUCUUUUACAUUUUUUUUUCCUUUCUUGAACAUAUACAGUUCUUCAGUUAAGUGUUAGCCUGAGAUUAAAUAUAACAUUUAUGAAGCUCCUUUCAAAACUCAUCCCUGCAUGUGAAUGGACCAUUUCCUCCUUUAUACCACUGCACUGACUUCUAAUUACAUGCAUCUUUCAUGAAAAUGUUUGUCAGACUGUCUGAUGUUAAAUUGCAAGAUAAUUGAUAACAAGACCCAUGUCUUAAUCAUCUUUGUUGGUGCUAAAUACGUGUUUAUUGAAUGAAUGAACAAACACUUGGAUGAAUAAAUAGACUGUAAUUGUUAGUAACUCCAUGAGACCUGCACAUUUCUUUGUUAUUGGCACUUUGCCUCCCUGUUUCUCUUGAGCUUCAUGGUUCUAUAUCUACAUCACAGGUAGUCUAGUGUAAGGUUGAAUAACAACACUCAAAUUAAAAAGUAAAAAUCUUAAGAUGCUUUUGGUACCUAAGCAUAAUCAUAAAACAAUGGUCUUGUUUAAUUUGAGGAGGAGAUAAGUGAUCAAACCCAAGAAUCCAUAAAUUUGGCCUAAGUAUUGGUAUUUAUUUCCAGAGAUGGGCAAGGAAAGAGUGUUGGAAGAAAAUACAAGGUAAGUUUUACAACCUGUGAGUACUCAGAACCUGGACUUUCAUGUCUUUUAGAAAGACACAUUGACAAUAGGCAGAAAAUCCUUAGCUACAACUCACUGGCUGAAAGCUUGGUCAGUUAAAUUGUGAAUUUACAUGGAAUCCAAAUGAAGUGUUCAGACAUUUCAAACAUCUCUUGCUUAAUGAGGUUCUGUGCCUGGCUAGCAGGUCAGCAGUCUGAUUUCAGUUUACAGAUGCAGUCUUAAAAAAGGACCCUGAGAUCAUCUAUAACACUUCCCUGUCUUCCUUUGCUCCAGCUGCAUUCAUCAGCUUCCAUCAGGGUUCACAGCAAUGAAAUUAAUUGACAAGAAGCUCAAUCUUAAGAGCACUCUGAACUGUAUACUCUUGCCAUCCACCCGCUAACUCCAAUCCUACAUGAAUGAAUGCAAGUGUAGUUUUUUGAGAAGGGGCCAUGGCUCAAGCAGUGCCAUAUAUGUGCCUUCUAUACAACUGGCUUGGUAUCUGGUAAAAUUUCCAUUGCCCAGUUACAAACUAGCCAGUCCCUUGCAGACCUAGGAUCCUCUUAGAAUGCCCUAUCAGGAAGUUCUUUGCAAGAUGUUUUAACUGAGCAAUGAAUUUAUAGAGGAGGACUUGAAUAAAUUGUUUCAAAAAUGAAACCAUUUGAACACAAAUCAUGUCUUUCACUAAGACCCAGACAAACUAACUCAUAUGUACUCCACACAUCUCAGUGUAGUAAGCAGAUGGAAAAUAUUCAUUGUUUUUUUUUUUUACCAAUGAGACACUAGUAACAAAGAGAAAGUGUAGAAAUUCUUCAAGAUCCCUAGAGGCUGGGCAAUCAUAUUUCUAGCAAAACUCUUGACUUUCUUCCUGUUCUCAACCUCUGCCAUUAAAAUAAGGAAAUAGUGCUAUCAAAGUAAAAGAGAAGCAUCUGUUGGAGGGGUUCAAGGGGGUUGAGUCUUUAGGCAUCAAAGCUAGGAGUUGGCUGGGCGUGGUUGUUCAUGCCUGUAAUCCCAGCACUUUGGAAGGCCAAGUCAGGCAGAUCACCUGAGGUCAGGAGUUCAAGACCAGCCUGGCCAAAAUGGUGAAACCCUGUCUCUACUAAAAAUACAAAAAUUAGUCAGGCAUGGUGGUACAUGCCUGUAGUCCCAGCUACUCGGUACACUGAGGCAGGAGAAUCACUUGAACCUGGGAAGUGGAGUUGCAGUGAGCCAAGAUUGUGCCACUGCACUCCAGCCUGGGCUACUGAGUGAGACUCCAUCUCAAAAAAAAAAAAAAAAAAAGAAGAAGAAAAAAAAAAAGCUGGGAGUUUCAUUAUUCCUCAAAGAAGGCACCUCAGACCAGGUUCCAUAGGGCACGCCCCUAAAGAGCCCAACCUUCUCAGGGUUCUAAAAUGUAUCUUAAGCCCAAGCAAAAUCCUUGACUUUCCAUUUAGAUGCCAAUAUGCCAUCCUCAUAAUAUUCAUUCUCAUGGAAUUUUGAGUUCCCACACUCUUACAUAGCUCCCAAAGCCAACUUAUUUUACUGCUGAAAAAUACUUCAGUACACUUUUAUUGCUGACACUGGUUUCUCUAUACUUCCCCCAGAGAUAUUCAUGUUAUAAGUAAAUCUUUUUCCAAGGUGUGCUUCAUCUCCUGGCUGGAAGCAAGAAAAAAAAUGUUCAAAGUAUUGUAGCACUUUUUACAGAGUGUGUAUCAUGAAAUCAAUAAUCAUUUAUUGAGUACUGACUAUUCACUGUGGGGCCAGAUAUUGAGAAUAUUGGAGAGCAAUUAGAUGUGGUCUCUGACUCCAGGGGUCUACAAACGGCAUGGUGGGGAACAAGCUCAUUAGAUGAGGAGAAAAAAUAAUAAUAUAAGUGAGUAUAAACUCAAGAACUAUAAUUAUGCAUUGAUUAAUGAAACAAAUACUGAAGAUUUACUUUUUAAAAAGCGUUGUGCUCAAGGCUAUGGCAGAUGUAAGUUUAUAAUAUGACCACUUACAUUAAUUUGCUAGGUUUGCCCUGACAAAUUGUGAAAAACUGUGGCUGAAAACAUUGGAAAAUCAGUUUCUCCCAGUUCGGGAGAAUAGAAGGCCAAAAUCAAGGUGCUGACAGUGCUAUGCUACCUCUGAAGGCUCUAGGGGAGAAUUCUUCCUUGCCUUUUCCUAGCUUCUGGUGGCGGCCAUCAAUUCUGGGCUUUCCUUGGCUUUUAGCAGCGUCACUCCAGUCCCUGUUUCUGUGGUUGCAAGGCCUUCUUCCCUGUGCAUAUGUGUGUGUGAGUGCAUGUGUGCAUGUGCACCUGUGUGUGCUCCUGUCUUUACGUGACCUGAUACGAACACUAGUCUUUUAUUUGGAACCCACCCUAAUCCAAUAUGACCUCAUUUAAACUAAUUGUAUCUACAACGAUUCUAUUUGCAAGUAAUAUCACAUUCUGAGGUUCCAGGGGGACAUUGUUCAACCCAGCACAACCCUUAAAUAUCCUAUUGUCUUGUUGGAGGUUAUUUUAUGGGAUUCAUUUUUGGUGUUCCAUGGCUUUUCAGAGGAGGCUCAGUGUCCACUGAUAGUCUCUGGGAAGACUACGUAGGCAUAGGUCCGACCAUUGCUAUAUUUUCUUAUAUCUAUGAAAUCCUAAGUUAACAUUUUAAACUACAGUCUACUGUGUGUCAAGUGUUGUCCUAGGCUCUUAUUUACUUAAUUCAAUCUUAUCCUCACAACAGCCUUUGCAGUAUGAUUUUUUCCAUUGUAUAGAUGGGAAACUAGUUCAGAAAGUUUACUUACUUACAUGAGACUUAUAAGCUAGGCGCUGGGAUGCUAAACAAAUUAGUUCCAAAGUCUACUAUUCAGGCUGAACUUAUGCAUUUCUGGUGGUGAAAGCACAGCCUACAUAACCAUUAGUUUGUGAUUUAGACCUUAGCCCAAACAUUCGUCAUUAUCAUAUUUGAAGCCAGGAUGGACCCAUUGUUCCAGAUCUAUAUACUGUAUAUCAGUUAGCCAUAUCAAUUAAUAAUCUUUUGAUACUUGUCAAAGAGCAGAGAACCGCAGAAAUUAAGAGUUUAUUCUCUUCAUUAAACCAUUAAAGAUUGGAGGUGGCUAUUGUGAAUUGGGCAUGAAUUAUAGCAUAAGCCUAUAUAUGUUGCAUAUAGCCCCCCGUAACAAGCCUCCUUGUUGUCUUUUGUGUUCCUAACUUAUGAGCAGGGCAGAGAUUAUCACUGAACACAUUGCAGGGUAAAUGUAGGACUCUGAGUCACCCAUUGGAUUUUUACAGGCUGAAACAUUUACAGUGUCCUGCUUACAAUUCUCAAGCAUCAGUUAGGUGCAGGAACACACAGGCAGAGUCAGUAGCUGCCCAGGGAACUAGUGUCCAGUCUAAUCUCUUCACAAACUUUGUGCGUGAUUCAGGAAGGAUUAUUACAGGCCAAAUUUUACCCAUGGACCUGUUUUGUUUAGUAAAAUAUUUUCAAAAAUAAAUUUUGGAUUUGAAUGACUUUAGGGAAGGCAGGAAUGAUCUAGGCUCUCACAAGCCUUAGUCAUUACCCCUGGCCUGAAUUACAUAUUUAUGUGAGCCCUCUAGUCCCUGGAAGCAGUUCUGUUUGUCACCCUGUACUUAGAAAAGUGGAAAUUAAUGUAUGGUUCCUGGACAGGCAGCACCAGCAUCACCAGGGAACUUUUUAGAAGUGCAAAUCCUCUAGUCCCACACCAGACUUACUGACUCAGAAACUCUGACGUGGGGCCUGUAAUCUGUGUUUUAACAAGCCUUCUGGUUGAUUCUGAUGUGCAUUGUCCUAGGAGAACCACUGACUUAGAGAUAAGUUAAGAAACUCUUCCUUUCUUGAAGAAUAGCGUCUUCUGCUUUCUAAUAAUGAACUUUUCUGUAAUGCCUCAAGAUCUACAAAGAUGUCUUAUUUUGCUUCCAGAGUCACGUGAGAAAACAGUAACAAUUUGAGGGAGGUGUUGCUCUUUCAGCUUUAUCCAGAGAUGUGCGGUGGCUUGUUCCAGGUGUUAUAUGACAGGACAAUGGACCUCAAACUCAAGAUUCUUUUUCCUCUACACUUCACUACUUUAACUCUCCUGAUUAUUUUGUGGACUGAUGAAUAAGUACGUGUAAACUGAUUUUAGUUUUCCUGGUAAUGAAAAAAAAAAAAAACAAUGAGUAUUGUUACUCUUGUAAUAAUCACAUCAUUUUUUGUCUUUCUUUCUUUUUCUCAUUUUAUUUUUAGACAGGGUCUUGCUCUGUCACCCAGGCUGGAGUGCAGUGGCAUGAUCACAGCUCACUGAAGCUUCGAAUUCCCGGGUUUAAGCAGUCCUCCCACCUCAGCUUACCAAGGAGCUAGGACUACAGGCAUGUGCUGCAACACCUGGCUAUUUUAAUUUUUUAUUUUAUUUUUUUUUAUUUUUGUAGAGACAGGGUCUCCCUGUGUUGCUCAGGCUGGCCUAGAACUCCCUGGGCUCAAGUGAUCCUCCCACCUUGGCCUCCCAAAGUGCUGGGAUUACAGGCGUGAGCCACUUCACCCAGCCUUUUUUUCUGUGUCUAAAAUUCAGUUACUCUCUCAUUCACUUAACAGUUUAGAAAAUACUAACUAUACAACAUGUACUACGCUAGAUGAUUUUUUAACUUAAAAAUGUGCAAUGCACAUGCAUAUUCAUAAUAAAAAUCCAUCUUUCUAACUCCUGAGAGGUAAGCAAAAACUUAUUUUACUGCUGUAAAAAUCACAUAAUUGGGGACAAAAACUUGCAUGUAAUAUAUUUUCUAUGAGACUGUAUUGACUUUGAGAGUGGUUAGAGUUAAUGGUUUGAAUUAGCAUAAGUAAAAUUAAUGAUAUUGUAGGUCUUAAAUGUAAAUGCAAUUUUACACCAGGCCCAGAAGAAAUUCCCCUCACCUACCUUAAUUGGUCAGAUGAAAAUAUUUGGAAGAAAUACCUCAUUCAAUUUUUUAAAAGCAUAUUGGCUACUUGCCACCAUUGAAGAAUUAGAUCUCAAACUAAAGGGAUUGUCGGGAUGGGCUUAAACAGCCUUUUGAUUUGUUCAUUAAUUCAUCAAUUCAACCUCUCACAAAACAAUUGUAUGUUGAAUGACUGCUAGGUGCUGUGUGCUAUGCUAGGUGCUGCUGAUACAGUUAUGAGCAAGACAGACUCAGAAUCUUAUAAAUCUUUUUGUACAAAAGACAAACAAUUAUUUCAGUGAGUUGAUUAAAUUUAAUAUUAAUAUUUAAUAAAGCAGAAGUAAUUAUACCUGCAAAGGAAAAAUAAAGUGUGUUUUUAGCACCUAUAAUUUGAGGACUGUGGGAUGGUAGGGUUAUCUGAAAAGAGAUAAAUAAUUUGUUGUAUAUUUGUUUCUUUUGGGGGGUGAAUGCCAUGUGCCAUGAUGUGGGAAUUAAUUGGAAAACCAUAGGCUAUGGGAGUCAGAAGAGACAUUAGAGGCUCUAAUAUCUGUCCCACUUUUCUCUAAUUUAGAAAUCUGGAGGCUGGGACCCAGAAAAGGUAAAAUGAAUUACCCCAAAGCCACACUUAGUGAAUGAAAGAUGUGUGAACGGACAUAUGCAUGGGCCUCCUUAAUCCUAUGCUAGGGAUGAGGACAUGCCUUUCCCAAAAAUAGGUGAAAUUACCAUAUGAUAAAGAACAUUUUUAGAUAUUGGGAGUAGGGUAGGGUACAAGGCUUUGGAACAGCAAAGUUAAUCAGCUCAGUAGGGGGAAGGAAAAAGGAAGAGAGAAAGAGCAGGACCUCCAGUGGAACAAGAGUCUGUGGACUCUGUCACCCUGUUACUCCCUCUUAAUCACUCAGAUGAUUUGCUUUUUCUGCUUCUAUUUCAAAAUAAGCUGCUAAAACUGAGAUGCAGUGCAGUGAAAGCACAUCAUGAUCUAUGUUCUCAUUUUUGCAUGGAGGGAGUGAGUAAAGACCUCCUACUUAGGUAGUCAUCUUGCUGUCCCUGCAUGUAGACUAAGGCUGUGAGAGAGAACUUGGUGCUUUAUAAGGCAUUCCCUGUGCUGGUAUAAAUUUGACCCUUGCAUGUGAGUGAUGGUGAGGGACAUCUCUGAGAAUUGUUCCUGGUACAACAUGUGUGGAUUUCAACAUGGGUACUGCAUGCUGGAGAGAUCUUGAUAUGACCCAAAAGCAAGACCAGAGGCAAGCUUGACACGAUGGAGCAAAGGGUGGAAAGGUAGAAAAUAGAAUGAAAAAUUUUUCUUUGCUGUCACCUCCUCGAUUUUAUUCAAAUCUUAACCCAAACAACUAGAUUGCAUUACUGGGCUCUUAAAAGUUUUGUUGGAAAAGUGCUGCUAAAGAAUAGGAAGACAAUCUAGGCAAUGCCAUUCAGGCCAUAGGCACGGACAAAGAGUUCAUGAGGCAGACACCAAAAGCGAUUACAACAGCAGCAAACACUGACAAAUGAGAUCUAAUUAAACUAAAGAGCUUUUGCACAGCAAAAGAAACUAUCAACAGAGUAAAGAGACAACCUACACAACGGGAGAGAAUGUUUGCACACUGAGCAUCCAACAAACGUCUAACACCCAGCCUCUAUAAGGAACUUCAACAAAUUUACAAGAGUAGGAUCUCAUAGGUUUAUUUACAAUAAUAAUUCAAAUGUUUCAGAUUUGUAAUUGUCCUUUGAAACCAUUGCUUUCCUUUAAUUCCAGCUAUACCAAAGACUCUUUGGAAUGGGUAAAUUAUUUCUACUUGAUAGACUAGGAAAGUGAGUCACAAAAAGGCUCGCCCAGAGCUACUGGUUAUUAGUUGUGUGUUUUUCUCUCCUAUUCCACACUCGAGAAAACCCCGAAGAAUAGGGGGUGGUUAAUGGUAAAAAGAAAUCUAGAAGAAGAGUUCUGGAAAUGAAAGACAGCUAGGUUUUGAGUUUCUCUAAGAAAAGGUAGGGGGCAAUGGAUUUAAACUAGGGGCAUACACUGCGAUUAAAUAUCGAAAGAAACACACUGAGAUUUAAAAAUGUAUAAAGGGCUUAUGGGAACGAAGAACUAAAAAGAAAAUAUGAGGCAAGAACAUAGGGUGGCGACAGAACAAGGCUGUGAGACGUGUGCUUGGUUUGUUUAGGCUUUAAAACUUGUCAAAGUUUACCGUUUUCUCUUUCAAGAGGGAUGAAAGAAAGGAUGGUGCUUCCCUUAGUUUGUUUGCUUUCUUCUUUCAUGUAUCUGCCCUGGCAGAUAUGCAUACAUGUGCAGGCCCGUGUGUUCGUGCACACAUAUGCACACAGAUAAAGUGGGAACAGAGAGAAGCCAGUGGGUGGUGGUGAGAGAUGGGGGCAGAAUUGAUGCAUCAGGGGGCCUAAAUCCAUGCAAUGAUCAAGUUCAUAGCAAUUUCCCCAGGAGACUGUAUCAUAUUCCAGUGAAGGGGAGUACGGCAGGAGGUUGCCAUGGCAACAAAAGGCCUGAAAUAUUAACUCUGACUAGCAACAGGCCAGUGAAACAGCCUAGCUAGGAUUUAUGGCACAUUAUAGUGUGAAAAGCAGGAGAAAAUUACUGUAAAGGCAGGAAUUAUAGCACAACAGAACAUAUAAACUCCCAAAUCCGUCUUCCUAAUUAAAACAGCAUGCUCGGAGGUAGAGCACAUAGUAAGGCCAUUAGCUUAAAUGGGGAUGUGCUAUCAUCGCUUUGUUAUCAAGUUUAAUGUCCUUAAGACUAACUGUGUGCACUGGGAGAGUGAGAGCAAGGGUAAGAUAGUCUGGAGACAGAUGGAAGCAAGACUCUUGGGCACUUGAAUUCUUCUCAAACUCAUUCUUGGUGACAUAAGGUUUCUUCAGAUACUAGUCUCUGAUCCCACAGGAGAUUCUAGAAGAUGCCUUGAUCCUUCUAUUUGUAAAUAAAUCAUCACUUCUCAGGCAUGAAGGCUGAGAGACUGAUACCACAGUCAAUCCCUCUGGAACCCACCAGGAAGAGAGGAGCAACUAAUCAAUGAGGUUUAUUGUUGAGGAAAAAGGAUCUUGGAUCUCCCGACUCCCUAGAGGGGAAAAUAACUCCCUUGUUGUCACAGACCCAAACUUUCUUUUAUGUCUUAGUCAACAGCCUGCCCCUAAGUGUUUGAAUUUGCAAUGCCUGGAGGAAGUCUUCCAUGUAAUUCAUACUUUAUGAGGGAACCUUUGUCUUCUUGUGAUUCUUAUUAGAAACUCCCAAUUUCUCGAACUCUAAUCCAGGACCUUAGUACUCAGUCUGGAGAUGGGUCAGGGAAAAUGAGAAAACCAUUAUUUUACAAGGGUUCAUUGUUCAUCCUUUAUUCUGCCAGCCAUUCAACAAGUAUUUAAUGAAUACCUUCUACAUUCUAGUAAAUGCUGGGAACAUGUCCAUGAACAUUAAACAAACGCACAAAUAAUUACUUAAUAAACAGUUAAAUAUACAAAAGAAAGUACAGAAUGUUUUGAAAAUUAUGAAAAUUCUUCCCAUAGCACUAUCUUUAUUUCCCUAUCACCAUAGUUGCCAAAGUGCCCCCACCUGACAUUCUUUUAGGUUUGCCAGAUGACCAAGCCCUACAUUCCCACAGCUAUGUCAGCAACAUACUCAAGAUCAUCCUUUAGACAUUGCAUUCCCCUCCCCUCCCCUCCCAUCCUCUCCCCUCCUCUCCCCUCUUCUCCCCUCCUCUCCUCUCCUCUCCUCCUCUCUUUCUUGAGACAGGGUCUUGCUCUGUCACCCAGGCUGCAGUACAGUGAUUCAAUCCUGGCUCACUCCAACUUCUGCCUCCUGGGCUCAGAUCCUUCCACCUCAGCCUCCUGAGUAGCUGGGAUCACAGUUGCAUGCCACAGUGCCUGGCUAAUUUUUUUUUCUCUUUUGUAGAGAUGGGGUUUCACCAUGUUGCCCAGCUGGUCUAGAUCUCCUAGGCUCAAGCAAUUCACCCUCCUCGGCCUCUUAAAGUGCUGGGAUUACAGGCAUCAGCCACUACUUCUGGCCUGUGUUUUUCUUUUUUAAAGAUAAGACCUAAAGAGGAUUUUGACUAUUUUGAAAAUAUAUUCAUAUCUGUGUAUUUUUGGUUAUUCACUUCCAGGUCCUAAAGUUGCAAUUAAGGAGAAAAAAAUCAUUGAUUAUUCUUAGUAGUUUUGAUGAGGUAAUGCAAGGUUUUUCUGUAGCAAAGUCAGCAUGCGUCGUGAAUAUGGUUAAGCUAUGUAUGAUUAAAGGAUUAUUUAUGUUUUAUUUAUAAGUAUUUGCUAUCAAUAACAGCUCCCAAAAGUAAGAUUCACCAGUAUUACUACAGCAUAUGGGACUUUUGCUGUAGAUUAAUAAUGCCAUGAUAUUUUCUUUAAUGAAGGUGGAAAUGAUUGCUUUAUUUUAACAAAGGGACCUCUAUGGUCCCCCUGAGUUUGAGCCUUGAAUGUAGACGAUCAGGGAUGCUAUAUCACAGCUGUCUCCCUGCUGAUAAUGACUCUCCUUGGGGUUUCAUAAUUUCUGCCUGAAAUCCUUUGGUUUCCUCUCAGGAGGCAUGGAGUGAAUUUAUAGGGAGAUUCUUCAAUCCAGACACAAAAAAAGGUUUUAAAAUUUUUUGUGUGUCUCCAUAUUUGACUUUCUGUCUCCCAUUCUCAUUUCCUUUACUUUCAUGUGUGUGUUUUCUUCUUACUGUGCCAAACACAUAAUAAAUGCUCAGUAUUUGAGAUUAAUAGAUAUAAUCAUUAUUAUUUUGUGUUAUUCUUUCUACUCCUCCCUUAUAAAAAAAGGGAUUCCUCCCUUCAUCAUGCUUCCCAUGCCUUCAUAUACUUCUUAUUGGUUUGCAGAACAGGCAUAGUUAUGAUGGAGAAAGUAAAGAAUAAUGAUUAAAAAGAAUAAUAACAAACCACAUAACUAACUGUUUGGGUUUAAAUGACAGAACUCUCAAAUCCAUCUUCCUAAUUAAAACAGCAUGCUCAGGGAUAGAGCACAUAGUAAGGCUUUUAGCUUAAAUGGGGAUGUGCUAUCAGUGCUUUGAUAUCAAGUUUAAUGUCCUUAAGAUUAGCUGUAUGUGCCUUGGGAGAGUGAGAUCAAGGGUAAGAUAGUCUGGAGACAGAUGGAAGCAAGAUUCUUGGGCAGUUGAAUCCUUCUCAAACUCAUUCUUGGUGAGUACUGUCACUUUCUAGGUGUGCCUUAGGCAAGUUAUUUAACUGCUUCGUGCCCCAGAGAGUGGUGGGGGAAUCAAGGGUAGGACACAUGUGAGUCACUCAGAACAGUGCCUAGUCUUUAGUGAAUGGAACUUCGGGUGUUCAUUAUUGUUGAUAUUGCAGGUGUAAAGAAUUUGAUUCACACACUCCUAUCAUGGAUUGGAGGGAAGUUGAAUAUUGGUUCAUAUCUUGUUUUAGGUUCUGGUUUACUUGCUGCCUGAACUAGGAAUAUAAUUCGGGAUUUGCAGCUAGUAAGUUGAAAUUAAGAAGAACUCAGGCCUUUAGAUUAAUCAAGUACAUAUACAGUAUUGAAAUUAUGUCUUUUUAUCAGUAUCUUUCCAGAGGCCCAGUUAGGGGAGCUCCUGGCAUGUGCCCGGCAUGUAAGGAGUGUCCACAAGUGUUUGCAGACCUGCACUGAACACUAUUUCUCUUUUGAUAUGAUGCAGUUUAACAUACUCAAAAGAGUUGAGCCUUAUCCCCUUUGCUCCUCAAAACCAAACACAGCCAGUUUUGGAUUAACUUUUAUUCAGUCAUGUUUUAUGCUGUAGGGUCCAACCUAAAUUUUCUAGGACGCAGCCCAACUAACUGAAUUCUUUAUGUCACUUGAAGGAUAACGUCACUACAGUUAAUUUUGAUAAUAACAUGGUUUGAAGGAUUCCUAACUGCUUGCAAUUUAUGUAAUAUUCUCAGUGCUCUGUGAAUUUGUAGUCUGAUGAAAACACUGAAAAGGGAGGUAAUGUUUACUAUUUCUGAUUAUUAUUCUGUAUCCCUCAUGCAGACCUAACCUCAAGCAUUUGCAGCCACCCAAUGACUUUUUUUGAAGGAAUUUUUACUAGUGGGUUCAUCUGGGGCAGAUGAAAAUGUUUGCAUUUUAGACACUCCAAAUACAGAUAUAAAAACUUUAUGUCUCCUCCUCCAGCUCUACCUUCAACUUUCUUUUCACUUUCUUUCCUACUAAGAGCACAUAUUUCCAGGCUCAUUCUUCAUCCCUAAACUCUGUCCCUCUCCUUACUCCUUUGUUCCGUCUUUUGUCCUCUCCCUGGAAUUUCUGGUCAUUUGCAUUAACUACACUUAUAAGUCAAACUUUCUUUGUUCCUUUGUGGGUGUACUCAGAACAUCAUUACAUUCAAGUAAAUUCAUGUGUUUUUUUUCUUUUUUUGCCCUUUUAUUUAAAAGCACUCCUACUGGCCAUUAGAAUAGUUACCAGAAAUCUCCUUUGGUCUAUGGAUAAGAAAUUCUGCAGAACUUUUCAACCAAGUAAUUAGAUCAUAUUAUGUCUAAACUGGUGCCUUUUUCUCAACUGAAUCCAAGUAGGAGUAUAGACUGUUAACACCUUCAACUGAGUAAACUGCAAUCUUUGCAAAGUGAAUUAAUAUAUGAAUGCUUGCUAAGGCAAGAUAACACAUUUUUCAAUUAACAAAGUAACAGGAGCUCAGGGUAGCAUGUGAUAUAUAUAUAUAUUCUGCUACAUACAUAUGCAGGUAUAUUUUUCAAUCAACAAAACAGGAGCUCAGGGUAGCAGACUACAGAUAUACAUGUGUGUAUAUGUGUAUAUAUAUAUGUAGCAUACUACAUAUGUAUACAUGUGCACAUGUACAUAUUUAUCUGUGUAUAUGUAUACAUUAUGUAUAUACAUAUAUAGGUAUAUGUAUACAUAUAUGCAUAUGUAGGUAUAUGUAUACAUAUACAUAUAUAGGAAUCCUAUAUAUGUAGUCUGCUACACAUAUAUAUUCACAUAUAUAUACAUGUAUAUAUGUAGUCUGUUGUCCUGAGCUCCUGUUGUUUGUCAAUUGAAAAAUGUGUUACCCUGUCUUAGCAAGUGUGUGUGUGUGUGUGUGUCUAUAUAUAUAUAUAUAUAUAUAUAUAUCCUCAAAAUUUUACCUAGAGUAAAAAAAUGAAAUGCCUACAUUACAUAAAGACCCAUAUGACAAUAUUAAUUCUGUGAGCUGAGACAUAUUCAUGCCAAUUCUCCAUACCUUCUCCCCCAUUGCCCAUUCUCCAGCCCUUUGUUGUUCACUGGUCCUAACUCUGCUUUCUUACUACAAUGGCCCACUUACUGCAUCCUUAGUUUUUGACAUUUUGAAAUCACAAGGUUCUCAUAUUAAGCAUGGACAUUUUCUUUACUUUUUUAUUAAUUACAACCACAGAACUUCUCUCGUCCCACUCCUUCUUGUUUUGUCUUUGGGUAAAAGGAAUAAAUUAUAUAUUUAUCAUAAAUUUUAACUCUACAAAAUGGCCAUAUUUAUACUUUCUUCAGAUUUCUCUCAGUUCUAGUUAAGGUUUUUUUUUGGCUUCCAUUUGCCCCUUAUUUGAUUAUUAUACUCCAAGUGGCUGAAGAAAAAAUACAUUCAAUAUAAUCUGUCUGUAAUUUUCAUGUCUUCCUCAUUACCGUAAAAUAUAAUGCUUAUUUGAGACACACACACACGCACACACACACGUGCAUACUCUUGGCCUAGAUCAACCACACAGAUUCAUUUAUUUUACCUUCUCAUUAAUUAGACCCUCAAGCCUCUUAAUGUUGUUUUAACACUAAUUUGUUGAGUUCUUUCUGGCACCAAACUACCCCAAACUCCAUGAAGAACUGAAUCAUCAAUGUAUUAUUUAUAGGGGCUUCUUUCGUGUGUUCGUUUAAAAUGUAGUUAUCUAAUUAAUUUAUUAAUUUAUAUUGUCAAUAACUAUUCCCAGAAGGUUUUUUUUUUUUCAGAUCUACUAGAGAACUUAAAGCUUUUUCUUUUCCAGGAAUGGCCAAAAUAUCCAGAAGGACAAUAUCAAGUAAUAAUUAAAGUUAUAAGCUCUUGGUUUGAAUUCUUGCUCCACUAGUUAUGUGACCUUGAGCAAAUUACUUAACUUCUCUGUGCCUUACUUUUGCCAUUUGUGAAGUGGAAACUAAAUAGCCUUUAUGUCCCAGUAACAAUGCAAAGUUUAUUCAUUGCCGAUUAGAAGGGGCACACUGUUCAAGAUGCUCAUUAAUUCAUUCACUCAUUUUAUGUAAUGACUCAUUUAUCAAUCCUUUGUUGAGUCUCAACCACUGUCCUAGGUAAUGCUGAUACAAUCUUAUGUUUUGAAGCUCGCCACAAAAUUUGAUCACCACUAGAGCCAAGAUUUAACACAUUAUUUCAUUUAAUAGCUAUUUUGAGUCUUCAGGGUACAAUUUACAGUUUUGGGGGGGAAGAUGUAGGGAAAUAUGACUCGUCAGACUCAAUUAAGUGCAUUUACUCAGGGCUACCCAUCUAUUAAGUGGCAUGGUUCUCUAACCCCAUAGUUCAUUCUCUUUUUCUGUGCACCACUAGUAGGUUUUGCAUAAGGUAAUUUUGUCCAAGUGGUUACUGUGUGGGUCCUGUUCACAAUCUUGAUCAUGAUUGUAUUCCAACUUCUAUGUCAGAGUUUGCAAGCAUGUGGCUUAUAAACUCAAGAUGGCUGGUACAAUGUUGUUCAAUAUUUAAUGGAGGGGUAUUACCAAGAUCUAGUUUUCUAGGUUUUCUUGAGAAAUUAGAAAAUCUGGCAACACUAAGUUUGUAAUAAUACCAGGGACAACUAGCCAAACUGCCCUAUUUUGUUGAAUCAUGUGCUGUCUAAGUCCUCACAGUCCUUGCCACCCCCAACCCUGCAAUCAUCCUACAUGUAGUGUUUCUAUUUAUCAUUGUAUUUUUGCUUUUAUAUCUCUUACAUCUUGUCACAUUGUAUAGCCUGUCUAGCAUUUGAAUUUUUGACUCCUGUUUUAAGCUAGAGAUAUGCUUGUCACUGAACACGACUUGAAUAAGGAAAUGAGUAAUAAUUAUGACUCUACAUGCCCUUUAUAGUACACAAAGAACUUUUUAAACAACCAUGUUAUACUGCUACUUUGAUUUUACAGUAGUUUGCUCCAAAUGAGUCAAAUGGUAUGUAGUAGAGUCAUAAUUAGAAUCCAGAACAAUUGGUGUAAGUCUAGUGCUUUUCUCAUUUAUCUGUCAUUCAUUCAUUUAUUGACAUAUUUAUUCAACAAGUAAACAAUUAUAAGUAAAUGUCAAAUAUAUUCUAGACCGUAUAGUGGAUGCUAGAGAUAUAGAUGUGACUAAGAUACAGUCCCAGGCUUUAAGAAGCUCAUAGUCUAUUUAGGAAUGACAGAUAAACGGAUUUUUCUGAGUGCAUUGUGAUGUGAACUGAGAAAUACACAGGGUAUGUACAAGGUGCCAUGUUAACAUCAAAUGGCAUGUGAUUGAUUUUAUCUGUGACUCAGACAUACCUCUGCCACUGUAGGGAGUAGUAUAAUUGACAUGGGAUCCUGGCCAGUCUCCUUAUGGUGAUGGUGGUUAAUCUACAUGUCCCUGAGUAUCAUGGUCUUUACAGAAGCAGGAGAGUGAAAUGUAAAAAGUGCUGGAAUGGAAAUCAGGGCACCAAGUAUAUAUGGUCCUGGCUCUGACAUUUGCUUGCUCCUUGACGUUAGAAAAAUCGUUGAAUUUAUGUGUGCCUAAAUAUCUUCACCAAAAAAUAAGGAGGCAUAAGAGGGGAGAUACCAGAUCUUACAAAAUAAGUAGGUUUUAUUUACAAAUACUUAUGGAUUAGUGGGGGCCCUUUCACUAGGCUACAAAGAAUUUGAGGCUCUAUCUAUGCUUAGUUUUAAAGAAUGCUAUGGUCAAAGAAGCUAUGUUUGUCAUAGGCACUAGAGGAAGGGAUAGAAAGAUUCUGAGAUCUAGGGGCAAAAGGGAUUUUGAGAGUGCAAGUGAAUUAAAAAGCUAGGAUCAGCUGGCUCAGUGGCUCACGCCUGUAAUCCCAGCACUUUGGGAGGCUGAGGUGGGUGGAUCAUUUGAGUUCAGGAGUUUGAGACCAGCCUGGCCAACAUGAUGAAACCCCAUCUACUAAAAAAAAAAUACAAAAAAGUAGCCAGGGGUGGUGACCUGUAAUCCCAAUCCCAGCUACUAGGGAGGCUAAGGCAAUAGAAUCGCUUGAACCCAGGUGGCGGAGGUUGUAAUGAGCCGAGAUCACACCACUGCACUCCAGCCUGGGUGACAGAGCAAGACUCUGUCUCAAAAAAAAAAAAAAAAAAAAAAAAAGGCUGAGAUCAAGUUUCUGCUGCAAGGACAUUUUCAUUAGUUAAAAUAAGAAGGGGCUAAUACCAAUAAAAUGCAUAGCAAGUUGACUAUUCAAACCAAAAGGCCUCCAGUUGAAGUUGUGUUUUAAUUUAAGCACUAGUAGGGCCCAGCAAAUCAAAUAUUGAAAGAUGCUAAAAUUAGUCUGAUUACUUUGUGAGUCAUCAAAUUGAUUUGACUGUCCUUGCCCUUCAUAUAAUGUCCCAAUAGACACUUAACCUGACUCUACUUCCUUGAAUUUGGCAAAGUAAGCACGAUCAUUGGAGUUACUGCUUUUGGGAUUAUUUAUUUAUCACAUCACCUCUGCCAUCAUUACUUCCCACUCGUCUUUGUUUGGCUUACUUUCUACUGUGCUUCUCUCUAUCAAAUCUUUGCACCUCCUUAGGAAGAUCUGGAAGUCACCUCUCUGUAAAUCUGAGAAGUUAUUUUCAUUGUUGUUGGAUGAUAAUGCUUAAGCCAGUGUUGGAGGCUGCACAAGUAAAUUACAUGGUUUUAGAAGCACCUCCUCCUUCCAUCUGUGCUGUUUGGUUGUAUUCUUUAUUGGAUCUGGGAUGAUAUGACUUCUUUGCCUGGGGCUGUUGCUGCCAUUACGCAGUUUUGGAUUCACUGUUGCUUCAUACCAAUGUUGGUGCUGUAAAUGUACAUGAUAAGAGUUCCACAGUGAGAUGGACUACAAGACUUCUGGACCCAGAGCCCCCUAAAACUAGAUCCAAGACCAGAUUAUGCACUGCUACUGAGGUUGGCCUGCUAUGGUACAGACUGCUCCUCCUUCCCCAAGGAUACAGGCACUUUUACAUAGAGGGUACAACAGAUCUUGACCUGCAGGUGUUCAAAAAUCGACUCAUAACUUCCCUCCUCUUAUAUCUAUCUUAUCAGUAAACAAAUAUUAAUAAGUCAUAGGAAUGAAACAUGCGACUCUUUUUGGUUUUGUUGGAGUGAUCAUGCCAGAACUGGGACUUUCUAAUCUUGAAUUCAAAUCAUGAGAGUUAAGCCUGUCAUGAACUGUGAGUGCAAGCUGACCCAGGAACCAUGUGGUUCUCAAAAAAAAAAAAAAAAAAAAAAGCUUAUGGCUCUUUUUGUGCCACAAUGGCAGAAUUGAGUCAUUGCUACAGGCAGUGCAUGGCCUGCAAAACCUGUGAUAUUAUUCUCUGCUCUGAUAUUAACAUAGCUGGAAUGUGCCCCAAAUGUAUUUCAAUCAAGAGCUUUCAUGUAUUUUUUGAAAUAACCUGGAUAAGAAAAUCCAGAUUUUAGACUCACCAUUCUGCGGGGGAGUGGGGGCGGCAGGGGGUCAUUGAUCCUGUUUGUUUUCUCUCUUGCAUGCUGUCCUUGGAGAUCAGAGGAUUGAUGUUUGAGUAAGAAAUGCAGAAUAGGACCAUAUGUUAGGCAGGGUUAUAGACAGUAAAGCAGGUCAGCAUCCUAUAACUUGAUGACUCAAUCAUCCUAACAUUAUGCCAUCUGGGCGCUGAUACUGUUCAGCUCUCCCUUUUCUUAUGAAAAGUUUGACUCAGGUCAAAUAGGGUGUCUUUUUUUGUUUCCUUAGAAUUUUGUUUUCUCUUCCUUUUAGGGAUUAGUUCUUUUAGUCCCACCUUUGAGAUAAAUUUUAUAAUUUCAAAUUUUGAAUUCUGAUCUAAACCCUCAACUGUUCUUUCUCCCACAGUAAAGAAGUUAAAGCAAUCGUAGCAAAAAAUGUAGAGAGUAUUUCUUUCCCCAUCCCCAACUUUACUGAGAUAUAAUUGACGAAUAAUAUCAUAUGUAUUCAGGGAGUACAACAUAAUGUUUGAUGUAUAUAUACAUUGUAAAAUGAUUACCACAAUCAAGCUAAUUAACAUAUCCAUCACCUCACAUAGCUACCGUGUGUGUGUGUUUGUGUGUGUUAAGAAUAUUUCAGGUUCACUCUUAGCACAUUUUAAGUAUACAAUACAUUAUCAUUAACUGUAGUCUCCAUACUCUAUAUUAGGUCUCCAGAAUGUAUUCAUCUUAUAACCUAAGUUUGUACUAUUUGACCCACACCUCCCCAUUUCCCCUAUUUCCUGACCCCUGGUAACCACACUUCUACUCUCUGUUUCUAUACAUUCAACUUUUUUAGAUUCAAUAUAUAAGUGAGAUCAUGCAGUAUUUGUAUUUCUGUUUCUAGAUUAUUUUACUCUGCAUAAUGUCCUCUAGGUUUAUCCAUGUUUUUGCAAAUAUCAGAAUACCCUUCUUUGUCACAGGAUGAAUAAUAUUUCUAUAUAUAUGUGUGUUUAUACAUGCAUACAUAUCUCUCUCACACAUUUUCUUUGUCCAUUCAUCUGCACGGACACUCAGGUUGAUAUAAUGUCUUGGCUUUUGUGAAUAAUGCUGCAAUGAAUGUAAGAGUGCAGAUAUCUAUUCAAGGUACUGAUUUCACAUUUUUUGGAUACAUAAUUGGUCCUCCAUAUCCAUGGAUUUUACAUUUAUGAAUUCAACCAACUGUGGAUCAAAAAUAUUUGAAAAAAAUGUGUCUGUACUAAACAUGUACAGUUUUUUUCUUGUCAUUAUUCCCUAAACGAUACAGUGUAACAACUAUUUACUUAGCAUUUACAUUGUAUUAGGAACUUAAGUAUCUUAAAGAUGAUUUAAAGUAUAUGGAAAGAUAUGCUUAGGUUUUAUGCAAAUCUGAUGUCAUUUCAUGGGAGGGUCUUGAACAUCUGAAGAUUUUUGUGUCUGUGGGAGGUCCUGAAACCAACCCCUGUGGAUACUGAAGGAUAACUGUUACUCAAAAGAGGGAUUGCUGGAUCAUAUAAAGUUAUUUUCUUAAUGCAUUCAUGUAUGCACUAGUGUGUGUAUGCCUCUAUACACCCAUGCCUGUCACUCUAUGACCUGUUGUCAUAUCUGUACAUUCAUGUAACAAUCGCCAUGUUUAAGAAAUGUAGCAUUGAGCCUAUGUCUUAACUGAUGUAUCCUGUUUCAAUCUAUCUUGAAGUGGCCAAUCACCCUAUCCCCAAAGAUACUGCUACUCAAAGCAUGGUCCCUGAACCAUCUAGGAACUUAUUACAAAUGCAGAACCAGAGAACUCAUGCCUGAUAUACUGAAUUGGAAUCUGCAUUUAACAGAUUUCUUGGUGACUCAUAUACAUGUUAAAGGUUGUGAACACUGUUCUAAGAAAUGUCUUCACUUCUUAUUCCUUUGGCUUGCAGUGAUUAAUUGGGUAGAGGAGGCAGCAUAUCAGAAUCAUUAUGAAGCUUAAAAUAAAGUGUGCCUGGGUUUUAGACCCAAGAUUAAAUCUGAAGCGAAACCAAAUGUCUGUAUUUUUUAAUGAUUCCAAAGGCAAUCCUGAUGUACCCAACACAGGGCAAGGGUAUAUAUUGCAAGGAGUCACAGAAUCUUUUUAUUCUUUUCUUUUAAACCUCCUGGCAACCUUCUCUUUUGCUGCCUGGUCAACAAAGAUUAUCUAAUGUGGUUGAUCAGCUUUUCACUGUCCCGUUCAUUCUUAUGACAAUUUGCCCUAACUAUGCACAAACUGAGAACUCUUUUUAAGGGUAAAUAAAUGUUCUCAUUCAUCCUCACAAUUGAUUUAAAAUAUUGUAACAUUUUCUAAAUAUGUACAAACAGAAAGCUAUCUCAUAGUUCUUGUAUGACCAGAAAGUUAUUGAAAUUUUACAAAUCAAAUGCAAACAAUACCAUGUAAAUGAAGAACAUUAACGUGGCAGAUGACAUUUUCCUGAGAAUAAAGCUCUACUUGCAACAUAAAUACAACACAAUUGCUAUAUUUUAGGUUCUUUAGAAUUUGGCACAUUUUACUGCUGUAUGCCUUGUGAUUUCUCAGUUCUGUUAUUAUUUGUCUCUGUUUGAACCCAUGCAAAACCUUCAUCCACACAGCUUAGACUGUCAUUCAGCCCUCUCUUUCUGCAAAUAAAUCUAAUAUAUGUCUAUAGUCAGCCCACUUUUCUUCUAUGCAGAUUUCAUUAAUGAAAGUAGUAAUUCUUGUCAGUGUGAUUGCAAGCACAAACUCAAAGAUAACAUUACAUGGCAGUCCUUGGUUGGCAAUUGAAUGGUCAGUAUUCAGUUGAAAGGUCAUCAACCAGAAAUAUGGUUAGCCAUUUUUUAGAAGAAAACAAAUUAGAAAAAAGUAUGGAUAACAACUUUGGACACCAAAGAAUAUUUCUAUAAUAUUUCCUGCUCAGUCUGUAGUGGAAGGCAGUAGAGAAUAGAACUUACAAACAUAGCCUUGGAGUGAGAAAGAUCUGGAAACUAUUUAUGAUAGUUCUACUUACUAGAUGCAUCUCUUGGAACAAGAUUCUUCGCUUCUCUGUAACUUGGUUUCCUCGUGUGUAUGAUGGAGAUGAUUAUUAUCUAUUUCAUAGGCCAGGAAUAGGUAUGAUAUGCAAGAAGCACCUGUGGCCCUAUCUUAGCACAUCAUAAGGACUAAGUUAUCAGGAGCUAUUUUAACUAUUAUAAUGAUGUUAUCAUUGUUGCAUCUUUAUUAUAAAUGUGAACAUUAAGUUUUUAUUAAUUAAACCUGCCACAUAUUUCUUCCAUUUGCUUCAUUGUACUCUUAAGAUGUUUAUUCAUUUUUCUCACUUCUUGCUUUAAGAACCUGGUUAUUACAGAGGUGAAAAAUCCCAUCAAAAUGCUAGAGAAUUUGGCACAAUUAUUGCUUAUAUUUCUCCUAUUGCUGCUUUUACUGCUGUAGCUGCCUCCUGAACUGCUGCUGCUGCUACCAUGGCUUCUAGAUGCUUCUUUGACAAUUUAUUUAUUUUCCAGUGGAACCCAUCUGUGAAGAAGCCCUUCAUAGCAGUAAUAUCCUGGGGCUGGGCACUACUACAAUAAUGAUGCUUUCGUUAAUCACCCCAUGUAAUUUUAGUUUUUGCUGAUAAAUACUACAAUAAAUCGAUUGAAACUGAUGAAAAUAGCUCAAAAUUUAGAGACAUACAGUAUUUCAUUUUACCAUCAGCGUAUUUCUAUGUUUAUGCAAUAGGGAUUGAAAAAGUUCAAUCCCCAUGCUCAAAAACACAUACUUCCAGCUCUCUGAGAUGAUAUGCCAGACAGGGCUUUUGAUUAGAAGCCUUAUUUUUUUGCCUAGUUCUAGCUUCUGUAUGAGUGGAGACUUUAUUAACAAAGGUAGGUUUGGAGCACUCAACAGAAGCGUAGAGAAUAUAUGGAAAAAAAAAAAGAAGAAGAAAAAAGAUAAAAGGGAACCAAACAAAACAGGUUUACAACUGUUUUACUAAUAAGAGGGAAAAGUCUGCUCAUGAGUUAAACCAAGACUAAAGAUAAAGAAAGAAAGAACAUCCAAAACCUUCAUGUGCUUUGUAUUUGUACAUUUCUGACAUAUGCAUGAAGCAUGAGGGAAAUACAGUAAUACACUGAGGUAUGCUGCCAACAUCCUGACUAUUCCUAGUCAUUAGAUAGCCUAGUGAUGUUUUUCAGUUAGAGGGGUGCUGACCUUACUGUUUUCAGUAAUUAUAAGUCUAUAAUUACCUUUUAUAUUCUUUAAGUGUAUUUUUGUAAUUUCAGGUUAGGUAUACAAGAGUGGAAACCGUGUUUGAUCUGACGUUUUGGCUCUUGUAUGAGGCAGCUUUAAAUAGCUGUCAGAUUUGGUUUCAUUUUAGUGAAGGGUUAAGUAAUUUUAAGGCGUUAAAACCAUGGGCAAUAAAUAACCAUCCACAGUCAUCGAAGGAAGUUGCUUCUUAGACAAGAGAAUGAAGCUAGAGCUGCUAGGGACAUUAGUCUGAUAAAAAGUCACAUCAGAGAAGGUUUACCUCCAAAUGAUUUUGGUGGCAAAGAAGCCUGUGCAUCAACACCUGCCCUUGAGCACAGCAGUCAAUAAAAAUAAGGUAACACAAAGCAGCUCUCUUGAAAACAAAAUCAGAGCCUAUACUCUUAAGAAGUUCAUAGCCGUCACAAAAGGACCCUCGUGGCAGUAGAAGCUAAAUGGCCAAGAAUGCUGGAAAUGGGGCUGCAAGUCAUAAAUGGAGAAAGUCUAAACUAAGAGGGUAAACAGCAGGUGACAGUAAAUUGGAGCACUUGGCCAGGCAAGCCCUGCAUCUGCCACAGUGAGAUCAGUUACUGGAGAGUCAUCCCAGGCCUAUUUCACACUGCCGUCUGGGAAUGUGGGACUCUAGGUUCUUAAGUGUUAACUAUGGGCAAAAAAGAAACAAGAAGUAUAAAGUCAUUGAGAAGAUUGUCUGCAGUAGGGCAGGCAUGGAUGAAAAUCGAACUCUACUUUGUCUGUGGGUGAAUUAUUUACCUUCUAUCUGUCCUGGGUCUGUAAAACAGUUAUAAGAAUAGACAGGGUUAAUUUGUGAAACUUAGAUGAAUAUGAAGUAUGAGUAAAGUACCAGACAUUUAGAAAUGCUCAUCAACAUCUUGAAAGAAGUUCUUUCAUUGAGAUAAAAAGGGUCUUUGUAUCUCUUUCUGUAAUUCUUCUGAAAACAGAUGGUCAGGGUAGAGAGCUGGUGCAAUAGCUCAAAUGGUAAAUGACAGACAUAAGAUUCAAAAGAAGCUCAAUAGGAAGAAUGAUCCUAAGACAAAAUGGAUGAAUUGCAAUAGGGUUACAUAAACCAUUUCCUUAGGUUUAGAAAAGUCGUUAUUCCAUUUCUAGGUAGGAGAGAUUCCACUGAAAUAAUGUUUCUGUGCUAAAAAUGCAAAAGCCAAUUUAUAACUUUUAAAAUUAUAAAUUGAAUAAGUGCAAAGAGUGUGAUAUGGCUGCUAGAUAUUGGUAGAAAACCAUCCUUCUCAUUUGUGCCCUUAUUAGAUGUCAUCAAGAGUCUUGUGUGCCUCCUGCUGCCACAUUUAAAGAGGGGAGAGAGAGAGAGAAAGGGAGGGGAGAGAAGGAUGAAAGAGAGAGAGAAAGACAGAAAGUGAGGCAUGUCCAGUAUGGUGAAAUCAGCUGUAAUCAAUUCCAGCUCAACCACUAUGAGUCCUUGGACAAGUUACCUCAUUGACAAAAUGAGGAUGGAAGCUCCCUCCCUGGCUUGACCUAAGGAUUGGAUUACAUAAUGCAAGUAAACAACUCUGCACAGUACCUGGCUCAUAACUGGGAGCUCUGAUUAUUCACAGGAAAGAGUGGUGAGAGACAGCUAUGAGAUAAGGAGCUGCAGAAGCUCUCGGUGAUCUGCCAAUAUAAGAGAAGCUUAAGGCAGGACAUGACAACUGUCAUCAAUUAUUUAGAUACCUGUUAUGUAGAGAAGCAAUUCUCAUUAAUCAGCCUAACUCUAAAGGAAAGAACCAGGACCAGUAGAUAGAAGUUAUGGGAAGAGAUAUUUUGGCUCCAUAACAGAAGUAAUGAAAGCAGUAGUGGUGUAGUAGUAGGAACUGAGAAUGCAAAUAGCUCUUGGAGUGUUCCAGUUCCUGUUCUAAGGACUCUGCAUUCUUAUUUGAUCCUCAGAACAUCUAUGUGAGGUAGGUAUAAUUAUUAUUAUUUUCAUUUUACAGAUGAAGAAACUGAGGUACACAGUGAAGUAAAUUUCCAAGAACAUGUAAAAUAGAAAUGAAUGACAGAGCUGGAAUUUGAGCCCAGGCAUUCUGUCUCUUAACCCAUUUAUGCUGGAGGUUGUGAUUUUUUAAACUGAUGUAUGACAGAAAAAUCAGACCUUGGCAAAUAUCUUGAGCAGUAGGCUAUAAAUAACUCCCACAUGCUUAGUGUUCCAAUAAUGGAACACUAGGCAUAAGUGGCUACACACAUUAUCUCAACUGCCCCAAAAAGUAGCUCAAAUACACAGGGAAAGGCUGAGUGACUGUACACCAUGGUUGCUAGUAAGGGGAUUCCUGCACUGAGUUAGGAAUUGGCCUGGAUAAUCUCUACGGUCCCUCCCAUGACAUGUCUGUCAUUUUAUAAAACCAAAAAGCAAGCAAAAAACACAUGGUGGCAAAAGCUAAUACAAAACCUAGAGUCAAACAUUCAUGAGGUUUUCUCAAUGCAAAAGAAGCCUAAAAUAUUCACCUGUAAUCUAUUUAUAUCAACCUUAUACUCAGUUAUAAAAGGAUGGCCAUCUUAUUGUCUUGUUCAAGGCAGAGCAGAAGAAAUACAUUUGAAUCUGGGAGUGGUAGUAGAACUAAUAGCAGCAAGGAGAGACUCAUGAAUCUUUAGGAGAAAAAGGAGGUGUUAACGCACUGAACAAAUAUUAACUGAGUGCCUCUUCUGGGCUGAGAUAAGAAAAUCAUUGUGAAACCAAAUAAGAACAAGCAUUGCAGGCCCCAGAUAUUUAGAGACUCCAGUGACGUUUGGGCUUUUCCUGAACUUUAGUGUGCAAUGUCAUUUUAAAAAGUAUUUUAGGGGAAAUGAUAAAUUAUAGCCAGUUUCAUAAAAGAGGUAUACAUUAUAUUUUUAAAAGACUUUAUAUGAACUGAAUCAUUUGACUUUAAGUUUGGGUGUAAAAAGGGUAUACUUCAAUUUCUCUCAGGCCAGCUUGCUCCCCAGUAAAUGACAAAUAUGGGUCUCGCCGCACUAAGAUAUUUUAAUAUACUUCAGUGGGAAAGGCUCUGAUCCAGAAAUUUGCAGUUGUGCUAUUGAUAAAAUUUAUGAGAAACUUUCUUCUGUGGGCCUCAGUUUUCACAUCUAUUAAAUGUGCUGAUUUAACUAAACUAUCUUUAUUUCCUUUAGGCUCAGACAUUUCCUAUUUCUUUUAUUUCUAUAACUGUACUUAUUUUCAUUAUGUAGAUACCAGAUGGCAAAAUGUCCUGGUAGUGUGUGCAGGACUCAAACUGAUUCUGGGAAAAUGGGGCACAAGUGAAUUCUAAGGUAUAAGGAGCUGAAGUGAGCAGAAGCCUCUAGAAUCUAUUUCUAUUUCUGUCAGCUACAGAAUGUAGGCCCAGUUUAAUAUUAGGAGACGUUGUCUAGCUUUUAAUAUUAGGUUUCAGAGUUGCCUAACAAAACCCAUAGAGGUUGUUUCUUGCUUAGAGUAAUUUAAUGUUAUAAGGAUCAGGCAGGUGCAACAUGGCAUAAAAGUAUUACUUGCCCCAAUGCCACCUUUAAUUUCUCUCAAUCUUUCAAAGCAUCAAAAGAAAAAAAAGUUCUCUCUUUGUCUAUUGUUUAUAAAUAUAAUUUAUUCUCUGUGCUUAGGUGAUUUUCAUAGAUAAGAGGACAUUCAUUGUAUUCAGUAAAACUUCUAGAGCAGUCCUUACACUAGUAACAAGUUUCCUGGGCAAUACUGCUUUGUUAUCAGACUUCACCAUGUAGAUCUCACAUCCUUCUCUUUUCUGAUCUUGCUCUUAUCAUUUCAAAGUUACAUGUAGAGUGAGGAUGCAGGUUUCAUAGGGUUUUUGUUUUUAUCUGAGACAGAGUCUUGCUUUGUCACCCAGGCUGGAAUGCAGUAGUGUGAGCAUGGCUCACUGUAGCCUCGACAUUCUGGGCUCAAGUGAUCUCCUGCCUCAGCCUCCCAAGUAGCUGGGACCACAGAUACAUGCCACCACCCCCAGCAAUUUUUUUUUUGUCUUUUUUGUAGAGAUGGAGGUCUCACCAUGUUGCCUAGGCUGGGCUUGAACUCCUGGGCUCAAGCAUUCCUCCCUCCUCAGCCUCCCAAAGUGUAGGAUUACAGGCAUGAGCCACCAGGCCCAGCCCAUGGUGUUUUCUGACAAAGCUACUCCAUUCAUUUGCUGUUUGAAGUUGAUUAGUGAACCACAUUUUGAUGUUCACUACCUUCAUUUGCUUUUAUAUUCAACUGCAUUCUUUAAGAAUCUUCCCUCAGCAGUUAGAAGGCCAAAGAUAAUUUAAAUGGGAUUGAGGGAUAUUUCCCUCUCACAUUAGUGCUGUAGAGCCACAUAAGAAGGUAUUCUAUGGUAGAAAUAGAUUUAGAAAGGUCAAAUUUGAAAAAUAAAGUAAGUCCAGACCCGAGUGAUAAGAUGGAUGGCUGUCUAGAUUGAGCAUGCAAUUCUAAUACUUCAGUUCCACAUUCUUUUUUUUUUUUUUUUUUUUGAGACGGAAUCUUGCUCUGUCACCCAGGCUGGAAUGCAGUGGCACAAUCUCGGCUCACUGCAACCUCCGCCUCCCAGGUUCAAGCAAUUCUCCUGCCUCAGCCUCCCGAGUAGCUGGGACUACAGGCGCCCUCCACCAUGCCCGGCUAAUUUUUGUAUUUUUAGUAGAGACGGGGUUUCACCAUAUUGGCCAGGCUGGUCUCGAACUCCUGAUCUUGUGAUCCACCCGCCUUGGCCUCUCAAAGUGCUGGGAUUACAGGCAUGGGUCACCGCGCCCGGCCUAGUCACACAUUCUUAAAGAUGUUUCAGCUUUUGAUUUUUAAACAGAAUGGUAUGGAGAAGGGCUUUUGCUGGAGGUGCUUCAGUCAGUUAGCUUCAACUCUGAAUGAACACCGAAGAUGUCUUGGCUUUCCUAAAGACUCAGGCUACAGAUUCUUGCUCAUGGCCAGGGGUAAAAUGCCCUUCAUCCAAUUUAAUGCUCUCCCAUGUGUAGCAAACAUAUCAACUACUCUGGGUUGGCAUAUGGGGGUUUUAGUAAAACUGUGUAAAGAAUUUGCCAUAGAAAUAGGAAUAGUCUUUCACUUUCCAUUUUGUACUCUGGGUCUUCUCUGAUUAUAUAUCUCUUUUGGUUUUCCUUUCCAAGCUCCAUCUUUAUCCCAACCUAUUGGGUAUACAUCUGAUCACUGCUUUGCUAACACGAUAAUACUUGAGACUAAUUAACAAUACCUUAGUGAUACUGCAUUCUCAAAUAGGAAAAUUUCAAAUGACUAGAAGAAGACUAGUUGAUGCCUAGGACCAGUACUAGAAUGGUUAAGUUACUGGUUGGAAACUUCAGUGUGCUUGUUUCUGCAGGAGGAGAACUGCUUUAAUGUGAAUUGCAUUAGAAAGCUCCCCUCCACUUUUCCUUCCCCAGUGUUUGUCUACUGAAUAGCAGGGUGAAAGCGUCGGUUGCUCUCAUCGCCUCACAAUCAGGCCAAUUGGGCAUAACUGCUUUCUGGUAGAAUUCAUCUCAUAAUAAAUUGCAUUCAUGGAAGAUGCCUAGUAUGUGGUAAACAUGGCAUGGACAGGCCAAUACUAGAGAAAGAUAGAACACUGGCUCAGAGGAGACACAAACAAAUUGCCUUUCUGCUGGCUCUGAAAUAUUCUUUUUCAGUGUAGUUAAAUAUAAAGUUGAAAUGAUGCUAACUACACCUUGAUCCAAACAACCUCUUCAUUGCUUGGCUUCUGAUGGGAAUGCUGUAGGUAGCCAUUUGUUUUAAUGAUUGAUUUCACUAAUACUGAGUCACAAUUGCACUCCUCUUGAAGUUGACAUAAGAUCUCCAUGCACAGAAAAUGAAUUCAUUAGAAUCAAAGUGAUUGUAUAAGAAACUCAAAUUAUCCAGGUGUUGAAAUGCAUGUCUACUUUCUUUUCAGACAAUGGAAUCAUUUAUAAAACAUAUAGUUAUUUAAAACACAGACACACAUACAGAGACUAUCAUAUGGGAUUGUGAGAGAUUGCUAAUUAACACAUACAAAUUAAGACAAAUAUUCAUUAAAACAAAUAUUAAUUCCUCAAAGUUUAAUUCUUAACAAAUAUUAAUUCUACAAAGAGCUAAAAGGCUCUAUGUAGGUAGAUAACGGCAUUCAGAUUUACCUCCUAAUCUUUACAGUAAUUGGUUUUAAGGGUUGGAGAAAGAAGUAAAGGAGGUAAAAGAAUGUACAUAGACAAUAAUAAUUAUGAAUAACAUUUACUAAGCAUCUACUAUGUGUUAGGUACUUUGCUAACCAAGCUUAGCAUUUCACAUAUAUUAUUUAAAAUUCACAUUAACUACCUGAAUUACAUUCAAUUAUUUUACUCUUCAGGGAGAUUUGUAUAAGUUGUGUAAGGUCUAAAACUGUUAACAGGAAAGCUGGGAGUUGAACUCAAGUUUCUCUAGUUCCUGAGCCAAGAUCUUAGUUGCUAAGUUAUUACCACAUUCUCAGAGCCUCUGAAGCAAUACCACUGAAUUCAGGGCUUAUGUUUAUUCUAGCAGCAUCUUUCUUUACAAAGGGGUAUGUAAAAAUAGUAGUCCUUCUAAUUUCUCCUCCCUCCCCCCAAUAUUUCUGGGAUUAUGCAGGCGAUACUUUGCUUUUGGAAAGAAUGAAAUAUAGGCAAUUGACAGAGGCAGGGUCCUGACUUUCUUUUUUAAUUUUUUUUCCUUGAUGAUGAGCAUAAUCAUGUGAAUAAUUAAGCUUCAAGAGCUAAAUGACUGAUUGGCAGCAAGCUGACUAACUGUUCUUUAUUUAUAAGGAUAUAGCUUUCAUGGGAAAAUGUAGGGUGGUUGGUAAAACAUCAGAAGUCUCCCUUGAGAUUUCAUAAAUGCCAUAGCUUAGGGGUUAAACUCACAGACAUUUAAGUCACAUGUUCUUGAGUUCAAGUCCAAGUUGCUGGCCCUUUGGGACUUUUAACUCCCCUAUGAUCGAUUGCUAUAAAUUAAAACUCAGUUAAUAGAAUAUAAUGUAAGUAGUUAUAUAUCGGAACCAAUGAUAGUACCUACUUCUUAGGGUUGUCAAGAGCAUCCAGAGAGCUAAGUUAUACAAAGGACUAGCUCGAUCACUGGCAUGGGAUAAAUAUUUGAUAAAUGUGGUUUGUAAUAUUUUAUAAAAGUGACAAAAAUUCUUAUUUAUGUACCUUUUUUACUAUGAGGAGAAUCAGGUUGGAUUCUUAGAAAACCUUCAGUGCCUCUGUCACAGCCUUGCAAAGACUACUUGGGAUAUGUUUAUGUUGAUAAUUUCUCCCCUUUUAUUUUUCUAUCAGUCAGAUUUAUAAUAAGAAUCAGCUGUUCUUUCUAAAAGACUAUUGUGCCUUUAUAUUAUUUUCUUUAAUUUUCAAUAAUCCUAUGAAUUAGCAAUUAUUAUCCUCAUUUUUACAAAUGAGGAAACUAGAGAUCCGAAAAGUAAACAGCCUCCCAGCUAAUAAACAGAUGAGCUGCAAUACCAACCGAGGUCUUCUGUCUCUCACAAUCCAGUUCUAAUAUUAAAACAAAAGGCUUUGAGACCAUAUGACCCAAGGUGCAAUCUGUUUUUCAGAUCAGAAGAUUGGGACUCUAAGAUAGAAACACGGUCUGUCCAGAGUCACAUAGCAAGUUGGAGACAGAAUGGACACUAGACCCUAGGCCUCUAUUUCUGGUCUAGAGCUCUUUCAUCAUUUCCAGGCUACUUGUUUGUUUGCAGCAAUUUGUAUGUUCUGUAGAGGAAGAUUGAAAAGAGAAAUGGAUAGAAAGAGAGAGCAGAGAUGAGGGGAUGAGAGUCUGGAGAGAAGGGGAGAGAGAGAGAGAGAGAGAGAAAUAGAUUCAUAUAUGAAGGUUAGAUCAAGGGCCAGCAUCCAAGGGUGGUCUAGGUAGAGUACUGGGAACCAAUCUCAACCUGGCAGGAGAGGCAUAAUUAACCAGUGUCUACAUCUGUGAUAUUAUUUGUCCUUGCUCCAAAAUGACAAUAGUGAUUACAGUAGAUGCAGCUGACAGUAGCAGAUGACACAACCUCCUUUCACCUCCUGGCCAGCUGCAGCGCUACCAUCACCAGCUAUAGCAGCUUUCUCCCUGGAGAUUCAGCUUUUUCUCCACUGAUGGAAGGCUUUCCCUCCAUCACUCCAAUGUCAGAGCUUGGCCGAUUUGGUUCCUCAGGAGACUGUAGAGAAAUUCACUCCCAUUGAAGCAUUUUCUUGACAUUUUGACAUUCAAUCAGAGAAAGGCAAAAGGCAGGCUAAGGGCCCAAUCAUCAGGUCCAUGAAGAUCAAGCUAUGUUUUCUGAGUACCUAUUGAUAGAAUGUGCAGGAGAUUAUUACUGUUUGCCAAAGCUCUAUUGAUCUUGGCUUUGUGAAGCUCAAAGUCUGUUUACAGCCACCUAUAAAAACCAACAGCCACUUCUUUUACUGAAGGUUAACGUGCUGUGUUUAUUUAAUUGAAUGGAAAUGGCCUUGUGUUUUCCAAAUGUCAUUGUUAAUAAAUUUUCAAGGGAAUCUGUGACUAGUGUGUAGGUGUUGAGGAUGGGAGAAGGGACUGUCAUGGGGAGGGACGGCUGUUGGAAUUUGAAGUUGCUGGAAGCAAGAGAUAAAAGACAAACACAUAGAUACGACAUUGGAAUAAUUUCCCUGUAUAGAAGUGCUAUAAAAUAUCCUUACUCUAUAUUAGUGUUGUUUUUUAAACUUGUCAGUAAGAAUUCUCCCCUGGGUGUUUUAUUCUUUAGCCUGCGUCUGUUUUUGUUUGUUCUUUUGGGUUUCCAAAAAAUAUAUAUUUUAAAGUGACAUUGAGCAUUUUAGUAUAAUUGUGAGUUUUGGGGUUGAAUAUUUUUCACUAUUAUUUGAUCAGUUUUUUCCUUCUGUAAGAGAUUUAACAGAAAUGGCUAAAAUUAGGAGCCAUAUUAGAUAGAGGAAGAUAUUGGCAAUCCUAUUGACCUGCUUUUUAAGAGGCGUGUUUCAACUAACAGGAGGAGAGAUGCAAAGAGCUUUCACCAAAGCAAUCAGAAGACCUGUAAACAGCCUCAGGGAACUGUAAAAGUCUGUGAGGGUCUCUAGUGUACCAGAUGAAAAGCAGAAACUUUAGGUAGCCGUCUGAAUGUGUCAAAUGGGAAUAUCAGAAUAACUCACUAAAUUUCCUUUUUCAACUUUCCUCGCAAGGUUUGUCUUUUUAUGUGGUAAAUGUUGGUGAGUUCCAUUUUUAAGUUUUACUCUUCCCAUUCUACUUCAGUCUCCUUAGCAAACACACACACAAACACACACACACACAAACACACACAACACACACAAAAUUGUUCUUCUUGAAAGAUACAUGUAAAUGAAUGGUGAGUAAAAAAUUAAAGUCUGGACGCAGUGGCUCACGCCUGUAAUCCCAGCACUUUGGGAGGCCAAGGUGGGUGACUCACUUCAGGUCGGGUCACUCACUUGAGACCAGGAGUUCGAGACCAGCCUGGCCAACAUGGUGAAACCCCAUCUCUACUAAAAAUACAAAAAUUGGUCGGGAGUGGUGGCAUGUGCCUGUAAUCCCGGCUACUCAGGAGGCUGAGGCAGGAGAAUUGCUUGAACCCUGGAGUUGGAGGUUGAAGAGAGCUGAGAUCGCACCACUGCACUCCAGCCUGGCGACAGAGCGAGACUCCAUCUCAAAAAAAAAAAAAAAAAUUAAAAACUUAUUGUCUCAAAGCAGCCAUUCAUUUAUUCAAGGAAUUGCUAAACUUUUCUAAGGGACCAGGCACUGGCCUGAGUGCUACAUCGAGAGAGAGUAAUAAGAUCGAGGAUCCCAUUCCCACGUUCUGCACGUGUGUGUGUGCGUGUGUGUGUGUGUUUCGAUCUGUGUGUGUUGGUGGGUGAAUGGCUAUGCAAAUACAUAACAAUUUAAUAAGUCUUAUGAUACUGGGAGUACCUGACUCUGAUUAGGGGGCACUGCUUUAAUAUCUGGCAAUGGAGGAUAUAUCCAUCUUCAUUCGCUCCUUCAUGCCCCCAUCUAACCUUGAUUAAAGUCUGAUUUCAAAUAGCCCAUUUGUUGAACAUUUUAUCAAGGUUUUUCAGGAGCCUGACAGAAAAUGUAAAGUCGUCGUAUGUUUUGUUUUGGGAAAUACUACUUCUAAAACUUAUUUGAGUGUCUCAGCUUUUUCUUUCUUUUAUUUUAUUUUUUAAUUAAAAAAAUAAUAUUAUCUUUUAUUUGUCUUUAAGAGACAGAACCAUGUCUGCCUAGUACCUUCACUUGGUCAAAUACCUCUUUUGGUGGAAACAACACAAAUUAUGUAGGUUGUAUAUACAGGAUGAACUCGGUUUAAAGAUAAGACAUGAAAUUCAGUGGAAAUAUUCUUUAAAUUCUAAACAGAGAAAUCAAAACAAAGGUAUAUUCAUACUGCAUGUGGGUAUAAGUUUUUUCUUACAUAUAUUAUAUAUACAUAUAUAAGUGUAACACUUUUAAGAAUUUUAUUGACCAUCUAAAUAUAUAGCAAAAUCAGCUGGGGGUACAAGAGUGUAACUACUUCCUUUUUUCCUAAGUUGUGGAAAAUGUGAGAAAUGAGAAGUAAGCAAGACGGAGGAUUAGAAUCACAAGGUAGGUUUCCCUAGUAUGAAUUCAGUACCUGAAAAUCUUCUUAGUUCUGAGUUUGAAGCAGAUUCUAUAAAAUCCUGUAUUAAAAUAAAUACAGUAGGAAUUAGCAAGGAUGGGGGAAUAGGAGUGGGCAGAUAUGUUCUUGAAGAGAAUAAAUGCAGAACAUUAUUCUUUGUCAAUUAAUUUUUACUUUUUAUAGAUUGUUAGACUAUUUAACAAAUUCUUAUGAGAAAAGUGUGUUUUUAAGUGAUCUCUGGGAAGAUGUUCCUGAUAAUAAAUUAAAUUAGGACUGUGCAUUGCGGAGCCCCCACCAGUUGUACUCCCUCUGGUGAAUUUAAUACCAGACGCAACCUAGUUAGAGGUGACAUGAAAUCACAGAAUUUGAUAAUCUUUUUUUUCAAAGUUAAGCAAAUAUAGAUGAGCUCUUCUUGUAUAUGUAAGAUGCCAGAUGGUGUUUUUGAGAAAUCGAUUCGUGUAUAGUACCAGUCCAGACAAAUGGGUCCAAUCCUUCUAUAGAUAAGGCGACCCACUUUUCCUAUUCAACCAUAGGGCUCCGUUGUCUGGCACACAUUAUUUAACAAAGUGACAUUGUGGAGUCAUCAGUAAGAAUGUGGCUUCUGGAGUGAAUUUCUUUUUGAGUUUGAAUCCUUUGCUGGGUGAUCCUGGCCAAAUUUCUUAACCUGUUUGAACAUUAGUUUCCUCGUCUCUAAAAUGUGAGUAACAAGAGUUUCUCGUAGGAACUAUGUAAAGGUAAAAAGAAACUGUCUAGCAUAGUGCCUGGCACAUAAUAUAAUUUCAUAAAGUGUAACUCUUGUUAUUAAACUGGAUAGCUCAAUAGAUAUUGCUCCAGAAACACUAGUGCAUGAGGCUGCCAUUACGAUCGCCAAAUGAUAGCAGCUGUGAACUGCCACUCCAAGCCCUUUGCAGAUGCAUGUACUUCUUCGCAAGGGCUUCUAGUCAUUGACUUACCCAGAUCUAUCGUCACCUCUUGAAGAAACAACCAGAAAACACUUUCCCUACUUACAGUGAAAUAAGUGAGUAUCCUUCUACAGAAGGACAGUUAGUUCUUGAACCAAGGGACUUCAAUGCCAUAUGAGAAAAAUUGUCUUGUAUACAAUAUCUUUGGAGAGUGAAAGAGUUUUAAGCAUCUUGAUAUUAGAAAUUAAGGCUACAAUGCAUUCAGGUUGCCUAUAAGUUAUUCAUUUCUGUAUCUUGUUGUCAGGAAAAAAAAAAAGAAUACUUCAAAAUUAAGUUUUUUCCAUCUAGGAUCUCAGAUCUCAUUGUAUAAUUUUCAUCAUUCAACUGGAUUUAAUAGGUCUAUCAGUAUGUACAGUAAAUUAUUUUCAAAAUUCUUCACCUAAUAGCUAAAAAGUAAGCCCUAAUCUGGUUUUCUGUGAAAUUGUCCUCGACAGAAUAAAUAGUUCAGGUGUCUGAAAAGAAAAAUUCCAUAUUCCUAUAUCUGGGUUGACACUUAAGACUGCGUUUGUGAAGCCUCCUUAUAUCUUGAAGACAGGAUGUAUCUAUCUUGCUGGUGAGAAUUUUGCUGUUCUGGAGUCUAUAUCAGGUACCUCAAACGUGAUGAGUGAUAGAGGUCAUGUUUUGUUGUAUCACAGUUUGUUGAAUCUCCCUCCUUAGAGAUUCAUUUGACUGAAAAAUUAACAGGUUUAUUUGUGCAAAUGGUAGUUGCACACCCAAUUAUUGCUUCUGGGUUUCCCAUGUGACUAGCCAAGACUCAAGGUGAAAGUUUGGCCUGCAGCUUUGGCAAACAAAGGAGAAGCUAAUGAAUCAUAAAGGUCACAUCUUCUUGAAUUUUCUUCUCUUUCUUCACUGUUCUGAUUACUUUUAAAAAAUCUCUAUUCCUUAUAUAUUCUGAGUACAAAAACUCAUUAGCAAGAUUUGGUUCUGUUGUCUGGAGAAUUUUCUGCUCACUGCAAUAGGAAGGUGAUCCAGGUACCACAUAACUGUCUCCAUGAAGAUGUUUGCAAUAUGUUAUGAGUUUUUUAAAGUUAUUGUUUGAGAAAAGGCCAUAUAAGGAGAUAAUUUUUGCUUAUUACUAAUUAGCUUACCCCUCUUCUGCUGUUCUUACAUUUAUGACUAUUUACUUGUAAAUAAAAGUUAUUGAUCUUUUUAGAAGUCCAUUGGAUUCUGCUGCUUUUAUUUUUGAGAAUCAUUUUAACUUACAAACACAUAUUACCUUUUCCAAAAAGUGACCACAUAGCUUUGUGACUCCUCCCUCAUAUAUUUUGAGCACACAGAAAUUACCAUCCUCUCACUGAGUACUAUACAUCGGGGCCUCUGGCUCUUACCUCCUUUCUCAGAUCCAGGACUGAAUGCAUAGCUGAAAAGAUGACUUUAGUCUUUAUUCACAACCUGUAAACUAAAGAAGGUCAUUAAAAAAAAUUCUUCGUAUCUUGCAAACAAAAGAACUGAGAUACCUAUCUAAGAAUGGCAAGUCUGAGAAGCAAAUACCUGGCUCUAGCCCUCUGCCAUAAGUUUGCAAGCUUGUGUAGACCUUUGUCUGAGAAUUGGUUAGGUAUAGAAAUACACUUCAGCAGAGACUUGACCUAUAUGACUUUCAAAUUUGUUAUGAUUCUACAAUUAGUGUUUGCUAAAAUCAAAACUGUAGAAUAUAGUAUAGAGAGUAUAUUAAUUGUUGGCUCUAUGCUGACCCAAAAUGAAGUCUUUUAAGAGAUUAGAGUACUACACUGUCUACAUUUAACCAGGUGUCAUAUAACAAUUAAUGAAAAUUCAAUGUUUUAUACUUAGAAUUUUUAAGUAAUAACAGAUGAUGGAUCAAGAUUAAAACUGUAUUGACAGCCUAAGCAAAGAAAUAAAAUCUAACAAAAGAAGCUUUAAAAGAAAUGAAUGUAAAAUCCUAUAUUUUGAUUAAAUAAAUCAAGUUUGCAAGUACCAGGUAUAGGAGUUUUGGACUGACAGAACUUUACACUAAACAAGAUGUAAAAGUUUUAGUUGUACAUAAAUUUAAAAUGAACCUGCCUUACUGUUUCUUUUAAAAAAAUUAAGAAAAAAAAACUCUACGCAGUAUUAAGUUCUAUUAAUAGACUUCUAAUUUAUUACUAAAUUAUGUUGACUCUUCAUCUGAAAUGUAUCUAUCUUUUUACUCCAUUAAUUUCUCUUCAGUGAUCUAGUCACAGACCUUAUUAUCCUUUACAUGACAGUAGCUUAAUAAUGGUAUCCUUGCUUUUCUCCCUACUACAGUCUGUCCUCUGCAUGUAGCCAAUGUUAUACUUGAUGACUUAAAUCUGAUCAUAUCAUUCCCAAGUAAAUAAGCCAACAAUGGUCCUCAAUAAUUACCGAAUUAAUUAUUCCCUGAGAAAUGGGGCCCCUCAGUGUAAUAUCUCAUCUCAAUCAUUUUUUUUAGUUUUGCAGAUAGCACCUGCCAUUUCUAAAUAUGUGUCUUUAAUUCAUCUUAACCACUUCGGAUUAUGACAUCCUAAAAUUGCCAUAUAUUUUUAUAUUUCCAUACUUUUGCUCAGGAUCUUCUUUGGUUAAAAUAAUCUUUCCUACUUCACCUUUGACCAACCACUGCCAGUGAUCCAUGAGAUUCAAAUGUCUUCUCAUUUGGAAGGACUGCCUGAUAACCUGCUACCUCAGCUUCAGGAGAAACCAGUUGCUGGCCUCUGUGCUGUUCUCCUACCUCUAAACAGAAUGUAAAGUACUAUUAUUUUCUCUUCAAUUGACAAGGCGCUUCUAUGAUUGUUCCCAUCUUCUGUUGGUAUUAUUUUUAAUAAAAAGAUCUCAUAUAUUGUGUUAAAGUACUAACCUUGAGAAGACCCCCAGUCUGAAAGAAGAAUAUUUCACUUCUCCCUUCCCCAUUUUCAAUCACACAUAUUAUUGAAUAAUUUUGGUUAACAUCCUUAAUAUUCUAAAGUAUCUUGAAACAGUUAUUUUUUCUAUUUUCAGAAAUAAGGUUUUAGUGAUAAUACUGAAAAUUCUAAACUGUGAGCUUUUGUUUCAGGGAUAGAAAUUUAAAAAAUCAUGAGGUCUUCUGUCAUGAUUUUGAAUGUUUAAUCUACUUUGUCCAGUGGGCUUCUGAAUCUUUUGUGAUUGGCACGUGUUACUGAGAUGCAGACACAUGCAAUUCUGGUGACCGAGUUCUCAAGCUACAGUUUAUUAUUUCACACUGCAGUAAAUGUAUGGACUGAGGGUGAGGGGACUGUCAGAAGAUGUGUGUCUUGGGUGCCUGAAUAAUGCUUCUUUUGCUAUUCACUUUCAUCUUAAUUUAGAGUCAUAUAUUUCUUGUUACCUUUUGGUUUUCCCCGGCACCUAACAAUGUAAUCUUCACAAAGCAGUGCUACAUUCUAAAUUUAUAGUGCAGUAAAUGAAAGAGGUUGGAUCCAUUGUGCUUCAUAAUUCAGAGGGAAGAAUGUCUGCAGAAAGAAACGUGGGUAUUCUUUGGAAUGCCAUAUGUGCAAUAAUUGAAACAUUUUGAGGAAUUUCCAAUUUACCUCUUAGGAGGAAUUCAGGUUUUUGUUCUUUUUGAAAAGAAGAUGAUUGUUACAGACUUGGGAAAUCCUAAAAGAAAAAAGAAGGACUGUUGGGACAUCCUGGUUGUUCUUGACCCCCGCAAGAACAGCUACAGUUCUUUCAGAUCACAGCACUUGAAGUCAGAAGCCUAAGUGGGUGUCCAGAGAAUUCAAUGCCGAAAGGUUUUGCCCCUCUUAACUCUCCUGACCACUAGCAUUCUCUCUACCUUAGUGUGUGGGUAGGUCUUUGUUAUGUCUCCAGACUCACACUAGUUUUUUAAAAAAAAUACUUAGGUAAAUAGCAGUGGGACCCCAAUUCUCUUUUUCUUGUAUUCCAGAUGAAAAAGAAAAAAACUCACCAGUUUAAAGUGCUCGUUUCAUAUGUUCACGAUAUCUAAUAGAUGUUAAAUUUUGGUACCAGGAAGUGAGAGAGUGAUAUGAAGGAACUAGUGAAAUAAGAUUUUAAUACCUGGCAACAUUUCAUAGAUGAUAACACUGGUCCACUUGAACACUUGCCAUUUUUUAUUCAUUAUAUCUGGUCUAGAUGGGUCUAGCUAAAACUUUAUUCCGUGCAACACAGCUCUUGCCUAUUUAGAAGCCUUUAACUGUGUGUUUAAUUAUCACCUGGAGUGGUUCUUUUGCAGAGAAAACAUAGAACGUAGGAUCCAGUCUUUCACAAUGCAAAAGUUGAACCUCUGUCACCUGGCAUGCUUGAGGAAAUUUCAGAAGCUUUGUCCUCACCUUAGACCCACUGAAUAAGGUCACUAAGGAAUGGCACCCAGGAAUCUACAUUUUACAACCUCUCCAUUUAAUACAUAUGCUUGCUAGAGGUUAAGCAACACUGUGGGCUCACCUGUAGCACGUAGCACUAAUCAGACAAGACUCAAUAUCUGGCCAGACUUUUAGAUGAUAAUCACAAGAAGCAAUAACAUUUUUCUGAAACAAAACAAGUGGCAAAUGAUACUGUGAAAUCUCUGGCACUGGUUACCCAAUAUCCACACAUACCCCACUUAGCUCUAGAUUAGAAAAUAAAGAAUGAGAUUCAGCCCAGAGGCAGCCAUGCGCACAGGUGCACAAUUUGGAAAAAAUGAGACCAAUUCUUAAAAAAAAAAUCAAGCUGAAGUCAAAGAAGCUUAAUAAAAAUGUAAAUCCUCUUUCAACUGGCUCCAUGUUUUCUGUCUCUUCAUGAACACCUGCCACCUGGUGAAUAAUGUCAAGGCCUCUCAGAGUGGGUCAGGAAAGCAAAAAGGCCCAUGGCCGGAAAUGCUAUUAGGCAUUCAAAAAUGAACAAUCCAGGUAACAAAAACUCAUGUCAGUGGUGCAGGUACGAUGGCGUAUUCUCUUCAUAAGAAACACUAUGCAAAUGAAUCGCAAAGCGUGAGAGAGCAGAACUUUUCACUGCUGCCUUCUGUCAAGUUGGGAACACUGAGGUGAAGAUUGAGUGCAGGGGAUUUGGGGUGGGGAGGGUCCCCUGUGAAACAGUUUCUGAAUGAAAGUGAGGGAAGCAGGCAUGGGAUAGAAGGAUAAUUUGGUCUGAGAUGCAAGUGCGGCUAAAGCCUCAGCCAGUCCCACGGUGAGCUCUGAAGUUAGGUUGUCCCUUCUGAGAUGACCUAAAUUGCAUAAACGGAUCUGAGUCUUUGUACCUCCCGUGCCCAUCCAAACAUCCAGUCACCAUAUGAGGCCACACCCAUUGACUGAAUCCGGUUCUGGAGAGGGACUGAGGUUUGGUGCAAGUUGUCCGCAGCCAGGACUUCCAACAUCUGGAGGAUGAGCACCCUAAUCUUGAAGGCUGAAUUCAGUAGCACAUCCACUGCAACUGAAUAUCUGAUUCAAGGCCAAAAAUUGUGGAGCUCAGAGCCACAACGGGCUUCUGAUCUUCCACAGGCUGCUGAAUGCCCCUGGCAGUCCACUGAAGUGAUAAUGUUAAGGAAGGAAAUGAUUAGAAGUAAUUUGCUGAGGGAUCAGAGUUGCAUUUGGAGCUAUCAGCAAGUAAUGAAGCAAGAAUGUCAAUCGACAGGUGAAUCAAAGUCAGGGCAAAAGAAAGGGAGGAGGAAAUUUGCUCAAAAAAAAAAAAAAGCCAUUACUUUCAUUGAGGCCUGGGAUGAGGUAAGUAGAGAAAGUUUGCAACUGCCAGAGAUUGCUAAAUAGGAAAAAAUCUUUUGUGCACGUGUUGCUGGUGGGAUUGGGACAUGAAAGAUGUUGUGGGACAGAAUCUCACUGGAAAAGUCAAGAAUCAGAGCUGGUUUCAAAAAAACUCAACCUUCAAAUAAAGGAUCCCCUAUCUCUAUAUUGAACCUGGCAAUGAAUACCUCUUUCUUUUCCUUAUUGGUUGGCAAGGAUGUAGAACACUAAGAUACACACACACACACACACACACACACACACACACACAUACAUUCUUUGUUUGUUUGUUUUGAGACAGGAUCUCGCUCUGUCACCCAGGCUAAGUGCAGUGGCAUGAUCAUAGCUCACUGCAGUCCCAAUCUCCUGAGCUCAGGCUAUCCUCCUGCCACAGCCUCCUGAGGAGCUGGGACUAUAGGCAUGGACCAUCACACUUGGCUGAUUUUUAAUUUUUUGUAGAGAUGAGGUCUCCCUGUGUUGCCCAGGCUGGUCUCAAACUCUCGGACUGAAGGGAUCCUCACACCUCGGCCUCCCAAAGUGCUAGGAUUACAGGCACGAACCACCACACUUGGCAAAUAUUUAAUUAAAUAUUAAAUAUAUCUAAUUGUUUGAUAAAAAGGGAGAGAGGCUCUCCUUGAUGGAAGUAAUAGGUUCUGGAAUGCAGUGAGUUCUGCUCGGAAUGCCCUCUGACCACUGCCUCCAUGUGUCUAAUAUAACCUAUGACAUUACCCAUAGAGGUGCCGCUUUUUCAUUGGGGGACACUGCUCCAAAAGUGCCUGGAACCAGGUUAAACCAUUGAGGUUAUAAGGAAUAAAGGGCCUUUAUAAUAAAGACCAUUUCUGUGACUGUGUUCUGAAACUGAUAAAAAGCACUUCUUUCUGUCUUUGGUGUCUUCCUUGAUAGUUGUAAUAAGAAUAGUAGUAGUUAUUCUUCUUUUUCUUUUUUCUUGUUUGAUUUGUAAAAUAAAAACACUUUUCCUUUCCUCUCUGGUGUUUGAAUGCACCCAGUCUCAUUUCAGCAGUCCACAAUGACAUACUGAAAGUUGUAAUAGAGCUACAGCUUUGCUGUAUAGAGGUCCAUGGAUAUGUUUUCUAAUUAUAAUCAUUCUUGAGCUGUUUGUAACUAUUUCAGACUGCUUACCCAGCUGUAUGCCACUGGCUUGUUUCUAUUUCAGGAAUCAUCUCUUCCUCUUCUCCUCCUUCCCCCUCCAUUCCCAAAUCCCCACAUUAGUAGCGGCCAAGUUAUUUUCAAGUACAGUGUAUAUGUAAGUGAUCUUGAUCUGCUAAGAAAAGACAUACUGUUUGUUUUUAUUGGGCAGGCAGCAUCCUAGGGAAAAGGAGAAUUACAAGUCUAAUUUGGUUAGGAAGCAUCCUUUUUCGCAACAGUGAGGACUGCAGGUACCACUAAAAUCAUUGCUGUUCAUUACUAAUUGGAUUAAGUCCUCUCUGUUCCACCAACCCUGCUUUUAAAAUUUCUUCUCUGCUUUUCAUUCAGAAACUGCCUCAGCCUGCACUCCGUUAUCUACCUCCAGGCUUUAUUGCAACACCUCCCACUGCCUCUCUCCUGGACCACCUUGUCCACGCUGCACACAGUUGCCAAAUUCAACUUUCUGUGUUGCAAACCUUGUUGUGGCUCCCCCUGUGUAAAAACCUUUUAGUGUUUCUCAUCUCCAUGAAUCACUAAUCCAUGGUGCUUAGUAGCAUGUCAAAGGCCCUUCCGAAUCUAUCUCUAGCCUACCUCUGUGGACCUUAUCUCUUGGCUCUCCCACCUGCCCCCACCCACACCUCUACCCCUUGCUUUUUGCUUUUCUUUUCCCCAAAUUCUGAGCUGCUUAUACGUUCUUUCCCUUCAUGGUGUUUUAUACCUCAGCGCUUUCAUGCAUAUAGUUCCCAGUGUCUGGAAUGAUCUUUUGGAUAAAUAGUGACACUUCAAGAAAUAUCUUUGUCCCAACUUCAGAAACCUAAUUUUCAUUGUGAUGAAUAGCUCCCACAGUUUUUUCCCCGGGCUAUUUUGCAAGUAUUGAGGAUUCACAUGUUAAUCCUGAAAUGUGCGUUCUAAAAAAAAAAAAAAGCUCCAUCUGAGAACCCAUUAAACCUCUAGUUUAAAUACCCAGGCAUUCUUAAAAAUCGAAUUUGCAUUGUCUUUGCUGCAGUGUCUUCUCAGGUAACCAAUGCAGCCAUGUCAGAUUGAUACAUCAUGUUGUUAAGACCCCCAUCUGUCUCUAGGGUAGUAGAAAAGAUGCAGCUACGGAAGAGAACAGAACUGUGCUCCUGAACAUGGCAUGGCUGCCGAACCUCACAGAUAAUCCUGAAGCAGGCAAUCUCUGCAGACUUCUGGGGUGAUUUGAGCAUGUGUAGCUUUUGCUGGCAGCUGAGAGAAAUGGGAAGUCCCCUGAGCUGAAAGUUGGGAGCACUACAUCCUCAUCAACCUAAAUCUGCCACAUACAAUCUCUGUGAUCCUGGGGAAGUCACUGGACCUCUUUGAGUCAUGCUGUCCUCAAAUGUAAAAUGAGUUUUACAUUUAAAUGUUCUAAAUAAGUUCCUUUAGAAUGUUUCAAUUAAAAAUUUAUCCAUCUGUAUCAGAUAAUAUUGGUGAUCUCAUUCAAUUUUUUUAGUUCCCUUUUUGAUUAUUUUUGUACCCCCAGGCCUCAGCGUGGCUUCUCUUGCAAUAGCCAGCAUGGCUUGUUCUUAAGAAAGUUGUCCUCAGUCUACUACUCUAUUGCCUCUGGCUGGAAAAACUCGGGUAGGUGCAAGGUGUCCACCAGCAUUUUCUCCUGGGAUCGGGCUGCUGCCAGCUCUGGCACUUUGCCUGGGACUGUAGCCUUGUCUGGACUCCCCUUUCCCUCUGCGUGGGAGUGCUUCCUUAUCAAUCAUUUGCCCUCGAAUCCAUGUCUUAGGAUCUGCUUAUGGGUUGGACUCAGCCCAAGAUAUUCUCUAUCUAGGUAUCCUGGUUGAGUUUGUUAAUAAAAGUUCGGUUUGGAUUUAGACGAGACAAACCAAACUUGGUUAGGGUAAAUAGAGGAGGAAGGUGCCUUGUUUCCUAAAUUGUGUUUGAUAAAGUGCUUAAUAAGGGCGGCUUCCAAAGUGGUUCCAGGUAAAGAAGUACUAAAAAGGCCUCUUUAUUAAUGUAUGGAUUUUCUGUCACUGAUGUUUGUCUGCCUAUGAAUAGUUUAGACUAGAUUUUUCAAGUAAGCACUUUAUAAUAUCUGUAACUCUUUCUAGGUGUUUUAUAAACAACUAACUGAGUAGAGCAGCAACAACAAAGAGCUGUAAGUUUUCUGCCAGUAACUUCUAGUUUUUACCUCCUCAAAAGCUAUUUUAAACAAAUAUGUGUCUAAUUAAAUCUCAAGGGAAUGUGAAAUAAAAACUGGAAUUUGAGUUCAGAGUACCUGAAAGAGCAUUUUUGGAAAAGACUUUGUUUAUGCCAUUUGUGCAUAUGUAGAUGGAAUCAAAAUGUAUAAGAUAAUAAGAGAAAGGUGCCAUUGAGCCUCCAAGUAGAAGCCCGAUGACUUCACUUAUGCCCGGCUGAUCACCCAAGUGUACAGUUAGUCAUGAUUUGAUAUCUGUUGUAGAUUAAGCCUGUUGCACACAGUUUCUACCCUGAUGUUUGGCAUGGGCCAUGCACCAUACAUUGAAACAAGAUUUUGAAGUAAAUAGAACCACAUUUUCCACUUUCUUUCAUGCAGUUAUUUUCUCUGCAAGAUGCAUUCUGGCUCCUUUUGUGAAACCUCAGAUUUGAUUCUACAAGCUGCUGAGAAACACAGCACCUGCAUGCCACCCACCAAAGAGAGUGUUUACAUAGUCUGUUGUACAUAGAAAGCAUGUGGGUGUGAGUAUACGUAUGUGUGAUGAAAUGGUUCAAUUGACAUUGUACUUACAAGAUAAACUGCAUGUAUCACCAAAUUAUUUGACUUCUCUACUCAGAAAGCAUUAAAUUUUGAGGUUUAAGUAGACAUUAAACAUUUAUAAUUUAAUAUACAUUUAAUAAAAUUAAUAUUUAUGAACACAUUUGCCUUGGGAAUUAAAAGUGGAAAACAGUGUCAUUUACUUGCUAAUGGCCACCACGGUGCCAUGCAGUUACAGAUUUGAUGGCCUGCAUCCCAGUGACAUUGCUCCAAGACCAGAGACAAGACCAUUUUUUGUUUGCAUGGAGCUAAGUAUUAUUUUCAGAAAAUCAAAACCAAAAGGUAUGUUUUGCUUCCUAGCUCAGGGUCUCUGGAGACCUGACCUGCCAGGUAUCAUUUGCUCAUUUUAUUUAAAGAAAAUAAAAUAAAUAUUCAAUGGAGAAGUUAAAAGUCUCUUUCCAACUCAACUCUAUAUCUCAAAGAAUUAUUUUCUCAUUCUGUCAAGCCAUGUUAAAAUUUUCAAGUAAAGUCGUAAUCAUUUCUACAUUUUCUUUCCUGUUUGUCUUGCAUCUCUUAAAAUGGUUUUAAUGUUAGAAGCUACUUGACAAUGGAUGUGAAAAUAGAUUUAACUCAGCAAUCAAUAUAUUAUCAAUAAUAAUCAUUAAUUUAUACAUAAACAUCACAUGGGUAGCUUUCCAAGUCCAUCCUGUUUUUUGUGGGCUCUUAUGCUGGUUCAGAGAUGAUAUAUGCCAUUUUUAUAAGGUGAAGAAGUGGAGCAGUAUAAAUUGUACCAAGCAAGUAUUGAGCACUGCGAAGUUCACUGUUCCUUAGAGAAAUGAGCUAUGCAUUUACUGCUAAAAACAAACCUUUCAUAAAAUAUUUUUUUGGGCACCAACCUAGUGAAGGAGUAAGGAAAAGAAGUGGAUGGUUUUAGCAUUUACCCUAUGGAAGCUUAUAGCCUGGAUGGCAAGAUCAAAUUAACAUGAGAAGGCAGUUUGGUGUAAUGGUUAAGAGCCUUUGGAUUCAGCCAAGGCAGAAAGUGAUUUGAAUUCUAAUUGAGCCCCUUUUUAGCUGUACAACUUUGUAAAAGCCCUUUACCUUCUAUACCUCAGUUUUCUUAUCUUUAAAAUAGAAAUGCUAAUAUCUACCUAAUAGUGUUGUUACUAUUGUUUCUUAAAGAUUGACAACAAGGCGUAUGAACAGCAUGCCUGGAAAAUACUGGAUGCUCCUCAUAAGUAGUUAUUUAUUUAUUAAUAUCACUGACACAAGUGAAAUAAUCCAUCUCUUCCUACCCCAGCACACUUAUCAUAACAAAUUUGUAAUUUGUAUGUUUACAAUAUCUUUUCUGAUGAAUUGAUCCCCAUAGUAUAUUUAGAGCAGUGGUGUCUGGAUUUGUAUAAAUCUCUGUAACUCUAGAACUUCACCCAGUGGCCAAUACAUAAAAGAUUCUAAAUAAAUAUUUGUUGUUGUCAUUGUAAUAGGGGAAGAGUAUGCUCCAAAACAAAGAUACUGAUUUUAAAAACGACCACACUUUCAAAAAAAAAUUUUUUUUAAUUCUAGAGACCAGCAUCGAGAGUAGGAGUACUCAGUACGAUUAUUUACGGUAAUAUAUUUAUUGGGUAAAUUAGGCACCAUCUGGUGUGCUAGCUUAGAUGGCUCUAGUUCUUUAUUAAUAGAUAUAUGAGACUCUGGGGUAAUAGGUUGCUAGAUCCAUAUGCUAUUCAGGAGACAAAUUUAGUAUACGGUAAGCUUGCUACAGGAUCAAGUCGCAUAAGAAAAUGAAUUGAAGUCGAAGAAAUGCUUAGGUUAACCCAACAACUCUGAUAAUUGACCAAUGUGGCAAGGGCCAUUCUGUUCCAAAAAUAAUUAACAAUAUGAUCAGUACUGAAUUAAUGUUGUUACGGAUUAUAGGUUUCAAAUUUUCCCUUGUUAGGAAAAUCACCUUUUAAAUAAUCUCAUAGGGUUUUGAACAAAGAGCACAGUGUUUCUUUUUUUUUAAAUAGAAACCCAUACUUGAGAAGGUAGCAAAGAGUAGCAAAGAGACCUGGAUCUCUGUAGCAAGUUCUUGGCCUGGUCUUCAUUUUCAAUUCUAAAAAUUUUGAGGGAAAUAAACAGCUGUCCAAACAAAAUGCUGAAAGAAUAUCCCUGGACAAACAGAAAAUCUUUUUUUUUUUUUUUUUUUUUUUUUUUUUUUGAGACGGAGUCUCGCUCUGUUGUCCAGGCUGGAGUGCAGUGGUGCGAUCUUGGCUCACUGCAAGCUCCGCCUCCCGGGUUCACGCCAUUCUCCUGCCUCAGCCUCCCGAGUAGCUGGAACUACAGGCGCCCGCCACCGCACCCGGCUAAUUUGUUUGUAUUUUUAGUAGAGACGGGGUUUCACCGUGUUAGCCAGGAUGGUCUCGAUCUCCUGACCUCGUGAUCUGCCCGCCGCGGCCUCCCAAAGUGCUGGGAUUACAGGCGUGAGCCACCACACCCGACCGACAAACAGAAAAUCUUAGAGGGGCAUCAAAGCAAAUCAUAUGGAUGGAGAGUGUGAAUAUGAAGAAAAGCAUAUUCUUUCUUCACACACACACAGUAUGUGUGUGUGAAGUAAUCUUCAGCCAAAGCAAAGACUAAAAUGACCUGUUCAAUAAGAUGGAAGCAAACUUUAAAAAACAAACAAACGACAAAAAAAAAAACUGUCCUCCUUCUCCGCCAAAUUCAGGAUACAUGUUUUAUCAGCCCAUGUGCUAUUAAUCUAUUUGUGAUUAUUCUAUUUCAUUUUCUCUCCCAUGCUUUUCUCAUUUCUUCUCCUCAUUCUAGGUGAGUAUAGGAAGCAUCAGGGCUGGGGCCAUAAAAAGCCUGUGGCCAAGGACAUUGCAAUAAGACAGAGAAUUUUAGAUACUUCAUUAAUUAUUUUUCCUACCAGUUAAGGAUUCCUUGUGUAAUGACAGAACAAGGAGAAGACAGCAAAAUAAUACUAAUGCUAAUAAAAAUAUGUAAUACAGAGUACUUAUGAUGAUAUAAGCAUUGUUUUGUUUGCUUAGAUUAUUCUGUCUGGUGUUCUUAACAGCCUGUAUGCUGGGCAAUAAAAAUAGAGUCUCAGGAAAACAGAACCAAGUUUGCUAUAAUUUGGAGAGACAAAACUAAGCUAAGAUUCUUUAAGUAAUGUUCAUGGGGAGUUUGUGCAUAUGAUUUAUCAGAAAGAGCUGCUUCUACCAGGGCUCAUAAUAAUAAUGGUUCCCCUGAACUGGAUGCUAAAUUUAUCAACUGGUUAUUUUGGGCUUCUCUUGCCAGUAAGCCUAUAGAAAACAAAAACAAAAACUUUUGCUAUAACCUUGAUUAUUCAGAGAAAAUAAGGUUUCUGCUACACAGCAGGGACAGGACAUGGUUGGCAACUGGGAAAGACACUCAGCAAAUAUUACAGAUACCAGAAGGAACCUGGAGAAACUCUGAUUCUUUUUCAUUUUGUUCUUAAAAAGCAGGCGUCUGAAAUGUGCCCAACUUCAGCUAAAGAAAAAAACACUAUUGUUGGGUCUAGACACAAAGCCUGAUUUGCUGAUUUUAUUUUUCUUCAUUUAGUUAUUUUAUUGUUCUGUAAAUAUGGACUUACCUUUUUUGCUUCUUUAUUUUAUCUUUUGGUAGAACCUUGAGCAGGGACACCCUAGACGUUCAACUGUUCCGUGUGAUCAGUGUCUGCCUUAAAAUGUCUGAAUUCCUGUACUGCAUUUCCCAGUGAAGUUUAGUGUUUAUGGCAAUCCUCCCGAUGGGGAGAGAAAUGAGCCGGCGAGGCCAAAAGCAGCAUCUGUGACUUGCUAGGAUCAGCUGGCUCUGUGUGCAUGAUUUCCACUUCAAAGGGUACACAGACAACUUGGUGAUAGUCCAUUUAUUGCAGCCUGGUCUUGUCAAUUAGUCAAAGUUAUCUUCUAUACAGCUACAGUAAGUAAUGUAAAAUCAUUUACAAUAUAGGUGUUAGAACAGCAGAGACCCUUAGAGUUCAUGUAUUUGACUUCCUCCUUGCACAGUUGAGGAAAUUAUGAAAUGCAUGUCUUUAGCUUCUUCAUUCUACAGUAUUUAUUGAGAUUUUUUUAUGAAGAAGAAGGAUAAAAAGAUACAAACUUGUAUGAAGUUAGGGAACUGGAGAAGCUAACUCAUUUUCUCUUUUUUUUCCUGUGUCUUUGGCACCUCUAUUAGAUCUGGUCCGUAGUGGGUCUAAAUAAGUAUUUAUUGAAGAAGUAAUACAUGCUUUAUAAAUGAUGGCCAAAUAGCUGUUUGAAUGGAUAAAAAAGCUUCAUAAAGAAAGUGAUACUUGUACUACGUCUUGCAGGAUGUGGGAGAAUUGGAAAAUGAGAGAGAAUAGAGAAAUUAACCAAUAUUAUAGUCCAGCCAACAGCAAAGAUUGAACUAAAAUUCUGGUCUGGUCUAGAGGUAAACCAAUAGGCUCACUUUCCAAAAGAAAAUCUGAAGCAUUUAAGAUUAUUUAAUAAGGAAGAAUUUCCUCUGGUGUCCUGAAUGAGGAAUCUUUGGGGCAAGAAGGGUCCUGUCCUAUUUAUUAUCCUUAAGAAAUUCCUUGCUAUUUUUAGUUCUCAACAUCAGCUACUUCUCAUUACUAAGUAAAAGCCAGAUUACUUAACUUGCACUCACCCUAAUUCAUCUUAUCCACUGGCAGCAAAUUCCUUCCUUAGAAUACUUCCCCACUGGUUUUUGAGAAGUGAAAAGGAUUAACAUAUAUGGCAGUGGAGUGUUUUAUGUAAUAGUCUUUUUAUUAACCCCAUUAUCCAGCUGUUGGGGUGCUGGGUAGAGAAGGAAGGGAGGAGGAGGAAAGUAGUUGUUGGCACUGGGGGUUCAGAGCCGCCCCAGCUCCUUGAGAUGAAGGGAUGAAAAUAAAUCCUCUGUAUUACUGAAGCAUGUGAAUGCCAUGAAGUAGUGGGACCUGAAUCAAUACAUUGCAUUUACAGCAGAGCAAAAGAAAGAAUAGGGUUUUCAGAGUUUAUUUAUCCUGCUUCUCUGAAAAAUACCCGUGUGAACUAUUGGGCUGAGAGUGUUGAGUCCAUUGAAUUUGACUCUUUCACUGCCAUAUCUUUGGAGAGAAUGCCUUCCCAAAGAGUCAUAUCCAAAUGUAAUGUCCCUCCCUUCUCUUAUGAGUGACUUACUUUUGGUAUUCCACUGGGUGGAAAAAAGCUUUUCUUACAGGAUAUAUGAACUAAUAAUAGUUAUACGACUGCUUCGGAUUUGUCGCGCUCCCCUUGGAUAAGUUUAAUAUGAUUUUGUACACAUUAAUUAAUUAUCUUAAUAACAGACAAAAUAGAAGGAAGCCACUACCGUCCUUUCCAGUGCAUCAGAUGAAUCAAAAUGAAUCAAAGGGCUGGGCAUGGUGGCCCACACUUGCAAUCCCAUUACUUUGGGAGGCUGACACCAGUAAAUCACUUGAGGCCAAGAGUUCAAAACCAGCCUCAGCAAUAUAGUGAGAACCCAUCACUACAAAUUCCUUUUUUUAAAUUAGCUGGACAUGGUGACCCAUGCCUGUAGUCCCAGCUACUUGGGUGGCUGAGUCAGGAGGGUUGCUUGAGCGCAGGGGUUCUAGACUGCAGUGAGUUAUGAUCACCACUGCAGUCCAACCUGGGUGACAGAGUCAGACCUUGUCUCUAAAAAAAUAAAUUUAAAAAUAACAUUAAUUAAUUAAAAUGGAUCAAAUAAACACAUACAUAUUGUGGAGAUUGUGAGAAAUAAGCCUUGUUCUAUGUGUCUCAGGUUUACCUGAACUCCAAGUAGCCCUGAUGACUAUAUGGCAGUUAUCACAAUAAGCAACAGCAUAAAGGACUUUGAGAAAUCAACAGAUCUUAUUUUUAAAAAUGAAUUUUCUUAAACAUGUAUUCACUCAGCUGGCAGUGGUGGCUCAUGCCUGUAAUCCCAGCAAUUUUAGAGGCUGAGGCGGGCAGAUCACGAGGUCAAGAGAUCAAGACCAUCCUGGCCAACAUGGUGAAACCCCGUCUCUACUAAAAAUACAAAAAUUACCCGGGUGUGGUGACACACACCUGUAGUCCCAGCUACUCGGGAGGCUGAGGCAGGAGAAUCACUUGAACCCGGGAGUCAGAGGUUGCAGUGAGCCGAGAUCACGCCACUGCACUCCAGCCUGGUGACAGAGCAAGACCCCAUCUCAAAAAAAAAAAGAAAGAAAGAAAAAAAGAAAAAAAAUGUAUUCACUCAAUAUGAUUAAGUACCUACUCUGGGCUAGAUAUUAAUUAGAUCAUUGAGAGUGUAGGUGUAAGCCAGGCAGCCAGACAUCAAUUCUCAUGGACUUGCAUUCUAGAAGGAGAUUGAAGAGAUGAGGCAACAGUUGUAGAGAACACCUUACUGCUCAUGGGAUAGAAAAUUACCACUGGGAUGAGGGAAAGUUGCUACUUUUGAUUGUGGUCAAGAAAAGCUUUUCAGGAGAUCACCCUUGGCUUGAGGCUCAUUGAUAAGAAGAGGCCAGCCAUGCAAACAUCUGGGGGAAGAGGAAAGAGCAAGUGCAAAGAUCCCAAAGCCACAGAGAUGUUUAUGUGCUGGGAGAACAGAAGAAAUCCCAGUGCUUGUAGUGCAGUGAGCAAAAGGAAGUAUGAGGCCAGGUAAAGUAAGAAAGGUUGGCAAGGGUCAGAUCAUGGAGGGCCUUUGGGGCUGUUGUAAAGAGUUUCAUUUCAUUCUAAGGCAAUUGGAAUCCAUUUGAGAAUUGUGAGCGGGAGAGUGGUAGGGACCAAUGGCCAGUAUGUGAUGACAGGUAAUGUGAUCUAUGCUCCUAUUUUUAGGGGCAGGCCUCCUUAAAGAUCCAUUUAUUGAUUUAACAAUAUUAAAUGAAAGUUCACUAUAUGCCAUGCUAUAGUGUUCUAGGGUUUCAGCAGUGACUAUGACAGGUCUCCAGCUUUAUUGAGCUUACAUCUUAUUGAGGAGAGGCAGACAAAAACGAAUAAGAACCGUGAAGAAAAUAUAGAGUUUAUAUGAUAAAAAUUAAUGGGAUGAAGUGCUGGAAAUUUCACUGGAUUGGAGACCACUAGGGCUACUUCAGUAAUUAGUUUUGAGGUCUCCUGUUGUUGUUUCUCAGCCCUGAUGGUCAAGAAAUUCUUUCCUGUUUUGCUUGUUUCCAUUUCUGUCUACUGCUUUUUAUUCUGUUGUCCUCUUAGGUAGUACACAGCCCUUUUUCUGAAAGUCUUAUCUCUGAUGAAGAAAACACUUUUUCUCUUCAAACAGUAACUUAGUCUUUUGCUUUAUUUCCUAGAGACUCUGAUUUCCUAAAGUUUUUCAUAUUUGUUCUAUGUAUUCAUUCUUUUCAUUAUUUUUGUUGCUCUCCACAUAAAAAUAUAAAAACUUAUCCUGUAAAGAAGUAUUAAUUUAGACAUCAUUUAGCCAGAAUAUAGCAGAAGAAUUAUUUUACAGUUCUUAUAAGGUACCUACUAAUCCUCCCUCCUCCCUGCCCCCUCCCUGUCUUCUCUUUUCUCCUUUCCUUCCUUUCUUUUUCUCCUAUCCCAAAAUACUAGUUAAAUAGUUUCUCUCCUUUAAAGUACUUUAAAGAUAACUUCUUCAUAAUGAACUCUUGUGUGCAUAAGCAUUUCUUUUCCUGUUAAGAAGCAGUGGACAAUUUUUUUGUUUUAAAGACAUUCUAGAAGAUUUUAAAAAAUUAUUGUGGUAAGAACACCUAACUGUGAGAUCUAUCUUCUUAAUAGAUUUCUAAGUGUACAAUACAGUAUUAGUAACUGUAGACAUUAUGUUGUGCAGGAGAUCUCCAUAACUUAUUCAUCUUGCAUUACUGAAAUUUUAUACCUGUUGAUUAAAACUAAAGAUCCUUUUCAAAAAAUACUUCUUAAGCCAUGGCUUCCCCUGGUUGUGGACUGUAACCCUUGAUGUUAUUGACCAUCUUGGGAUUAAGUUCCAUUAAGAAAGACAGUGUUAGACAUUGUGGAGAAAUAAUAGCAAGGAAAUGUUUGUUCUGGUCCACCAAAAUAUUGAGGGACCAAUUUUAACCUCCACAUCGUUCCUUCUGGGGUUUUCAGGAUAAGAAAAAAGGAGCUGUGGCUUGCUGCUAUUUCAGUAGUCAAAUAAAUAUUUUUAAAUUGCUUGUUUCAUUAGUAGGAUGUUUUUCUGAAAAGACAGAGUAUAUACCCCUCAGGAUAUUUCUGCCAAUGUGUUAAAGUAUUUGUAAAAAAAAAUAAAAUAAAUGGCUUUGUAGAAUGUUCUUGUUUCCCAAAUGGCUACUGAUUUUCUUAAGAAAAAGGUAGCAGCAAUUUGCUGAAAAACAAAAAUGACCUUUUAUUAGUCAAGAGAAAUAAGAUAACUAAUUUAGAUUGAAUGUGUUUAUCCUACCAGGGUCCAAAAUUUCUAUUUUCAUGUAUUCUCCUUUUCUUAUAAAGGCUCCCUUUGGAACUAUCUAGGAAGGACCUGCCAACAUCCUUGAACAGUGACCAUUCAGUCUCUACUAUACUAGAACCCAUCUGAUGAUGAAAUUUUGACUAUAUUUUUGGAGAUUUCAUUCUGUCAUUGGAUAGCUCUAGGAAGUGCUUUUACACCUUUUGAGCUCUGGUCUUGAGUCCAGUAAUUUUUACGUAUCAGUCCUUGUUCUGCCUUCCAAAACCGCAUAAUCCUCCUUCAACUUGACGUCCUUUAUGUGUUUUGAGAUGGCCCCCAUGGGCUUCCAAGUGUUUCUGGCUAAAUAUCCUGAGCUCAUACAUGUGUUCUUCAUACAGCAGCACUUUGAGGCCUCUCUCCAUGCUGGUUACCUUCCUCCCAAGUCUGAGUUUUAAUGUCCUGUUUAAAAUGUUAUGAACACAGCUACUUAGAAAGCUGUGCAGUCAUCUCAGAGUAGAAUCAGACAAGGACCUCCUUCACACGAAGUGCUUCCUGUGAGGACCUAUGUAAUCUGCUCUGUCUUCUGCUAUCAUUUGUUUCUUCCCUUCUCUCCUUUGCAUCAUCCACUCCAGCGACACUGGUUUCCUUGCUGUUCCUCACACAAGCCAAGCACCCUUUAACUUCCUUUUAAAGCCCUUUACCCUUAUUUCCUCUGCCUUGAACUCUCCUCCUUCAGAAGACAUGGGGCAUUCUCCCUCUCUGCACUCAGAUUACUAUUGCUGUCCCCUCAGAGGGGCCUGCCCUUCCCAACCCAUUCUAAACAGCCCUCCCCCAUCAUGACUACCCCUUGUCAUGCUUUUAUUAGCCCUUGAAAUUCCCAGACAUUAUGUUAUCAUUCCAUUUAUUUGUUUAUUGUCUGCUAUCAUUAUUAGAGUAUGAUCUCUAUUAAGUCAAGGACUUUGCUAGUUCCUGAAUGUCUUUUCAGUACCCAGAAAAGGGUCUAGCAUAUAGAAGGAGCAUAAUAAAUAUUUGUGAAUGUAUUGACUAAUUUACUAUCCAUGCAGAUUAUCUUUAGGCAGAGGAUAGAGAAUAAGACUUUUUAGUACAUAUUUAACAGUGUGUGUAGCCAUCCAUACAGUAAAGAAUUCUGCAACUCACAGUCACCCCAAACAGCAUUUGAGCUUUUAGAUACUAUAGAGCAACCUGUGUCUGUGUGUGCAUAGAUAUGUGUGUACAUGUACACACUUAUGUAUAUACAUACACACAUACAUUCGUAUACAUGCGUGUACAUUUAUGUAUGUAUUAUGUGUAUAUCUCUGAUUAAAUGGGUGAACAUGUGGUUUGGGGACCCGUGUCCAAGCCCUCUAGAUUGUAGAAGCUGGAAAUGACAAAAGUGAAUGAAGUGAGGGAAAGUGAGCCAGCAGGACUGCUCACUGCACAUGAAUUUCCAAGGAUACAGUUGUUCUUGAACAAUCACAGUCAGUAUAUCAAAAUAAGCGCUUUAUUGAGUAGGGUAAAAGGAGUUGCUGGAAAGACUGUAAAUUCUCUCGCAGAACAAAUGAUAACUGAGCCCAGGAGCCCUUUUGUUCUUGGGGGAGGGGGCAUAAAUUCCCUGAAAGUAUCUGUCGCAGGGAAUUGCUCUGCAUUCAUCAUGUCCGCCUCCUGCAUCAUUCAUGAAUGUCAUAAGACUCUAAAGAAUUGGCACUUCAUAGUGAAGAUGAUUAAAUAGCCACUAUACUUGUCUUUUCUGCUGCACAGUGCUUUUUAAAGGAAUUCCAUUUAGGUUGUAGCAUGCCCCUUCGAAUCCCUUCGCAUUUCUUGCAACCUGAGGUCUCUGACAUCAGAGGAAGGCCCUUGCUUGUUGGGACUGGACAGAGCUGGUGGGCUAGCACUUCAGUUUGCUUAUUUUCCUUUGAUGGAGACAAUAGGAUCUGGAAAAAAAAAUGCCAUAAAGCUCAAAGCAAAUCAUUUUUUAGGGAGUAUAGAAAUUGCUGUUUAGAUUCUGCAGUGAAUGAGCUGUAAUUUUUUUCAGAUAUUUUCACUUCUCUUAUCACUUCCUUGUGGACUAAGAAUAAUGAAUCAGAACAAGACACUUUUAUAUAUGAUUUGCUAUUUUAUAUAUUCAAAUAUAAGGCCUCAAGUCAUUUUGUAGCCAAUAAAGCCUAUGUAUGCAGUGUAAAUACUGAUGUAACAGAGUAUAAGAUAUAGAAUCGGCCAGGCGCAGUGGCUCACGCCUGCAAUCCCAGCUCUCUGGGAGGCCGAGGCGGGCGGAUCACCUGAGGUCAGGAGUUUGAGACCAGCCUGGCUAACAUGGUGAAACCCCGUCUCUACUAAAAACUAUAAAAAUUAGCCGGGUGUGGUGGCAGGUGCCUGUAAUUCCAGCUGCUUGGGAGGCUGAGGCAGGAGAAUCACUUGAACCUGGGAGGUGGAGGUUGCAGUGAGCUGAGAUUGCACCACUGCACUCCAGCCUGGGCAACAGAGGGAAACUCCAUCUCAAAAAAAAAAAAAAAAAAAAAAAAGAUAUAGAAUCUUACUUCUGUCCUCUCCCCUGCAUGCAUUUCUUGUCAUGUAUACAUAUUCUCUUUCUCUCUCUCCCUCUCUCCACACAUACUCACUCCCUCUCUCUCUCUAAGUGCCCUAGAGUAAUUCUUACUUCCCAAACAGCAUCCUUAAGUGACAGAGUGCAAAUGAUUGAAUUAACAUUUAUCUACUCAGGUAUAUGUAGAAUCUAAAACAGUUGAACUCCUAGAAGUACAUAGUAGAAUAGUGGUUACCAGAGGCCUCAGGUUGGGGGUUGGAAGGAGCAGAUGUUGGUCAAAGGGUACAAAAUUUCAGUUAGGAGAAAUACAUUUUUGAGAUCUAUUGCAUAGCAUGGUGACUACAGCUAAUAAUAAUGGAUUGUAAAUUGCAAAAUUGCCAAGAAUAAAUUUCAAAAGUUCUCACCACAAAAAAUAAUAAGUAUCUGAGGUGAUGGAUGUGUUAAUUAGCUUGAUUUACAUCAUUCCACAUAGUUUACAUAUAUCAUAACAUCACAUUGUACCCCAUAAUUAUAUAUAAUUAUGAUUUGUCAAUUAAAAAUAAGGCCAGGGGCGGUGGCUCACGUCUGUAAUCCCAGCACUUUGGUAGGCCGAGGUGGGAGGAUCUCUUGAGGUCAGGAGUUUGAGACCAGCCUGGCCAACAUGGCGAAAAUAUAAAAGUUAUCUCUACUAAAAUUAUAAAAGUUAGCUGAGCAUGAGGGCACAUGCCUGUAAUCCCAGCUACUUGGGAGGCUGAGGCACGAGAAUCACUUGAACUUGAGAGACAGAGGUUGCAGUGGGCCGGGCUCACGCCACUGCACUCCAGCCUGGGCAACAGAGUGAGACUCUGUCUCAAAAAAAAAAAAAUUAAAAUUAAAUUAAAAAUAUAAAGUUGGUCAAUAAACAAAUUUUCAUAAGCACUUAUGUUAGAGGCAACAGAAAGUAUUUAGAGAGAACAGCAGACUGUAAUUAGGAGAGAGGAGCUCUGAUUUGUUUCCACCAGUCAUCACUGUCACCUCAGACAAAUUCUGUAACUUCCCAGGGCCUCAGGAUUUGCAUCUGCAAAUGAGGACACAAAUGGUGGCUCCAGGAUUCUCCUUCCACUCUUAUGACACAUGGCUUUAUGUGUCAGGAGGGGCUCAGCCAUCAGGAGGGAACAGAAAAAAAAAAAAAAAAGCUCAGGAUAUCACCACUAUUUCUGAGGAACUCAUAAUUUAAUGAUCUCUGCAAUCUCUAAGCUCUGCUGGGAAAUGAGCUCCAGCAUAACACGGGUUCUGGGUCUGUAGUGGCAUCGCUGACUGAAAGAUAGGUCAUUUUUAAAAUAGUGGUAUGACCUUUGGCUGUGAUUUCCUCAUAAUAAACAUAAUAUGAUUUUUGUGCCAAUUUUCUGUUAAUUAUGGGCUUCUCCUAAAAGUUUAUGAGUUUAGGAAGAAUGUUCUUUUUAAAGUAGAACUUUGGACACAUGUUAGGAGAUCCAAUUAAAUAGAUGGAUCAUGGAAAUUGGGUCAUCACUGGUUGUUACCAGUAAGAGGAUCCCUUAGAGAUAAUGUGUUCACCUGUUACCAUAGAAGUCUUAUGAGCUGUGCCUGUAAGUUACCAGUGGCUUCAAGGCAGGUAGACCUUUUGAGCUUUAAUUUGUUCCUAGAAGGAACCUCUUCACUUCUCAUUAUCCAGACUUUCCCUAGAAGUGGGAGGGCUGAUCAAAAUGCCAGCCUUGGCCCUUUGCAUUCUGCUGCUCCAGCCAUGUGGGUCUGAUUUGUUCUUACUGCUGGUUUAAGAGAGAUUAAAAGGAGCAAAGCUGUUCUCUAAGUUUCUUGAUCUGCACCGUGGCAGCCAGAGUCAGAGGAAAUGGAGACAAUGGGAAAGGGACUAAAUCCUAGAGAGUGAUGUGUCUGGGAUCUCGGGAAGCAGACCCAGCGUUCAAAUGCAGGCUUCAAAUACUAGGUCAUUGCUUUGGAGAAUCUUCUUGCACCCAAAACAACUUGCCACAACCUAUGUGGCCCAAUGUGCAGCAAAAGCUGAGCCUGAGAUAAGGACAGACAGGAUAUAUGGCUGAAUAAAGAACUUUCAAUUUCCUUUUCUUAGUAGACGGACAAGUAUCCCAUCAUUAAAAAAAAAUAGCCACAUAAAAAAGCAGUUUCCAAUCUAAGUGCACAUGGGGUAUGCCAAAAUCUUUGCACAUGAUUGACUUAAUCAGAAGGCCCAAUCUAAUGGAGAGAAGUACUGUAUUAAUUUAAAUAUGGCAGGUGCUUUCUAAGUUUAUUGCAAGAGUUAAAGACCAAUUAUCUUGUAUUUUUCCAUAAAAUUGCAUUUUCUAAAAAGAGACUGGUGUGUCUGAAUACAUCCAUCAUAAUAAAUCUUCAAGCUUGGAUGGAAGUGACUGCUGUUUAUUUGCAGCAUGUCAUAUCUGUACUAUUGAAUCAAUGCUAAAGUUAUCAUAUUAGAACUAAGAUGAGGGCCCGGAAAAUGAGUUUUUAUAGACUCACAGCGUGAUUUUGUGAAUAAAAGCAUAAGACCAGGACCAGGUGUAGAAAGUGCCUUAUUCCAGGGCCUGAUGACCUGGAAGGCAAUUUUCAAAUGUAGGGAUUAUGCAGUCACCUCUCACAAGGUCCAGGGUGAAGAACAAGUAAGAAACUUUCUAUUUUCUGGGGAAUAGGCACACUUUCAAAGGAGGAAGAGGUAUUGAGAUGAGACAGAGAAAUUGAGAUGGAAAGUGUAUUUGAAAUAUGUGUAAUUAGGCAGGAGAAAUGAGAAUCACAAAACACUAGCAAAAGUCAUUGUCUUGCUAAAAAUAAUAAAGGAAGAAAAACAAAGUAUAAGCUAAGGCUUUGAAGGUGAUAAAAUAUUAAGAAAUUUUGCUUCUGUAUUUAUAGGAAAUCAGUUUUUAAAAGUAUAAACUAAUUACUAAUAUAUUACAUAAUAAUGCAGUGAUGUUGCUUGUCCAUGAUAAAAGGUAAUAAAUAAAAAUUUGUUUAAUGAAUAAUGAAAAAUAGCUUUCACAUUUGGAGUUGAUUUUGAUUCAUUUUGAUCUCUUAUGUGGCUCUUGGCUGUAGACUAUCUUUGUUUUAAGAAGAGCAAACCCAUUUGUCCUAAUAUUCCUGGAGAAUUAUUUCAUUCAAAAGAAUAAAAAUAUCAGCCAGGCGUGGUGGCUCACACCUGUAAUCCCAGAACUUUGGGAGGCAGAGGCAGGUGGAACACCUGAGGUCAGGAGUUUGAGACCAGCCUGGCCAACAUGCUGAAACAGAGAUGGUGCCACUGCACUCCAGCCUGGACGACAGAACGAGACUCUGUCUCAAAAAAAUAAAUAAAUAAAAAUAAAAGUAAAAAUGUCAUGUAUAUAAUAUAGAGAGAGGUUCAAAUACGCUAAGAGAAAAAGAAGCCAAGAUCAUGUAAGCAUUAUGAUUACAACCACAUGCAGACUAUGUUUUUCUUCUGGCUGAAGGCCAGAGAGAAAGGCAAGUAGCUGUAUAUUCAGUGGGUGUUAUUUGGUCAAAUCGAUUUACAUAGUCUUGCAGGUCUUCCAAAUACUAAAUAUUAAGUACUUGGAAAAUAGCUGAGCAAAAUCUGAGUGCAUUCUAUGAUGAUACAGUAGCACAGUCUUGCUUGGGACUUAAAAUCAUGGUUGUUUAUGGUCAUGGAGUUCUAACCAAACCCUUGAACACAAAAUUCAGUGAGCUCAAAAUGAAACUAACACUUUCACAUUCUAAUCUGUAUUUCCUUUUCUAUCUACUAUUUUAUUUGUCCAAAUUUGAAAACUCUGAACCAACCCCAGAUCCUUCUUUUUUUACUCCCCAAAUAUCAAAUAGAUCACAAAAGGCUUUUAUUCUUCAUGUCUUUCAUAUCUGCUUCCCCUGAUUUCUCAUGCUCACUGAUCCAAUUCCAAUUUUCAUCUCUCGUGUCUGGGGUAUUGCAGCAGUCUUCCUCUAAAUCCCCAUGGUCACACAUUAUCCUCCCUCCAUCUUCUCUACUGCAGACAAAGUUAUUUUUCUCAAACUGUGCAUUUUCCCACUGAUCAAUGUAGUCAUUCUCCAACUUUUUAAAUACUAAAAUCACUCUUUGAAAAAUUGAUAUGGAACUUUGUUUUUUUUUUUAAGACAGAGUCUCGCUCUGUCACCAGGCUGGAGUGCAGUGGCGUGAUCUCGGCUCACUGCAACCUCUGCCUCCCAGGUUCAAGCGAUUCUGUUGCCUCAACCUUCCAAGAAGCUGGGACUACAGGUGCAUGCCACCAAGCCCAGUUAAUUUUUGUAUUUUUAGUAGAGACGGGGUUUCACCAUGUUGGCCACGAUGGUCUCGAUCUCCUGACCUUGUGAUCCACCUGCCUAGGCCUCCCAAAGUGAUGGGAUUACAAGCAUGCACCACCAGGCCUGGCUACUUUUGUAUUUUUAGUAGAGACAGGGUUUCUCCAUGUUGGUCAGGCUGGUCUCGAACUCCCAACCUCAGGUGAUCUGCCCACCUUGGCCUCCCAAAGUGCUGGGAAUACAGGCAUGAGUCACCGUGCCCAGCCCAAUCAUAUAUUCUUUAACAUUGUUGUAUUAUUUCCCAGCAGUUUGUAGCUUAUUUUGUUUUAAUGCUUUAUUUUCCUAGUAACAAAUUCUAAAACGAUGUUGAAUAAUAUUGUGAUAAUGAACAUCUCUAUUUUCCUGAUUUUAAUGGCAAAGGCUAUAUAAUUUUGCCAUUUAGUAUGACAAUACUUUGCUGUUGAUAAUCUCUAUCAUAUUUAGAACAUCUUAAUUCUAUCUUAAUUAAAUUUUAGAGGGAAUGGCUGCUGAAUUUUUUCCAAUACUUAAAAAAAAUCCUGAGUAAAAUUAUAUUCAAAUUCUACUUUAAUUAGGUAAAGUAAUGAAUUUUGUUAACAGAUAUCUUUAAGCUGAAAUACACUACUUUUCAUGUUUCUGAAAUCAUAUUUUUCUUCUAAUAUACCAUUGAAAUGCUAUUCAAAAAAUGUUUAUCAAUUUUUGUAAGUGAAAUUAAAGUGUUUUGUUUUUGUGUAGCAUAUUUAUUAGGUAUUGGUAUUAAGAUUAUGUUGGAUUUACAAAUGAAUUGGAAAAUUUCUUAGUCUGUUUGGGCCACUAUAACAAAAUACCAUAAACUGAGCAGUUUUGUAAACAACAGAAUUUUGUAUUUCAUAGUUCUGGCGGCUGAGAAGUUCAAGAUCUAGGUAGAUUGUAUUGGUCUCUGGUGAGAAUCUCUUUUCUCUUCAUAGGCAACAUCUUCUUCUAUAACCUCACAUGGUGAAACCUUACAUGGUGAUGUCUGUUUUAUAAGAUCGUUUGUCCCCACCAUCUCCCAAAGACCUUACCCUAUAAUAGGAACACAUUGAAAGUUAGGAUUUCAACAUAGGAAUUUGCAGGGGGAUCAUAGGCAUUGCAGUCCAUUUCAUGAAGAUUUCUAACCUUGCCUGUAGUAUGGUAUAAAAUGGAGUAAUUUAGAAAUUAUCUCUUAUCUUAAAAGUUAUGUUGAAAGGUAGAUGAAAAUUACCUGUAAAAUCACCUAGAUCUGUAUUUUUUAAUUAUUAAAACUUGAAUCUCCUUUCCAAUGGUGUCUAUGGUCAUUAGCCUAUUGAGUUUUUCUACUUUUUCUUAUAAAUCUUUGACAAGUUAUACUUUUUCCUAGAAAUGAUCCAUUCCUUCUGACUUUCAAAUAUAUUGCUUUAAAGUUGUACAAAGUAUGAUUUUAUAUUUGUAAUCUUUUCUAUUGUGAUGGUUAUAUAAUUUCUAAUGUUCUAUUUUUCUCCUUUAGUUUUUAUUUCUGUUUUUUUAGAGGUUUAUAUAUUUUCUUUGACAUUUUAAAGAGCAAACUUUGGGAUAUUUUUAACUUUUAUAUUAUUUCAAAUAUUAUCGGGUAAAUUUCAGCUUUUAUUUUUAAUCAUCAAAAACCAUCUUAUUUAUCUUAUUUUUGUAAUAGUGCAUUAAGGUGAAAGUUCAGUUUAUUUAUGUUUAUUUUCCUUAUUAUUAUUUGAGACAUUUUCUUCUGAGUUUCUGAGUAAAGCUUUAUCUGAAGUUUAUAUGACUUGAUAUAUAAAGCUGUCUCUUCAUUAAUACUCUAAUUAUUAGGUUUUGGUCUUUUUUACUGUAUAUUUUAAGAUUGUAUGUAUAAAGAGUACUGUUUGUUCAAUAACUUAAUUAUAGAAAUCAUUAAGGAUUUCUUUGUCAACAAGAAUAUUAUCAGUUUAACAAAUGUUCCAAUUUGAAAUAUAUACGAAUUACUGAAUAUGCUUCUUUGGUAAAAUUCCUGAGUUGCUUAUCACCCAAUCAUCAUGGUCAUUCUUUGCCAAUUUAUUUAAGCACUUACUGUGCCCCUAUGUGUUCCAGGCACUGUGAUAGGUACCAGGAAUUCUUUCAUAUCCAAACUCUUCUAGUUGUGAAAGAACCCAAAUUUGAACUAGCUUAGACUACAUGAGUUAGCUAUUAAAAGUUGUGUAUAAGAAAGACCUGGCCAGGCACAGUGGCUCAUGCUUAUAAUCCCAGCAUUUUGGGAGGCCAAGACGGGCGGAUCACUUGAACCCAGGAGUUUGAGACCAGCCUGGACAACAUAGUGAAACCCUGUCUCUACUAAAAAUACAAAAAUUAUCCGAGCAUAGUGGCGGGUGCCUGUAAUCCCAGCUACUCUGGAGGCUGAGACAGGAGAAUCUCUUGAACCUGGAGGCAGAGGUUGCUGUGAGCCCUGAUCACCCCACUACACUCCAGCCUGGGUGACAGAGCGAGACUCUGUCAAAAGAAAAGAAAGGAGAAGAGAGGAGAGGAGAGGAGAGGAGAGGAAGAGAAGCAGAGGAGAGGAGAGGAUAGGAGAGGAGAGGGACAAAGGCACAACUUCACAAUAUAGAUUAUAAAAACUAGGUAUUUUAAAAAUGAUAAGAUUUUUCUCUCUGUGGCCAGAUCUAAAUUCAACAGCUUGUCUUUACUCUUUCAGUCAGGAUUGAUUUUCUCAUGACUUUCUCCCCAUAAGCAGAAAUGUGGCCACGGCAGCUGUGUGUCUCUUAUGUCACAGUUUUAUCAUCAGAGAGGCACUGAUGGAGUGUUUCUCUGGUUCCAGGUUUAAAAAAAAAAAAAAAAAGUUCAUUGAAGUUCUCUAGCCUAGCUUGGGUUAAUUGAUUACACCUUAGUCCAUCUGCUGUAUAUAAGAGCAGAAUCUUUUACGGACAUGACAAUUUCAGUUCAAAUCACAUGAUAAAUAUGGAGGAAAAUAAUAAUUUCUUUGUGAAGAGGCUUAAUGUUUCAAGAUAGAGACAGAGGAUGUGCUGCGCCGAUAGAAUAAUGAAAGUCUCCUAUAGUCAAAAAACAAACAAAUAAACUUGAGGCAGAUUCUUCACUUCAAGGUGCUCACCAUAAAAUGGCAAUACUAAACUAUUUCUAGAACUCUAUAUAGAGUGCCUGUUAGUUAUUUUGAUCCUGUUACAACUCUUUCAGAUGAUGAGGUAGAAGUGUUGUCGCCUUCUUAAUCAUGGAGAAACUGAGGCUCAGUGAAGAUAAAUGAUUGUUUUAGAACAGAAGCAUGGACUUUAAUAGUUGGGAUUUGUUCUUUUCAUCCAAUUCUGACCUGGGUUCUAUGAUUAAGAGGUAUGUGUCUCAUAGAAUCAAAUCAUCACCCUUCAAAAAUAUUAGCCAGCUUUUCCAGAAAAAUCGUGUUGUAUGAAUUAAAGCCACAAAUACACCAAAGUCAUCCGUUUACAGCCCCUGGCCUCUUGUAAGUAUGAGGAUCAUAUAAAUCAGGCAUUUAAAUCAAAGCACUGGAAAUAAGCAACUGCUUUUUAUGUGUAUUGUUUUUCCAGAGAAUAUUCAAUACUUAGCUACCCCUUCAUUGUUCUUAUUAAAAAAGGUAUUUCAAGGCUGUGAAAUAAAAGGAGGAAAAGAAGACAAAUGUGUAUGUUCCAAACUUCUCCUUUCCUCUAAUCAUGUCUCAUGUCAUCAGAAGGAAUGCACUUCUGAAAAAUAAAAUGCUACAGAAAAGGCUGCUGAGUAAUUAUAAAAUGAUUACUUUUGUUUUUCCUUUAUUCAUUUAUAUUUUGCUUAUGAACAAAUGUAUAUAUGGUCUUUGCUUUUAGUUAAUGCUCUGUAAAAUAGAAUAACGUGGCUAUCCUUAAAGAUGUCACGUUGCUUUUCUGUUGUACAUCCCUGUUAGGUUAAAUCUGAGAUGCACUUAUCUAUUUAUUUUUACAAAAACAAUUUGCAAUGUGAUUUAGAAAUGGAGGAGUAACAUAAAACAAUUUGACUAAAAAUGGGUGUGAUUUUCUUAUCUGAGACUGCCAAAAAUUCACCAAAGAAAAAUCAUUCAAAUGUCUUUGUGGUUAGGUUUCUUUUAUAAAUUGAAAGUUGUGUUCUAUUUCAUCAUGAGAGAUGCUGUGAGCUCUAACUGAUGAGCAUUUAUAAAAUAUUUCCACGUUGAGAUGAAAUGACAAAAAGGCAAGAUGAAUUAAUGAACAUUGUAUAUUCUUAUUCCUUUAUUCCCAUUCUACUCCAUGCCUGAAUGGCAACGUGAAGAUAUGUAAGCAUAGGUAAGCCAGGUUUCAUUGAUUAGUUCAACAGCAUUUAUUUCCUGUGCAUUCACAGUGUUGAGAGAUAAAUAAAUUAAACAGCCCUGGCUUCCAGGAGCUCGUAGUAGAGAAGCAUUCUGGAUUUCCAUUUUGUUUGACAAUAAAACUUAAUAUUUAUUUUCUUAAGCCUGAAUACUGUGCAAUUUCCUAGAACUUAUUUUGUUUUGCUAUAUAAGAAACUAGCAUGGUUAUGAAAGUUAAGUUGGCUGUGAGUUAAUUUCUCACAUAGACCUCAUUAUAAAUUUACCCUUCAGAAUUUAGAGUUGUCUGAGUGUGGUAUAAUUAAUCAGGAAUGGACUAUUAUCUGACCUUACUUUAUUCACUUUAUAAGAGGACAACCUCAUGUAAAACCACUGUCAUUUAAGUAAGAUAAAAUGAGUACCUCUAUACUGCCAGUUGCAUUGUGAAAGGAUUGGGUUUUCAUCUUGUUUGCUGUUUUUGUUUUGUUUUUAAUUUUGGCCACAUAUUAGAAAGCCAUUGUCCUUCUUUCCAUCAUCAUCAGGUAAAUGGUGAGAAUAUUAGAGAUACAGUUUGACAUAAUGAAAAGAAUGUAGAUUGUUGAGUUAGACCUGGAUUAAAGUCCUAAUUCCAUUCGAUAUUUGGUAAAAGAUCUUGGCAAGUAGUUUUACCUUAUUCUAUAGCUUCCCUCAUCUUUAAAACCAAGAUAGUAACUGUUAUGAGCUGAAUUAUGUCCCCUCUACAAAUUCAGAUAUUAAAGUCAUAACCCUCAGUAUCUCAGAAUGUGACUGCAUUUGAAGAUAGGGUUUUCUGAAUGUGGUGUAAUUCAUCGGGAGUGGGCUAUUUCUGACCUUGCUUUAUUUUUCAGUUUCAGAGGUUAUUUUGGUGGGCCCUCAUCCAAUAAGACUGAUGCUCUUAUAAGAAAAGGAAAUUAGGGCAUAGAUUGGUACAAAGGGAAAACCAUGGGAAGAUACAGGGAGAAGAUGAUUGUCUACAAGCCAAUAGAGAAGCUGUAGAAAAAGCCAGCACUGCUAACACUUUGAUCUUGAAAUUCUAGCCUCCAGAAUUGCAAGACAAUGAAUUUCUGUUGUUAAAGUUACCCAGCCUGUGGUACAUUUUACACAGCCCUAGCAAACUAACACAGCAAAAAAUAUUUCAAGUGAAAAAUAUAGAGUUUUGAAAUAUUAUACUGUAUACUAAGAUAUAUAAUAAAUAAUAUAUACACAUAGCUGGUAUUAGUAUUAAUAUUGAUAUUAACAUUAGUCUAGAGUUAGUAUUGCCAAACAGUACCAAAGAGUUUGUGAAAGAAAUAAUUGUCCCAAAGGAAAAACAAUGAGCUUAUGAAAAUUCCUUUAAGCAAGAGGGAAUUUGAGUGUGUCCGUGGAAGCUUUAUUUUUAGGUCAAUUUUAGCGUCUACAGCAUUGCGUAUUCUACCACUAAUCAUCUUUUUCCUUAGCGGAAGUAUCCUGAAAUUUGAUGAGUAAAAAUGACUUUCUUUUAUAUUUUUGUGAUAUAACAGCUUCUAAAGUAAUGUGUUUCUGAAAAUGUCAUUACCCCUAAGACUUACUUACAAAGGGUCAUGAUGUGUUUGUCAAAACUCAUCAGUGUGUCCAGAAACUAUGUGCGUGUGUAUUUUAGUCAAACUUUCUGGGAGUUAAAGUAUAUAUAAGGUAACACAGCAAUGGAACAUCGCAAUAGUUGGCAUCAGAUUUGCAAAUGGCACAAUUAUUUGUUUCCUCUUCACUGGUCCUUGAAAAAUACAUAAUGUUCCCAUCAAAAGUUCCAGCCAAGCAUAUUUGUAAGAACAGGGUUUGAACAUAACCUAUUAUAUCAUGAAGAAUGGCUCUCUUCCAUGGUAUUUACCACCAGAAUUAAGUAGUGGUAGACUUUUUUUUAUUCAUGGAAAACAUUUAGUGAAUGGGUAGAAUGUUAUUUGUUUUAUAUUUUUCUCUCAUCAGCUCCUUUGGAGACUUUGGCAUCGGGCAGAAAAAGGGUCUCACUCUGCACACCAAUUUGAGUUCCCAUGUUAUCAAACAGAUUUAAUGCUAAACUAAACUGGUGUUUGUUCUGCUUAUAAGUCUUUGAGUUGAAGCCUUGUUUCUGGAAUAUUGGGACAUGCUCUGAAAUGUUGCCUCUGUAGAUCCUAGAAAGUAAUGAUGUUUUCUGCUUUCAUGCGAUUUAGUUUUAAUUAUUCUUCCUUCAACAGAGAGAAAUAGAUUGCCCCACAGGGAGGGAACCCUCACCUUGCUUGAGCAUUGUCUAAGAAAUGGCUUUUUCUCAUGAUGUACUUAACUGUUAGGCAAUGUUGUCAGUUUCUCAGCUUACUGAGCAGCAAAUCUGCUCAUUUCUUUGCCAAGGAAAAAGAAUGUUCUUAAAAAUAGAUGAACUUUCUCUCUUAAUGUUCAGUGCAUUCAAUGUUGCUUUAUUUAAGGCUGCUUUAUCAUCAGUUCUGGUGUUUAUUUCAAAAAAUUCAAAGUAGAUAAAACAGAUCAUUCACUAAAUUCCAUCUAUUCAAUAAAUAAUUUGCAGAGCUGUUUUUAAAAUGUGUAUCAUUUACCCUGUACUCCCUAGUGGCUCCCUCUGUAAUGCAGAGGCCUUGUUUGCAGUUUUUCCAUCUGUUAUUCACCUUUCUCCCCUCCUUUUGGAGCUCUUGAUCUCUAGGGAUGUUUUUAGGGAGUCUUUAUCCCAUUAGUCAUUGGGACAGCUUUGGAGAAGAGGGCAUAGUUAAGAAAGGGAGGAUCUGAUUCUAUUCUCAACUCCACUACUUAGCAACAGAUCAAGUUGUUUAAUCUCCUUGAGCAUCAAUUUUCUUUUUUAUUAAAAUAGUAACCAAAAUAUUUGCCAUUAAUAUUUCAGUGAGUGUUGAGGGAAGAGGCAUCAGAUGAGACACUCCAAAAGAAAGCAAUUUGAAAAUCAUUUAAUUCUAUGGCAAUAUAAGGCCCAGCUGUUAUAAAAUAGUGAACAUUAUUCACUCCUAAAACAGCCAGAGAGAUGAGCGGCAGAGGAAAACCAUAGAACAAACUAAGUAAAAGAAAUUGAGAAAAUGUAUUCUUUGGAAAAUCAGAUAUUACGAGAUCCUUCAGUUAAAUUUAUGUCUCUAUUUGCUAGAAGAGAUAUUUAUCAGUUCCAAAGCAACAAGCCUUUCCCUUUUGGUUUUAUUAGCUACAUGGUAAUUGAUAUGAAUUUAAAAGAUAGGUUUAAUUUGAUAGCAAUAACUACAUCUACUGGCAGGAUAUAUUUUAUGUCAUUGAUAGUCCUUUUAUUUUCCAAAAGGAUUUACCAGUUUAUAGUAAAAAAACACGAAUGUGGAUAAGCUUGUGAAAGAGUAAUAAAAAAGAAAUAAAGAAUAAGAAACCUGAAAUGAUAGAGGAAGACCAACAUACCUUACCAUUAUGAGAUUUUAUACUAAGUCCUGAGGCAAUGAUCAAAGAGAACUAGAGCAGGAGACUGACAUCUUGUUUCUCAUCCUAGUUUAUCUAUCAUGUACUUUGCACAUAAUUGUUAUACUUAUUUUAUUACUUAAUUUAUUGUUCUACUUGUUAUAAUUGUCCACAAGUAAAUUAUCCAGUUCUCCUUAAAUUUAACUCUCAGAGGCCGGGUGUGGUGGCUCAUGCCUGUAAUCCCAGCACUUUGGGAGGCUGAGGUGGGUGGAUCACCUGAGGUCAGGAGUUCGAGACCAGCCUGACCAACAUGGUGAAACCCCGUCUCUACUAAAAAUACAAAAUUAGCCAGGUGUGGUGGUGCAUGCCUGUAAUCCCAGCUACUUGGGAGGCUGAGAGAGGAGAAUCGCUUGAACCCAGGAGGCAGAGUUUACAGUGAGCCAAGAUCAUGCCAUUGCACUCCAGCCUGGGUGACAAGAGCAAAACUCCAUCUCAAAAAAAAUAAAUAAAUAAGUAAAAUAAUAAAUUUAACUCUCAGAUUUCCCCUGGGAGAUGCUUCCAAAACUUGUUCCAUUUUAACAUCAAUAGAAUUAUUUGAGGGAAGGCUAUUUUGAUAUAUAUAUAUACACACAUAUAUGUAUAUAUAUAUAUAAAAAAAUACAUGAAUGAGAAAAAAUUAUAUUCCUCAUUCUCUUAAAGAAACGAUAGAUCACUCACUUAAUUAGCUAUAUAUAUAUAUACACACACAUACAUAUAUUCACAUAUAUAUAUACACACACACACAACCAAUAUUGUAUUAUUGUAUUUUAGUACUUUUAUUAAGCCAUUUUACCUGUAAUUAUUUGAUGGGGUAAAUAAUAAAUGAAUUCUAGUCUAUUGUAUUUUUUAACUGAACCUUUUUUGUUUUUCACACACAUGCAUGCACACACACAUAGACAAAUAUAUAUAUGCUUAUGUAUAUGUAUAUGUGCAUACACAAUGAAUGUAUAUGUAUAUGUACAUACACAUAUGUAUGUAUAUGUAUAUGUACAUACACAUAUGUAUGUAUAUAUUAUUUGUAUAUCUAAAGUGAAUCUUAAGACAAGAAUUCUAUUUCUGUUGAUAGUCUCCCAGAAAAAGUAAUAUGCUAUUUGGCUAUAAGACUGGAAAUAGAACCCAUGCCAUAAAGGCAGGGCCAGGGGGUUUCUAAGUCAAAACAACAACAACAAUAAAAUAAUUACCUAAGUGAUCCUAAAUAAAGAAAAAGUAAAUUGCCAUCAACAAUUAUAUUCUAAUACAAUAAGCAAUAAAAUGCACCCAAAAUUUAAGAACCUUGGAGAAAUAUGUGGAUGAGAAAAAAUUAUAUUCCUCAUUCUCUUGAAGAAACUAUAGGUCACCCACUUAAUUAGCUUGUUCCGUAACUUUCACCCAGGACUCCUUUAUGAUCGCAUGGAAGACUGUUUGAUCCUUUUCUUCUGCUGGAUCACCAUCCCAAGCACACACUCACAGAACACAUACCAAAACACUCUGUCAAUAUCACCAUCAGCUCCAUCACAGUAAGUAGUUAGCCAAUUAUGAAAACAAUAAGCCAGGCCCAUUAUUUGCAGGUUGUGAGUUAAAAAAAAAAGAGUCAUCCUUGUUGACUAUUUGAAGAUGAGAUGUAUCCUCUUAAUCUUUGUUAGUGGUGACUGUGUAGAGAUUUCAUUCCUGGAAUACUGUGUUGGUUAAAACUCAGCAAAGCAACCUCAGCUGCUUGCAAACUUGCAAAUCCUGCAGUGUUAAAUGGCCAAAAUGCUACUAUAGCAAUUUUUUCUUCAGUUGAAUUGGUCAGUUUUUGCCAACAAGGAUGAAAUUUACAUGAUUCUGAAUAUAAACAUAAGUAGUAUGAUCUUGCAUCAGCAUACUGAACACGGUGAGAAACCAGCAAUCAGAAGUACGAGGCUCAGGGGAGAAAGCAUGUAAUGUGGUAUAGCAUGCCUCAGAAAUGAAAAUCUUUGAUGAAUUAAGAGGAGGUUCUUAUAGUUCCCAGGAUUUUCCCAAGAAGUUGAUUUGUAAUCCACAUUUUAAAGUAACACAAUUAACUUUUUUAUUUGAAUAUGUAAAACAAAAUAAUUCUAUGUUUCCUGUAGGACUCUAGGCAUUUUAUAUUAAAAUUAACACGAAGUAUGUAUUUACCUUUAAAAACCAUGCAAGAUGGCAAAGCAUGAAAUGUAAAGAGAAAAAACAAUAACAACAUCAGAGUAGAAAGUUAUAAUUGUUAAUUACCUUCCUCUAAUGUCCCACAGUAUUGGACUAUGGGAGCAUUCAGGGCCUUUAUUCACUCUUACCAGCAAAUACUUUACCAAGAAUAGAUAUUUUCAUAUUUUUUUCUUCAUAGCAAAGUAAUCAUAUGCCAGGUACUUUGUAUCUUUUAUGCUUUCUUCACCUAUAAAGUUAGAAUCAUCUAACAUAGUGACAUCAUAAAUUCAGAAUAACAAAAGCAAUACAAAUAAUUUUAAAUCAAAUUUUUAGUCUAUCCUAUCAAAUAUUGUCAUAGUGAAGUUUUGUUUUUUGUUUAUUUAAAGAUUAAAGCCACUGUGACUUUCUAACCAUAUAUAAGAAAUUAUAUAUUUAUGUAUUAAAAUAUUCUUCUCCUUUGUAUUGGAGCACUGAGAAUUACUGGUAGGAUUGUGGAUGAAAACUACAAGUAAAAUGCUUAAAGUUGUUGAUAUGGUGAGAUGGCCAGACAAGCUUUUGAAAACAUGCCAAAUUUGGGGGCUGUGACUUUGUUUUCAUUCUGCUUUAGUCUGAUAAAAAGAUGUGAAAAGAACUAAGUACAGACAACUGUUUGCCCCAUUGGUGUAGUUUAUUGAUACAGUUUAUUGUGUAAUUACAUUGGUAUGUGGUGAAAAAAGGCUUUCAGAGGUAGAAGGCUCAGGCUGGAGACUUGAAAGUGGUACUAUUUAAAUCAGAUAAUUGAGUCUCUGUUUCCAAAUCUGUAAAACAGUGUUAAGAUAUAAAAUAUCCCAUACAAUUGUUGCAAAGAUUCAGCAAAUGAAUUUGAAAAUAUUUUGCAAACUGUAAAGCAGCAUGUAUAUGCUGCUAUCAAUUUUUUGACUUGUUAUUUUUGUAGUGACAAAAUUAUUUCCUGAUAGAGUAUGAAUUUAUCUCUGUAGCAGAAUCCACUAUAUAUUUAGGAUAGAAAAGUAAAAGAUUUUUAUAAAUUGCCAUGAAAUGUCACAGGCUGAUUUGCAUUUUCUGGUGAUUCUAUACAUUAAUCACUGAGUAACCUUCAGUUUUCCAAAUAAAGAAUAAAGAGAGUGGUGAUGACAUUUGUAACCAUCUACAGAGGAAUUAUUUAAAUUCUUCACAGAUGGAGCGAUAUCAAGGGUAAAUCAUUAUAGCCACAUUUCUAAUUUUAAGAAGCUUUGAGGGUGUUUGUGGAUGGUAGGAAGUAAACAUUGUUUUGCAUAUAGAAUUAAUCAUAGACUUUGCAUACCACAAUUCCAAAUCCUCCAGAUGAGUGUAGAGGGCUUUCGAGACACCAUCCCCUAAGGAUCGAGAAAUUCAUAAAAGGAAAAUAAUGUUAUGCUACAUGUAAUAUACAAAUUGAGCAAAUUGGAGCAACUAGAAUAGUGACCUUUCAAAGAAGACAAAUUAGAUUCUGUAUGCCUCAGAAUUUAAUGAGUCUUAGUGCUUUAGGAAGGAUGACAUAUGACACAUAUUCUUAAUUCUAGUCUCACAAGAGUUAACUUUAUUAUUUCUCAACAAGAUGAAUAACUCACUUCUUCUUUGGUCAACAUAAUUCUACCUAAUAUUCUCUGUAAACUAGCUCUGGAAAUACAUGCGGACCAGUGCUUGAGAUUUUUAGUAAAUGUAAAAGGUAUCUGAAUGGUUGUAUAAUGCUGCUUUAAAAGAGUUUUAAGGGUUGGAACAUGGUCACUGAGAAAUACACAAGAAAAUCUGUUACCAAAUGUGCUCUGAAUUUUGAGAUGAGUAACCCGUGGAAGUAUUCGCUAUGGGUAACACCACUUGCCUAAAACCACAGAGGCAACAAAUGGCAUAGCCUUUCUGGUCACCAAAUCUAAAUGAUUUUCUCCAACUGAAAUUAAAAAUGUGUUUCUUGAAAUGUACUUUUUAUAAUUUCUGAAUUACAAAUAUUUUCUUUAUUUUUAUUCCCAUUUGCUUUGUAAGUAGUUCUAAAUUAAUAUAUUCUUAGUAACUCCUGAGUUCAUAUGGAUAAUAGUAAAAACACAAGUAAAGAGUAAACAUACUGGUAAACCCACUAAUCAUAAUUGACAACUACCACUUGUCAUGUUCAAAUCUCAUUAUCCUGUGAUGUUUUUUCUGUUUCUUGUAUCUUCUUCCUAAGAUUUAGUUUGAAAAAGGAAAAGAAAAUGUAUUUAAUGCCAGAUAAAUACCACCACUAGGGAACAAAAAAAAGGUCCAUUUUUAAAGGACUCCUGGAGGCCAGGUACGGUGGCUCACGCCUGUAAUCUCAGCACUUUGGGUGGCCAAGGCAGUCAGAUCACAAGGUCAGGAGAUUGAGACCAUUCUGGCUAACAUGGUGAAACUCCGUCUCUACUAAAAAUACAAAAAAAUUAGCCGGGCGUGGUGGCACGUGCCUGUAGUCCCAGCUACUCGGGAAGCUAAGGCAGGAGAAUUGCUUGAACCCAGGAGGCAAAGGGUGCAGUGAGCCGAGGUUGCGCCACUGCACUCCAGCCUGGGCAACAGAGAGAGACUCCAUCUCAGAAAGAAAAAAAAACUCCUAGAAAUCAUUUUUGUUACCAUGUUUAUAGCAACACAAUAGUGAAAUAGGCAAAUGCAUUUAGUCACAUAACUUGGUUUUCUUGGGCCACUGCUUUCUUUCCUGUGGGAGUGGGAGAAGGUACAAGCAGGAGAGACAUGAUGCCUUUGGACUGCUCUGUUACCUUCAGUUUUGUAAGGCUCCUGGCUCCACUGACCAGAUUAUGCUGAUAGAUAAGAGAUAGGGGACUAGUUUUCUACCUUGUGCCUGUCCUGGCCAAGAUGCAAAAUUAAGCCUACUGUUGAGGAAGACCAGAAAGUUGUUUAUUGCAAUGUACCCAGGCUCCCAGACUUAGGAUGUUAUUUACCCUCCACCGUUAUGCAGCGGGAACUUAAGAUGUUAAGAACGACUCUUACCAACAUCUGCUUUGUUAUGCAUUCAUUCUGCCUGCAUCUUUAAUUUGGGGUGAUAGCUGCCUUCAGAAGCUUUGGGAGCCGUUCCUCUCAGUAACCAAAUACUGUCCCAUGGGGGACAUUUCCUCUCUGCAGCUGUUCUGUGUAGGGUCUCAACAGUGUGCUACAGCUGGCUGUAUGCAAUGUAGUGCCUUGAUGUCUCCCUCUCUCCUUGCUUUUGCAGCUGGCGCUACGUACAUCUUUGGGAAAAGUGGUGGGCUUAUCCUCUACACCUGGCCAGCCAAUGACAGGCCCAGCACGCGGUCUGACCGCCUUGCCGUGGGCUUCAGCACCACUGUGAAGGAUGGCAUCUUGGUCCGCAUCGACAGUGCUCCAGGACUUGGUGACUUCCUCCAGCUUCACAUAGUGAGUACAGGGCCUUGGCCUGGAUUUUCUUAUGUUACUGGUGGUCUGAGUUAGUGAUUCAGGUAGACGCAGCAGAACAUUCUAGAUCAAUAUGGCAAAGGUGCACAUGCUUAUAAAAAUUGUUUUCAGAUGUGAACCAUCAUAUUUACAGGGUUCCUGGGGGAAAAAAACUUAAAAACUCUUCCUUCUUCCCCAUGUAUAUAGGGAGGAAAAAGAAAUUCAUUCUUUGCAGGCUCCCUUCCCAACUGUGUGGCUUGGCCUGUGGCAGAAUAUUUAGCAGACUUCUAGGGUAUAUUUAAGAGAUUUACCUGGUGUGGAUCUUACCUGGUGCAAGCAGCAAAGCCAAGUGGAAUGUUAACAAUCUCCUAGGCUGGGAUUUGGCAAACCUUCUGUAAAGAGACGUAUAGUAAAUAUUUUGGACUUUGCAGGUCAGAUAGUCUCUCUCAGAGCUACUCAGUUCUGCCUUUGUAAUGUGAAGGCAGCCACAGACAAUACAUUUUUUUGAAAUGCAUGAGACUGUAUUCCAAUAAAAAUGCAUCUAUAAAAACAAGCUGCAGGCCGUAAUUUAGUGACCCCUGUCCUAGGCUUCAAGCAUCACUGUAAGAGAUGUAAUAAAUGUGUGAUAAAAACUGAGACCAGAGUGCCAGAGUGGGCGGGGCAAAAGGGAAACAGAACAGUGAUCAAGAGUUGAGUAAUUCAUGUGUAUUGCAUACUCAACAUUUUGCUUUUGGUCUUGUACAUAUGCACUUAAUAGCACUGCACCCUUAAUCCCUGUAGAUCAUAAGAACACAGCAAAGGCUAAGAAAUUAAAAAUGAUUUAGAAGAAAAAAUUCUUUUGUUAUAAGGAUGGAAAAUAUUUUUACAGCAACAAUUAACCCAUUUUAUCACCUGUGCAGUCUGCAGUUAAGAAAGUAGGCUAAAGAGAGAUAUGAUUCUCAUCCAUAAGUACCCAAAGUGCAGUCUCCAAGAGCAAAGAGAGGAAUUGUUCUCAUUAGUUAGCAAUGACAAGGCUAGAAAGAAUGGAUUUAAUUUGGAGCAAUAAGAAUUUAGUUUAAAUAGCAGGAGGAAAAGGCAGUUAAGAAAAAAGAUCAACUGGGGAUUACUACCAACCUCCAAAAAGGAGGAAAAGGAACAUUGAUUAGGAAUCUCUGAAUCAGAGUUUUGCUAAUGUGCAGGUGUAUAGAGAGAAGCAGAGGAUACAAUUUCAUUGCUGGUCUCUGGAGUUGGAGAUGGCUGGCCGGAAUCAUGCAUGACAAGCCCAGCUCCCACAGCAGUGCGCAUGUCUGACACUUGCUCUUCCAGCAUGCCUUGGAAAUGAGAGCAGCUUAAAGUCCUAGGCUUGAGCUGGAAGUCGGUCUAGCCCCAGUAUAAGCCAGAUCAGGGCAAGACUCUGCUUAGGAGCUUAAGGAAGAACUGGUUAGAGAUGAUCACCUUCAAAAUGUGGUGGAGGAGUCUUGAAUAGAGUUGUGAACUUUUCAAUUUUUUCUCAGAUGCUUCAGGAACCAUAUGGUGCUAUGAGCCUGAGCUAACACAUUUUAAAAAGCUAUGCCAAGGAGCAAAAAGAAAGGCAGCCAUACUUACUACACUUUAUCUUUAUUUGGCCUCUAAGAACCACCAUAAUUUACAAAACUCUGUGAGAUUUAUGCUACAUAUAACUUAAUGACUAUUUCAUGGCAGCUAUAACUAGGCUGUUAUUACCAGCUCACUUGCAUUUCCACAGUGAUUUAUCUUCUUUUUUUGUUCAUUGUGACUGCCUAAGAAAAAUAUGAUUUGGCACAGACAUGAGCAUCUUUUUGAGUCAAAUAGUGUACUAUUGUUUUAUCCAUUCCUGCUCAUUCAUGUUUUGUAGAACAUCUCCACUUUUAAGAGAGAGGUUUUCCUAUUUUCUGAUGGUUUACUUGAAAUUAGCAGUGUUUUAAUAAAAUUGUCAUGCAGAUUGUGGUAACUUCUAGGAGGAACCAGAACAUUCCAGUAUAUUUUAAUAUACCAUUAUAAAGCUCUGUCAUUUCUUUGGGGUCUUUGAAAAGUGAAUACUCUAAACAUACUUUGAGAUUCAGGUAACAUCCAUUGUGUGCAUUUAUUAGUGUGUGUAUUCUGUAUAAGCAUACCCAUUAGAUUUGACAUAGUAUAAUAUUAUUUUCUUUGUAUGAGCAAAAUUACCAGACAUUUUAUAUCAAAAUGUAAAGAGCCCCCUGGGAUACUGUAGACACUUGGGUGAUACAGCCGAUUGCUUAAACGUUCUGUGAAAGCCCAGUAGAUUUUCCUCCAAAUCUUAGAUUAGGAAAUGAUGUCACCUGACCCUUUCAGAAAAAAGGAAAAAAGGAUCCUAUGCUGUGGGGAAUCUGUGUGAUUCUAGAGUGACCCUGACAUGUUCAUGGCCCUCUCGAGCACCAGGCCCCUUCAUGGGUCUAGUCAUUUGAAGCCAUAUUUUAUUUCCUUGCAGAUUAUCUCUUUGUCUACUCUGAAGAAGGCAGGUUUCUCAUCAUACUUGAAAGUAAAGAAAUCUAAGUAGAAGACUAAAUGGCUUAAUUAUGAAACCAGCUUUUUGUUUUGGACAUUUAAGUAGAUACAUCAGGGAAACAAAGCCAUAAAUACUUAUUAAGAUACUUUUAUAACUUUUACAAUCUGUAAAAGGUGGUUCUGUUUGUUGAAUGGUUUGUUUUCUUGUACUAAAGAAAAUUACUGAAGAGAGAAAGAGCUUUGGGGCCAUUAAUGAAAGUGGAAGGGAUUGAGCAUAAGGCAGAAGAUGCUAUUUCUCCUUACAGUUUGCCUAGAAGAGAAACCUCCUGGGAAAAAGAAAAAGUGAUAGAAGACACAAGGGGGAGAUGAAGGCAGGUGGUUUUCUCAGUUUUUUUACUGCUAUAACAGAAUAUUUGAGAUUUGGUAAUUUAUAAGGAACAUAAAUUAAUUUCUCACAGUUCUGGAGGCUGGGAAGUCUAAGAUCAAGGUACUGGCAGGUCUGGUGUCUUGUGAGGGCCCAGUCUUCACCUCUAAGGCGAGCACUGCAUCCUCAGGAGGGGAGGAACCCCAUGUUUUCACAUGGCAGAAGGGCAGAAAGAGUGAACCCACUCUUGCAAGCCCUUUUUAGGAUAGCAUUAGGCAGAGCCCUCAUGACCUAAGCGCUUUCCAAAGGUCAUACCUCCCAACACUGUGGCAUCGGUGAUCAAGUUUCCAGCACAUGGAAUUUUGGGAGACAUAUUCAGAGCAUAGCAGCAGAAUAUAUUUGCAGCAGAAUAUAUUCCAGGGAUAAGGGAAGAGGACAGGGCUCUGCCUACCGAUGUGCUUCAACAAGGGAUUACAUGGGGGCAAAGCUUCAUUCUUUGAAUAUGAGUGUUCUUUAUAAAAUAACAACAACAAUAAAAACCUAAAGUACUUUGGUGCUACUUGUGAGUGGUGGUCAGGCUAGUAAAGUUGGUCAAAAACAAAGUACAAACUCCAAAAUUAGCCAGCGGUGUAUAUGUGUGUGUGUGUGAGAGAGAGAGAGAAAGAGAGAGAGAGAGUGUGUGUGUGUGUGUGUGAGAGAGAGAGAGAGAGAGAAAGAGAGAGAGAGUGUGUGUGUGUGUGUGUGUGUGUGUGUGUGUGUGUGUGUGUGUGUUGGGGAGAAGGAGAAGAGACAAAGAAAGUUUGUAUUUUUUUAACUUUCAAAGAAGACAAUUCCUAGAAAUUCCUGAAGUGUUUUGAGCAACAUCAACAUUGUCGUUGGAAUAUUUCCUUUUUACCCCCAAGUGGACUUAUUUGAAGGAAGAGAAAAUGCUCUUCCAAGAACACUAGAGAGCCUGACCCUGGGGUAAGCACCCACUCUAGAAUAGCCCCAGGGCAGGAGUGGCAAAUAGGCUUCAUCUUGCCUGAAAAUUCUCAGUGCCUCACUCUCUCUCUUCAAGCUUUACACCAGGAAGAUUUAUGAGAACAGCGGGCAAAUCCACAGGUAGGAGAUCUAGCUUCCAUUAGUCAUGUCUGCCACAUGUGCCGAUGUGAGGUUUUGUGAACGUGCACUACACAUUCAUCACAUCUGCUUUAAGCUCCACAGUAUUCCUCCACACGUGCUCCAAUUUUCCCAUUUCUUUUCCUUUGUUAUCCUGAAAUCCCUAUGUAUUAAAAUUUCUUUGGAAAAGCAGUAUCUUAAGCUCAUGUUGCACUGCAAGUCCUGGAAUGAUUUAUCAAUUCAUCUGAAGUAGUCAAUCUUAUUGCCAUCCUUCUCAUACCAGCCUAAAGUCAGCUCCUGUGACAGAAUUUAAGUUUUGAUAGGAGAGUUGGACAGAAAGGAAGAAAAGUGGCCAUGGCUAGUUUGGGGAUGUGCAAUGUUGUGUGGGAUGGUAGAAAUGAGUGGGAAAACUUGGGCAAAAUGAAGGCAUUUGUGUCCUAGAUUGAGUAACUGGGGCAAAUGAAGAAAGGGUCACCAAGACAGUUGAGUGCUAUGAGCACUUUUCUUCUUUUAUGUAUGUAUUUUAAGUUCAGGGGUACAAGUGCAGGUUUGUAGGCUUGUUACAUAGGUAAACUCGUGUCAUGGGGGUUUGUUGUACAGAUUAUUUCAUCGCCCAGGUAUUAAGCUUAAUAUCCAUUAGUUAUUUUUCUUGAUCCUCUCCCUCCUCCCACCCUCCACCCUCCCAAAGGCCCAGUGUGUGUUGUUCUCCUCUAUGUGUCCAUGUGUUCUCAUCAUUUAGCUUCCACUUAUAAGGGAGAACAUGCAGUAUUUGGUUUUCUGUUCCUGUGUUACUUUGCUAAAGAUGAUGGCCUCCAGCUCCAUCCAUGUCCCUGCAAAGAACAUGAUUUCAUUCUUUUUUAUGGCUGAAGAGCACAUUUUUUCUAUUUCAUGAUUUGCUCAGAUUGUCUUUCAUUCUGGCCAAGGGAGCAGAGGCUCUUAUUUCUCUUGCUACUUUCUUUUAAACCUAAAGUCUUCCCACUCAUCUGGGCCUUAUAAAAGUUAAAUAGGUUUUGACAAAAAGUGUUGAACAACACAGGCCUUUGGUCAUUUUAAAAAAUCAGAGAGGGCCAGGAGAUAAAAAUGAUUUAGAAAUUGCUUGCUUCAAAUUAACUAACAUUUCUUUGUUUUUGGUUCACAUUCCAUGAUGCAAUAUUUUCUGAAUGAAUUAUAAACUGUUAUAUUAAUAAAAUUUUGAAUUAAGCAUGUUUGAAAAAGGCAAAGAGAUCUUUAUUGAAGUAUAUGUGCAUGAAAUGAGAUUCUGUAGAGCGAGGGUGUCUUAGGGUAGAGGAAUUUUUUAAAAUCUAUUUCAAAUGUUAGUUUCCUUCCAUUGAAAUCGAUUGUUGAGGAAUUAAAGCUCAAUUUUGGAGAAAAGCUGCUAUCGCUUGCGAGUGACAUCUGCCUAUUGACCCCACAUCUAGGCUUUAAGGAGCGGUGUCAUGUUACACUCACCUUCAUUUAUACAACAGGGAAAAAAAACUGAAUAGGACUAGAGAAGAGAUUGGCAUGAAGUGCUUGUUAUUACUAUCAUGAAACUCUUGUCAACCUCUUUCACCAUCUGCAAAAUAGAAGGUCGGGGAGAACUGGGCAAUAAUUAGCUUCCCUUUAUGUAGUUAAUGCUGAGUGUAAAAAAGACAUCCUAUUAAUUUCUUUCUCUCUGUAUGUAAUUUACAGUAAAUCCUCUUGGAUUCAUUUUUUAAUUAUGAGCCUUUCAGGAACAGUGAAAAUUUAUGUGUUAAGAUAUCUGUUUUGUUUGACAAGAAUCUAUAACCUUCCCCAACUAUUUCCUUCCUGACUUAAAAUGUAGAUUGUUACAUACACGAGGAUGAGGGGCAGACAAAGAACUGCUGUCCAGACUGACCCCCAUUUCACGGUGGCAAAGUGUUCUCCUUCCAAAAACUGGAACUUUGAAAACAGAUUGAUAAUAUUCUAUCAGUGUCAUAUUUGGGGAAACUGGAUAUUUAUUAAGUUUCACUUGUAUAUUAUUGUUUUUACAUAGUUUAUAGCACCCAACGAGAGUCCUGUAGAAUAAAUGGAAGUAAAGCUGAAUGAUGAUGAAUGGUCUGUUCCUCCCAUCUAUUGCAUUUAUAAAUUGCCAGCCUGGAUGCUUCAUUUGGGCUGUCUCUAUGUGGGAUAUUUACAGUAAACGAUCAGCAUCUGCUGGGAUAGUCCUUAGUAAGGUUAGGUGGCUGUUAGCUUAGAUUCAUCUCUGGGUUUGGCCAGUGACAGAAUUGGAUUUGAGUCAAGAACUGUAUUUGGGGAACUUUCCAGUGGAGUACAGAAGAAUGUUGGUGUUUUUGAGACUGGUAACGCAAAUAAAAAAGGAACGAACAAGAAAACAACAGAGGUAUCCAACAGAUGCAAUUUCGUUUCCCAUGGAGUGCUGUGCACUGCAGGUUGACUCCGUAUUUCCUUCCAUCGCUAUUUGUUCUUAGUGAAAAAGACCUCUUUGGGAUUUCUGAGCUUAGGAGUUUUUCCAGAUCAUUAGCCACUUAUACGGAGAGGACCUGCUGGGCAUUGUCUCUCCAGCUUUCAGCUUAGCCAUGCUAUCCCAGCAGAGUCGGAGAAGAAGGUGGGAGAAGGGAGUAGAAGUGAUGAUUGGAUGAAGUGACUGCUUAUGUAACCUGGACUAGAGGCAGCUCUCUGCAGGGGAGCUGGUGUGUGUUUUCUCAGAUCUCUAUUAUUCCCAUGAUAUUUCUAUCUAAAUCUGUUUACUUUGAUUCCACACAUGGUUUUGAGAGGCAGCAAGCCAUAGUAGAAAGAUGUGCUUAAUUUGAAACCAAAAAAAAGUUGGAUUUGAGUUCCAUUUUUCAAUCCAUUUCUGUCAGUGAGCUAUGUGACUUUCAGCAAGUCAUUCUACUACUUGGAGCUUCAGCUUCCUCUUCUUAUAAAUGGGCAUAAAAUAUUAUGUUGCAGGGUUUUCUCAAAGAUCAAGUGAAAUAAAAUAUUUAGAAGCUGUUCAUUAUCAGCAAAACACUGCACUAAUGGAGAAUGGUGGUUUUCCUAAUAAAAUGGGUGCUGUAGAGGUGAUGACUGCAUUAGAGAAACAUAUAUAGAAGGAAAGUUUUAGUUUAAUUGUUUGUAUAAGUCUGCUUGGACUUUUUAGGCAAAAUUUUUUAAUUUCUGUUUCAUCUGAUCAAAUGUCAAUUUUAUGAAUUAACCAGAUUCACAAUGAAGACUUUUGGAGCAUCUCUUUAGCAUAAAGUGAAGAAGCAGUUACCUCUGAGGGAAUUUAGGUCAUGACCUUGGUUAGGUCAAUAGGAUAAGUGACCCUAUAGCCUCCUUGGUGUCUCAUUAUAUAGCGUUGUGUCUCUAUCCCUGUUACAAGAUGAUAAUGCAUUGCGCUUCUAUUCUCUUUAGUAUAAGCUUCCAAAGGGCUCUAGACUCAGCAGUGAAAUUGUCGCCUGCCUUGCCCUGAAGUUUAUUCUUUAAUUUUAUCGACCAUGGGAAAUGGGAAUAUGCCACUUUGCAUGAAAACAGGGAAAGAAGAGAAGAAGGAAGAGAGGGAAAGAGGAGGAGGAAGGAGGAGGAGAAUAAGGAAAAUAAAAGAGCAAGAAGAAGAUGACAAUAGCCAUGACCAUCACCACCACCAAUAGAAGUAGUAGCAGUAGGAAAGCAAAACCUUUCUAGAUAGGCCUAGUAUCAAAAUGGUUUUAGACUCUCCUUGGGUACCAGAUAAAGUCACAAAGAGCUUGGUCGUAUACUCGGGGAUAGAGCCCCCACAAAAUGUUGCUAGAACCAAAGUCCUAAUGGAGGUACAGCCAGACUGUGGGGAGCUAAGUAGGUCUUGCCACCAAGUACACUGGAAACCUAAAACCAGAAAUAUAAACAGAAAUACUUCAUAGAUUUGGAUUCCCCAAAAUAUGAAGGAAAAGUGAAUUAUAAAUUUACUAUGCAAAUGAAAUGUACAAUAAUGCAAUCAUAAAAAUCAAGCUGACAAAGUGUGUGGAAAAUAGGUUAUGGCUGAUAGGAAAUUAUGAGAAGGAAAGGCCAAAUGGCUAUAUCUUUCUCAUUUAUGGUUCAUACAAGAGCCCUUAGACUGUUAGUUAAUGACAGUUAUGUUUCAGAAUCCUCAAUGCAUACAAAUAAGAAUUUUGAAAAACUAAGAUGAAGAGAAUUUAGCUCCUGAGCAUCAUUCAUUUUAUAUAUAUAUAAAUUGAGUUUUUAUUAUGUGUCAGGAAAAGUGCUGUGUGUUGAGGGUACUGUGACCAACCUUGGCUUGCAUAGCAUAAACAGGCUUGAGAGGCCACGACAAUUACAAAAACAAGAAAUUAGGUUUUCUACUCAUUAUGAGGUGAUGUAUAUACAACUCUUGCACAACUCCUGGCAUAUAGUGAGCUUUCAAUCAUGGAUAGAUUUUGAUAUUAUUGGUACUCAAAGAUUUUUCUUCAACUAACUCAUUUUAACUCAAAAACUUGUUAUAUUUUAUUUUCCUAAGCAAUGAAUAAACUUUAAUCAGGCCUCUGAAAUUUGAAAUGAAGCAAUAUAAAAUUCUAAGGAGCUGGGAUAUUACUGAUUUAAAGACAGCUGGGUGGCACAUAUACUGGGUUAUUGCAGUUAUCAAGCUAGCUGAAUAAGUUCUGAAUAGCAGAAGCUUUUUAGAUAUAUGAAUCUAAAAUGCAACAAGCAAGGCAAACUCUAAGUGCCAUCACGUGAAUGCUGGGGCUCACAGGACUUAAUGGCAAGCCUCCCUUAACACCAUCAGUUGGAUGAAUUAUCUCAUUGACCCACCGCUUACACUGCUCCUUGUCAUUACUCCUGGGGUAUUGUUCAGUGCAACAGGGCAAGAAAUAACUCAUUGACUCCCUGAAGCUAUAGAUGAUGGAUUUUAGAUCCCUAGCUGUAUUCAGAAGGCAUAGGAGCUCAGUGUAUUGAUGGGGGAAUUCAUUAGCCACCCACUCCACAGAAUCAGUUUCUUAGAUCCUGGUGCUGUCACUGCUGCUGUUGCAACUUGUUAGUGUUUCAGGGACAGACGUCAGAGGGAACUGUAUAACUACAUUAGCCUCACAGAUAGUACCGACAGCCAGACCUGUCAUUUCCUGGCCUGCGAUGACACCUCUGGAGCCUAGAAUCACUUAAAGAUAUUUAGAUAGGCCCUGUUGAUACGACCAAGCUAACCUUCAUCCUGAAAUCAAUUCAUACUCAGGAUGACAGGAAAUGAGUUGUCAUUAAGGCUCAUAUUCUAUUUUUGAGUCCUUAGUUAACCUCUUAUAAUUCAGUUUAUUUUUCCUCCUCCAUUUCUGUAAAAUGGCAGGUAAUUUAAUGACAUAGAUUAUUACUUCCUACAUUUACUCGGGAGCAUGUGUUUCAGAGACCAUCUUACAUUGAUACCAUUACUAUCACUUUCCGCUAAUAUUGAUUGACAAAAUACCAGGUACCAGACACUGUGCAAGAACUUUGUUUACACUGUCUUAUAAUGAGCUCAUGACCACUCAGUGAGGUAGUCACUAUUAAUAUCCUCAUUUUAUAAUUGGGGCAACUAAAGUUUGAAGAAGCUAAAGCAUUUUCCCAAGAUAGCACUACUAAUAAACAGCUGAAUGGGCUUUCAAAUGCAAUUCUGACCCUUAAUUACUAUUACACCCCUAAUGAAAGUUUUAGAGUAGAAAGCAUAGUGGUAAUAAUUUUAACUCAAUUCAUACUUAUGAAACAGCAAUUUACUUGGGAUUGUUGGAGAUGUGAAGAAAGUUAAUAUCUAGCCGGGGGGUAGAGGGGAAUGAAAAUCAUAUGUACGAAUCUUUUUAAAAACAGAAUCAGCUAUAUACCAAAGAAGGUAAAAAUACUGCUGGUUGCUGAGAUUUUUUUUUUUAAUGUACAUAGAUGGGAUGGGACAGAUUUUGACUAGUGGAAUCUGAAGAAAGAGCAUACCUGAUGAAGAUACCAGCAUGAGUGUCAUAUCAAAGGAAAUACAGGAUGUGUUCUCAAAUUCAUGAAUUCAAUUGGACCGUAAUGAAUGGCAUAAGAAAAGAGGCAGGUAAUAUGGAUUAGCACAAAGAACAUAUGAUUUAGGGGCAAUUGGUCUCUGAUUCAAGGUCUAGUUCUGCCUCCAACUAGUUCUGUAGCCUCGGAUGAAUUAUUUGACUACUCCGUAAAAUGCAGAUGGCAAUAAUGCCAAUUUGUAGCUCUGUGAAUAUUUAUAACCUAUGGAAAAAUGCCCAGUGAAUUAUCUGGUACAUAGUGGAUGUUCCAUUAAUGAUAGCCAUGUUCUUGUGUUUUCUUCCCAGGUACUUUAGGGACAUAGUGUAGAAGAUUUGAGUUUUAUACCAAUGAUCGAUUGUUUCUGAAAGCAAAAGGAAGACAUUUAAAGAUUUUUUUAGAAGAAGAUGAAAUGCCCAGCACUUAAUUUUUAGGGAGAUUAUUUUGGCUCUGUUAAAAGAAUGUUGUUCAGUGGGUUCAAGGAAAACAGCAGGGUCUUGAGUAAGUGUUUCUAGAGAAACGUCUUUAAAGACUUAUUCUAUGAUGAUGCAUAUAGGAAGGUAAUGAGGAUAAAACCAAAGAACAGUUCAGAGAUUGAAUCGGCAGGUGUUGUCAGCAGGUUGGAUUAAAAAGGAGAGAACUGAGAAAUGUCUAGAUUGGGAAGGUUGUGAUUUCAUUACCAAAAACAAAACAGGGGACAGAUAAGUAAAACAGAUAAGAGUUUGACUUUAGUGAUGCAAAACAUAAGGCAUCCAAGAGCCAGGCUAUUGAAAUUUCCAAUUGGAAAUACAUGAUGAACUCAGAGGAGAGAUAAGGGCUAGAGGUGGGGGCCUAGAGAAUUCACAGCUUGGCAGUGACAGUGGAAGGUUUAAGGAGUGCUAAUGUCUCAAGGGAGAUGAAUAGGAACUUGGGAAAUAUAUACAUAUUUUUAUAUAUUUAAAUAUAUAUUAUUUUAUAUAUUUAUACAAAUAUAUAUAAUGUAUAUUAAAUAUAUACAUAUACAAGAUAAAGGAGGAAAGGAAGAGAACUAAAAAGGAAAGGCUAGAGGGUAGGGGAUAACCUAGAUAGUGAAGUUUUACAGAAAUCAAAACAAAUGAGAGACUUCCAAACACAAGUUGUUCCAGAGCUGUUUUUUCUAUACCUGUUAGGCCUCUUUCAUCUGAAAUCAGUUUACAGAGAUGUCUUCUUCAUCUUUAUUGGUAUUUAUUAUGGUGUAAUCUUUGCCACUUCAGUCCUCUUACCAGUAUUCUGCAUUUCUUCUCUGUCACGGGCAUCAUUAACUUUGAGCCAGAGGACCCAGCAUCUACUCCUAGAGAGCUGCCACCAAUUAGCAGUUACCCUAUGUAAAUGGUAGAGGUGUAGCUACUAUUCUGCCACCCUCGUAAUAUUGUGGGAAAAAUCCAAUGACAGAAUGCAAGUGAGCAUGCCGUGUCAUCAUUGAAAAGUCCUACAAAAUAAAUAAAGUCGUUUUUAUAUCAAUAUUGGUAUACCUACCACUCAGCACAGCUCUUGGUACCUAAGGAGAUGGUGAUUGGAGACCUGGAAAUGAAGACCAAAGAGAUGCUGAGAUGGUUGUAGUUUCCAAUAGGAAGAUUAGCAACCAGGCAAGUGGCAGAUCAGAGCCCAAAUGUGAGUGGCUCAACUGCUGGACCCUGUAAGCUGUUGUGGUUCUCAAAUGAUGUCCUUAUCUUGUUCAUCUCUCAGCUCUUGGCACCUCACCUUUUGGAGCUUCAGUUUGGAAAGGGCAAUUCGGAUUUAAAUCAUACUGCAGUUUCCUAAAUAGAACAAAUCCCCUGAUCCUAGUGAUCAUGUGCAAUGAGGCAUGGAAUCUGAUUACCCUUAUCAUUAUCUUAGCUUGGAUAGCUACAAACGUUACUAAAUGGUUAUGAAAUUAUCUAGCCCUUUAUUAAGUGCAAAAGGUAGUACUUAGGUUACUAAACUUUUUUGAAAAUAAUUCCGCUGGCUGACUUUUCAUGGCUAAAAACCCAUAUUCUUAUCUGUGGAGUGUAUCUUUUUGUAAUCACAUCUGUGUUUGCUGUUUUUUUAAUUGUCCAGGCAGUAUGUUAGCCAUUUUGUGUCUAUCAGCCCAUUUGGUCCUGACAACACUGUUAAACUAGUGGCAUUACCUCUAUUUUAUGAAGUAAAAAAUUAAGCCUAAGAGGAUUAAGUAACCAUUUGUUAAAGGUGUUAAGGAAAGAAAAGAGGACUUAGACUUAAUCAUUGAUAUGUUUGUUUUCAGUGUCAUAGAUAUAGAUAUAUACUGCUUUUCAUAAUUUUCUAUUCAAUAUAAUAUAAUAUAUAUGUAAUAUAUGUUGGAUGUGUUGAAUUUAGCAGGACCUGUAAUAUUUAUUUAAAUCCACAGUUAAGAAUGAUAAACAGGACUAGAGAAUGGAACACAGAAUUUUGGCUAAAGCAGCAUACAUAACUUAAAAUAAGUCACUUUCUUUUUGGAUUCAAAGAAACUCAUUUUACAUUACAUUUUUUGCUUCCCAGUAUUUGUUUUUCUCAAUGACGUUAAGGCACCUAAUUACCCCCAAGCCACUUUCUUAAAUACUCCUAUGCAAAAUGAAAAGAUUGGCCUGGAGACUAAUCUGAGGUUUUGAAUGCAGUGCGGUAGAAUAAGUGUUUUAGAGGUAACUUUAGUUCCCAAAUCUCAAUAAAAACACUUCCAAAUUUAGUGUAUCAAAGAAAAGAUUAUUGGAUAAUGCAUUCUCAUCUUUCGGUGUAUGAUAAAUGCCAUAUCAGAAGUCCUCAAAUACUCUUGAUUAAAAACGCUAAAUGAUCUCAAAUAACACAAAAACCCAUUUAUUCCUACUGGAGUCAGUAUUUAAUUUUCUAUAUUUGUAAUUUAAAUCCAGAUGUGGGUGUCUUCACAGCGACCAUGGCCUGUCAUCCCUUGGUCUGUUAGCUUCUAAUGUCUAGCAGCAGAGUAUAGUAAAUACUUGAAAGGUAGACCUUCACACUGAAAAUCACAUUUAUUGAAGUGGGAGCAGAUUCCAUUUAAAUUGUCCCUUACCUGAUGCCUAAUUCCUAAGGUUAACAGGUUUUCAUGUUUGCUACUUAUAUCAGCAGUACUGGAGCUGGUUUUUUUGCAUGGCUAAACAGCAAAGCUUAAAUUCAAUACUAGAGCGUGAAAGAGGAAAAUGAGUUUUGGUGUGACGUGUGAAUGACGUGGUUUUCCUAAAUACCAUGAAUGCACAAUGAAUGAUCCACAAAGCACAGCCGCCUCUUAAAAGAAGACAAAAAUCUCCCUGAGGUUUAGUUGAGAAAAGAUACAGGAGCAUAUAGCAAAAACUACAACAUGAUACACUUACGUAAGAUGCAGGUGGGAAGAAUAGAAUUUCCAAAUUAAAAUUAGCCAGGCCAGCAGAAAUGAGUAACCUAAUGUUAUGGCUUGGAUCCGUGUCCCCAUCCAAAUGUCCUGUUCAAUUGUAAUCCCCAGUAUUGGAGGUGGGCCUUGGAGGGAGGUGGUUGGAUCAUGGGAGUGGUUUUUAAUGGUUUAGCACCGUCCCCCUAGUGCUGUCCUUGUGAUAGAGUUCUCAUAAGAUCUGGUUGUGUAAAAGUGUGUAGCACCUUCCCCUCUCUCUUCCUCUUGCUCCAGACAUGUAAGAUGUGCUAGCUUCCCCUUUGCCUCCUGCCAUGAUUGUAAGUUUCCUGAGGCCUCCCCAGCCAUGCUUCCUAUAUACCCUAUGGAACCAUGAGCCAAUUAAACCCCUUUUCUUAUAAAUUACCCACUCUCAGGUAUUUCUUUAUAUCAAUGCCAGAAAGGACUAAUACACUUACUUUCGUGAAAACAACUUUUCUCUUAACCACCUCCUACUGUCUGUCAAGUGUAGUUCUAAGUGCUUGGGAUCCAAGAGUGAAAAGGAUAGACAAACUCCCUGUCCUCAUGGUACUUACAUUCUAGUGGGGGAGUCCUUAAUGGGCACAAGCAAUCAGAACUUCAAUUUGCAGAAUUUUGUGAAAAUGUGCUAUCAUAUAUAUUUUAUUAAUUAACUAGUUAACAGGCAGGGAGGAUCUCCUUCAAACUUUUGUUUUCAUCUUUGUAUUUUUCUUUCUUUGCCAAAUUUCCACUUUAAUCUCUUUCAUUCUAAUAUGCUCACGAGUCACUUAAUGAGGAGGAUAUGUUCUGGGAAAUGCCCUGCCAGGCAAUCUUAUUGUUGUGUGAACAUCAUAGAGUGUACUUACACAAACCUAGAUGUUAUAGCCUACUACACUCCUAGCUAUAUGGUAUAGCCUAUUGCAUCCAGGCUAUAAACCUGCACAGCGUGUUCCUGUGACGAAUACUGUAGGCAAUUGUAAUGCAGUGGUAUGUGUGUAGCUAAACAUGUCUAAAUAAAAAAGCACAGUAAAAAUGCAGUAUUGUAAUUUUAUGGGAAUGUAACAACCCAGUGGGUUCUGUUUGUCCACUGCCCAGAUGGAGCCAAUUUAUCAAGACAGGUGAAUUGCAGUAGAGAAAGAGUUUAAUACAUGUAGAGCUGGCUAAAUGGGAGACCAAAGUUUGAUUAUCACUCAAAUCAGUCUCCUUGAAAAUUUGGAGGCUAGGGUUUUUCCAAGACAGCUCGGCAGGUAGGGGUCUGGGGGAUGGGUGCUGCUGAUUGGUUAGGGAUGCAAUUAUGGGAUCUGGAAAAUGGUCCUUAUGCACUGAGUCUGCUUCUGGGUGGGGGCCACAGGACUGGUUGAGUCAAGAGUUGUGGGCCCAGGUGGGGGACAUCUGAUUGUCAGAAGUGCAAAAGCCUGAAAUGACAUCUCAAAAAGGCCAAUCUUAGCUGCUACAAUUAGGGAUGUUCAUUAUAGGAGUAAGUGGGAAAGUUGCAAAUCUUGUGACCUCCGGAAUAAUGGUUGGUAAUUAUUUAACUCUGCCUGCAUCUUAGCAUAAUUCAGGUGUCUCUCAUCCUCUUAACCUGGUGGCUUUCAUUAGUUUUACAAAGCAGUUUAGUUUUUGUGAAUGGUUAUUAUCAUUUAAACUCUAAACUAAAUUUCUCCCAAAGUUAGCUUGGCCCAUGCCCAGGAAUGACCAAGGUCAAAGAAGUUUGGAGGUUAGGGCAAGAUGGAAUUGGUUAGAUCAGGUCUCUUUCACUGUCAUAAUUUUCUCACUGUUAUAUAUUUUGCAACAGCAGUUUCAGGACCACCUUCACAUACUCAGUCUAUCAUUAACCAAAAUGUCACUGUGUUGCUCAUGACUGUAAUCAAAAAAGCACAGAGAGCUCUCUCGCUAUCUGGUUCUAUUUCUACCACCCUGACAACCACUAUAGUUUGUUUUCAACACCAAAAGAAAAUAACAAAAAAAUAGCAUCUUCACCCUCGAUUCUAGUUUCUUUUUUCUUGAAAUGACUAUGGCCAUUUCUAUUAUUUCAUUUUGAAAUUGUGCAGAAUUCCUUCUGAACAUCCAUCUACAUUUCACAGACAACAAAUUGCUAAAAACACCUAAACACCACUAACCUGGGGGGGAGAAAAAAAAACAACCAAAAACAACCAAACAAACCAAAGAAAACAAAUCAACCAAAUGAAAACCCACCCUCUCUGGUGGAAAGACUGCACCAUUUUUGGUAAAGACUUUGCAAUCCUGCCUAGACUGGAUGACUGCCUAUUGCCCUAACACUUUCCUUCCUACCCCCAGUUAUUUACAAGAUCACCCCUUAUGGUAACAGUAUUAGUACAAAUGAGGUUUUUCCCUUUACUUAACUGAAUGCUAGAAGAAACAGAAUGGAACCACAUGUUCCCUUUGAUUCACACCCAAACACUGCAAAACACAGAGUAUUCGCUUCCUUUUUCAAGCUGUGUGUGCACAUUAAACACAUGCAAACAUUGGACUGAAACAGACACAGUAAGUCAGCUCUAGGGGAAAACUAUAGAAGUCUUUUUAUUUUGUUUCUCUAAAUCUCAAUCUUUUAUUUAAGCUAGGUCUUUGCAGAGAUUCAAAGAAUGAUAUUUUGUAAUGGUUCUCCAAAGAGCAGUUAGAUGUGUCUCAUCCAAAUUUGUGUAUUUACCUUAUCAUCACAGAUACUGUUCUGGAACUGGGAACUUAGCAUUAGCUCUCUUCUUAGAAAUGACUAUUAAUUUUUGAUAAAAAGAAUAAAAAACACCACAUUACAUAAUGGAUAUAAGAGAACAUAGACGGCAUGAUAGGAAUAUUCUGCCUGUGUUUCCAUGAAUUGCUUCUUUGUUAAAAAGUGUUUGGUAUAAAUUAGGCCAGUGGUGUCCCAGCACUUUGGGAGGCCAAGGCAGGAGGAUUGCUUGAGGUGAGGUGUUUGGUAUAAACAGUAUAUUAACAAAGAAUUCUCCUAUGGUAUAAACCCUAACUCUAGCAGGAAGAUCAAAUUUCUCUUUGAGGCAUGCAGUCUGAGCUCCAGUGACUCUCUGCAAGAGAAAAGCUGAUAUUGUCACAUUGUGAGUCAUAGUGACUCCCAAGGAUGUAUUUGUGUGGAUGUGGUUGGUCAGAAGGCUUUGUGUGCACUGUGACAUCUUUAUGCUGCAGAUGCCAAGAUCACAGGGUCCACACAGAGCAGUUCAUUUCACACAGUGGGAAAUGAUGCGUGUGUGUGUGUGGGUGGGUGUGUGUGUGUGUUUUAAAAAACCUAAACAGAGCAACACUGUUCUGUGCACUCAAACUCUACAGCUAACCGCCAAGGGCCAUCUUAUAAAUUUGGACAUUGAAUUGCUAAAAUUUGAAAACACAGCCACUCCUAUUCACACUCUACCAUCUGGAAAUAAACCCUAAGUCACUGUGGGUGUCCAUAUGGAAGUCACUGUUCUGCUUCCUUUUAUCUUCAUGGUAGUUCAAGGUUCGAUUUCCUCCUAGGGAGACUUUCUGUUGUUCCCAUUGAGCCAGCUCUGCUGUCCCCACUGGUCACGAACCGGAUCAGUACAUGGAGAUUCCUGAGCAUAUGCAGGGCAGCGGCAUGAGAGCAUCUAAAAUAGAGUCAUUCCCAUUGCCCCAGCACAUCCUUCCUUCCUACAUUCCUGGGAGAAAAGAGCAGAAACAAAGGCUUUUCUUUCUUCUCUCUUUUGGAUGUUUGGUGAUUUGCAUACAGAAGUUAACUCACUUCAUCUACUGGAUUCCAAUCAUUCCCUUCCUGGUUCCUGAUCUUAGAGUACAGGGUGCUUCUUGCCUUCCCCUUGUCAAUAUAAGGGCUUUAGAAAACGUGCCCAGCUGGUAUUCUUUAAACCUCCUCCAACGCACAAAUAUAUUUUUAAAUGCAGAUAUUUCAUAUACAAGUUGAUAUUUCUAGUUUCUUUUUGAAAAUCGGAAGGUUUAACUCUACUGGGCCAGUGUUAUUCAUAGCAUUGGUCAACUGGAGCUGAGGAGCCAUUGCCAUUUUUAUGGAUAUUCUUUUAAGCCCCCCAAUCUCCACCACUCCCUGUCACCUCACUCAGCUUCAUCCAUCUGCCUGACCCCUGGAGACAUUUGAUUUUGUGCUUCCUCUCACACAGAACUUGUGUUCACAAUUUGGGGUCAUACCUUCACAUAUUAUAUGUAAACAGCACUCUGGAACGUUUUCAAAGUCACAGCUAUUUUAGGUAUUUAGUUUAGAAGAGGUUAGAAGUUGACUUUUACAUUAGUAUCUUAAAGGAAUAUAUUUGCCUGCUCAGAAACAUCUGGGGCCCACAUAUUCAGAUCUUUCGUACAUAUAAUUUGCUAUAUAGCAUAACACAUUGAAUGAUUUUGACUCAGUAGCUCGACUUAUUUUUUGUGUUCUUUUAAAAUCUUUCAUAUUAAGCAUAGAAUUGUAAUUUAUUGAUGAAUAUUUUAUUUUCUGAGAAAAGUUGGUUAUUAUUCUUAAAAUACAUUACCUAUAAUGUUCAUGUUUCCUAUGUUUUAAUAUAUAAUAUUACAAUAUUGAUGUGUCGUGAUUUUUUUUGGUUGUUCUCUAAUUAGGGGUCUUUAUAUGAAUCUCUGAUUACUUAGCAGUUCUCUGAAGGGGGCAGUCUUUCAGAGAUGCAUUUAAGAGCUCUGAAUUCUGUUAAGAAUAUUAAGGAACACAAUUUUUAAUCUUUACUUUUUACUCCAGGGCUUUGGGCUGUCUGUAUCAAAAUGCUUCAGAUACUUCCUCUAGGGAUUGCUUUGCCUGUUCCAUCCUUAAGAGAGUAAAGAAUUUCUUCUCCCCACCACCCCCCAACUCCUGACAAUUUCAGCUAAAUUUUUUUCUUCCAUUGCUUUAGGCCAUUGCUUCAAGUUAUAUCACCUUCUGAGACUAUGAAUAAUUCUUUCCCUUCAAUUAUAUUGUUACCUUGAAGGUAUUUAUAGGCUGUGAUCAAGGCCCCUGGAGUCACUGCUUUGGCAGACUUUAUAAAUUUAGCUCUUACCACUUCUCCUCACAUUUUUUAUCUUCCAGCCUUUGUAGCACUCCUUUUGUGUGUGUGCGUGCCUAUCUGUGUAGCUUCUCUGAUAUUUUAAUAUCCUUCCUAAACUAGGGAGGUCAGAAUAGCACAUCAUAUUCCAGGUAUUACUGUGAGUAUCAGAUUUUAGAGAGUGAAAUCAAGGGAGAGGAUUACCUUGAAAUUGAACUUAAUCUAUUUUGUGACUCAGAAAAAUAGACAAAAUGGUAGAAAAAGCUAACGGGGCACUGUCAACAUGUUUUCAUAUAUUUUAACGUACUGUUAGAGCAAUCCUGGAAGCUUAAGGGGGAAAUGAUGAUUUUUCUUAGAGAGAAUUCUGGCUUCCAUUAGAUGCUUGAACGUGUCCUUUAGAGUAAGAUUUUCUUUACAAAUCCAGGCUUCAAAUAUGGCUAUGUAAUAAGAUGGGUUUUUUCCAUAGUACAUGAGCUCUUAAAUCUGUAUUAUUGUUAUUAUUAUUAUUAUUAAUAUUAUCAGACCUGUCUUUGUGGCUUAAAAUUAAGAAACAUCAUUAAACAUUUAAUUUUACAAUGAAGAAAACAAAUUGCUACGUAAACCAUCUUGCUACUAGCUUUAAGCUCUAGUCCAGGUCAUUCUGCAUUUUGUCAAUAUAGUAAAUUGAGUAACAGCCUCUGAGGGCCCUGCAAAGAGCCAAGGCCCAAUUUAACUCCCUAGUGCCAGGGUCUCCAAAUGUUUUUGGUUGUCUAUACAUACUAGAAAAAAAUUAACUCUGCACCAAUUAAAAAUAUGUAUAUAUGUAUGUAGAAUACACACAUUGCUUAUAUUAUCACACAUACAGAAACAUCAGGCAUUUUAAAAGAUAAGAUUAGAUACAUAUAUAUCCCAGUAUUAUUCCCUGAAGUUCCCAUGAACCAACCUUGGCACCCCUGUGGAUGCCCACCCCAACUUGGAGACCACUGCUGUGGUGGGAAAACCAUGGUGACAAACGGAGCCACCACCCUCAGCAGUUCCCAGGAGGAACCCCAGUAUCAAUGGUUAUGUACUGCAGAGCCUAUAAGCGAAUAUUUAGUUCAGACACUCAUUUUAGAUAUGAAGAUAUGGAGGUGCAGUGACUUACCUACCUAUGGUUACAGAGUUGGAUGAUGAGAAAGCUGGGUGUAAAAUGCCAGCCUUCUAAUUUAUCAGAUUUCAACACAUGCAGAAAAUACAUAGUGUUCUGUUUUAGCUGGAAUCUCAGGAAAAUGGGGACUGAGGUCCUGAAUGAAUGAUGAAGAAGGAGAGGGUGAAUCAAUUUCCAAUCGGUGGUCUUAAAGGUGAAAUAUUGUUAGCCUAAGUAAUCUCUACUCUUUUGUGUCCCUUCUAUUAAACUCUCUUUACAGGUUCUCUCUCUCUCUCUCUCUCUCUCUCUCUCUCUCUCUCUCUCUCUCUCCCACACACACACACCCCAAGAUAAAAUCCAAAGCUUCUGAUUCAAUAGCCAACCUCUUCAGCAAGAAGAGCAAAGGUUCUGCAGCCAGAUUGCCUGGGUUCAAAUCCUGAUCCUAUCACUGAAUAGCAGACUUUAGGCAAAUUAUUUAUCUAUGACUCAGUUUCCUCAUCCGUUGAAAUUGGGGAUAAAAAAGUUCCAUAGGGGUUGAUGUGAGCAUUAAAUGACACCUGUAAAGCACUCGGCUCACUGCCUGAUCCCACGCUAAUGGCCCUUUAUAUGUUAGCUAUUUUUAUUAUUUUAUUCUAAUUCUUCCUAAAAGCUUAAAGCACAGUCCUUCAUAUCACUGCAUCGCAUUUCAUUUUGUAACAUGUUCUUGUGCUACAUGUUUCACCAUGUGCUACAUGGUGAAAGGCAUUUUCCUACCCGCUUUACAAAAACAGACACCGAGGCCCAUGUUUAGGGCCAAAAUCAGUGCUGAAUGCCAGGACAGACUCCCAAUUCAGUGUCUCGUAUCAAACUGCAUUUCCUUUCAAGAUGAAAAUUGUUACUCAAAACCCUAUGCAGCUGGGCGGGAACACAGAUUCCAUGGUUUCCUUUUUCUUCCUGUUUCCCCAAAGCAAAGCAUCUCCUCUCUUUGCAUGGGGGAUCUAUCCCUCCAGAAGUCUACCCAGCCUGAGGAUAAUGGCAGCUGCAGGGUUACAGGGGUAACUGUCCAUCUGUCUGAAUUCUCAGUUGUGUGAGAGCCUGUGUUACAACCUUAGUAGCUUCUGCACCUCACUAGCUUUUCCCACUCCCUUGGAGUGCUUCCAUUUUCUCCAGCUUUCGGUAUCAGGGAGUGUUAUUAAAUGAUAAGGAGCUGGCUGGCUGGUUGUGUAUUGUGAGAGGCUGAGAAACAAUGAGUGUUACAACACAUUAGAUUGCAUGUUAGCUCUGAUUUUGGGAACUUUGUAUCACAGAGCUCAUCAUGCAACAGGACUGCAUCUGGGAUACUGCCUCCCUUCCCCAGAGGGUUAUUAAUGGGCCUUCAUACCUGGGAGGACAGAUUACAGGAGAGAUGUGAUAAUUAGAGAUACUUCACUGAUCAUAAGCAGGCCCCCGAGCACCAAGGGCUAGCAGCUGUGUUACACAUAUGAGGCAAGCUCCAUGCUCCAGAGACAAAAGUGAAGUAGAAUUUGCUGCAGUGACCUUACCUAAAAGAGGUCAUCUCAAAAAUGGUCACCCAUGGACAUUGAUUGGCAAUUGGUUUGAAUAGAGAAAGAGUGUUCUGAGCUGAGGAUCAGAAGACCUGAGUUUCAUUUCUAGUUCUGCCAUCAUAGAGCUAUAGGGUCUUGAUGAAGAGUCACUUAACUUGUGACAGUUUUUUUAUAUAAGAAAAAUGGGAGCUACAUAUGUCUUACUUAUCACAAGAGAUUGCAACUCAAAUACUUCUUCUUCCAAGGUAGUAGGGUGGCAACAAGAGUGUGUGUGUGUUCUGACGAUAAAGGAAAUAUAAGAAUAUUUUGAAGCAAAAGAAGGAGCCAGUACAAAGGCAGAAAUUGACAACGCAUGGGAGCAGAAGUGGAUAAAAUUAACCAAGCUGGGGCAGAAGAAGGCAGGGAAGGGUGAGAGAAAAACAGUAGACGGCUUAAUGUCAUCACCACCACAACAAAUGAUGGUGAUAACUUGAUGCUGGUGAUGAUUUGGAGCUCUUCCUAUGGAGUAAGAAAGAAUGCAAGAAUUGGGUCAUUGACCAGAAACUCUGAGGAGGAAAUUAAAGAAAAUUCAUAUCUAGGUGUCUUAAACUUCUCAGUAAAGAAAGUUUUAAGCUCAUCAAUCAACAGGGGCAGGGGUAGAUUUAGGGACUUGAAGAAAGUAUAAGAUUUUUAGAAUGAUCUCUUUGGGGGAUCCCAAAAUAAGUCAACAAGGCAUCUUUUCAAUGUUGUCUUGAUCUCGGAGUCAGAACAACUUGGGUUUCAACCUAGCUCUAUCUUUUUUCCUCCUAGAGCACCCUUAAGCAGAUAGAUGCCCAUACCUUACCCAUCAGUACUUUAGGGUUAUAAUCUAUAUCUUGCAGGCAUGUUAUGAAAAUUAAAUAUGAUCACAUAUGCAGUGUGCAUAACAUCAUGUUUGGCACAUAGUAGCCUGUCAUUAUUUUGGAAAAGUGACCAUAAUGAAAGAGAAUGCAUCAAAUAUAUAGGAUUGUUAAAUAACAAUGUCCAAUUUAGAAGCUGAGUUGUGUUGGCCUAUCUGCUUGCACCAAGAUUAAAUAAUAUUCUUUACAGGUGUCUACACCUUUUUCUCUCCAAGGCAUGUCUUCAGCCUCAGUGCUUUCAUGGCUCAUAUUUUCUCCUCUCAUGCUUUCCUACCUGCUCAUAUGAUGAACCACAUAGAGGAGGUGAUUCUCCGAGGAUUUAUAAUGUGUUUCCUGUGCUCCUGAAUUGGUGCCAAUGGCACACCAAUCCAGUCGGGUGGGCCUCAAGGCACACCUUGCUCCUGACUGAGAAGGAAAAAAUCUUUGUGGAGUUUGCACAGGUAUACCAAGUAAUUGAGCAUUUGCAUUAGUAUGGAACCACCUACUACAGACACCGGGCUCGUUUCACUCAAAGGAUAGCCUAGAAUAAGCAUGAAGGACCUCCUUUCAGAAUCUUGUUUAUGUAAAGCCCUUCUUGGAUUUCCUCUUUAUUAUAUUUUACAUAAUUGAUCACAAAUGUGAACAUCUAUGGAAAUGAGUUGGAGUAUAGGCGAUAAUUAACCUGGAAGGGAAGAAAACCCUUCACCAGAAGCAAAUAGAUACCCCUGCAAAUAUCUGGUAAUUUCGGCCGGGCGUGGUGGCUCACACCUGUAGUCCCAGCACUUUGGGAGGCUGAGAUGGGCGGAUCACGAGCUCAGGAGAUCAAGACCAUCCUGGCUAACACGUUGAAACUCCACCUCUACUAAAAAUACAAAAAAUUAGCCGGGCAUGGUGGCAGGCACCUGUAGUCCCAGCUACUCGGGAGGCUGAGGCAGGAGAAUGGCGUGAACCUGGGAGGCAGAGCUUGCAGUGAGCCGAGAUCACGCCACUGCACUCCAGCGUGGGGGACAGAGCAAUACUCCAUCUCAAAAAAAAAAAAAAAAAAAAAAUCUGGUAAUUUCUCUUUCAUUAGAAAGCUCCAAGUGAGGUACAAACUCAAUUCAAAUAUUCUAUGAGAAUAAAAACAGGCUUAUACCCAAAGAUAGGCAAUAACAAAUGCUGGUGAUAACAUGGAGAAAAGGGAACCACUGAACACUGUUGGUUGGAAUGUAAAUUAGUACAAUCACUAUAGAGAACAGUUUGGAGGUUCCUCAAAAACUAAAAAAUUGAGCUACCAUAUGAUCUAUCAAUCCCACUGCUGGGUAAAUACCCAAAAGAAAGAAAAUCAGUAUAUCAAAGAGAUAUCUGCAGUCCUAUGUUUGUUGCAGCACUUUUCACAAUAGCUAAUGAAUGGAAGCAACCUAAGUGUCCAUUAACAGAUGAAUGGAUAGAAAAAAUGUGGUACAUAUACACAAUGGAGUACUAUUCAGUCAUAAAAAAAGAAUAAGAUCCAGUCAUUUGCAAUCAUAUGGCUGGAACUAGAGAACAUUAUGUUAAGUGAAAUAAGCCAAGCACAGAGAGACAAAUAUCAUACGUUCUUACAUAUUUGUGGGAUCUGAAAAUCAAAACAAUUGAACUCAUGGGCAUAGAGAAUAGAAGGAUGGUUACCAGAGGCUGGGAAGGGAAGUGGGGGUUGGGGGAGGUGGGGGUGGUUAAUGAGUAUUAAAAAAAAAAUAGAAGGAAUGAAUAAAACUUAUCUGGUAGCACAACAGGGUGACUGUAGUCGAUAAUAACUCAUCUGUACAUUUUAAAGUAAAGAGUAUAAUUGGAUUGUUUGCAACUCAAUGGAUAAAUGUUUGAGGGGAUGGAUACUGCAUUCUUCAUGAUGUGAUUAUUGCACAUUGCAUGCCUGUAUCAAAACAUCUCACAUACUUCAUAAAUAUAUACACCUACUAUGUACCCACAAAUUUAAAAAAAAUGAAUAAAAACAUCCUUCAAACGAAGUGGCUAUUUUGUUGCAAAAAAUAACUAUUACUUCUCAAGCACUGACUGAGUGCCAGGGUGUAUAUGUAUGUGAGUAUGUGCGUGUGUGUGUUUUGUUCUGUUUUUUCUCUUGUAAAUCCGUCAAAGAUUGCAAAGGUAGGAACUAUUAUCCUGAUUUUUCAAGUCAGAAUCCAAAAUUUAGUGAGGUUAAGUGACUUGCCACCAUGCUUGCUGCUCACAAGUAGCUGAGGCAAAAUUUGAAUCCAUUUUGCCUGGAGCCCAAGCCCAGGUUCUUUCUCCUAACUGGGAUGUCCUGAUGCCUACACAAUCUGCUCAGUGAAUUACUCAGCCUCCAUGUUUUUCUAUUCUAUGGCACCCCUACGUCAUACUAGCCACUAGAGUGAAAAGUGAUAAGAUGAAACCAAGAGAUUGUCUUAUCAGCUUCUCCAUUCACAUGUCUUAAAUGAUUUCUACCUUUACUAACAAGAGAAAAAUCCAGGUACAUUCUGGGGAAACCAUUAGUGCUUAGUUGGUAAAAUCUUGAGACUUUUAUCUUACUAGUAGACCCUCAACAUUUUUCCAAAGAGGCACUAAUGUACCCUGUAAAGAAAUGACAUUUUUCGUCUCAAAAAAAAGCAAAAACAAAAAAGAAAUGGCUACUUUUCACCCUAAAAUAAAAAAGUGUGUGUGUGUGUGUGAGAGAAAGAGAGAGAGAGAGAGAGAAUGAAUCUAUCUCCAAAUGCCAAUGAGCAUGAUGGACUAGUGGCAAGACUUUCUACAGAAUAUGUAAUUUGGUUUAGGCAGGGCAAUCUCCUUUGUAUGAAGUAAAUAGUAAAUUCAGUUACAGUAUAUAUAAACAUUAAGAAGAAUCUUCUUCUGUUUAAAUAUUGCUUCUUAAAAUUUGUUUUGCUAUUUAAAAAAUUCAUUUUGAAGUUACAAGUGUCUCUCCUAAGGAGACAAUUCUCUGACAAACAUAACCAACUGGCAAUUACAAAUCAUAAUUGUGACUCAGACCAAUAUUAAGUGAGCACCUUCCUGCUUUCUCGUAGAUGAAUGUCUAUAAGUUGUUAGUGCACAUACUGAACUAGAAAGCCCACAUCAGGAAGGUACUGCUCUUUUUUUGUUACUGUUAAAUUUGCUUGGCCAACUCAGAAUGAAUAUCCAGAUUUCUCAACUCUUGAGUUAGUGGAUAUAUAAACUCCAAAAAAAUUAAUUAAAAUUGAAGUUUAAAUUUUAAUACUGAGAAAAAUAGUUGAUUAGCUAGAAAAAUCACCCUAAACAUAAUUAUAUGUAUCAGUAAGUCAAGGAAAAAAUUAAAUUUGUCAAUAGGUCCCUAUUCUCCAGUGCUGUCUUUUCAAAGUUACUUUGCAAGGUAUUCAGUUUUAGUGCUAACGUAUCAAUCUUUUUUUUUUGGUGGGCGGGGGAUGGGGGCAGGGUCUCACUCUGUUGCCCAGGCUGGAGUGCAGUGGCGCCAUCUCGCCUUACCACAACCCCUGUCACCCAGGUUCAAGUGAUUCUCCUGCCUUAGCCUCUUGAGUAGCUGGGAUUACAGGCACGUGCUACCAUGCCCAGCUAACUUUUGUACCUUUAGUAAAGAUGGGUUUUCGCCGUGUUGGCCAGGAUGGUCUCGAACUCCAGACCUCAAUGAUCCACCUGCCUUGUCCUCCCAAAGUGCUGGGAUUACAGGGGUUAGCCACCAUGCCUGGCUAAUGUAUCAUUUUCUAGAAUACAUUUAUCAAUGAAAUUUUCAAAGAACCUUAUUGGUAUGGUGAAUUAUGUAAAGUCUCAGAAGAUUACUUUUGACUUUCCACGGCCAGAUACUCUUGACUCACUUCUAUCAAUCAUGCAUUGGAAAUACUCUGACAUCGUCAAUUCUACCGUGAUCUACUCAAGCAUCUCACCUGUUUCCUUCCAGAAAGCAUGUUUUAAUGUUGGAGAUUCAUUGGCUAGUAAAUGUAUAGUGUCUUAAAUGAUGUCAAAUGAAGAAAUGCCAAAAACAUGCCCAACAGGAACAGCAAAGUAUUUACCUUCAUGUGUAAAAUGCCAGUGUGAGAUAGCCCAAUGUGAUAUUGAACUGGAUCAAUGGUGGGGUGCCAGCACAUGAGGAAUCGACAUUAAUUCAAGUUGGGACACAGAAGUUGGCAUUGUGAAGAUUUUUAAAUUCUAGGACUAAAUGGAUGAUCCACUGGGAGGCAAUGUCCAGACAGAUCAAUACCACACAAAACGUUAAUUGCUUUUCUUGGUGAAUCCUAAGAAAGUGCUGGGGCUUUAGGGAAAUUGAGAGAGAUUUCUUUUCUUCCCCCUCCACAAAAGGUAAUUAAUGAGUACAACAGACAAUUCAAAGCAAGAAAAUAGAAUCUGAAAGCUUGAAAGCCAUACAUUCAGAAUCCAUUUAGAGAUUUACAGAAGGGCUUUAGCCCAGAACAGUGCCUACAGGAGCUACAGUGGUGACAGUGUCUCCUUGAUAGAUGCAUCCUGGAAUCUUCUACUGGGCAAGCAUCCAAAAAUAUUUGAACAAAUGAGGUAUGCCUUCCAGCAUAGCUGGGUAGUUAGAAAAGAGUCAAACAUAUAGAAAAAAAGCAUAGUGACUGAAGUCAUCUUAAAGCUAGUUUACAAAUGUAGUCUGAAAUACACUCUAUCACGGGAUGAAUAGGUAUGGAUUUUAUUCCAACUAUGAUCUACUGUGCUUUCUGGGACUGUAAAAAGUGACUACACCAUCCAUUAAUAAUAUAUAGGAAGGCAGUUUGGGAAUGUCAACCCAAAGCCUCUUCGUACCUUGAAAUUCCCAUGCAAUUUGGUUACACAGAGUAUAUCAUUACUCAGGUUAAUAUUAUAAGACAAGUAUUAGCAUUAUGUUUGAACAAAGGUUUUCACAAGGUCUAUAUUAACUUUACAAAGGUUCUGCUGUAUACUGAAUGACAAAGGCUGUCACAGUAGCGACCAAUUUGUUCCAAUUUGCUUACUUCUCCAGAUCUCUCUGUCAGACUUUAAGUUCCUUGAAUAUAGGGUCCUAGUCUUCUUGCCCAUCCUUGUAUACAUGGUAGGUGUUCCAUCAAUGUUUCUUGAAUGAAUGUAUAAAAAGUGUAUUUUAAUUGAAAUCUUAACAAGUAUGCAUUAAAUGUAUAGUUGGUGCUUGGUACUAAUUCUCUCACCAGUUUAUUGAAAUUUGACUAUAUUUGAGCUUGAAAUGGUAUACCUACAGAUAUAGAUCAUUAAAACCAAACAAAACCCUUUCUUUAUGAUAUCAAGAGAUUUGCCUCCUAACAUAAAAAUGAAUAAUCACUGUCUACCCUAAUGGAUUAGACUUUCUUCAUUAGCCUCCUGUUUCUUCUGAGAAAUGGCUACAUUUUCAGAAACUCUGACUCCUAAAGGGGGUCAGUAACUCUGGGAAGACUAUUUCUAUUACGUGAAAAUUUCAAAUAAUCUCCUAGAAACUUGAAAACUGGUUAUACACAGAAAGCAAAAGAGGUGAAAAGUGAGUUGCAGUUUCAUUAAACAUGGUCAUCCUCCAACACCGUCUUUCUUACCAGCCUUGCAUGAAACGUCAUUAAGAUGCAUCUUUUAUGCAAGGGACCAAAAAGGGUACUACUUUUAAAAUAUAGCAAAAACAGGGGUUGCAGUUGCCCUUUUAUUGAGGGUCAGUUUAUAUAUGUAGUCUGAUAUAUAUUUCAUCCAGAAAUAUAGUUUUUUAAACUUUUUAUCGUGAAAUAAUUUUAGAUUUGCAGAAAAGUUGUAAAGAUUAUAUAGUUUCUUUAAACCCUUCACUGAGCUUCCACUAACGUUAAAAUAUUAUGUAACCGUGAUACAUGGUUUGAAACUAAGAAAUUAACAUCUGUACAAUACAAUUUGCUCAGAUAAUCCCAGUUUUUCCACUACUGUCCUUUGUAUGUGUCAGAAUCCAAUCCAGGAUACCACAUUUUAUGUAGCUGUCCUGUCUCCUUAGUUUCUUCUAAUUUGUGAUAAUCUACAAAUACUUUUUAAUUGAAAGAAUUAUCUAAACGUAUAUUUGUCAGAUCAAUACCGUCCUUUCUAUCUUUCCUUUCUCCACUGAACUUGGGCGUCAGUCUCUUUCUUGGCUACUAACUCUAAUUUAUGCAUUGGAUAUUUUACUACUUUGGGCUCAUUAUUUUAAAAAUCUGCAAGCAGACACAGUAGUCUAGGACUGUUCCUGAGGCUGGAGGGCCAGGGUAUAGCAUGUGCGCAGGCCACCAAGGCCAGCCUUGUCAUUGAUUCUGCUUUGUUACCAAGCAACUGAGAUCGCUCCCACUAAAGAAAAAGAAGCACCACUUCCACUUCAAAGGUAAAUGUGUUGAAAAAAGAACAGAAUUGACACAGCUUCCUUUAUCCCUUAGGUACAAGGAUGCCAUGCCUAGUCAGAGUUCUGAAUUCAGGUUCUCAAAGCAGGAACAGGGAGAUGCAGCAGCUGCAGUUGGGAACUCUUCUUUCUUUCUACAUUUUUUUUUUCUUUUUGAAAGUCCACAUCUCUAUCAAUCCAGAAUCCUAAUUACAUAUGAUAUAAAGGGCCCUCAAAAGACCCAUUACCCCUGUUAAAGUAUGUAAAUUCAGGGGCAAAUUAUAUGAAUAAUGGCUAACAUUUAUUGAGCGCUUAUUACAUGUCAGGCACUGUUCUUCUAAGCAUUUUACAUUUAAUCCUUACAACAACCCUGUGAUGUAGGACUGAUUAUUAAUACUAUUUUACAGAUAAGAAAACUGAAAUACACAAUAGAUAGGAAAAUUGCUCAAAGUUGCACAGCUAGUAAUUGAAUAAUCUUCCAAAAUCUUUUUUAUUUAGGUAAUAGUAUUUUUGAUAAAUAAUUUAUAUAUUUUAUGAAGACCUUUACAAUGAUGGUGUUAUUCCAUUUCCACCCUAGAUUAAAUUAGCAUCUUGAGAAAAAGCCAUAAACCCAGUGAUCAAAGUCGAUGGUAUUUAUUUUAUGUUUAAAAGGUGUCAUCUCUAUCGAGUAGUCAAGUGCUAAAAAAAAAAAACAAAAAACAAAAAAACAAAAAAUCCAGUCAACAGAAACUUAAACACUUGAGGGCAAACAUUGAGCAAUGUUGGGGUUUUGUUACCUUGCACUAAUUUUGGGUUUAAGAAGGGAAGGAAAUGAUGUUCGUAAUCCAGUGUUCUGGAAGGAGGAGUGCUUUUGGUAGAUUAAUUUACAAAGUUUUCUGCUGACAAAAGAAAGGGAAAGGAAAAAAAUCAGAUAAUAAUUCCCUUUACAGGCCUAAUUUGAACUUAAUUCUCUCUCUCUCUCUCUCUCUCUCACACACACACACACACAGACACACACACACACACACACGACAACUGUGAGCUGUAAAUCCAUGGUCAUCUAGUUACUAGCGCAGUAAGAGCAGUUGUCUGAUCUGAUCAAAGAGUGUCAUGCUCCAAAAAAUCUGAUCUGUGGUGAAAAUAGAUUCCCCCUGGAUACUAUCCAGGGAUUAGAUAUUUUCAGAGACCAAAAAUACAGUGAAGUGCCCUCAGCAAGAUAGAACACAGUGUAGUCAUUCUUGGUGAAUUGGAAGGAUUUUGCCGCAGGGCUGUCAUUAUGAACAUCAGUGAUCAUUGUAAGAAUAUGGAAAAGUGCUAGUGAAUAGGAGUCCCAAUUACAGAACACUGGGUGAUACAGCCUUUGCUAUAAUUAUAGUGUGUUUAGAUUGAUGGGCCUAAUGAGCAGUGUUCCUUAAUCUAAAUGUUGAUUUUGGAGCGAGUUAAAAUUAGAGGUAAAACUGUGAUAGUAAGUUUGUUUACUAGAUUGACUAUGUGGCUCCACGUAGAAUUCAGAUUAGUUCAACUAACACUUCCUCAGCACCAAACCCUUGUCAGGCCUUGGGCUAGGUCCUGGAGACCCAAAAGCAGAUGAAGUCCUCAGGGAGUUACAGCCCAGCAUGGGAGAGGGCAUUUCAACGGCAUUAGUAAUAGCAGUGGAUAUGAAUUGAGCCUUUGCCAGAUGCUAAACACUUGUUCUAAACCCUCUGCGGGUAUUAAUCCAUUUACUCACUCCACCAUAACCCCACAAAGUUGGGACUAGGUGAGAGGGGAGCCAACAGGCCUGGAAGACUACAGUAACUUUUCCAAGCUUAUAUGUGUGAUAAGUGGCAGAGCAGAGCUUAAACCUGGUCCGGACCUUGGGUUCUUAACUCUAACCUUAGUAUUCCAGAGAAGAUUUCAAUAUACAGUAGUUCACUGUCCUGGGACCAAGAAGAGGUACAAUUAACCAUGUUGCCUAUGCUGCUGGUGAUGAAGCCAGAACGUAAACAGAAUGAUUUAUCCUCACUCCUUUGUUCGUGAACAAAGGAACCAUAAUCCCCCAUGAACCAUUCUGGCCUCUUUACUAUCCUCCAGACAGGUUGAUCUUGUUUCUACCUCAGAGCCUUUGCUCUUGUUGACCUGAGUGUCCCAUCCCAGAUACCGUUGUAUGGCCCUUCCACUCAAUCCUUUCCCACCUCCCUCCAAAUGUUACCUUAUUAAUGAAGACUUCCCUAGCUCAUUCUAUUUUAUCUGCCUUUCUUCCUUAUCCCACCUCCCUGCAGUUCCUUCUCCCUUACCCUGCCUUACUUUUUCCCACAGAUUUUACCAUUAGCAAUACUAUUAAUUUCUUUUUACUUGGGUUUUUGUUGGUUUGUGUGUCUGCCUCCCCACACUAGAACACAGGCUCCCAGGGGUUAGUGACUUUUUAAAUAUUGUUUGUCACUGAAUUUCCAAUGCCUAAAAUAGGACCUGACCACAUCUGAGUUUAAUAUAUACUUUUAGAUUUAGUGAAUUAAAAAGCCAGAAUGAGGCUGGGCACGGUGGCUCACGCCUGUAAUCCCAGCACUUUGGGAGGCCGAGGUGGGUGGAUCACGAGGUCAGGAGCUCGAGACCAGCCUGGCCAACAUAGUGAAACCCCGUCUCUACUAAAAUACAAAAAUUAACUGGGCAUAGUGGUGCGCCCCUGUAGUCCCAGCUACUUGGAAGGCUGAGGCAAGAGAAUCACUUGAACCCAGGAUGCAGAGGUUGUGGUGAGCCGAGAUCAUGCCACUGCACUCCAGCCUAGGCAACAGAGCGAGAUUCUGUCUCAGAAAACAAACAAACAAACAAACAAAAAAAACCAGGAAGAACAUAUUCCAAAGUGUUUAAAAUAGUUAUAUCUGAGCGUCGGAAUUAUACUAUUUUAAAUACACUUUUACCAAGUUUCCUAUAAUGAGCAUGCGUUCUAUGAGAAAAGGGCUAAAAAUAGAUGAAAGUUAAACAUUAGUCACUAAUUCAUCUCAUAAACCUACUUACUCCUGGGAACUAUUAACUUCUGUGUUAUUAUUGCACAUUGGGUUUUUAUACAUGGUAGAUGCUAUUAUCGAGGAUCCCUUGGGGAAGGUUUGUGUAUGAAAUGAUCAUUUCUUUCCUGCUUACUCCAGAUUGAGAUUGCCAGCCUUGACUCACCUGAGCGGGAGACUCACAUGUGAGACUGCCCGUGUGAAGAGCUUCCACUGUGAUACCCAGUAGGCAUCUGAAAAGCAUCAGGUCCAAAAUGGAAUUCUUGAUCCCCCAACCUGCUCCUUACAGAGUGAUCCUUGUCUCAGUAAUUCCAACAUCCAUCAGUUGUGUGAUCCAAAAACUUAGAACUCAUACCUCCCUUUCCUCAUGCCCACAGUUUGUUCAUACAAAGUUCUAUAGAAUCUACCUCCCGAAUACAUUCAAAAUUAGACCACUUCUCACUGCAACUCAAUACCAUGCUCCUCACUUCCAUCUCUACUACUCGAAGCCACUCGAGUCAUCUCUUACCUGAAUUGCUGCAAGCACUUUCCAGCUGGUAUGUUUGUUUCCAAUCUUUUAUUUCAUUAUUUUUUAAGAGACAGGGUCUUGCUCUGUGUCCCAUGCUGGAGUGCAGUGGCACAAUCAUAGCUCACUACAGCCUCAAACUCCUAGAGUCAAGUGAUGCUCCUGUCUCAGCCUCUUGAGUAGUUGGGACUACAGGCACACACCAUUAUGCCCAGUUAACUUUUUUCUUUCUAUAGAAAUGGAGGUCUCACUAUGUUGCUCAGGGUGGUCUUGAAUUCCUCUUUCUAGUUUUCUCUGACACUCUCACUCCCUGCCAAUCUUUUCUCCUCAAAGAAGCCAGAAUGGUAUUUUUUAAAAAAUAUAAUCAGCCUUUAUUACCAACCACCCCCAAUUAAAAUCCUCAUGUAGCUUUAUAUUAUAUUACCAAUCCAAUCUAAGUGCAUUACCAAAGCUUUGAAGACCCUGUUUGAUCCUACCUCUCAAUACCCUCCAGAACAUCCUCCUCGUCUACCACUUUCCUCCACAUCUACCACACCCUGGGCUGUUUGUCAAACAUGCCUGGUUUGUUCUAGCUUUGAGCUUUUCUCUGUCUGGGAGACUUCUUCCUUCAGCACCAGAGCUGACUUUUCCUUGUUUUAUACAUAGUGAGAUGUCAGCUCAGAUGUUACCUCCUCAAAAUGAUCUUUUUGAUCAUCAUAACUUAGUAAGCUCUCUCCCUCCACCAGUCACACUGUCCCACAUCUCUUCAUUCUGUCCAGUAUUAGUCUGUAAUUACCAUGUGCUUACAUGUUUAAUAUCUGCCUCACUUUUGAAUGAAAGUAUCAAGGGGAAAAGGAAUGUGACUGUUUAAAUCACUGCUAUAACUUCAGUAUCCAAAACAGUGCCUGGCUCAUAGUGAACCCUUCAUAAAUAGUCACUGAAUGAAGGAAUAAAGGAUUGGAGCAAUGAAUGUUUUUGUGACAUCUAGAUGAAAAUUAGAGAUGAUAACCGGUGCAAUUUUGAUCAUCUAUCUCCCUUCAUACCAGCCACCCUAAUCUAGGGGACUAGAAUACCGAAAGAAAAUUUGCUUCUACGAACAAGGUAAUGUCAUGAUAUGGACUGACUCAUUUAUUUGUUCAUUUGUUCAUUCAUUCCUUCAUCAUUCUUCACUCAUCAGACAUGUAGUGAGGACUUUCUUUAUAUUAGGCCCCCUGUGUUUGGUUUUCUGUCAGUUAUCUUAGGGUCGUGUGUGUGUGUGUGUGUGUGUGUGUGUGUGUGUGUUAAAGGACGAAUAAAGUAAAUAAACUAAUGCAAUGUAAGAAGUGUUGUGGUUUUUUAGUAAAGGUUAUAAAUCUAGACUUAUGUGCGUAUUGUUUUGAGAAUACAAAGAAAGGUGCUUCUGUUUCUGUUUAUGGGAAGUCACUUUACAGACAUUUAUCUUUAAGUCAUGAUAGAUGAAUUUCUCAUAUGGGCAGUUUUCCUAAAUCUGAGUUUUAGCAUAAUGAGAUCUGGAGAAAAAGAAGGCAAAAAAAAAAAAAAAAAAAACCCAUAGGAAAUGAUACAGAGACUAAUGAUCAUUUACCCAAAUAAAACAGAUACCAUUCAAAGUUAGACACUGAGCCUCUGGUAAUCCCUGUUCUUCUCCUUCAUCUUGAGCGAGGGAUACUGAAAAAGACUGGGCUGGCUACUGUUUAAUCAGGGAAUGAUGAAUACUUUUCAUUAGCCCAAGAAAAGUUAGUUUCUAUUCCAGAAAUAUUUUGUAAAGACCAGUUAAAAUUAUUAACUAUUAUGCAUCACUUGUCAACUAUAGGAAGCAUUACUGCAACCUCUCCAUAGAUGAUUAGAAUAAUUGCUGUCCUUUCAUCUUUCCCAUCUAACAAUACUCACCCAGUACCUCCCACUUUCGUUUGUGUCUUAGUAUGCUGCAUGUAUCUGCUUUGCUAAGAGAACAUCAAGGCUUGGCAUAAUUGGGCUAUUUCCCUGUCAUACUGGUUUGCUUCUAAAUCUGCCUCCUCUGUGGGUUGCAGUGAGGUCAAUCAGAUGCAGUCAAAUGGCAGAGAAGAUAUUAAAAGUACAUAUAUCCUAGAACUAAAUAUACACCAUCUGUGAACUUCAGUUACAAAGGGAAACUUCUCUUAAUAUGACCUUAGGUAAAGCCAUUGGCAGUUUUAUUGUAUCUGUCAGCAAUCACCAAUAGCUUUGAUUAACAACAUGACUAAUACAUAAGUUAUGUUGGUCUCUUUUUUUCAUAAAUAAUAAGAGAUAGGGUUUCUACCAACACAACAUUUCUCAUACUUGCCUGAUCAUUAGACCAACUGUGGCACCUGAGAAAAAUAUGCCACAGACCUACUAAAUCAAAAGUUCCAACAGGCCUAGGGAUCUGUAUAGUUCAUAAAAACUCCAGGGGAUUUGAUUAUCAGGCGAAGUUUGGGGAGCUUUGUAUGAAUAAUAUUCAAUGAAUUGUUUGUAUGUCUGUCCGAUGCUUUCCAGACUGGGUUAAUGCCUGGGUCUCUUUCUUUAAUUAAGCUUUGAUUAAGAUGCUCCCAGCAAAUCCCACACUGAACAUUUCCAUUGCCCCCUCCCUCCCCCGCUUCUACUAUGAGAGACCGAGAUCCAUGUGAGGUAUUCUGUGAUGAAGAUCUUGUUCUGUUUUUAUUAUUAAGCGUACAUCUUCCCCUUUUCUGAUAUUACCACUAUGCAUCAUCAGUUAAGCUGUCACCAACCUGACCUCUGAGGCAUUGGAAUCAUUCACUUGAUGAAGCUUACUUUGGCAUAAGCUAAGGGUUAGGAAAACCAACAGAUUUCUAAAAUAUUGUGCAUGGAAGGGCCACUGGAAGUCCUCCAUCACAGCCUGAUAGCUACAAAAAUGAGGGAACAAAGGCCCUUGAGGGACUUGCCAAAGUCAAAUAGUCAAUUACAGUGAGAGUUUGGACUAAAUCUCCUGGUUCCAAUUAUUACAUUCUUCCUAUGACACCAUUCCCUGAUUCCUACAACCAAAUUAGCCUCCUCUUUGAGCUUUAGUUUUCCCUCUAGGAAAAAAAAAAAAAGCAUGUUAGACGAGGUCAGGGACUCUAAAACUGAGACCCUAGGUUCAGUUAAAAUGCUGGGAAGGCUACUGUGAUAGGGGUGGAUGUCGGAGAGGAAGGACAGAGGUGGGGCUUCCCCUAGUUAUAUUUUUAUCUGAUUGGGAUAUUGAAAUUAUAUUAAGAAUUUAUUUGGAAAAGCCACUUCUGUUACUUUUUAAAAAAAGAUGUAGAGGCACAAGGCUAGAUGUUGAUCCUUGAGUGCAGAUCUGAUUCUUACAUUUGGAGAUCCUUAGAAAAGAAGUCUGUGAAGGCAAGCAUUUGUCCUUUUUUGUCAUAAAACCUGAUUCUUGGGUAUUCAGUGAAUGACACUCAUUGACCAACUGCAGGUCUGGCAUGAUCAUCACAAAGAAUUGGCACUUUGAAAGUGAGAGAACAGUGGGAAGAGAAAUUCUUAGGAAGCAAGCUAUCUUUUCUAAUCCUCUUUAAAAGGCCAAAAUGUUCACAACUUUCCCCUAAAACAGAAAGGUGACAUUGCUCCUUAAGCAGCAGUAUCAUGCAUGCUGUCCUCUGCCUUCCUAAGAAGUGCAGACAGAGGGCAGACCCUCCGAGUGAAGUACCUUUUUUUCUUAUUUGAGCCUGCUCUGCAUUGAGGGAGAGUUUGACACACCUCUUUAGGGUUCUGAGAAUAGUUAACAGCUCUAAGAAAGAGAUUUUUGUUCAUAAGAAAAAACAAGAGAAACUGGAAGCAGUUCUCAUUCAUAUUCUCUCUCUCGCCACACCCCCCACCCCACCUCCUCCCGCCUCUCCCUCUCCCUCUUCCUCUCUCUCCCUCUCUUCAGUAUCUAAUGUAAACCCAGGCUUUCUUUAUGUUCUGUGCAGUUGGCCUGAGUUCUCUUCUGUUUUGGUCAAGAUUCAAGUGGAAAAGACCUGAGCCUGUGUCUGCCUCCUUUCUCCUAAUUUUGGUUUCUAAUGUUUUACCCAAGAAGGGACUAGACCUUUGUUUCCCUACUCCUUUAUCAUAGCAUGCUGGUUCUCAGACCUUUUCUGCACACUGCUAACAUCCUUCUCACCUUUCUUUGCUUGGCUUUUUUUUUCACUGCAAGCUCUCCCAUGUUCAUUUCUCAUUUGCCAUCAGAUUUAGAGUAACUGGCUUAUGGCAUCAAAGAAUGAAUCAGAUGGGAGCAGCUAAGUAAACUGAAUGAAGCUGCUUCCUUUCUCUUUUCCCAUCCACAAAUGAUAAAAUAGCCUGCCCAGCCAAGUGACGUGGCAUUCAGGGGUUAUGGUGGCUUGGCCAUUUGUUUAAGUUUGCUUAUUUGCAGUCACAGUUCUUUAGUAUUUCAGUGAUUUGGUUAUCACUCAACAGUGCACACAUUUCUUCUAUAAAAUUUGAUAGUUACUUAUCUAUCUCUGAUUUUUCCCUCUGUGUUUUAUUAUAUCUAGUUUAAUUUUUCCCCUUUGUUGAUUUCUGUUUUGUAUAUCUUGUUGCGGGAUAUACAUGGAAGGGAGACGAGUUUCCAAAGAUAAUAUAGAUCCCAGUUUGCCUGUAAAUUGAUAACACCAUUUGGAAACAAAUCUUAAAACCUCACUGACACAGCAUAAAUAGAAUUUACAGAUCUUCUUGAAGCAAAUCCAAAUCUCCAGACUCUACUUUCUCCAUUCUCCCCCACUCAUCCUAACCUUCACGUACAGGGACCGCGUUACCAAGUGAGCCAACUAGACUCUUUCACACCUCUCUGCCUCUGCACAUGCUGUUCCUUGGCCAGAAAUGCCUUUUUUUUCUGCUUUACCUGACACAUUUAGAUUAGUCUUUUAAGACCUAAUAGAAAUGUCAAGUGCUCUGAUAUGCCUUCCCAGAUGCCCAUGAGCAAAGUCAGAUGUUCUGCCUUCUGUUCCCCUAUGGUACUUUACUGAUGUCCCUGUGACAGCUUCCUGCCACUCCAGCCCACUCAGUUGGGAGAACUUCAAGAGGUGAACAAAGUUUUAUUCCUUUUUGGAUUCCCAGUGUCUCAUAGACCUUCUGGGACAUAUGGCACAUUCAGUCUAGCUGAAUGAGGUGAUGAAUCAAUCCACUUACUCUCUCCAGUGCCUGAAACUUCUCAAGGAGCUUGUGCUCUCCUUUGCUCCUCUCUUUUCAACCAAUCUGAAAAUGCUUUUAAAAGAUAAUGUCUGUUUUCCAGUGCAGUCUUCUCACUUGGCAUGUAAUUUCUCCAUUUUUAUUUCCUUUGUGAAUAUCAAGGUACAAUUUCCAUAGCUACCAGUCUAACCUGGAAUCUUUUCAUCUCAGUUUUGGAGUUCCACAACAGUGUCCUGGUGGAUCUAUCUUCUAUAUAUUCCUACUAUAAUGUACACUCUUACCAGGUACCAAUCAGUUGUUUCAAACCACAUUUCUACUAAAUGACCUCUCUGAAGUGAUUCUGAACUGGCUUCCCUAUUAGAUGAAGACCAAACCUCUACUCUAAGCACUUAAGACAAAUGGUUGCAUUCAUCUCAAUGCUCCUUACUCCUCAAUAUUAUCCAUUACAUUUUUUUGAGACAGAUUGUUAUUCUCUGACAGAUUGUUAUUCCUUCAUCGUCCAAAAGGAGUCCUCACUUUGCUUAGACUGGAACACAAAAUUUUAUCUAUUUUAAUGUUCCGUCAUAUAAUUAUAAUUAUAUUCUGUUAUCUAUUCCAAAUUUUCAGAAUUUUAUCUAUUGCAAAUUUUAAGUAUUCCAAGUUAUAAACUUACGUCUUCCAAAAAGACUACCAGGAUUAAACCAACCACUGAAUCAUCAUUUCAUUACUUCAUAUUACUACAAGUUAGAUUUGGGACACUGUAAUAUUUUAGCCCUGAUUUUGCCCUUUUUAUAGUGUCCAUAGAUAAUUUAACUUCUUUGUAUAAACUUCCAUUAUAAAAUGAAGUUUUUUAUAUAUAUAUAUGUAUAUAUAUAUAUAUAUAUAAAACAUUACACAUUUAGGACAUUUCAUGAUGAAAUAAAAGUGUUUCAAAUAGAAAAUGAUGGUUUAUUUGGGUUUAUAAAUCAAGAAUUCUCAAGAGGGUAUGAAACCCACUUCUCCCUUAUCAACUCUAGGGAUUUUCUGUAGUUUUGAAAUUUGAAAAGCAUAAAGUAAAAUUAUUAUCAUUUUGAUUUGCUUGUAGUCAUAAUAUUUAAUUCACUUAGAAAUAUCAAAUAACAUUAAAAGAAAGGUGUGAAAAUGGCUGCGCUCAGUGGCUCACACUUGUAAUCCCAGCACUUUGGGAGGCCCAGGUGGGCAGAUCACCUGAGGUCAGGAGUUUGAGACCAGCCUGAACAACAUGGCGAAAGCCCAUCUCUACUAAAAAUACAAAAAUUAGCCAGGUGUGGUGGUGCAUGCCUGUAAUCCCAGCUACUGGGGAGGCCGAGGCAGGAGAAUCGCUUGAACUUAGGAGGUGAAGGUUGCAGUGAGCCAAGAUCAUGCCGUUGCUCUCCAGCCUGGGCAACAAGAGUGAAACUCCAUCUCAAAAAAAAAAAAAAAAGGUGUGAAAAAUAGGGUAGACCACGUGUGCUGUUACAGUAGACCCCAAACAUAAAAGAUGUUUAUCUCACUCAUAUACACAGUCCAAUAUGGUUCCAGUUGGUGAGGGUUAGGGUUGUCAUUCUGGGAGUUGGCCAGUAGAGAUGCUACCAUCUUCAGCAUGUCUUCCAAAAGCUUCCUGGUAUCAAAAUCCAAUUGUUGAAAGCAGAGAGAACAUGAAUAAGUUCAUAUGGAAGGAUUUUAUGGACUAAGACUAAAAGUAGUCCACAUUAAUUCAGUUCACAUUCCACUAACCACAUGGACACCCCUAACUUCAUUGGUGACUAAGAAAUGUAGUCUAGACUAUUCCCAGGAAUAAGAGGAAAUGGUUAUACUGGAGAACUAGAUGUCUAAUAUAUAUUACCUUACAUAGUUAUCAAAGUCAUUUUUAGUUUGGACAUGGUCUUUACUAAUGGGUUGCAAAUGCUCUUUAUGCAGAUGUUUUAUGUUUUAUAUUACUUUCCUAUGCCCAACAGCAUAAAAUAUAGAAGUCUGGAUGGAUUAGGCACUUGAUGUGUGUAUUAGCUUUUGAUUGCUAUGUAACAAAUGACCACAAUGUUAGUGGCAUAAAACAACAUAUGUUUAUUGUGUCACAGUUUCUGUGGGUCAGGAGUCUAGGCACAGUGUGACUAGGUCCCCAGCAAGGCUGUAAUCCAGUCGUUGAUCAAGACUGUAUUUCUCAUCUAAAGACUCAACAGGGGAAGGGUCUGCUUCCAAGCUAGCUCAGGUUGUUGUCAGAUUUUACUUUCUUGUGGCAGCAUGAUUCUUUGAAGAAUCAAGAAUUCAUGGUUGCUUGCUUCUUCAAAGCCAGCAACAGAGACUAAAUCAAAUCUAGCCAGAUGGUCUUAUAUAAUGUAAGAUAACUACAGGAGUGACAUCCCAACACCUUUGUAAUAUUGGUUAAGCAAAUUACAGGUCUCAUAUACAUUCAAGGGGAGGGGAUUUUACAAAAGAAUGACUACCAAGAAGCAGGAUCACUGGAGCCUGUCCACCACAGUAAAUGACUGAAAAAAUCUGGGUAUUCCAGAGAACUACCACUUUACCUGAACAUAGCUCUUUACACAAAACUACACAGAAUUAUGAAAGAUCUCAAGAGAAAAGUGUUCCUUAUUGCCAAGAGCUGGUUAUUAUGCUAGUAAAAUCAGCAGUGCUCAGGAACAAUAUUUGCUAAGUUUCACAGUUAUCAACCUUAACCCACACAAUCAUCUUUAGAAUUGGAUCCAGAACAAGAUGGGACCAUCUUAAACCUGGUACAUUCUCAUAAGGUUCAUUCUCAUAAGACCCUAAAGCCUUCAUUAUAUGGCAUUUUUGAAACUCCUUUGUCAUUUUAAAUUUUUGUCUUUCCUAGCUCCCUUUUCCUCUACUAUUCUAUCUAACUUAGGCAGCAUUGAAUUUCAUUUUUUUUUCUCCUUAGUCUUUCUGUUUGACAUUUUCCCUUCUAGCUUCAUUUGUCCUUUAAGACAACCCCAUAACCUUUCAUCUAGGGGAAAGAAAUCUAAAAGAAAGCUCUAGAAUGAGAUUUUAGUUGACAUAUUCAAUUUGCUUUAGAGGGGCAUCACCCAUACCUCUUCUUCCACUAGUGAGAUCUCCUGAGAGGUGAAAAUAUGAGAGAAUCAGAGCUGCUUAUUUAUAUAUCAACUAUGGAAAGAUCUUUCCUGCCUAAUCUGACCUCUUCUUUGAAACUCCAAAAGUGACUUUUUGUGGUUAAUUCUUCCAGGAUAUCUAUGAUGCAGUCCCACAGAUAUUAAAGGUUCAGGGCAUCAAACUGAAAGAUAUAACAGCUCUAAUAGACAGAGUCACAUUUCUAAAAAGGAAAACCAAAUUCUGAAGAUAUUUUCUGGCUCUGUGAACAGCUAAAAAUACAAGGAUAAUCGUUCCUAUAGUCCUGGACUUUUAACACGGAAGCUAACUUGGAAGGAAAAAUGACACUGAGCUAUAGGAAGAGAAGAAUAGAACAGACUUCAGUGAAAUCGGCCGCUUUUCUUUUCAAGGCACUUAUUCCUAGAUUAGCUCAUCUAUCUUUAAGUUUCAUAUGAUUUUUACUAUUUGGCAUGACUUAAAACUACCAAGUUGGUGAAAGGUACAUAGGAACUCUCUGUACUAUUUUGCAACUUCUAUGUGUCUAAAAUUAUUUUAAAAUAAAAGGUAGCAAACAUACAAACAAAACAAAUUAUUGAGCUGGGAAGUGUUCCCCUUGCAAAAGUCUAGCAACUGGGGUAAAAUUGUUUCUUUGAAUACAAAUGCCUAGUCUCUGAUUAAUAAAAUACCAGGAAGAGGAAAAGAAGGAGCUGAAGAAAGAGAGAAAGAAAUAGAGAAAUGGGGAUUUCCAGUUGCUGUAGAUCUUGAGUAGGCAGGACCUUAGCACAUGGUAUCUAGGUGCAUAUUGCCUGUCACUUUUCAAUUAUCUUUGCUGGCCCUGCCUCAAUCAAAGCCCAAACCAUACCCCAAGGGCACUCUGCAUCGUUGAAUUUAUAGAUGAGAUCUUUCUUUUGGGAUAAAGAGCUAUUCUCAACUUGACUAUUAUACCUUGGCCUUCAUUCCCUAAAGAAAAUGGGCAGGGAGGCUUGCAGACAGAAGUAUAUAGUGUGGAAAAUGAACCACCUCUUUUGACUCUUUGCAAGAUUUGUGAUGUCCUACUGGGAUGCCUGGGCCCAGGCACAUUCACCUUGAUUCUACAUCAGAGACUUCUGUGUCUUCUUUCUCAUAGUAUGGGUUAUUGGGUUGAGCAAAUACUUUGUCAUCAGUGUGUCUUAUGGAGUAAUUGAGAGCCUUGGAUUUGAACUCAUAUCUAUUUGGGCUCUAUUUUGGGCUGUGUCACUUAUGAACUGCAUGACCUUGAGCAAAUCACUGAAACUCUCUACAGUCCAGAUUCGUAAUCUAUUAAAUGGGGCUAAUAAUACCUCAUGCAUAUGGCUGCCAACGGGAGUUAGUGAAAUAAUGUACAUGAAAUAUUUAACACUAAACUUGGUGCCUAAUGUAUCUUCAGUAAAUGAUAACUAUUGUCAUAGUCAUCAUUGCUUUUAUACUUUUCGGCUUCCAGUGAUUUCCAGUGACUACAGCCCUAAGGCCAUUGGGGGAUAUCUUUUUUAUAACUGAAUUUUCUUUAUAAAACAAUAACUGAUUUUUUUUUUUUUUUUAAGACAGAGUCUCGCUCUUCUUGCCCAGGUUGGAGUGCAGUGGCACGAUCUUGGCUCACUGCAACCUUCAUCUCCCGGGUACAAGUGAUUCUCCUGCCUCAGCCUCCCAAGUAACUGGGAUUACAGGUGCCUGCUACCACGCCCGGCUAGUUUUUUUGUAUUUUUAGUAGAGAUGGGGUUUCACCAUGUUGGCCAGGCUGGUCUUGAACUCCUGACCUCAGGUGAUCCGCCCGCCUCGGCCUUCCAAAGUGCUGGGAUUACAGGUGUGAGCCACCGCGCCUGGCCUAAAACAAUAACUGAUUUUUUAAAGAAACAUACUCAUGACUAUUUGUCAUUUUAGUCAAAGAGGAUGGAGAAAAACAGGGUUCAGUUUUAUUUUCAGUUCAAUGUUUCGACCAUGACAUCCAGUGCUGGCUUGAUUACAUUUUAGGAAACUGAAUUCCUUCUCUAAAGAAAUAGUCCAAAAUUAAACACAUAUGGUUACUGUAAUCAAUAAUAAUGCUAACCAAGCAUGCUGGCUCAUGCCUAUAAUCACAGCACUUUGGGAGGCAGAGGCGGGUGGAUCAUUUGAGGAUCACAGGAGUUUGAGAUCAGCCUGGCCAACAUGGUGAAACCCCGUCUCUACUAAAAAUACAAAAAUUAGCCGGUUCUGGUGGCACGGACCUGUAAUCUCAGCUAGUCAGAUGGCUGAGGCACAAGACUUGCUUGAACCUGGGAGGCGGAGUUGGAGUGAGCCAAAAUCGUGCCACUGCACUCAAGUCUGGGUGACAGAGCAAGACUCUGUCUCAAAAAUAAUAAUAAUAAUAAUAAUGCUUUGUGCAUUUCAAAAUUACUAAAAGAGUGUAAUCCCAGGACUUUUGGAGGCCAAAGCGAGCAGAUCACUUGAGAUCAGGAGUUUGAGACCAGCUUGCCAAUAUGGUGAAACCAUGUCUCUACUAAAAAUACACACACGCAAAAAUAUUAGCCAGGCAUCAUGGCGUGUGCCUGUAGUCCCAGCUACUUGGGAGGCUGAGGCAGGAGAAUGGCUUGAACUCAGGAGGCGGAGGCUGCAGUGAGCCAAGAUCCCACCACUGCUCUACAGCCUGGCCAAUAGAGGAAGGCUCUGUCUCAAAAAAAUAUAUAUAUAUUAUAUAUAUGUGUGUGUGUGUGUGCAUGUAUGUAUAUAUAUAUGUGUGUAUAUAUGUAUAUAUGUGUAUAUAUGUAUAUAUGAAAAGAGCAGAAUUUAAAUGUUUUUACCACUAAAAAAGAUAUGUGAAGUGAUAGAUGUAUUAAUUAGCUUGAUUUAAUCAUUUCACAAUGUCAACAUAUAUAAAAAAUCACAUCAUACUCCGUAAAUAUAUAAAAUUGUAAGUCAACUAAAAAUAAAAUUUUAAAAAGGGAAACAUAAUAACUUUUAUUAUUUUGUAUUUUUAAAAAUCAAAGUUAGGACACAUAUUGAGUUUCUCUGCUACUCAAUGAACUGAAGGUUUUGGAAAACAAGACCAAAAAACAACAACCUCCAAAAAAGAAAUAAAAGAAGAUCAUAGUUAAGGCCUUUCAUGCAGUCAGCUCAGGGAUCAAGGGUAGAUCUCAACCCGCCUGUCACUGAGUAUGCAGUGCUCACAGAUGUGGGGAAUACCUAUGUACAUCACAGUCCUCAGGGAACUGUAAAACCAGUUGCAUUGACCAAACCAAAACACGUGCCAUUAGAAAGCAUAUAAUUGUAAACCAAGAGCUUCUUUUCCGUUUACCUAAGAUAAUUGCAGAGGCUUUAGUCUAAGAGAAUCAAAGUUAAGUGAUAGCACUGUCAAAAAGGUUUCUUAAGGAAGAAGAUCUAGGGGUUCUCGGGAUUCGUUGAAUUUGAUGCCAUGGCUGAAAAAUUAAGUGGAGAUACACUGUAUGCCAUUGGAGUCAGGCACUCAUGUGAAAGAUCAGCACUCACAUUUAGGAAUUGGAUACAGCUAACAGCAGGGGAAUUGAUAGGCUCAUGAAAAGAGCAUGGGUAGAGGAUGACAUAGAAAAUUAAGCACAGUUAGGGAAGACUUACCAGCCAGGUUACAAGAAGCAAACACCUAUCCCACCGAUUCAGAAUACCUUGCCUCACUCCUGCAUGACAGGACAUGUGUGUUCUUUACGUUAACUGAGAAACUGAGGCCAGAUAGGAAGACAGAUGUGGCCAGAAGAAGUUGACAUUAGUAAUGAGAGAAAUAAACGAAGUGAUUUUGGGGCUGGCGUUAACUAUCUAGAACUACCCAGGAGGGUAGAUUUAGAGACACUUCCAUCUUUGAAAUACCCAGAAGUCUGUUUCUCCAAUGCCUUGACUCUGCCUAAAGCAGUCUACCAUUAAUCUCUGAGGAAUCUCUUCAAACAGCUUUCUGCCAAUGUAUCACUGAAGCCUUUUGAGAAAUAAGUGCUGUUCCAGCUUAGUCAUAUCUCAAGGCAGCGUGGCAUGGGAGGUGGAGACUACGAGUAAUUAAAAAUAACUCCCAGCUCAAGCAGGGAGAGGGCUGUCCCUGCCUCAUCUGUAUUCCCAUCACAGGCUCCCCAGUGAGACCCCAGCUGUUGAGCAAGAGACUCUGUAGUGUCUGAUGCACUCAAUCUUGAGUUGAUCACAAAAGAAUGUUAACAACGUUAAGGGCAUGGAGUUCUAGGUUUUGGAAGAAUUCUUAAUGAUUCUGUUAAAGAGGAAGAAAUAGGAAAAAGACCAAAAAGACAGGGACAAACAGGAAAAACGGACCCAGCUCUACUGCAGUAAUAGCCAUUGAUCACUUUACCUCCCUUGGCAGUCUGAUCAGUUUCACUGGAAAGAUAGCAAGUGGAAAAAGUGUGCAGAGAUAUGAUGUGAAAAUUAUAUUCAAGCUUUAGCUCCCCAGCACGUCUCUAAGGAAAGCACUAUAGGAACAGCUGCUGGAGAUAUAAACAAAGGCCCAGGAACAUCUCUGCCAUUCAUGUCAGGAUCUGAGAGAGCCAAGGGAAGGACAAGAGGGGAAUUAGCUCCCAGACAUGCUUGAGUCUCUAAGCUGUUACUCCGUGAUCCCCAUGUUCUAGGUGCAGAAGCAUUGCGUCUCUAAGCAAUUCCCUUACCACCAGCUAUCUAAUGCUGUCAGAGGACCAACUAUUUGCUGUUAACAGUAAUGCUCAUUUGAAGCUAUUCAGCCUAGAUUUUCUUUGUAUUAGGUAACUGUUUAAUAAAUUAAUUCCAAACAGUACCUCCCAUCUCUCUCAGUCUGACCAUUGAGCGCUCUUAGUCAAUCUUUGCAAACUUGUCCCCAUUUAGUUGUUAAACCUGCUCCAUCAACCCAAUAAUGAAUCAACCUAUAUUUGAGGACUAUGGUUUGUGCCUGCUCCAAAUCCUAUGUUUUCUCUGAUUUCAGACCCCUUGCCUCAACUGGAUGAACUUUUCAAGCUCAGAACAAAUAAGUGUUAAAAAACAUUAUUAAACAAACAUAUUCACCUUUCUACAAGUUUGGAAAAUAACAGCUAAGGAAAAAGCUUGUAAUCAAUAUUUUUUGUUGUUGUUCUUGUUGUUGUUUGAGACAGUUUUGCUCUUGUUGCCCAGGCUGGAGUGCAAUGGUGCGAUCUCAGCUCACUGCAACCUCUGCCUCCCGGGUUCAAGUGAUUCUCCUGUCUCAGCCUCCCAAGUAGCUGGGAUUACAGGUGUGUGCCACCAUGCCCGGCUAAUUUUGUAUUUUUAGUAGAGAUGGGGUUUCACCAUGUUGGUCAGGCUGAUCUUGAACUCCUGACCUCAGGUGAUCUGCCUGACUCGGCCUCCCAAAGGGCUGAAAUUACAGGCGAGAGCCACUGUGCCCGGCCUUAUAAUAAAUAGAUGUAUCAAUUGUAGCUUACCAGCACCAAAAACAAUAGUUAGUAAGAGUGUGGAGUCUAGAAUUUGACUGUUUAGAGAAAUUAUGCCUCAUCUUGGGGAAAAUUUCCUAAUGUGUCCAAUCUCCUGUUUCCUUAUCCAUAAAAUGGAGAUAAUUGUAGGACCUCCUCCAGAUGACUAUUAGGAAGAGAUGAUACAUAUAAAACUCACAGCACUGUGUCAGGCAUAAAAUAAGUAAUCUAUAAACAAUGUUAUUUAACACUUUUAUGAUAAAAAUAUAGAAAUAGAAAAUAAUAGUUUCAGUGACAGAUCAAUGUUGAAGCCUCAAUUCAAAACAUAAUAAAAUUGCUCUUUAUGGUUCUUACGAUGUACAUUUAUUUCAAAUAGUAACAAUGCUGUUCAUGGUGAAACGUAUUGAUUUUAAGAUUGAGAAAUUGGACAAACAAGGCUAGUCCACAAUAGUGGGAUUGCAGUAGACCCUAGAAUAUGUAUACCACUUUGGAAGGUAUAAUUAAUAUGUUUAUAUGUGUCGUCCCCAAUCUUUCCAUUCUUUAUUACCACCAUUAUACCUCCAUUUACUCCACAGUCCGUCUCUUCUAGAAUGAAAGCUCCCACAAAUCAGCAAUUGCAUCUGUAUAACCUAUUCUGUAUGGCAUAACACCUAUAUACUUUUCCAAAAAGAGGUGGAGAGAAUAUUUAUUGACUUAGGUAUGUCUGUGAUGAUCUAAUGAAAUGUCAUGGAACAACUUAAAGUCAUAGCCAAAGGAAGAGGAAUGUUAAUAUGUAAGAAUUUGCAGAUAGAUUAUUAACAUGGAAUGAUGCCAAAAUAGCACAGUAGAAAAACUAAAAUAAAUUAAAUAGGCCUGGAUUUGCUGGGUAACCUGGGGUAUAACCCCAUAAGGAUGGUGUAUGUAGAAGAAAAGUCAGUGAAUCAUUAGUAAUUCAUAAACUGUGUUUUUUCUCAGGUGUUCAAACAUUGGAAAGCUAUCUUUUGCAACCUGAUGCUUUCCCUGGAAUAUGCAGUGUUUCUUGACUCGUGCAGUAAUGGCUGAUGGAGUAGGUGUUCAGACAUUUUAUUUGUUGGUUUUAUGUAUCCAGGUAGAGAACUCCUGUCUAAAAUUAUCAAGAGUUGGUGGUGCAUUCAGGACAGGAAUUUAGAUUUUCUGACUCCAAGGACAUUUCACCACCCACUAAACCACCCUUUGCCAUGAGCUCCCAGGAAGAGCAAUUGUUCAGUCUGGUACAGUGAGGGAAUAAUCUGUCCCUAGCACAGGAGGCUGAACACAGCAGUGAAUAAAAGAAGACAAAACCAGUUCUACAAUAUAAAUGACACAUUCCAUUAAUACAAGUGGAUCCAAAUGAACUAAUUUCAUUCAAUAGUACUUUCACAUUCUGUAGCUAUAUGGGCUUGGAUACAAAUUGUAAUGUCAGUCUGUCAGGAGAGUGGAUGGCAGUGCAUAAUUACAAGUUCUUGUUCAGCACUUCAGGAGCUAAUCAGAGCAAGGAUGUGAAUCUGUAAUUUGCAAAUGUGCAAAGACAGAGGUUACUAUGGCACUAACGACUCUGCUGAUAACAUUCUUGCCACCACAUCAUAGGACUGUGAGCACAAAUUCUACAAAAUCAUUUGACCUCCUGUUUAGUCGUUUGCAAGAAACAGCCUGCUGGCAGUACCUAGGGACAUUUAUAAGUUUAAUGUUGUUCAAAAAUCUAAAAUGUCACUAUACAAUAAAUUAAUACUUACAUUCUAAGGGACUAUACACAAUCGUAAAGCAAUAUAUAGAGCAAAUUAAUACAUAAAAUACAGAGAAAUAUAGAAAAUUAAUAUACUACAUCAUGCAACCUGCUUCUAAACAAGUGUUUCUUUCAUAGGACUGAAUCAGGAAAGAUUAAAUAAGGAGUUGAGUAGAAACAUAUAUAGAUAUGUAGAGAUAGAGAUAUAGGCAAUGUUUUCUUUUUUUUUAUUUUUAUCCACCACCCCCUCCCCCCGCUCCCCACCAUAGCAUUUCUGCUUUAAACACUUAUUCUCUUUCUCUAACAAUUUUAUUCAUUUUCGUUCUUGGGGCAGUAGAAAAACAAAGCAGCAUUUUAGAGUUCAGUACUGGCCUAAAAUUCAAGCCUCUCUCUAAAAGAUUAUAGAAUUUCGCUGUCCUCUCAGUUCACAGCAGCAAGCAGAAUAAUUUCUGCUUGCCAUUUUCCUCAACUUAGUCCUGCAAAAGUAACAUCAUUGGUCUCUGCUUCUUUCCUCCCAUUAUUACCUGAUCCUGCUCUACAGCAGAUGCUUCCUCAGAGAAAGAAAUACCUCGAACAUCUCCAUCAACUUCUUCAUGGUAGUAACCCUUAACCCUAAACUUUUCUUGUGUAGAGAUGGGUGCAUCAUGUUGAGGAUUCAUUGACCAUUCUGUUAAUAUAUGAAUUUAAUCAAUUUUAAUUUUAAAGAAUCAGGAGUGAUUACGUGCAUCACAACUUUCAGGUUAAAUAAUUUUAUCAUGGGUGCUAAGCUAGAACCAUGGCUCACCUGGUCAGAUGGCUAUAGGAGAGUCAGCACAAUAGAAGCUUCAGGCAAUGUGAAUCCUGCUGCUCCCUACCAGGGAUCAAAACUGAGGUCACUGUGUGGUAUGUGGAAGUCAAAUGACUGCUUCUCUUUAAAAAGUGUUGGAAUGAUGCGUUUUCUCUCACCGAUUCUGUCUAGGGGGUAAUGUGCUAGGGUGCAGUAAGUUAAGUGUUAGUCACAUAUUUGCAGGGUUAAAUCUUAGUUCCACAGCUGACUCACUGCACACUCUAGGCAGAAUUAUUUAACUCCUUCAGUCUUUGUUUCCUCAUUCAAAAAAGAAAGAGAGAUACUAUCUGUGGCAGAGCCUCAGAGGAUUGAGGGAGUUAAAUGUAAAAAUGACACACUGGUGCCUGUUACAGGGAGGGCUCCCUGAGAAGCAGACCUGUGGGCUAAGUUUAGCAUGCAGGAUGUUUAUUAAGGUGUGCCUUUGAGAUCAAUACCUGUGAAAAGUAGGGAAAGAAAGCAGAUGAGGCAUAGGGAAAAGGUGGACUGCCACAGGCAACCCAGCGAACCUCACCAGCAGCUCUGGAGCUAAAAUAGCUCUUCAGAAUUGUCCAGAGUUGGGCUGAGGAGGCCAGAAUUUUAUUUGUGUUCCCACGAUGAUGACUCAGUGGAUGGGGUCAUUUCAGGAAGAGAGCAGGGCAUCAACCUUGAGCAAGAAAGGUCACUGCAGCUUAGUCUAACCCUGAAGAGGCUGGCAGCUCAGGGCAUCUGUUGACAGUAUUCCAAGGAGGCAGGGCGACUAGAACUUUAGCAAAGGAAGAUGGCACAUCACAGUGAUCAUCACAGUCCCCAGUCAUAAAGAGUAGUUUCUUACAUGUGCAUACCCCUUAGCCUUGUUUUCAUUUCUCCUCCUCCCGCCUUCCUGUCUUCCUCUUCCUCUCCCUUCCUUUUCUUCUUUUUCUUCUUAUUUUGAUUUUGUUUUACUUUAUGGAAUUAAACCUCCAUAAUUCUGUAGUGUGCCAAGUAUGAGGGGGAAAAAGUCUCUUUCCCCCAUUAAUAGAUAAUGACACCUUGACAGAUAAGUGAGCAAUUCUGCAUUGAUUCAUUGGGGAAAACUAUGGCAGGAAGUGGGUAGCAGUGUUUAGCGUGGCAUAAAAUACAUAUGCUAUCUAAAGAGGUGGCUUCUUUCCCUUCUGGGGGAUUUAUGUGCUUAAAUCAGGGCCCACAAACUCAAAGCACGCAUUUGGGCUAAAGGAAGCUUGGCUAAGAGUAAAAGGAGAGCCAACAGGGAAAGGGCCUUGUAGGCUGUGACCUUUCAAGCUAAACUGCCCCUAGAGAAAGAGAGACUUAUUUGAAUUUACAGAUGCCUUAGGACUCCAGUGAGCCACAGCUCUGGCUCUUUUCCUCUGGGGCACUACAAAGCUUAGGUCUUUGCAGAUCAAUUAAAGUCAUUAGCGCUCCAUCUAAUGAAUGUUGAUUUCCAUGAGGAGGCUGAGCCAGCUGGCCUGCCCUAAACAGCGCAAAGGCAAGCAGGGUACCAGAGUUAGAGCAAAUGGCAAUAAGCCACUUGAAUUAGAAGGCCCCCAGCUUGCAGCAGAGUUAAUGCUGCCUGUUUUCCAGGUGACCUCAAUCACUGCCUGGGGCAGACACUGGACUCAGAUGCUCUCCAGUCACAAGAGAGUUUGUAAAUAUGAUUUAAAAAUUGUCACUGGCUGCUCAACUAGCAGGAGUGUUCAGAAAGCUGCAAGGUAUGAGACACUGGAUGCACAGAUGUGUUUUCAUCUGGGGAAUGUUGCAUUUUUACAAUUUUCUCUCCUGGCUAUUAUGAUGGGAGAUUUCUAGUUUUUAAAUUCAGUGUGCUUUUUAAAUUUUUGAAUAGAUAAUAAGAUGAUUGCAAAAAAAAUUAAUGCUGCCUCUCAUUUCUGUUCUUCAUCUACUCAAGAAACCAGUUAUUCUUUUUGUGUGAUUCUAGAGUUUUCUGAUAUAUGUACAAGCAAAGGAAAGUGUAUAGUCUCAUAUUCUCAUAGUCCCACCUACUAAACAAAUAACAACAUACUGUAUAUAUAAUUCUGCAUCUCGCUUUUCUUCUCUUUUAAUAUAUCACAGCUGCCUUACCGUAUCAGAACAAAGAGAAAUUCUUUUUUUUUACAGCUCUGUCAUAUUUCAUUGAAUGAACAUGCCUUAUUUACUUAACUGUUCCUUUACUGUUUGCAGUUACAAAUAAUACUGCAGGUAACCUCAAAUAUGUUUCAUUUUUUACGCAUGUUUGAGAGUAUGUGUUGAAUACAAUCUCAGAAGUAGAAUGACUUCUAGGAGGUAUAUGCAUUUGUAAUUUCAAUAGAUAGAAGGAUUGCCAAAUUGUCCUUGAGAAGUAUUACACAAAUGUACAGCCCCCCCCCCCUCAACGAAUGGGAGCGCUUCCCCACACCUCACCAAUAGAGACUGUGGUCACACUUUUAGAAAUUUGUCCAUCUGGUAUGUGAAAAUGGAAUUUCAGUGUAGUUUUAUUUUCUUUUUCUUAUGAUGAGUGAGAUUGUACAUCUGUUUAUAUGUUUAGGAACUUUUUAGAAAUCGUUUGUAUGAACUUUCUAUUGAUAUUUUUUGACCACUUUUGUAGUAGUUUGCUGCUUUUGUUUUUAAUUGAUUUCUACUAGAGAGACUAAUCUCCAUGAUAUGGGAUGCAAAUAUCCUUUUCCUCCCCUAGUUUUUUGUUUGCCUUUUGAUUUUCCUUACAGCUUUUGCCCCUGAGCUUUUAGAUUUUAUAAUGUUGAAGUUAUCAGACUUUUCUUUUAUGGCAUCCUUAUUUCGACACUUAAUUAGAAGGGAGGACUUCAUAUUCUAGAGUGGUAAAGUAAUUCUUCAUGGUUUUCUCUUAGCACUACCAUGUUUUGCUUUAUAUUAUUCAUUUUCAUAAUUUUUAAUGUAUUCCUGUAGAGGACGUGAGGUAUUGAUACAAAUUUAAUAUUUUUUUUCAGGUGGCUACCCAAUUAUUUCAAUAACUAUGUUUCUAUAAGUCAUCAUUUCCCAUUUAAGCCUCUGUUAUGAUAUUUUAAAUUCAUUUCUGCACUUUUAUUCUGCUGUAUUGGUCUGUCAGUGCACAUUUUUCAAUUCUGAAACCUGUACAAUAGAUUUCAGAAUCUAAAAGGGCUAAUUCUCCCUUAUUACUUUUUCUUUCAGAGUUUUCCUGACUUUCCUUUUUUUUUUUUUUUUUUUUUUUUUUUGAGACAGUGUCUCAGUUUGUCAUCCAGGCUGGAGUACAGUGGUGCGAUCUCGGUUCACUGCAACCUCCACCUCCUGGGUUCAAGCAAUUUUCCUGCCUCAGCCUGCUGAGUAGCUGGGAUUACAGGCAAGCGCCACCACACCUGGCUAAUUUUUGCAUUUUAGCAGAGACAGGGUUUCAUCAUGUUGGUCAGGCAGGUCUCAAACUCCUGACCUCAUGUGAUCCACCCGCUUCAGCCUCCCAAAGUGUUGGGAUUACAGGCGUGAGCCACGGCACCCAGCCCACUUUUCUUUUAUAUUUUUUUAUAGAAGCAUUAGAGUAUAUAAGCAGUUUCUUUUAAUAAUUUGUAUAUGUUAGCAUAUGUAUAUAUAAAUUAGAUAAUGUUAAUUUACAAAUUAAGGAGAGCUAUAACUUCUAUGACCUAUAUGUGUCUUUCUAUUUAGUGACAUGAUCUGUCUCUCCUUUUGCUUAAAUUUUAUUUUAUAUAAUUUCAUAUGUCUCAUAUUUUGUUAGGUUUAUCUCUAAAAGUUUUUUCUUCUCUGUACCUAAUUAUGAAUGGUUCUUUUCUGUUAUUACUUCUACUAAUGAGCUGUGUGUGUAUAUAUACAUGAAGAUCAUGAAUUAAGGCAUACUAAUUCUGCAUCCUGCUUCCUUACAGAAUCUUCUUGUUAAUAGUAAUCAUUUUCAGUUGUUUCUUCUGAGAACUCCAGGUGCUCAGUCAUAUCAUCUAAACAUAAUUUUAUCACUCUCUUUCCAGUUUUAUAUCUCCAAUUUCUCUUGUUUAAUUGCAUUAGAUAAUAAUCCUAUCUAAUAAUAUAGUAAUGAUAUUGUGGAUACUUUAGCCUCGUUACUGACUUUAGUAAGAGUGAUUCUGAUGUUUCCACAAUCAUUAUGAGCCUGGCUUUUGCAAACAUAUACAUCCCUAUGGUUUCUUAACACUGAAUGGUCUGGUCCUUACAUUCUCAAGUUAAAUCCCGUUAGCAUUGAGUAUUCUUUAUAAUAUAGAACUAGAUCCUUGUAAACAAUUUAAUUAUUUUCUUUUUCUAUGCCACAGAACAAUUAACUUGGCAUUAAAAUUCUCUACUCUUUAAAAGCUUGGAAUGAUUUAUCUGUGACCUUUUCUGGGCCUCGUGCUUUCUUUUUCUAAGGGUGGCUCAGGUGACAGACAACUUCCUCCAUUUCAUCAAUGGAAAUGAAUAGGUUUUGAAUAUGUAUCCCCUUUAGAAUUAUUUUUAGGCAAUUACACUUUUCUAGGAUAUUCUCUAUCUCCCAAGUUUUCAUAUAUAUUUGCACAGAGUUAGCCAAGACUAUUUUUGUCAUUUUUCUGUGCUUAUUUUCCACUUACUAUUUUUAAAUUUUAUGUAUCUGCAAUUUUCUUCCUCUUUUUCAUGAUGAGAUAAUCUAAUGUUUACCCUUUUUAAUUUUUUUGUAACAGAAACUUUAAAUAUAUUAAUUUUACCACUUUUGCAUUUCCUAGAAUAUUAAAUUCUCCUUUUCCCUAUAUGAAUUGGCCCUUUAUGUUUUUCUUAAACAUAUUUUAUGUUUGUUUAAAAAUUUUGUAUUAAAAAUAUUGAAUUGAUUUUGUUAUUUUCUCCUGUCAAUAUAAAUAUGUAAGACCAAAGAUUUCCUCUAAGCAUGGCUUUUCCUGUUUCCCAUAGAUUAUAGAAUAUGAGUGCUUUUACAUUUUUAUUGUUCUAGGAAACCUGCAAAAUGGGCUGUAUUACAUUCGACCCAAGAAUUAAGAGAGAGUUUUAAAAUUUCUGAUUGGAAUGGGAUUCUGUUUCCGAUCUUGUUGUUAACAUCUAGUUAUUACACUGUGAUCAGAAAAUGUGUACAAUAGUAUUUCUUUUUUUUUUUUUUUUUUGAAAAAGUUGCAGUUUUCUUUUUGGACUGCAUACAGUUACAUUUGUGAUUAUCAUGUGGAUUCUUAAAAAGAUUUUUUUAAUUUUCAAUGCAUAAGUCUUUAAGUGUACUGUUUGAUAUACCUUAUAAAUUAUGCUAUUUAGGUCAAUUAUAGUCUUACUUUUGACUACUUCAUCUAUCAUUGAAUAAGCAAGAUGAUUUAAAGUGUCUUAUUUCUGUUUUUUGGCUGAAUGUUUCUUCAGAUAACUCUUAAGUUUUCUGUUUUUUGAAUGUUAUUUUUAUUUCAUUUGGUUCAUAACUAGUUAUAAUUCUGACACCUUCAUUGCGAAUUUCAUCUUUUAACAUUUUAAACAAAAAGGUCUUUUCUCAAUUAUUUAAAACCUGAAUACCACUUUCUCUGAUUUUAAGAUCCCUAUCGCUGAUUUAUUUUUGUUUGCAUUCUUCCGGCAUGCCUUGGUUGAACCUCUUAUUUUCAACGUGAUUAACAAAUUUAAUUGUUUUAUUUAUUUACUUAUUUAUUUUAAUUAUACUUUAAGUUCUGGGAUACUUGUGCAGAACAUACAGGUUUGUUACAUAGGUAUACACCUGCCAUGGUGGUUUGCUGCACCCAUCAACCUGUCAUCUACAUUAGGUAUUUCACCUAAUGCUGUCCCUCCCCUAGCCCUCUACCCUCUGACAGUCCCCAGUGUAUGAUGUUCCCCUCCCUGUUCCAUGUGUUCUCAUUGUUCAACUCCCACUUAUGAGAACAUGCAGUGUUUAGUUUCUGUUCCUGUGUUAGUUUGCUGAGAAUGAUGGUUUCCAGCUUCAUCCAUGUCCCUGCAAAGGACAUGAACUCAUCCUUUUUUAUGCCUGCAUAGUAUUCCAUGUUGUAUAUGUGCCACAUUUUCUUUAUCACUGGUCAUUAGAGAAAUGCAAAUCAAAACCACAAUGAGAUACCAUCUCAUGCAAGUUAGAAUGACAGUCAUCGAAAAGUCAGGAAACAGCAGAUGCUGGAGAGGAUGUGGAGAAGUAGGAAUGCUUUUACACUUUGGUGGGAGUGUAAAUUAGUUCAACCAUUGUGGAAAACAGUGUGGCGAUUCCUCAAGGAUCUAGAACAAGAAAUACCAUUUGACCCAGCAAUGCCAUUACUGGGUAUAUACCCAAAGGAUUAUAAAUUAUUCUACUAUAAAGACACAUGCACAUGUAUGUUUAUUGCAGCACUGUUUACAAUAGCAAAGACUUGGAACCAACCCAAAUGCCCAUCAAUGAUAGACUGGAUAAUGAGUUGUUUUUUAAAGCAAGUCUCUUGUUCAUAGCACAAAGUUGGUUCUGCUUUGUGAUCUAUUGUAAAAGUUGAAAGUCUUUGUCUUUUAAUAGGUAUAUUAAGCCAGUUUAUAUCUAAUUAUGUGAUAGAUAUAUUUGUUCCUGGUCCUCUCCUGUUACUUUAUCAUAUAGUUUCUCUUUUUCUUAUUUUGUUUGUUUGCUUGUUUGUAAUGUGUUCUAUGCAUGUCUAUAUGUAUGUUUUGCUAUUUAAGAGUUUGCAUUUUCUCCCUUGUCAUUUUUACAGUUAUAAUGUAUUAUAUUUUUAGUGCUCAAUAUAUUUAAACCAGAGCUUCUCAUCCAAUAUACCACACUCAGGGCUUUUGGAUAGACCCUCUGGCCAUGAACAAUCUUGUCUUCUCCUCUCAGUCUCGACAAAUAUAUUAUUUGCUUUUUGACCUAUCAUUUGAAAAAUAUUGGGAAAUGUCACUUUAAGGAAUAUGCACUAGCUCUUUACUAUGAGCAGUGAAUCAUCUUUCUUAAUAUUUAAUACAGAAAAAAACAUGCAUGUAUUAAAAUUAAUUGAGUUGAUACUUUAUAUAUUAUCCUUUGACUCCUAGCAAUCAGAUAAUUUACUUCCUACUUUCUGUCCUCUUCUAACUAUUUUUAGUUGUAUUACUUCUGUAUUGUCAGGGUUUAUUCCAUUUUCAUUCUGGUCUUCAGCAUAUUAUUCCCAUUAGGUUAGACAUAGUUCUUCUUUAAAAACUAUACUCUGUGCUUACCUUCAAUUUCAUUGUCAUAGUUAUUCUAAUUAUGUUUUGGUUGAUCAAAGUCAUUUCCUAGUAGUUUCCUCAAUAUUCCCAGUGUUCCUGAAGGUAAAUACCAUUUGUAAACUAUCAUUGAGUAUAGUUUGGCUGGAUAUAAAAUGUUGGGUCAUAUUUUGCUUUUUGUUGGGAGGAUGUUUCUAUAAACUUAUUAAUACAGUCCUGGUGAGUCAGAGAAGCCUUUCUUGAAGAGGCAUUGUCUAUGUUUAAUCUCUAAUGGAUGAUCGUCACAGAAACAUAGACAGAGGAAAUGGUUCCAGGCAGAAUCAAUGGAAUUGAAAAAAAUCAUGGUACUUCUGUGGAACAGGUAGUUGGAUGACUGUAAUGCACAGGGGAAAAGGUAGACACAAGUUGACACUGGAGAAGUAGGAGGGGAUAGAGCAAGAAGAACUUGACAGACCGAGGAGUCUGGAUUGCUUCCAGGACAAUAAUCUAAACUGCAGAGUGGUAUGAAGCAAGAAAGGGAUAUCCGGUUGUAACUGUUCAUAUUAAGAGGGGUGCACAGGGGUAUAUGAGCUUUCUCUUCCAAGGAGCCUUUGAGUCCUCAUCUCUGCUGUUACAGUACAGACCCAGAAUUUCUUAUGUAGGAGAGUAAAUACAUUUAUGAAAUAAUAAUGGAAUUCAUUUUAUGCUAGGGCCAUAUUUCUAACUACCUUCCAAUGUAGCAGGAGAUAGCAAGACUUAAGGAUAUCUUAGUCUGACUCUUUUAAAAAAGAAAAAAUAAAGAAUUACAGUUCUUGGGUAUAUAGUCUUGUACCUCUGUAAUCUGUGAACUGUCUUUCUUCCAAGGAUCCCAUGGAAACCUUUACAAAUCUAGCUGAUAUUCACUAUAGUUCUAAAACAUUUCCUUCCUUAGCUGUUCCAUGGGGAGUUUUCUGUGAUCUCGCAGUUUCAAGCUACUUUUUGGGGACCUUCCAUACUUCAUUCAGGUGGGAGCUGCCAUAGUUAACUAGUUUCGGAGCACAACUCUUUAUCAAACACUAUAUAUGUAAAAAACUGCCAUGUUAAAUACCACUUGUUGCUCUUUCAUCUUCAGUCAGCUAUAUGCAAAAUAGGUCUUUACAGGCAAAUUUACAUUCUAUCACAGAAACAGUGACUAUCAGAUAACCAACUCCCUUCUCAAUUCUUUUUUUUGGCUUGUUUUCUUGCUUACUUGCUUGGUUGCUUUCUCUCUUUCCUAGCUGAAUAGCAUUACAGGCCACUUCUAAAAUAAACUGGGUUGUGGAAUUUCCACUGAAGGCUGGAGAUGAAAAACAUACUCAUUUACACUGUGUGCGAACUUGGUGGACUAACAUUGGUUAAACUUUGAAAUUAAGAGAUUUUUUUUUCCUGAUUUUUGGCCAUCUCUUUAAUGCAAUUUCAGGUAGCCACAUGGUUCUUAAAACCCCAAAUGCAGCUAUCUUCAGUAAGUACAAAAUGAAAAUAUGUUGCAUCCUAACAGAUAAGAAUUUCUUCUUUCUCAUGAUGAGAGCUGUUACCUAAAGGAGCAAAGCUUUAAUGGGGUCUCAGCUUGAUUUUGCCAUGUUUAUAUACAAAAGAGAUGAGGCAAGCUUUGUUUUGAAGAUGUUAAUUGAUUCUGUCCACCAUGCUGUCUAACAGCCAAUUCCCUGAAAAUGUAGUGAUGGAAAAAAAAUCUGUUCCAAUUACUGUAUAAGUAAAAUGCUUCCCUUCCACCUCCACUAAAGAAAAAAAUGGCACUCACUGCUCAGGAUCUGAGAUCGACAGCUGAUUCUGCACAUGCAAAGCCCUGCUGCCAUUUGUCAUUUCAGGAACUGCUUUAUUUUUGUCAAAAUGGAAGGAAAAAAAAGGAGAGAGACAUUAUACAGACAUCAGAAUUCAAAUCAUUUGCAACCUGAUUUGGGUAAUGAAGGCUCAAGGCGGAGUUGAGAUUUAGGGACUAAGGUGGUUGUAUAAGUAUGUAACUUCACAAGAAUCUGUUUUAGACCCAGAGCAGAUUAAUAGCCAGAUUACAAUGGCAUUUCCUGGGCUUAGGAAUCUCAUUAUCCUCUUCUUUCAUAUUUCUUUAAAGUGGAAGACCCUUCCACUACGGUGGUGUCAUUUGAACUCAAGUGUCAGGUUCACAUCCUUGUGCCCUGAAGUUUCAAAGUGUCCAGUUGCUGUAGGAGCUUUUUCUAUUCUGAUAUUACUGAUACUGAGACUGGAUAGGAAGCAUACCCUGUUUAGCUGCACAUCUAAAUAAUCGGUAAUGAGAACAUCCUUGACAAAACUAUCUUGCGGAGGAGAGGUCAGGUCUUACCUGCAUGCCUGCGACCUUCAGCAAACAAAGGCAGAGAUCUAAGGAGAAAACAGGAUGUGGGAUGUUUCCAGUGGACCUUGGCAGUGGACUUGCUUUGUGUUUGCAAUGGAAGAAGGAACUAGAGGGGGGAUAACCUCAUGGUUGUCUUUUCUUCUAAAUUUCUAAGACAACCAGUGAAGCUUGAGGCCUUUUCUCCAGAACUAUACAAUCUUUGCCUCCAGCAAGCUCUGUUUUUACUAAUAACCAGAUUGUCAGGUGGAAAACUUUUUCUAAGUGGACCUUACUUCUCUAAGUAAAAAAACAAAUCCCCUGAGGCAUGAAGACCUCCAUUUUACACUUUUGUUAUAUACUUCACAGGUACCUGAAAUGGUUCUGGACAAAGGAUAUGAUGAUCGACAAUAAAGAAAUCAAAGAUCAUAUUCAUAAUUAUAACCAACAAAAAAUAAUUCUGGGGAUAAUAUUGUCAAAAUGGAUUCCACUGCAAACAGGCAGUAGGAUUUACUUUGACAAUAUUCUCCCCAGAAUUAUUCUGGAUAUCACUGUAGGGACCAAAGGAGAGUUUUUCCCUUGGCCUUCCAAAGAUUCUCUGAAAAAUCAACUUGCAAAAUGCAAAUUGAUCAGAGAAAAAGUGUACACAUUUAUUUAAUGUGUAUACACAGGAGCCUUCAAAAUGAAGACCCAAAGAUACAGGAGAAAUUGUUCAUUUUUAUGCUUAGGUUCAACCAAGUGUGGACAUCUGUGUAGAAAUAUGAUUGGACAAAAAGGGUAUGAUCUAAUGGUAAUGGACUGAGGCAGAAAACCCAGCGAGGCCUGGCCGUGUAGACUCUUCUUGGCCUCUCUGAGCCCACAUUCCUUUUUUUCUGGGUAGGGGGCAAAACUUUUUCUGAAAUGGGGGUCUUAUGACCUAUAAUCAAACAAGGUAGUCAGGCAGUUUCUGCGUGGUCAGUUUUUACACAGAAAGGCAGAGGGAAAUUGGAGUAAUAUUUUUAGGUCUUAUGACUAGCUUUGAGGAAGAGGGAUCCUAGUUUCUAUGGCUAGCAUUGGGGAAGAAUGGGACUGAGAAACAGGAGGGCAGGGGAAGGUCAGAAAAACUUUUGCUUCUGAGGCCUUCAUUUUGGGGUAUUGUUUACUGAGCCCCAACACCACCUCGAGGGUUUCCAGGUAUAUUUUUUAAAGACCUUCUAACAAAUGUUCCUUUUAUUUAUACAUCCAUUUAAUUAUUGGUGCUAGUUCCAAUGCAAGACUUAAAAAAUUCCACUUCUAAUUCCCCACCUGCAUGGAGGGCACAAAUCUCCAACUCAUGAUCAGAAUUUCCUGCAAUCCGUAUGUCAUUUAAUGAAUUCCACUCUAUUCUUCUGGAAA